rnacentral:lncRNA from 1 species
CUUCCAACACCCUCAGAGCCAUCUUCUGCAUCACCCCCCUCAGGUAAUACUGUCACUUCACCUGUACACAUGGGCAUUAUCUGCCUCUCUGAAGCCCAAUCAUCAUCUACCAUUUGUGAAGCUAACUUUGAGGGCACAUAUCCAACCUUAGAAUCUGAUUUCAGAUCAACAAGCUAUGCAUGAAACAUAGUUUGUUUGGUUGUCCAGCCAUCUUGUUGAUCAAUUUCAUCAACCAUGUCUUCACCAUCCUCAAUUCUCACAUACUCUCCUUUCCAAUUAUCAAACCGUAACAAUGCUACCUCUUGCUCUGGACCCCAAAAAAUGCUCUCCCCAAUUUUUUUCCACCACAUUCUUCAUGGCCUUCUCUUCCAUGCUCUGUAGUUCUUGUGGAUCAAUCUCUGCAAAAUCAAUCUCCGGAUGCUACCAUCACCUAUGUCCCGCAUGCUACCAUCACCUAGCUUCGCCUUAGAAGGAAGGAAUUCCGCAGUGAAUUUGAACGUCCGAGCAACAUCCCCCCUAUUUCGGGGCAGUGUGAGGUGAGCUACCGGAAGCAGACGAGGCACAAAUCGCAUUCCUUGGAAAGGAUGCACAUUAAGGGAUUACCUUCUAGAUGUUGUUGUCUCUGGCGGCUCCAUCGCGUGCAGGCCCCCCUCCCACCCACCCAAAUCUGGAUCAAAUUGACCAAAAACACCAAAAAACAGAGGGAAAGAGAGGCGGUGAGAUCUAGCUCGACACGGAGGGGAACGGGAUAGGGUUCCUGAUUCACUCAACACAGCCGCCGCCGUCGCCGAGAACGAAAGCUCCUCUGCGCUGCUAUCACCGAGAACAAAAUCUCCGGCGCCGGCGCCGGCUCACCGCCAAGAACAAAGAGGGGGGGUACACGUUCAGAUAGGCAUGGGGACACGUUUCACCUGAUGCACUGCCAAGUGGGGCCCGCAACUAGAUGCACUGCCAAGUGGGAUCCACAUGUCUUAAACAUAACCUCACUCCCGUUGACGACCAGUUUAAUCGCCCGAGUGGACCUUGGCUAUUUGGGCCUCUGAAACAUAGUACUACAGUUAUUUUCGUCAACUAUGUCGCUUUCCUUCCAUUGCACCUCAAAUAUGUCGCACAGGAGCUAUUGACCCCUUGACUUGUUGCAGCUGGCCAUUUUCUACUACGAAACCAAUUUUCUAGGAGUAAAUAAAUAAAUGAACAACUACAGCAUACAUCAUAUGAGUUUCAGACUUUAUGAAGCCUGAAUGUUGAAAAAAUAAGAAAAAGAGACAACGUAAGGACCUCUGCUCUGUCGUGCCGAUGGAUGACAGAAGCUAAUUGCAGAUGGCCGGAGUUGCGACAUCAGCCUCUUCGAGACACGCGGAGACCUCCGUAUCUCCUCGAGCUCUCCUGCCGCGCGGGGCCGUCAGCGCCCAACAACCUAUGCGGUGCCGCCGCCGUCUGUCUCAUAGGGAACAGCAGAAAGGCCAUUUUCUUUCGGGUGCUUUGAUAAAAAAAAUCAUAUAUUACAGGUGGGUCCAGGACUACUUAUCAACAAUACAUCUCCUUCUCAAUGUAUCCGAAAUGGGGAUUUUGAAAUAUAUUAACCGGAGUCUCUGAAAUCUAACACACUAAAAUUCAGGAACCUAUGAAAACUGGUACAUUUCUUCAUCAACCAUCCUUCGAACCUCAUGUGGCAACGCAGAUAUCAGAGCAUGUGUGUCUUCCUUCUAAGACUUUUGCAUGUUGCCCCUCUAUGCUCCUUUUUUACGGCCAAUGUGUGGAAGGUCAUGUCCAUAACCUCAUUGAUAGUCAAAACAUAGACGAUGAUGAUUGUGAACAUCCGCUGUGGCUUCAGAUUGCGAUGAUGUUGCCUCAUCCCCCAAUUGUGUAGACACAGGCUCCCAUUACACAAAGGGAAUGGUGGGGCGAAUAGACUCGUACCUCUGAAGAGCGAGGAGAAGAUACAUGUAUUUGUUUUCCUCCAAUAUUUUAGAUGGGCCUAGGACAGAUUGAGAGGGGAGCAAAUCCGAAUUUAUACCACACUCACAUUGACAUCCCAAGAUGGUGGAGUAUAUAUAGAACUUCUAUACAUCUUGUUUUUAAUAGCUCAUUUUUAGGAAGGAAAAAAAUAAAUUGUUAUCAUGGGAUAUGUGUUGAGCAGGUCAUUCAAAAAUGUUUAUUUAAUCAUGUGACUGAAUACACCAGAAUCAUGUGAUCAUCCUACUUGCAUGUUUAUGUUAGUCUCCAACUUCCAAAGUAGAACCUAGUAUACAUGGUAUUCUAGUUCUCUCCUGUGUACCAUCACUCCAAGUCCAUUGCAUCAUGAAAGACGUGUGAAACGUGAGAACUGGCAUUGCAUGAUUCUUCUCCAUCUCUAUGUUUCAUCUGGAUAAAGGGUGUCAGAGUAGAUGAUGGGUUUAAUGGCAGAGAGGGGGGGGAGAGGGAGAGGGAGAGAUCUCAUUCUUGUAAAAUGUAAAAAAAAGGAAUGGAAGGAAAGGUCCACACUUAGACAAACUGAUUAGAUCCGUAAACUAAUUAGACCCGCAAAAAAAGAUGACGCUAUAAAUAUCUCAUAACAACAGAGGGAGAGGAAGGCCAUAGCUUUUAUUGUGUAUGGUGAGACCGGCUUUUCAACACCCGGGUGUCAGACACCCGGCUAUCAGGCCGUUCAGGCAAUACCUCUCAUUGGGAUAUGUGUCUGGUCCUGCACCACCAUUUUCAUUAGCAGGCAAGGUGAAUAGUAAAUGGAUGUGACAACAGAGAACGGCCAUAGAGCGGACGAGCUCGCCUGUGUUGAACAGCCUGUCACGUUACACAAGGUGCACCGAAGCAGGAGUAUUGAGCCGCACCAGAAGUCCCAAUAUAUUGGUAGAGAUAAGCUAGGUAGUUAGUUCAUAUCUAUCCUUUGUAACCUAUUCUAUCUCUUCUCCUUCAAGUCUCCUGUAAUAUCUCAACUUCUAACUUGUAUGUGCUUCAGGGAUUGCGCCCCUGCCUAUAACAUGCAACGCGUCCCCUCGCACCGAGGUAAAGACGUUUCCGCAUCUCGCACAUGGUAAUCAGAGCCAUCCUACUUCCCAUCUAGUUUUCUCUCGAUUCCAAUCGUGUCCAAAAAUCAUGUCUUCCUCCUCCGGCAUCUCUCACCCUAGCCUCAGUGGGCAGGUCAUUGAGAAACUCUCCCGCACGAACUACGUGCUAUGGCGCACACAGAUCACGCCACAAUUGCGUGGCGCCGAUGUCUUCAGCUAUGUUCAUGGCACCUCGCCGGAGCCGGCCAAGCUCCUCGCCGCCAAGGACAAGGACGGCAAGGAGACCUUCCAGCCCAACCCUCUCCACCCCAUCUGGGUCAGGGAGGACCAGCAGGUUCUCGGCUACCUGCUGAGCAACCUCUCCAAAGAGGUGCUCCUCAUGGUGACCACGAUCACCACGGCGCAGCCGCUCUGGACGACGCUGGCGGGCAUGUACUCGUCGCAGUCGCUUAGCCGCAUCAACAACAUCCGUACCUCGCUCAUCAAUGCGCAGAAGGGCAACCAGUCCGCCACCGCCUACUUUGCCUCCAUGCGCGGUCUCGCGGACGAGCUGGCAGCGGCCCGCAAACCCAUCCAGGAUGACGAACUCAUCUCGUACAUCCUCCACGGGAUGGAUCUGGAGUACCAGCCCCUCGUCUCCGCCCUCGACACCCGUGUUAGCCCCGCCUCCCUCGACGAAAUCUUCUCCAUGCUCAGCAACUUUGACCAGCGCAUGGCGCGGUUCCAUAGCUCGGGCGGCGGCAGAUUCAAGUCCUCCGCAAACGUCGCUACCCGUGGACGUGGCGACGGCUCUCGCUACCGCGGUCCUUCCCGUGGCAAGGGGAGGUCUGGUGGCGCCAGGACUAGCAGCGGUGGUGGGAUCAGUGGCGGUGGCAGGCGUGGCAACAAGGGUCGCCGUGGUGGCGACUCUGGUAGAACCCGCCCGGACACGCCGCGCUGUCAGAUUUGUGGCAAGCCGGGGCACACUGCCAAAGACUGUUGGUACCGCUAUGAUGAAGACGAGGACGACUCUCAAGAUGAUGGAAAGGUCGCUACGGCGGCUGAUGGCUCCUACGGUGUUGAUACCAACUGGUACCUCAACAGCAGCGCCACUAAUCAUCUCACCGGUGAGCUUGAAAAGGUGACUCUCCGUGAGAAGUACCACGGCAAGGAUGAGAUUCACACCGCCGAUGGUGCAGGUAUGAGAAUCAGUCACAUUGGUCAUUCGGUUAUACAUACCCCUCGUCGUAAAAUUCAUCUUAGGAAAAUUUUGCAUGUUCCUAGUGCCAACAAAAACCUCCUUUCCGUUCAUAGAAUUGCACUUGACAACCAUGUCUUCAUUGAAUUUCAUCCCUUUUUCUUCUUGAUCAAGGAUCAGGCCACGAGGAAAACCCUAUAUCGAGGUAGAUGUGUUCGAGGACUCUACCCGUUGCUUCCGGAGUUUAGAAGACACAAUAAACAAGCCUAUGCUGUUGUCAAGCUUUCUUCAACAUGGUGGCAUGAUCGUCUAGGAUAUGCUUCUUUUUCUUUAGUUGAACAUUUGCUUAGGAAGAAUAAGCUCAUGUUUGUUGGUGAGCGUCAUGUUGAAACUGUUUGUGAUUCAUGCCAAAGAGCAAAAAGUCAUCAAUUGCCUUAUCCUGUUUCUACUAGUGUUUCUACUCAACCUUUGUAAUUAAUCUUUUCGGAUGUCUGGGGUCCUGCUCCUUGUUCGGUUGGUAGACACACAUAUUACGUAAGCUUCAUUGAUGACUAUACCAAGUUCUCAUGGAUCUACCUUCUCAAGAAACGAUCCGAUGUUUUUCAAGUUUUUCAAAACUUCCAAGCACUCGUUGAAAGAAAUUUGACAGCAAGAUCAUUGCAGUCCAAUCUGACUGGGGGGGAUACGAAAAAUUAAAUUCCUUCUUCCAAACCCUUGGCAUACCCCAUCAUGUUUCAUGCCCUCACCCUCACCAACAAAACGGCUCUGCCGAACGCAAGCACCAACACAUAGUUGAAGUUGGUCUAGCUCUCCUAGCCGGUGCUUCCAUGCCCCUCAAGUUUCGGGACAAAGCCUUUCUUACCAUCGUCCACAUAAUCAACAUGCUUCCUAGUCGUGUCAUCAACAACGAAACUCCCAUGGAAAAACUCCUUCACAUCAAACCAGACUACAAGUCUCUCCGUGUGUUUGGUUGUGCUUGUUGGCCCAACCUUCGUCCAUACAACAAUUGAAAGCUCAUAUUUCGAUAAAAACAGUGUGUUUUUCUUGGGUAUAGUGCCCAACACAAGGGUGUCAAAUGUCUAUAUGUAUCCACUGGUCGCAUCUAUAUUUCACGUGAUGUUGUUUUUUACGAGACCAAGUUCCCAUUUGUUGACCUUCACCCCAAUGCUGGUGCACUCCUUCGCAAAGAGAUCCUACUUCUCCCUUCUCAUCUCACUAGUUUUGAUCAAGGGGGCGAUAAUUGUAAUGAUCAAGUGUUGACUGGCCCUCUUAAUACCACAUAUGAGCCUGGUGAUGAUGCAGGAGAAGGCACAGAAAAAAACAGCAGUCAAGAUGGUGAAGAAAUGCGCUCUACAGAGCCAUAUUUCAUGUGUCCAGGUGAAGGGAACAAGUCCCCUUCGGGAUCCGUGCUGCCAGGCGUGUCAGCCGCAUCAUCCUCAGGAGACCGCGCAGACGCGUCAGGGCGGCCACGCGAAUCUGCACCAGAAUCCGCGCCAGCCUCGUCAGGCGUGGUCGGGAGCGAGCCAUCGAGCGGCGACUCCGAGCCAGCCACGCGGCGCCCUGUGGCUGGGGAACACGCCUCCUCUGCUCCGCGCCAAUCACGCAUUUGAAUAUUCAAGCGUUUGAAUAUUUUUAAUAAAGUAUUGCAAAUGUUAAUCAAGCAAUUGAAACUUGUUAAGGCCUUGUUCGGUUUGGCAGGGUUUGAAGAGGUUUGAAAGGAUUGAAGGGGAUUAAAUCUCUUGCAAGUCAAAAUCCUUCUCAAACCUCGCCAAUCCCCUUCAAUCCAUGUGGCAAGGGGAUUAACCGAACAUGGCCUCAAUGUGUAUAGAAAAAAUGGUUGCCAUGUAAACAAAUAAUUAAUAAAAAAUAUACAAUGUGUAGGAAACGAAUGUUGAUGGUGUAUUUAAAAAUGUUGAUAAAUAAUUAUAAAUUUAUCAAUGUAACAAAAUAAAUUUCUCAUGUGUUCAACAUUUGUUAGUGGUCAUAAUACUUUUUGCGCGCACAAUGCACAUUUCUUUUAUAAAUCAAGAACAUUUUUUUACAUUCUUAAUAUUAUAAAAAUACAUAAUUACCUUUCUUAAAUACAUUUUUAUGGUGUCUACUUUUACUUAAUGUGCAUAUUACAUUUUUGUAUAACUGAUCAGCAUUUUUAUAUACACGUUUAACAUUUUAAAAAAUAUGAUCAAUAUUUUUCCAUAUGAACAAAGCAAAGGCAAUAAAAACCAACUAAAACCUAAAUAGAAACAAAUGAAAUAAAAAUAAAAAAUAAAAAAACACCGCAGAAAGAAUAGAAAACAGCAAAAAUCGAGAAAAAAGGAAAAAUGAAAAAAGAAAGACACAAAUAGAAAAUAAAGAAGAAGAAGAAGAAGAAGAAGAGAAAUAAAAGAAAAAACAUCUAAAAACCAAUAAAGAAACAGAAACAGAUCAAAGAAAACAAAGAAAGCUAAAAGAAAUGAAGAAAUACACAUUCACCAGUGACGCGAUCAUGAGCGGGCAUUUUUUUGUUUUGUUUUGAGAAAUGGACCUCCUAGUUGCUACACGAGAGAGUUAUUCCUUCCGGGUAAAGAAGCUACGAACUCGGGUGAAGCAAGACAUAGCUCUCGCGGGAAAAGAGAGCUCCUCGUUGGCGCGUUAAGCGAGGCGCACCUAUGUAUCGCUUGAUACGAGAUGAAACAUGCGACCGCUUAGGGGUCGCAAUACAUGGUUCGGCCCAGAUAGGUUCCAGGUUAGGUCAUCCUUUUUCAUGUGUUUCUACUUUUUUCGAAAAUAUUGUAAACAAAUAUAUACAAAAACAUAAAAAUUGUUACUAAAAAUAGGAGCUGCAAUUUGAAAAUGUUAAUGAAAUGUAUGUUAGCUUAAUUAAAAGAAAUAUUGGUAGCGUACAAAAAAUAUGACAUUUAACAAAUAUUCACGUGUUUCAAAAGUAGUAUGUGACUUUAUAACCAUGUAUUUCAAAAAUCUUAAAUUUGUAUGUAGACUCUUCUUUAUUUACACAAAAAAUGUACAAAUGUGUACGUAAAAAGUAGACAUAAAUGACAUAUAUUUGGAAAAUGACACUUCUGUAUUAGAAAAAUAUUAAAUAUGCAUCCAAAAUGUUCUUGAUGUAUAAUAAAUUGUACAAUACGUAUAAAAAUCUACAUAUAAACAAUUAUUUGAAACAAAAAAAUUAAUCAUGUAAAUUUGCCCGUCUCCGCGAGAUCAAUUUGUGGUUCCGAACAACGAGCUCGCUCAACGCAGAAGCCAUGGCGGUGGUUGAGGCGCUAGACAAGGAGGUAGUGUCAAGGUGUUUCCCUGGUAACAAGAGCAACCAUGGUGGUUCUCUAAAUAAUGGAGGAGGCAGAGUCAACAGAUCCCUCCAAGCAAUUCAAGUGGGCGGUGUUCAGGUCCCUUACCACAAUUUUCCUUGCGUCUGUGGAGGUGGUAAGGGUGUUACCGACAUCAAGAAGCAGUUCGAUGCUGAUUGUGAUUUCAGAUGAGGAGCUUGAGCUGCAGCGGGUGAAGAAGAAGGGCAUGGUGGUGAGUUUCCCACACGGCUCCGCCAGGCUCCAUGCCCUCUCCGCGCAGAGUAGGUGUCUCCCCGGAUGGUAGCUGCUUCUAGUUGGUGGCCGCGGAGGAUUGCGACUAGGCUGAUGCUGGAGAGGGUUGCCCGCCGGAUAUCUCAGGCAUAUUUCUAUCUGCUAAAUAUUUGCAUUCUGCUUCACAUAUUAGUGAUGGUAGAAAUGUUUUGGGUUGGAAUAAAAUUCAAUUGAAACUGAAAAAGAAACAACAUAAAUAAACACGUCCAGCUACAUGAUUCUAGAGUUUGUGAUUGGGAAAAUAAAGUUGAUGAAAAUUCGUCUUCUGUUUGUUAACCAUGUAUAAAAAUAUGCUUAUCAUGUGUAAAACAUUAUUUAGUGGCGCUAAUUGCUUUUGCACGCACAAUGCACAUUUUUUGUACAUCAAGUACAUUUUUUCUUAACAUUUUAUAAAUACAGAAUCAAUUGUUUAAAAAAUAUGCCGUCUACUUUUAUUUAAUGUACAUAGUAUAUUUUUGGUGCAAAUGAUCAGCAUUUUAAUAUAUACAUUUAACAUUUUUUAAACAUGUUCAAUGUUUUCCAUAAGGACGAAAAAGACAAAGAAACCACCUAAAACUGAAAAAGAAUCAAAUGAAAAAAUAAAAAUAAAAAAGAAAGAAAACCACCUCAAAAAGCAUAGAAAACAGGGAAAACCAUGAAAAAAAUGAAAACAGUGAAAACGAAAGAUACACAAAAAAUGAAAAAAAGGAUGAAUAAAUAAAAUAAAAAACAACUGAAAACCAAGAAAGAAACAAAAAAACAUGAAAGAAAACAAACAAGAAUAAUAAUAAAUCGAAUGGAGAAAAAAAUAAAAAUCGAUGGAAAAUAAAUAAACAAGGAAAACAGGCGAAGAAACAAAGAAAAAAAGAAGUAAACGGACCUUGCCAGUUGCUACGCGAGAGAUCUAUUUGUUCAGGCAAGAGAAGCUACGAACUGAAGUGAAGCGAGAUAUAGCUCUCGUCGCACACGAGAGUUCUUGGUCGGCGGAUUAAGCAAGACGGAGCGUGCAAUAGCUUUGGUGUCAGCUAUACAUGGUUCGGCCCAGAUAAGUUCCAGGUUAGUUCGUCCUUUUUAUGUGUUUCUCCUUUCUUUUGUUCUUAUUUUGAAAAAUGUUGUAAAUAAAUAUAUACCAGAACAUAAAAUUUAUUUAAAAAUAUAAAAAUGUUGAAUGUGAAUGUACUAAAUAUGUUAGCUUAAUUCAAAAAAAUAUAGGUAGCGCACAAAACAAUUGUGACAUUUAACAGAUAUUCACGCGGUUCAAAAAAAGUAUGCAACUUUAUAACCAUGUAUUUCCUAAAUGUUAAACGUCUAUAAAAAAACUCUUCUUUAGUUACGCAAAAAAUGUAGAAUUGUGUAUGAAAAAAGUAGACAUCAAUAACAUAUAUUUGAAUUAUGUUACUUUUGCAUUUAAAAAAUGUUAAACAUGCCUAAAAUAUGUUCGUGAUGCCUAAAAAAUGUUGCGAUGAGGAUGGCUGUCAUCUCGCACCCGCCGACUGCUUGAACAGCUAGCGUCGCUGAGCUUGAGGAACCCCUUGUAGGGACCAAAGCAGACAACCUUGACGUUGCUGGCCUCCGUCGGCAUAUCAACAAAGCGCGACGCUUUCACUGUCGGACCAAAUCAGAGAUGGAUUAGGUCUAAAAUAUAUAUUUCUUGGUUAAAGGAAAAACAUGUAAUAACUGAACUCGCACUUAAGAAUUAAUCAACAUGUUGAUUCCACCGAAGCAUGCAUGCCUCCUGGAUGCUGAAACACGACUCACUGACUAUAAAAGCAGAGGACUCACUGACUAAGUACAGGAGCGAGUGACCGACUCUCGGCUCGGGUGAGGAUAAAAAAGAUCACCUGCUGCUGCUGGUUAUUGGUAAAAUCCAUGUGAGUGCUUGAUAAAAAAUUAUGGAACAUUGUAUAUGUUGUUACACAUAAAUGUUGGGAUAAAAAGAAUCAUCUUGGUACACUGCCUAGUCUUUUGGUGGACAGAAGAUUGUAUGGUGCAAGAAGCUAUUCAGAUACAACAACACUGGGCUACAUGACAGGAAUGGUGUACACGCCCCAAGGGCCAGCAGGCAGCAGCAAACCAGGUCAAGAUGAGAUGGUCUGGGCCUAGGAUGUUGAUUCAGAGAUGCCUGACUCGACGCCAAGCAGCAGCCACCCUACACCGCAGGCCCCGGCAGUUCUCGACCGAGAGCGACUGCGGCACAGUUCAGUUGUAGAAGCAAUCACAUGCCAUUCCCCCAGCAGAGCAGAACAGAGCAGAGCAACAAUCAGGGAUCAGGCCUGUCAUUGAAUAGAAGCUGAAUGACCUUCAGCUUCAGCUCCGGCAGGCCUGCCUCCGCUCACGGACUAGCCUCGGUAUUUCCUUCCAUGUCUUCGGUUUCAAUGGUUUGAAUUCCGUUACUGCACAUACCAAAAACGAUGUCAGAAAAAGCUUGCACAAAUUAAUGUGUUAUAUCAAAAUAUAUAGCAUGAUGGCAUUCAAAUAAUGGAGAAGAAACUUCUGCAAACGUGUUAGACCAUUAUGUACAAGGGAUGGAACGGAUGACUGCAUCUGUUUGUUAAAUGUGGCAAAGAUAGAAGGACGUGCUGCAAGCAUACCUUCAUAGCAGGCAUCUAGUCGUUUGCGGCUGAUGCUGCCCAGUUGCUGCUGCAGGCAUCUAGGGAGCUUCUUUAUAGCAGGGCAGCCUCUAAUUUGAAGAUACACGAGAGACCUGUAUACUUGCAGCUCAUUCGGCAGGGAUGCCAGGGUACUGCAUCUGUCAAGAUAAAGGACAUCCAGCGAUGGGGGGUGCUCUCCCGACAGACACUCCAGCGAUGUCAGCCCACUGUUUCCCAUAAUCUGCGGUCCCUUGAGGGGUGCAGGUAGACGGAGAGUCCCACCCAACAUGCCAGCACAGUCCACUAUUACUAGAGAUUCGAGAUGGGGAGGAAGUAAAUGCUCUCUUGCAGUUGGUGUUGCUGCUGCUGGUGGCUGUGGCAUGAUAGGACUUCUGCUUAUGGAGGUAGUGACUUCUGGUUUCUGGAGCCCACCCAGCUGGCAUGAUAGGACUUGAAUACUACUACAGCUAGCAAUACGAAUGUACUUUAAAGACGGAGGAAGGUUCAGAACCGCUGGUAAGCUUCCACAUCCAGAUAAAAGUAGAUCUUCUAGGCAUGGACAAAAGUGAUUCAUGGGUGAGGAUGGCAACUCUGAUACAGCUGCAGCCCUGAUUGCCUCACUGCUAGAAGAUACUUGGACUAACUCUGCCAUGCCCUGCUGCUUGCUGAAUAUGGAGUCAAGCUUAAUGCACCUAUCAAAAUUCAUUUUCUUGAGAGAUGCCGGGACGUUGAACAUCUCUACUAAACUUGGGCAGUUUUCUAAGCAAAGAGACUCUAGACCUCUCAGGUGCUGACUCCUUUCGGACGCCAAUGGCUCAAGAGGAGCUUGUGCAUAUCCAAUCAGAUUUUCACAGUUUGUAAUCGCCAAGCUCCUCAAGGACACCAAGCUUUGGAACACUUUCUCUGGCCAGUGGACGAGCACAUCGCAUCUAUCAAUUUCCAACUUUUCAAGAUCUACAAAAUACUCACACGGCUCUAAUGCACCCGAUCCAAAGAACAAGUUGCAGCAUCUUAGCUCCAUAACUGUAAGAGGGGAUUUCUGGUUCCAUUUCUCCUUGCUGUCCACCAAUACAAUUGAAGUGCACUCAACCUCUGAUGUUGUUUCUGUGUUUUCUAGCUUCAGUAUCAGAUUGGUCAAUGAGGGCAAAUAUCUAUCUACAGAAUCGGAGAUCUCUUGCUUGCCAUCUUCAAUUUCUAAUACACUGAGUUUUGGUGCUUCAGGCAAUGCUACCAGUUUUGGGCAUUUCUGGACUGACAAUUUCUCAAGGUGGGGAAACAAUGUACCUUCGACUGCAUCCCAUCUCUGAAAGCUCCCCAACCAUUUCAUUUUGAGCACCUUUAAGGCAGGAAAGGCUGAACGUACCAAUCUAUAACCACCUUCACUACAUGGUUCUUGAAGCAAUGGUGCUUCAGGUAACGCUGUCAGCUUUGGACAUUUCUCAAUUGAUAGUUCCUCCAGACAAGGAAACACUAUCUGUUCUCCUUGAGUCUCUUCGACUGCAUCCCAUCUCCGAAAGCUCUCCAACUCUUUCAUUUUGAGUACCUUUAGGGCAGGAAACGCUGAGCGUACCAAUGUAUAACCACCUUCACCACAAGGUCCUUGCAGCAAUGGUGCUUCAGGUAAUGCUACCAACUUUCCACAAUUACUAAUAAACAACUUCUCAAGCACAGGAAAUAUUGUUUGUUCUUCUUGCCUCUCAUCUAUUUCCCACCAUCUUACAAAACCCAACAAACGUUCUAGCAUUAGUACCUUCAGUUUUGGAAAAGUGAAGCUUGCACUGCAUCUGAACAAAACUUGCAAUCUUUCACAAUGGAAAAGAUGGAUCUCAACCAUGUUUUGCAGCAUACCCAUGCACUCUCCUCCAUAGGAAUAUAUCUUCAGAACCUGCAACCCACCAUGUGGUUCGAAAUUGUCGAGCACCAUGCUGUCACAAACAGAAUUCCAUCUUAAUGUCAGUUCUCUGAGAUCCUUCUUGUUUCCAAGGUUUGCCACUUUUGCCUCUGCCUCUAUAACAUUCUCUAUCUGACAUAGCUCUAACUGACCACCAAGGUUUAAAUGCUGCAGCUCUGCAACAUCACUGCAAUCAGUGCCAGUAACUGCUGCUGCAAAAAAUGUAAGCGUCUGCAGCUUAGUGAGUUUUCCUAGUUCUGGUGGCAUGCUCUUCAAGUUGCGACAUCCAAGAGUGUAGAGGUGACGGAGGGAAGUCAUAUACUUCAUUUGCCUCGGAAGUCGAUCAAGAUGAUAGCAGUUGGAAAGGUCUAACGUUUGCAGGUUAUAUAGAAUACUUAUAUCUUCAGGAAGUGCUUUGAUAUCACUGUCUGAGAGAUCAAGGUACCUCAGGUGAUACAGAUACAUUGAUUUCAGAAGAAAUGAUUCUGUGCCUCUAAUACAGAGCUUUAAGGCAUGCAAAGAGCUAUAUUUUGAUAGAUGCUUCAAUGAGCUUCGCACAUGGCUAUCACAUAUCAGUGUUUGAAUGGCAGGGGAUUUUUUCUCCAGAGCAUCAUUCAAAAUACCUUCUGUUUCUUCACAUGACAAGAACAAAUGCCGAGCAGUAUCUGGAAGCCACUCGGUUUGCCUUGGUUCCAUAGUUGCAACAACUCAUUCCUCUUCCAUAACAGACAUUGCAAUAUCAUGCAUAAGAUCAUGGAUUUUACAUGUAUUUCUGGAAUAAUACUCCCAGUCUUCUUUACUCUUCUCUAUAUCCAGAAAGAAUGACCUUGAAGCAAGCUCAUCAAAAAUAAGUUGUCCAAUGGUUUCAAGACUAUCUUCCUUGUGUUCAGGGAUAAAGCCAUUUGUGAUCCAUAGUUGGAUCAGCUUUGCUACAUCAAUCUUGUAAUCCUUUGGAAAUACAGCACAAAAAGCAAAGCACUGCUUCAUGUGCGAUGACAAGUCAUUGUAGCUAAGCUUCAAUAUUGGCAAGAUUCCAGUUUCCUCAGUGCAAAUGCUGCUUCUAGAUGCUAUAGCCUUCCAUUCUUUCACGGUGGUCUUGGUACGAAGUACAGAGCCCAGUGCACUUGCAGCUAAAGGAGAGCCACGACAUCUGUUCACAAUCUGAUCAACCAUCUUGACUAGCUCAACAGGCUUUUUUUUUCCGGAACUGAAUGCUCGAGCCUCAAUAAUUUCCUUUAAGAAUAUAUCAUCCAAACGACCGAGAAUGUGGGUAUCUGCACCCAUAAUUUCAGCAACUCCUUUAUCACGAGUUGUUGUCAGCACCGCACUACCCAUGACACCAUGCUUAAGAUGGUCCUUCAGCCUUUCCCACUUAUGGACUUCUCUGUUCCAGACAUCAUCUAAUACAAGGAGAUACCUCUGCCCGGUGACCAAUUUCUGAAGUCUCUCUAGUUGUGGUUUGUUUGUAUGAUAAUUUUUCUUGGGAGAUGCUUCAACUAUACUCUUGGCUAGGGAGUUCACAUCAAAGAUAUCCGAGACACAGACCCACAGCAACAACUGGAAAUGCUUCUGAAUUCUAGGUUCAUUGUAUAUGAGCUGUGCUAAUGUGGUCUUACCAAAGCCCCCCAUUCCAACGAUGGCAACCACUGCGAGAUCAGCACUAUUAGCUUGGCGAAGUAGUCUACCAACAACUUCCACCUUAUCUUUGUCUCUGGAUCUGCUAGCAAUGUCUUGCAGGUCGGUGAUAACAGAAUCCGUCUGCCUCCACUGCUUGGACACGGGUGGCUGUGGUCGGUACUUGAACCUAAAGGCAUGCAUCUCUGCUAUGAGCACAUCAAUGGCCUUCAGGAUCCGGCAAAGCUUGCGACCCAUUUUGUAACGGAACACAAUACAGUUGUGAGUAGGGAAGAGUUUAAUUACAUCGAAGCCGAGCUUGCUGUAGUGCCCCUUCUUCCUGGCUUCACGACGGAGUGCUUCGUACUUGAAUUCGUCAAACACUUCAUUUGCCUCAUAUGCCACCGUCUUGAGCUCCUGGAGCCAGGUUUUGGCCCCAUCUCUAUGCUCCGUCGCCUGCUUCUCGGCGUCGGUCAUGACGUCGAGGAUGGCCGGAAGCUUGCGUUUGAGAAUCUUGUGCUGCUCCUCCAUUCCCUCCAUCACCUUGUACUGGUCCAGGAGGGAGUUGCCCGCCUUGUUCACCAGCAUGGACACCAGCGGCCGGAUGGCCAUGGCGGCCACCACCUCCGCCAUUGGAACGCCCACACGAUUGGCACAGCAACACGAAGCAGUGUGGAAUGGAGAAUGGAAUGGUGUGAGCAAGACGUGCUUGCUUUGCUAGUAAUGAAACUGGAAGCCAAGGUGAGUAUUGACUUUCUGGGAGCGAAGUGGAUGAGCUCGCGUUACGGGAACCAAUCACAACUAUCCAAUCCUGAACAGCUCAGCACUGGGCAUUGUUUUUGGGCUGAUGCAUAAUAGGACAAUCAGCAUACCACAUUAACAGCUGGGGGCAUCUUCAUUUCUUAAUGAGACACAACCAGAGUGCAAGACGACGCGGGCAACCAUAAUAUUGCAAGUAGAUCAUUGUAUUAGGUAUUUGUGUCAGUACAUCCAAUCCAGUUUUUCAAAAGUGACGUUUCACUGGCUGUGACCUUAGCAGAUGGUACGAAUUUCCUUAACAAAUACAAAGAGUUGCAGGAAUGCAAAUUAAAUAAUUACUUCCACUGGCUAGACGUGUGACAGCACACCUACUGCCUAACUACAGCAUAUACUUAUCUCAAGUGCCUGCCGCCCAGGGAGACCAGAAUAAUGGUGUUCUUGGAUUAGUUGAACCUUCAAUGCAUCACUACUUAUCACCGAAGCAUUAUUUUAUUGUUCUUUUUUUUUUGGAAUGGCCUCUAAGUAUGAUUGAGUACAGGAUUGAUCUCAGAGCAAACAUAAUCGGCUGGCAGAGAAUUAUGUCUUGUUCAUAUAGUCUGAUGCAAUUUUGUGGUUACACACUCCUCAGUUUUUAUAACUAAAUACAGAAUUUUAAUCUGUUGACAGAUCAGACAAACGUAGAAACAGUUAGCAAGAGCCCCAAUGAGAUUAUAUGCAGCAUCAUUUUAAUCGGAAAGCAAUUGCCCUCAUGAGAUCAGCAACCAUACACAGUGCCAAUAAAAAAAGGUGGCUCGUACUAACGACGCAGGUUUCAAAUUAAUCAAGUGGCUAAACCGAGGCAUCGACAGCCAUAUGGGACAAUGUGCACUUCAGUUAGAAAAUGAACACUUGCAGGCAGUAAAAUAAUUUAUGUCAGUACACCCACGAUAUUGCAAAUAGAGUAUUAAUUACGUAUUUGUGUCAGUACAUCCAAUGCAGUUUUUCAAAAGUGACGUCCCAUUGGCUGUGACCUUAGCAAAUGGUACGAAUUUUCGUUCUAAGUACUACAAAAAGUUGCAGGAAUGCAAAUUAAACAAUUACCUCCCAUGUCUAGACGUGUGAGAGCACACCUACUGUGCAACAACAAAAUAUAUUUCAUCUCGGGCACUUACCGCACAGGGAGGACCACAAUAUUGGUUUUCGUGAAUCUAAAAUACAUCACAUGCUUCCUGCUGAAGAGGGAAGACCCGGUGGCAAGUGGUUAAUUUCUUGUCCUUUUUUAAUGACACCUCUAACUAACAUUGAAGGGGCAUGAUUGAUCUCAGAGAUGAGCAUAAUAAGCUGGCAGAUGACCAUCCCUUGCUCAUAUGGACAAAUGAUACACUUAAUAUACUGAUAUGAUAAAAUACAACUUGACAAUCUCCUGAUAUUCGACGAUGAAAGAUAUGUAUGAGUAUGCGAUUCAAUUUGGUGGGCUUAAUAUGUUCCGUUAUUGAGAGACAGUGAAAAGCGGAAUAAAGGGCAGGGUGGAAUUCUCUAUAUCAGGUUAAGGAGAUCGUCUUAACUAACUAAAAUCAGAUGAAGCCUAACUUUGCAACCAUACGACGGAAGCAACAAAAAUAAAGACAGGGAGCCAGAACAGAACAAAGAUAAAUUCCAGUGCCCUUUUAUUGAUCACUGCCUAUGGCCAUAUAGAUGAGAUCUGGGACUCGGCCAGCUGAAACAUUCCUCUAGAAAGCACAUUUCCGCUGAUGCACAUAUGAAAUACGACAGUACAAAGCAGAAUAAACACUGAGAUUAUACAGAUGAUUGGACGCUGUAACUAAGUUGGAUAUCGCGGCGCGCAUAGGCGGAAAUGAGAGAGAAACGGAAUGUCCAAAGCCACAAAUGUACAUCGCUGUCAGGCUACCCAGCUGAAUCCUGCUUCCUGCUGACCCUCCUGAUUCACGCAGACGCAGCUAGCAUGGAGAUGGGCACGCCUCUCGAAUUCAUGUGAAUCGAAUCGCUGGAAGAGACGGACGGACAGGAUCAAUACCUUUGUGUCGACGGGGAGGGGAGGCCGGAGUGGCUGCCGUCGACGUACGGCGCGCAGCCGACGGGGGAGCUCCGGGACCUUCUUGUCGACACCAUCUGCAAUGGAAGUAAAAAAGAGCUGUUAGAAGAGGAUACGAGAGAGGCUCACGGUAGGAAGGAAUGGGGAAGGGGGAUGAGUGAGUACCUCGAGCGGCCGCGGUGGUGGUGGGCGGGCGGAUGCGGAGGGUGGGAGGGAGGCUGACACCUCCGCCGCCACAGACGUACGUGGAGCGGCCACGGGCGUUGCGUUCUGGUAGAGGCCACGGGCAGUGGGGUCCGGGAGACGUCGUGCGCCGGCGAGGAGGACGGGGAAGGGGAGACGAAGACGACGCGGAUCGGCGGAGUGUGGGCUGGGCUUGUGACGUUGGGGCCUCCGAAAACUAUAGCCCAGUUCGAAUUGGUGCCCUAACACACACAGCGCUUACGUCGGCUAAAUCCUAUUUGGCGCCUUCAGCGCCCGCUAUAGGUCUUUCGGCCGGCCCAGUUUCGACAUUUUUUCUGUGUUUCCAAAAGGCAAAAAGGGCGCUAGAGCUGGGUAUCGAAAACGCUACAACCACUCAACCACACCCCUUGGUGUGAUUGGUUACAUGUUUUCUCGUCUUUUCUUAUGCUUCUUUUCCUUUUUAUUCCUUUUUUUCUUUCUUUUUUCAAAUUCGCAAAACUGUUUCUUCAUGAAUAUUUUCUGCAAAUCGAUGAACUUUUCUCUUUGAAUUUGAUGAUUUUUUUCGAAAAAUUUGAUGAACGUUUUUUCAGAUCCGAUGAACUUUUUUUUGAAUUCCAUGAACUUUUUUCAAAUUCGAUGAACUAUUUUUCGAAUUCAAUGAACUUUUUCUGAAUUCGAUGAACUUUAUUUCGAAUUCAAUGAACUUUUGAUCGAAUUCGAUGAACUUUUUUAAAUUUGAUGAACUUUUUCAAAUUCUGAUGAACUUUUUGAAAGGACAAGAGUACAUACCGUAGCAAAACGGUUUGUUUUUUCCAAGAAAAUCAGUACACACUGUAGCAUUUUUUGAGCGAGAGAAAUAAAAAAGUGAUCGAGCGGUAGCUAGCGACCGAGCGGCGACAGCAGCGAGCGUUGCUGGGCCAGGCCCAUGCAAGCGACGCAGUGGGCGCCGUGUUCACUCGCUCCACCUCUGCAUUGAUGUCUCUAGCUUGUAGCAAUUGCCAUCCUUUACAUGUAAAGAGGAUUUGAUGAGUCAUGUCAUGCUCUAUAGGCGUCAGUUCAUCUUAUCACCUUAGAGGAAAAUACAAAGUUAGUUUUUCGAAAAGCAACCGAGCCUAGAAGAACCGUACCCUCGACACGCAAGGCUUUAGCAUAUCUUAAUAGCCGAGACACGAUUGCGACUUGGUUCCACACAAGUUUCGUCUUUCUUGUUAAUGGCUGACAGCCCAUACAAGAUUCCAAACUCGGUUGCAAAAGUGAUACUAUCCUGAUAAGUGCGUGACAUGUAAAGUGAAUAAGGUGAUUCAUCUAUAGCAAACUUUAGGAUUUCUAUACUUUGUGUAUAAUCAUAUGCACAACUAAAAAGCAACUUUGAUGAUCAAUCCAAAAGUACGCUUGUAGCUAGUGCAACCUAACACAAUGUACCAAAAAUCCAUUUCAGAAACAUCCAAACAUAAUUAUUAAAGCUGAUGGAAAGAAGGAAAGAGAUGGUGCCCGGGCUACUAUAAAUAGGCAUGAAGUAUCAAGAUCAUCACAGGCACAAUCAUCAAAACCAAGCAAUACUAGUUAACACCAAUCCACCAUGAAGACCUUCCUCAUCUUUGCUCUCCUUGCCAUUGCGGCGACAAGUGCCAUUGCACAAAUGGAGACUAGCCGCGUCCCUGGUUUGGAGAAACCAUGGCAGCAACAACCAUUACCACCACAACAACAACCACCAUGUUCACAGCAACAACAACCAUUUCCACAGCAACAACAACCAAUUAUUAUACUGCAACAAUCACCAUUUUCGCAGCAACAACAACCAGUUCUGCCGCAACAGCAACCAGUUAUUAUACUGCAACAACCACCAUUUUCGCAGCAACAACAACCAGUUCUACCACAACAACCACCAUUUUCACAACAACAACAACAACAACAACAACAACAACCACCAUUUUCGCAGCAACAACAACCAGUUCUACCACAACAACCACCAUUUUCACAACAACAACAACCACCAUUUUCGCAGCAGCAACAACCAUCUUCACAACAACCACCUUUUCCACAACAACACCAACAGUUUCCACAACAACAAAUCCCUGUUGUUCAACCAUCCGUUUUGCAGCAGCUAAACCCAUGCAAGGUGUUCCUCCAACAGCAGUGUAGCCAUGUGGCAAUGUCGCAACGUCUUGCUAGGUCACAAAUGUGGCAACAGAGUAGUUGCCAUGUGAUGCAACAACAAUGUUGCCAACAGCUGCCGCAAAUCCCCGAACAAUCCCGCUCUGAGGCAAUCCGUGCCAUCGUCUACUCCAUCAUCCUGCAAGAACAACAACAGGGUUUUGUCCAACCUCAGCAGCAACAACCCCAACAGUCGGGCCAAGGUGUCUCCCAACACCAACAGCAGUCGCAGCAGCAGCAGCAACUCGGACAGUGUUCUUUCCAACAACCUCAACAACUACAACAAUUGGGUCAGCAGCCUCAACAACAACAGAUACCACAGGGUAUAUUCUUGCAGCCACACCAGAUAUCUCAACUUGAGGUGAUGACUUCCAUUGCACUCCGUACCUUGCCAACGAUGUGCGGUGUCAACGUGCCGUUGUACAGCUCGACCACUAUUAUGCCAUUCAGCAUUGGCACUGGAGUUGGUGGCUACUGAUAAGAAAAGAUUUCUAGUAAUAUAUAGUCGUUAGAUCACCGUUGUUUAGUCGAUGGAUAUGUCGAUGUAGCGGUGACAAAUAAAGUGUCACACAAACGUCAUGUGUGACCCGCAAACUAGUAGUUAAAUUCUGGAAUAAAAUACAAAUAAAGUUUUCUCUAGACAAUGUUCAUACCGGCGUUCUGUGGACGUCGAUGUGACUACCAUGCUUGCAAGUUCAUAAGUUCGUCUUGUCUGGUCACAAACCUGGUGCGUUAAUUUAUUAUUCAUGUAUAGAAAUAAUCAAAAUUUAAAUAUAAUAGUGUUAUUGUAAAAUUUUGGUUGAGUUGAAGCAAGGACUAACAUACAACUCUUUAAUGGUUGGAGAUUCAAGAUCUUAUUUUUAUUGGUUUGUAUCUGGUUCCAACUACCACCAUGGUCUACAGUGACAACCACAACUGGUUUGAUCGUUAACUCUCUUUGCUUGGUUUUUUUGCAAAUAUGUUCAUUGAUUCUUUGCACAAUUUUUUUGUCAAGAAAAAGGUCAGCUUUUGCUUGAACUUCACACACACACACCACUACAUAGUUAAUUCGAAAUAAGUUGCUGGUGAUGUCCUAGACCAGCUAGCACAGUCAGUGUGUGUGGGGAGGGGGAGUUGUUGCAUGCGUAUUCUUCGCGCAUUAUUUUAUUUUGUUCUUUUGAUGCUCUUACACCAUACCACAUUUUUACUUGAUGGAAAGCAAAAUAAACAACGCAGCUAGAAACCAUAGAACUUGAUACUGGGUGUGUGUCAACUUCACAUCCUCCUCCUUACGUCAUUUCAAUUGGAAAGCAAUAGCCCUCAUGAGAUCAGAUAUCCAUACAUAAUGCCAAAAUAAACAAGGUGAUGGCAUUAACGAUGCAAGUUUUAAAUUAGUCAAAUGGCUAAACUGAGGCACCGGCAGCCAUAUGAGACAUCCACGAGCAUGUAAUCCAUCUUAUUGCAAGUAGAGCACUGUAUUAUGUAUUUAUGUCAGAACAUCCAGUGCAGUUUUUCAAAAUGACGUUCCAUUGGCUGCAACUAGCAAAUGAUACGAAUUUUCUUUCCAAAUACUACAAAAAGUUGCAGGAUUGCAAAUUAAACAAUUACCUCGACUGACUAGACGUGAAACAACACACCUGCUGUGCAGCAACAACAGAUAAUUCAUCUCAAGCACCUACCCAGCAGGGAUUAGUUCUCGUGAAUUCAUGGAAUUUAGAAUGCAUCACAUGCUUACUGCUGAAGAGACAAGACCCAGAAGCAAGUGGUCACUUUCUUGUCCUCUUUAAAUGACACCUGUAAUUAAGAUUGAGUACAUCAUCGAACUCAGAAGUGACCAUAAUCUGCUGGUAGACCAUUAUUUCUUGUUCAUAUGAACAUACAUAAUACUUAAUAUACUGACAUGAUACAAGGCAACUUGACAAUCUCCUGUUAUUCGAAGAUGAAAGAUAUAUAUGAGUAUGCGAUUCAAUUUGGUGAGCUUAAUAUGUGCCGUUAUUGUGAAACAGUGAAAGACUGAAUAAAGGGACAUAUGGAAUUCUUUUUAUCAUAAUAACGAGUUUCUAAACACAGAACGAAAGCAACAAAAAAUAAAGACAGAGCGCUAAAAUUUCAGAGAAGUUUUUGAAGAUAUAAAAUGCAGUGCCCUUUUAUUGAUCACUGCCUAUAGCCAUAUAAAUAAGGUCUGGGACUCGGUUCGCUGCAACAAGCCUCUAGAAAGCACAUUUCCUCUGAUGCACAUAUGAAAUUUGAGAGUAAAACAUAAAAACGCCGAGAUAUACGGAUGAUUUAAUGAUGUAACUAACUUGGAUAUCCUUCUAGUGACCACGGAAUGGACAAAUUUUCUUCCGAGACGUCGAAAAGGGAUGGAACCUCCACACCCACUGCUUCUCCUUCACCUGCAUAGCGUGCGUAGGCGGAAAUUUGAUGAGUAUUUGAAGUGACAUCCACAUAGAGCAGGAGUUAUUCGGCUAGCAAAGUGCAAAUGUACAUCACUCUCAGGCUACAAGACUGAAUUCUGCUCGAUGAUCUUCCUGAUUCAUGCAGCGGAUAUGCAAAUGGGCGUGCCCCUUAAAUUCAUGUGAAUCAAAUUGCAGAAGAGACGGACAAACAGGGUUAAUAUAUACCUUAUUUCUUGUGUUGACGGGAUGGCUGGAGUGGCUGUCGUCGAUGUACGGCCCGCACUCGACGAAGAGCUUGAAGACCCUCUUGCGAAGACCAUCUGCGAGAGGAAGCAAGAGUUGAGGUCAGAAGAGGGUACAGUAGAGGUUGAGGGUGGGAAGGAAGGCAUCAACACUAGUAGAAAAAGGGCCUAAUGUGAAGCACAUUAGUCCCGGUUUGUAACAAAACCGGCACUAAUGUGUCCAUUAGUGCCGGUUCCAACGGCUAGGCGGGUGGAGCUAAAUUAGACUGAAUUGAACUUGUUCUUUAUAACUAGCUUGGGACAGAAAAAUUACUAUGAAAUGCACUUGAUUAUACUUGAUUUUAUGGGCUACAAAAAAUAUCAUCCAAAAAUGCUCUAAAAAACACGUUCUAAAGUAGGUUUGGCAGGAGAUGCGGCACAUUAUCAUUCAGAAAUUAGACCAAGAUAAAUGUGGAGUUGGCGGCUCAACACUCUAUAAGACUGUAACAGGUUGUCCCAGUGUCUCAGUCCUUUAGGACAUAGAUCCAGAAAAUGUAGAACUAACAUAUUAGCGGUUAGGAUCAUAUUUGCAAUGUGGGAACUUGGUGCGCUCGCUCCAACAUGCCUAGUGGAAGCAUGUGUCCUCUGAUGCACAUAUGAAAUAUGACUGGUACAAAACAUAAGAAACACUGAGAUUAUACGGAUGAUUGGAUGCUGUGGCUAACUUGUGCGUCGCUCCAGUCAACUGAGUGGACGAACUCGCUAAGAGCUUUCUUCUCGGAGAUCAAAGGGGACGGAACUUCCUAAGAGCUUUUGAUUCAACCUCCAUGCUAACUAACUACUUCUCCACCUGUUUAGUGGGCGUAGGAGAAAAUUUGAUGAGUAUUUGAAGUGACGUCCACAUAGAGCACAUAGCUAUAUUCAGUUAGAAAAGCCACAAAUGUACAUCACAUCCAGAUUAAUGGAGGUGGAAUGUGAAUGUGUGUGCCCUUAAAUUCAGGUGAAUCAAAUCGCAGAAGAGCCAGACGAAUAGGAUAGAUACCUUGAGUGGACGUGGAGGACGGAGUGUCUGCAGACAAUGUAUGGCCCACACCUGAAGGAGACCUUCUUGCCGAAAGCAUCUGCAAGAGGAAGUAAGAACAUGGUUGUUGACAUCAGAUUUUGGCAUGGUACAAAAAGCAAUUAAGAUUGCCCCAAAUGGAGAAGUGAUUUACAUGAAAAAGUUCCAUUUUGUCGACCUGAACAUCUUUGAAGUUUGUGCCAUCGCCAUCUAAUCUCAUCUCGAAGGCCAAAGUUAUGUUCGAAAUACUGAGAUUUUGUAUCCAGAGCACUGUUCGGCCGAUUAUGCCUCAAGGGAUGGUCACUUUCUACAUGAAUUGUCUUCGUCUCAUCAAAACGGUCGAUUUUGAUAAAAAUUCAUGUCAAUCCGAGGUUGUAUGUAAAAGUUAGAGCCACCCGAGUGCGGUCAUGAGCCAAAAGUGGCGAGUAAUAGUCUAUUUUGCACGAGCAAUUCGUCCCUGAAGUUGGCAUCUAUUCGAAACAUGUUUAACAUGAAUGUUGUUCGUCUCGGUGAAACGGUUAAAUUUGGUUCUUACACGAUUUUGAUCUGAGGUCAUUUACUACCCAAAAAAUGACCCGCAAGGUGAAGCCAAUUUUUAGAUCGAAUAGUUUUGGGAAGUUCGGAUCGAACAAUCCGAAUAGGAAUCAAAUUAGGGUUUUGGACAUGAAUUCUAACCUUUCCUUGCACGGGAAGUCCAUCCACCUCUUAUAUACAUGAGGGGUGACGGCCGAUUGAGAAACAACACACAAUCGCAAAACCCAUCUACAAACUUUCAUCUCCUAUCCUACUUUUCUGCUUCUCGUUCAUCAGUGUUCUUUGCUUCGGAGAGCUCUGAUCUAUGAAGUCCUAGGGGUGGGCGAACCAACCUAGGGCAGCCCAGCACUGUCGUGCGGCCAGACAGGGUCUCUUCCGACCGCGUGGGGUUUCGGGUCUUCAAAAGCGCUCGCCGGAUUGUAUUGCGUACCACUCUUCCGGUGAGCCUCCUUCGGCGAUGUGUCUUGCGUAUCGCGCUCGACGCCGAGGGUACACGGUGACGUGUUUGUGUGUGAACACACUUUUUGGCGACUCCGCUGGGGACCAAAGAGCAAUCAUCAUCAUCCAUCAUGGUCAAUCUUCCCAAGCCAUCUGAAGUGGAUGCCGAUAACAUCAACAAGCCCAAUUUUGAGGAAUUAUCGGCAGAACAUCGCCAAGCUUGUGAGUAGUACAAGAAGGCACGUGAAGGGAAGGAGAUGCAGGAGUUCCUUGCUAAGUUCAAAAAGGAUCGCCAAGGCAACAUCACUUCAAUUGAAGAAAUCAAGUUUCCUCCUCUUCACAAUGAGUAGGUAGAGUCGGCUGAAAUCACUACUCUUAUUGCUCAGAAUAAUGAUCGAAAAAAUACUCCUCAAUCAUCUAAUGGUAGAAAAUAAUACUGAUCGAAAAAAUACUCCUCAAUCAUCUAAUGGUAGUGGUAGUAUGUCUGCUGGUGUGGAAAACUUUAGUCCAAAUUUACCUAUUCCAGCGGUGCUGCCCAUGCCAUUGAAUUCUUAUCCCAGUCAGACAAACCAACUUGUUGCUCCACCAUUUAAUCCAGCCAGGAAUAUGCCAAGUUCAGUGAAUCCAACUGCAUUGCUAGGUUAUGGUUCGGCAAGUCCAAGUGGAUUGCUGCCGAACUAUGGUAUAACAUACACACCACCAUCUCUUCCGACUAGCACUAUACCAACUAGUAGAAAUCAUAUUCACCAUGCGCCACAACCACACGCAACGCCGCUCAAUACGAGUGAUAUUUUGGCUAAUGUCAGAGAGGAGAUGUCGAGGGUGUUCCGAGAGCAUUGCGGGAUUGAACUACCUCAACCACGAAUUUCUAGGAAACCAUAGCUAGAAAUUUUUGAUGUCGUGCCAUGUCCUCCCGGAUAUAAAGUUCCAGAUUUUGUUAAAUUUAGCGUAGAGGGAAGAAAGACUACAUGGGAGCAUGUUAGUCGGUACUUGGCACAAUUAGGUGAGGCAAGUUCACGAGACGAGUGGAAAGUACGUUAUUUUCCUUUAUCUUUAACCGGUACUGCUUUCCCGUGGUUUUCUGCAUUACCACCCGGUUCUAUUACUGCAUGGUUUCACUUGGAGCAAAAGUUUCAUGACCACUUCCAGAGUGGUGACAAUGAGCUUAAACUAUCCCAUCUUACAUCGGUUAAGCAAAAGCAUGAUGAAUCAGUCUUCGAUUAUGUCAAAAGAUUUAGAGAUACAAAAAACCGGUGCUAUAGUUUGGUGAUAACCGAGAGAGAUGUGGCUGAUCUCGUGCUUAGUAGUUUGAGAACUCACAUUAGAGAGAAGCUGGAAGGCUAUGAGUUUUCAAGUAUCAACCAUGUCUUAGAAAAGGGCUUUGGCUCAAGAAAGCCAAAGCAAAGAGUUUAAAGAGGUGCAUAGGUAUAACACUGAUCAUCCUAAGAUAAAUAUGAUUGAGUAUGAUGGUGAGCACUCGGAUGAUGAGGGUGAUAUUUAUGAUACUGAAUUUGUUUGGCCAUCUAAGGCCAAACCAUUUACUUGCAAUGAUAUAAAGCCAAUUUCAUAAGAAUCGUGAUGAAGAGAUGAAAAUUACUUUCAACAUUACUAAGUGUGAUAGAAUAUUUGAUGCUUUGUUGCAAGCGAACAUUAUUAGAAUAUCUCAUACUUUACCGCCGUUUCAAGAGCUGAAACGGCGUGCUUAUUGCAAGUAUCAUAAUUCUUUUUCUCAUGCCACUAACGAUUGUAAUGUUUUUCAACGACAAAUACAGCCGGCCAUUAAUAACGGACGAUUGAAAUUUUCUCAGAUUCCACUUGAUAAGCAGCCCUUUCCAAUGAACACCAUGGAUUUGGAGGGAAAAAGAUGUUAAUUCGGCCCGAUAUAGCCGAAUCAGCUAAUAAAAAUAAGAUUGUCAUUGGUGAGCCUCAGAAAAGCAAGGAAGACGACAAGGCCUUGGGGAGACAAGUUGUGCUUGACAAGCGACCCGGUGGCAAGGAGAUCAUUAAGAUCACCAUCAAGAANNNNNNNNNNNNNNNNNNNNNNNNNNNNNNNNNNNNNNNNNNNNNNNNNNNNNNNNNNNNNNNNNNNNNNNNNNNNNNNNNNNNNNNNNNNNNNNNNNNNNNNNNNNNNNNNNNNNNNNNNNNNNNNNNNNNNNNNNNNNNNNNNNNNNNNNNNNNNNNNNNNNNNNNNNNNNNNNNNNNNNNNNNNNNNNNNNNNNNNNNNNNNNNNNNNNNNNNNNNNNNNNNNNNNNNNNNNNNNNNNNNNNNNNNNNNNNNNNNNNNNNAAAUUUGUUAAACCAAAGAAUCCAGAGGUUGGCAAGUGGAAGACGAAUGAAGCUAAAGUACAACGCAAGAGAAUCAAGCCAACUUUUGUUAUGUUGCUAUGCAAAUGUGCCAAUCAAGCGGCCAAUUCUAGCUCUAACCGGUCAUCAAAUUUAAAGCUCUCCAGGUCACCUCCUCGACAAGAAUUUCAUCAUCAUGCAAGGCCAUAUGGGUCUUGGGCACCUUGACCAUCGAUGGCACCACCCCCCCUAUGUGUCAUACUACAUGGGAAACUUUAAUGGAGGAUGGGGGCAACCUCCAAUGACCCCUUAUGCUUUUCAUCCGGGUUGGGUAGAACCAAGGAGGCCCGUUUGUGAGAGGCUUUCUUACCCUAUACAUGGCCGUUUGAACAAUGGUGUCAAUCGGCCAAUGCAGGAUAAUCAAAAAAGGUUCAGCAAUCAAGUGUGGCGAGCUAAAUCACCAAGUGCUGAAAUUUCAGAGGCUAGCAACCAAAAGGAGAAGAGUACUAGUGCUGAAACUAUUAUUGUAGGCACUAAAGAAUUAACAAUCAAAUAGCCGAUUAUUGUUGAUAAUGCAGCUAUUUCUAACAAGGAUGUGGCUGCUGUCCAACAAGGUCCCGUGGCUAAUGAUCAUGAAGCUAGCACAAGCAAGGCCAAGCUGAGGGAUCCAAAAUAUACUUAGCCUAAGUGGUGUCCCUCCGGUCUGACCAAGGCACAAAAAAGUAGGUUGCAGCACAUGAGAAGCCACGAGAAGGAGGGAUAAGAAGCGGAGAGGCAAAGGGAUAAACUGUUCAAUGAAACCCGUCCCAUGAUGUCCGCAAAACAAGUGUGGAGGCCUAAGCAAAAGGAAAACAUAGUAGCUUCUGCAUUGGUAAUAACAGCACCUACACCACCAAUGGAGGACGAUGCGACUGCUAUUACAUCGUCCACUUCACCUAUUACUUCCUCUUCACUAGGAGAUAUUUCGGAGUCGAUGGACAUGCUUCAGGAUGGAGAUGGUAUUUUGGAUUAUGAGUCUACACCGGUUCAUGAAGGUAUUGAUAUUAAUAUGGUGCACUACUUACCCGCUGAAUUCCGUGCUAUAUAUGAAGAAGGGCAAGUACCUCAGUUGGAUUUUGGUCCUAAAAAUGCUAUAAUCGAGAAGCCAAAAGAAUGGGUGACGCACCUGAAGCCAUUGUUCCUUAAAGGUCAUAUUAAUGGAUCGCCGAUUGCUAGAAUGCUUGUUGAUGGUGGUCCUGUGGUGAAUCUUAUCCCAUAUUCAGUCUUAUAAAAAAUGAGGCUGCGUGAUGAAGAGUUGAUAAAGACCAACAUGGUGCUCAACGGAUUUGAAGGUAAAGAGAAAAUUGAAGCCAAAGGUGUGAUGUAUGUGGAGCUUACGGUGGGAAGCAAAACUUUGGCUACCGCAUUCUUUGUCGCCGAGGUGCAAGGUAACUCCAAUGUGAUAUUAAGCCAUGAUUGGGUUCAUGCAAACCAAUGUGUGCUAUCUACUAUGCACCAGUUUUUGAAUCAAUGAGUUGAUGAUGAAGUGGAAGUCAUUCAUGCGGAUAAUUCGAUCGGCUUGUGUUGCUUUGGCCGAUGAAUCGGUGGAUUGGCAACAUCCCAAUGCUACUUGCUUGACGGGGCGCGACUUAUCAGAAUUUGAUUUUCUUAGCGCUACAAAAUUGGUUUCGUGCCCCUUUCUAUAAAGCCGGUUGGCGAUAAUCGGCUCCAAGGUAUGAUGUAUUUAAAUGGAUCCUAUCUCAGAGUGGUUUCAAAAGCGUCUUGUAGAAUAUCGGUCCAAUGAGAAUGAUAUGUAUGAGUCCAUAGAAGAGUUAGAUGAUAUGGAUAAAUUAGGACAAGGUUUUACAUCGGCGAUCCAUUAGAAGAGAUAGAUAUAGCAGAUGGUUCAUUUCUUAGGCCGACAUUUGUAAAUAAAAAUUUAAGAGUCGAUCAUAAACUUAAGUUGAUCGAGCUGUUAAAAGAAUAUAUUUGUUGCUUGGCAUGGGAAUAUCAUGAGAUGCCCGGUUUAAGCCGAGAGCUAGUGGAGCAUCGAUUACCUAUAAAGGCUGGUUUUUGACCGUAUAAGCAAUCGACCAGAAAGUUUAAUCCAAAAACAUAUGACCGGAUCAAGGAAGAGAUCGGUCGUUUGCUGAAAGCUAAUUUUAUUAGACCUUGCAAGUAUGCCGAGUGGAUUUCUAACAUUGUACCAGUGAAGAAGAAAGGCUCGGGCAAGUUGAGGGUGUGUAUUGAUUUUAGAGAUUUGAAUAGAGCUACACCCAAAGAUGAGUAUCCCAUGCCCAUAGCCGAUAUGCUUAUUAAUGAUGCCUCUGGACAUAAGGUCAUUAGCUUUCUUGAUGGUAAUGUGGGGUAUAAUCAAAUUUUUAUGGCCGACGAUGAUAUGACCAAAUUAGCUUUUCGAUGUCCCAGUUUCCUUGGUUUAUUUGAGUGGACAGUGAUGACCUUUGGUUUAGAGAAUGCCGACACCACGUAUCAAAGGGCUAUGAAUUUAAGUUUUCAUGAUUUACUUGGUGUUAUACUUGAAGUCUAUAUUGAUGAUAUUGUUGUCAAAUCGGAUGCUUUUGAAUCUCAUCUAGCUGAUUUGUGCUUAGAUUUUGAGAGAAUGAAAAAAUAUUGACUAAAGAUGAAUCCUUUGAAAUGUGCUUUUGGUGUAUCGGCUGGUAAGUUUUUGGGUUUCAUUAUUCAUCAACAUGGCAUAGAAAUUGACCCAAAAAGAUAGAGGCUAUACAAAAGGUGUGGGCUCGAACAUGCAAGAGAGAUAUGCAAAAAUUCCUUGGCAAAGUCAAUUAUUUGAGGAGAUACAUAGCCAAAUUGUCAGGGAAGGUUGAUACAUAGCCAAUUAUUUGUGCACUUCUCUAGUGUUGAAAGCCCCCAAGCAUAGAGAGCCCUUUAGGCUUUAUAUUGCGGAGGAGAAAGCCCCCAGGCAUAGAAAGUCCCCUCAAGAGACCGAAGGAAAGGAGCAUGCUAUUCUUAUUUGAGUCGACGCUUAUUGGAUGUCGAGAUAAGGUAUACAUUGAGAAAUUAUGCUUAUGCUUAUAUUAUGCUUGCACAAAAUUGAGACAUUACCUAGUGCCUAGUACAUGCAUUAUAGCUUUUCAAACUGAUGUCAUCAAAUACAUGUUGCAUAGGCCAAUUCUUAGUGGUAGAAUUGGCAAGUGAGCUUAUGCUUUAAUUGAAUAUGAUUUGGUUUAUGAAUCUCUGAAAUUCAUGAAUGGGCAAAUCGUUGUUAAUUUUGUUGUUGAGCAUCGGAUUGAUGACAAGCAUGAUAUUGAUCUUAAACUUGUCUAUUAGUACCAUGGAGAUUAUAUUUUGAUGGUUCCGUUUGUAGCAAUGGACAAGGUGUUGGUAUUGUUUAUAUAUCUCCUCAUGGAGCUAUUUUUCAAGCCUCAUGCCGCUUAGAGUAUUUUUGUACAAAUAAUUAGGCCGAAUAUGAAGCAUUUUUACUCGGUUUAGAGAUGUUGCUUGCCAUAGGCGCUACACAUAUUGAGGCUUUUGGUGAUUCGUUAUUAGUAGUGCAACAAAUAUCCAGAGUAUUUCAAUGUUUUCAUGAAUCACUUAAUGUUUAUCUUGAUAAAUGUCUAGAUAUAAUUUCUACUUUGGAUUAUUUUAGCAUUCCUCAUAUAUCUAGACAUGACAAUUGGAGAGCAAAUCAGUUGGCACAACAAGCAUCUGGCUAUCAUGUUAAUCAUGACAUGUUUCAUAUUUACCAAAGGCCGAUGUCUAUUCUUGCCAACGUAGGGGAGGCUGAACCGGAGCCCACCGUUUCGGUCACAAAUGAAAAUUUUAAUGUAGAAAAUCUGGACUAGAGGAAAGCCAUUAUUGAUUAUUUGCGUGAUUCUAAUAAAAUUUUGGAUGAGGACCAAGCAAGAGUUGCUAUGAGAGAGGUUCAUGAAGGAAUUUGUGGGACUCAUCAGUCGGCUCCCACUAUGAAAUGGUUAUUGCGACAGGCUGGGUUUGAUUGACCAACGAUGAUUAAUGAUUGCUUCAGGUAUUAUAAAGGAUGUGCAGCUUGUAAAAUGUCUGGUGAUAUUCAGCUAGCUUCUGCUGCUAUGUUACAUCCUAUUAUUAAGCCGCGGCCUUUUAGAGGUUGGGGAUUAUACUUUAUUGGAGAGAUUCAUCCUUCUUCUUCAAAGGGGCAUCAGUUUGUGUUGGUGGCAACUGAUUAUUUCACUAAAUGGUCUGAAGCAAUACCGCUAACAAAUAUGACGCAUACGGAGGUAAUUCAAUUCAUAACUUAGCACAAUAUUCAUAGAUUUGACAUUCCUCAAAUGUUAACUACGGACCAAGGUUCAUCUUUUAUGUCAGAUCAAGUUAGAGAAUUUCCCGAAUCAUAUAAGAUAAAGUUGCUCAAUUCAUCUCCGUAUUAUGCCCAAGCCAAUGGACAAGCUGAGUCUAGCAAUAAAAUAUUAACCAACCUCAUCAAGAAGAAGAUUGAGGAUAAUUCAAGGAGAUGGCAUGAGCUAUUGUCCGAAGCUUUGUGGGCACACAUAAUCUCAAGGUAUGGUGCUACAAAGGUAACUCCAUAUGAGCUCAUAUAUGGUAAAGAGGCCGUUUUACCAGUGGAAGUGAAUUUGAAUGCUUUGAGAAUAGCAAAACAAAAUGAUUUAUCGGCGGUGGACUUUUAUAACUUGAUAAUGGAAAAUAUUGAUGAAGUCGCUGAUAAAUGUUUUGUUGCUUUGAAGGCCAUAGAGAGAGAUAAUUUGAGGGUGGCAAGAGCUUACAAUAAGAAGGUCAAGUUGAAGAAUUUUCAAGUUGGCGAUCUCGUGUGGAAGGUGAUUCUACCAAUUGGUUCGAAAGACAUAAAAUUCGGGAAGUGGUCUCCAAGUUGGGUAGGUCCUUUUAAGAUUACAAGGGUAGUUCCCAGAAACUUAUAUUUAGUGGAAUCCGUACAAAGGACAUUGUUACCUCGAGCUGUCAAUGGCAAAUAUUUGAAGAAGUACCACCCAAGUGUGUGGCAAGAAGCCUAGAUAAUCAAUGGCCGAUAUACGACUAUGGCCCUUAGCAUAAACAUGGCCGAUAUAUAAUUAUCGCACCGAGAAGUAUAAAUGACACAUGGAGUGUUGACAUCGUCCUUAGAAUAAACGCGAUGCAAAUUAUUUUCCGGCAUUCAAGCUCUGCCCAAAACAGAGGAUAAGGGUUGACACCAGAUUUUAGCAUGGUAGGAAAUGCAAUUAAGAUGGUCCCAAAUGGAGAAGUGGUUUACAUUAAAAAAAAGUUCCGUAUUGUCGACACAAACAUCUUCGAUGUUUGGGCCAUCGCCAUCCGAUCUCAUCUCGAAGGCCGAAGUUGUGUUCGAAAUACUGAGAUUUUGUAUCCCGAGCACUGUUCGGCCGAUUACGCCUCAAGGACGGCCUCAAAUGAGAAAACUUUCGACAUGAAUUGACUUCGCUUGGUCGAAACAGUCAAUUUUGAUAUAAAAAUCGUCUCAAUCCAAGGUCGUAUGUAAAAGUUAGUGUCUCCUGAGUCCGGCCCUGUCACGAGCCAAAAGCUACGCGAGUAAUAGUCUAUUUUGCGCGAGCGAUUUGGCACUGAAGAUUAUAUCGAAUCGAAAACUGUUCAACAUGAAAGUUGUUCGUCUCGUCGAAACAGUUAAAUUUGCUUCUUCCGCGAUUUUGAUCCGAGGUCGUUUACUACCCCAAAAAUGACCCGCAAGGUGCAGCCAAUUUUUAGACUGAACAGUUUUGGAAAGUUUGGAUCAUACGAUCCUAAUUGGACUCAAAUUAGGGUUUUGGACAUGAAUUCUAACUUUUCCUUGCACGGGAAGUCCAGCCCCCUCUUAUUUACAUGAGGGGUGAUGACUGCCCCUCCUAGAAAAAACCAGACUGGGAGGACAUUUUUUUCCUGUCCGAAAGCCGUUUCCGCCUCUUGGAAGAAGAAGAAGAAAAAAGAGAAAACACGUUUUUUUUCGUUUCCGAGAGCCUCUCGCGGAAACAAAACAAUGCCGCUCAUGGAAGAAAAACAAAAAAAUGCAUUUUUUCACGAAAGCAAAACCGUGCCUCUCGUGAAAGAAAGAAAAGAGAAAACACAUUUCUUGUCCUUUUCGUGAGGCACGGCAGUGCCUCUCGCGGAAGCAAGACCAUGCCUCUCGCGGAAGCAAAACCGUGCCUCCCGCGGAAGAAAAAUACAGGGAAAACACGAUUUUUUUUCGUUUAUGAGAGGCACGACUGUCUCGCGGAAGCAAAGCCAUGCCUCCCGCCGAAGGAAAACCGUGCCUCUGGUGAAAAGGGAAAAAAAGAAAACGUGUUUUGUCACAGGAAAAAAAUUAAAAAAAAUUGGUCCAAAACCUAGGGAAGACCGGUGAACAACCAAAAAGCCGGAAAAUUAAAAAAAAAAACAUCUAAAAUACCAGAUGGAGGUUGAGAGUGCACCAAGUGACGCGCUCUCGGCCCAUCCACAAAUGACCCUUGGGAAGGGUGGGAACGAGCGCUCUUUAGUAUUAUUUUUUGAGGCAAACCGUUCUUUAAUUAGUUGCUCCGGGGAAGGGGAAUGGAAGACGCAGAUCGGCAACGUGUGGGCUGGGCUUGUGACGUUGGGGUCUCAGAAAAUAUAGCCCAGUUCGAAUUUAGUGGUCUCAGCAAGUAAAACCAGCGCUUAUGUUGGGCCUAAUCACUCACUCCAGGCUGUGGGCCUCGCUAGCAGCCCCAUCUUACCAUUCCCCUCGUUCUCUCUCUCUCUCGCAAAAAAAAACCAUCAUUUCCGUCAAAAAGAAAAGACAUCUACCCGUCUCGCCGCCAAGAGAUCCAGGAACCCCGGGGUCGUUCCAUUGUUUUGCAUAGCGUGUAGAUUAGGUUUUCUCUGUUAGUUUUAUGUGUUCUUAGUGGCGAUGGCUUGACGGUGAAGGCGAGAGUGAUGAUGGUCUCUCGGCUCCAUUCCUGUUCUGAUUAUGCGUUCCCGGCUAAGAAGGCCAUCAAACAUAACAUAAAUGGGGUGCUUUCUUUUCUUCUUACCGAUCUCCUCCUAGUUUACCGGCUCAAGGUGUAUCGGCUCUACAAACAUCUUGUAUCCACCUCACGUCCUGGGAAAUUACUGUCGGUAACUUUCAUCGUAUUGCGAUAACAAUAUUUUCUUUCAAGAACCCGCCUUCCUUGAAUUUCGUACAAAGUUAAUUGUCAAUGUCAUAACUAAUUGCAAGACCAGGUACAGCUCUUCUCUACAGGAAGUUACAGUUUCUAAAUUGCAUGACCCUGUAUCACUUUAUGAAGCAAGCACAUCACCUUCAGCUCCUCAUUUGCAAACUUAGGACCCAUUUGGACCACAUAAAUUUUACAAUAUGUUUGCUGCAUUUCACAAGAAACCAUCGAUUUUGUGAAGAAAGAAUUACAUUGUUUCAUCGCCGUUACAACACAACAUUAAUCAGAUCACCUUAAUACCUCCCACUGCGUUUUUUUUUGGAAAAAUACACAACAUACUGAUUGACCUUAAAGAAUGAAGGAGGCCAUAAGGUCUUGUACAAUGCUAGGUGUUUAGAAAGAUAAACCGGAUUUUACUGAUACACCGGUGCCUAUUUCUACCGGAGAGACGUCUAAUUAAGCGUAUACCCUGUACAAAUAAGUAUCAGUGCUUAAGGAAAGCCUGGUUUAUUUCUCGAAGCACCUCUCCUAAGCACCUUGCAGUGUACAAGGCCGAGAAGAAAGCUCUGACUUCCUAUUGUUGCUGCAUCAGCAGGAAAAGUAGUCUUCAUUUCAAAAAGAAGCUGAAAGUGCUAGAGUGAAAAAUAUCAUAUGUACAGAAGCUGGAUAUAUAUUACCAGCAAGGUGGAGAAGUGGGGAAAAAAAUGCUCAAAUGUGGUUAUCAAUCUUUUGAAAUGCAAGCAAGUAAGCGGAUGGGUGUUUGAGCUAUCUUUGUGUGAUCAGAACAAAUCCAUGUCCAUUAAUUAGUCUUAAUAUCAUCUUCACAGUACCAGGGACUCCCGGAUACUAAGAGUGCUUAAUAAUCUUAUAAUUAGGUGGAGACAUUUUCAUUACCUGCAUACAAAUGCGUACGAAUGAUGAUAUUUUAUAUUUUUUUCUUUGCAACUUCGGAGUGCCCACAAAGUGAAAUAGAAGGUGUAAACAUAACUUCUUUCAACCUCCAGUAAAAGUAACAAUUCUCUCUCCAUGUACCACUCUAUACCAACUUCUUCAAUACCUGUUGACUCUCAUGUUUUUGUUUUCCUUCAAUAUUUCAGACGUUCUAAAGCUCGGUCGAAAUCACUCGAGCUGGUCAACCCUGCCCCCGUGUCGCCCGCAACAGACGAUACGGGGAAAACUUUCGUCGCCGCCGGUAGCCUUCCUCCGCCAGUGCCCCUCCCCCCCCCCCCACAUCGCUGCCGCAGGAGGGUCGGCCAGCGAAGUCGCGCCGCGCUCGGGGAUGGCGGCGGCGGGGCGGUUUCGUACCCUCCCCCCCGAUGCGCUGCCCCAACAACCCCUUCGCCGCCAUCACCUCCCCGCGCCGCUGCUGCCGCGUCGCGCCUGAGGGUGGGGGCGGCAGGGCAGCUUCAUUCCCUUCAUGCUGUAGCUCCUCGUCCCCAACCUCCUCGCCCCCCAGAUCCAAUCUGGUGCGCCGCGGGCUCCCCUACCCUCCAACUGCUACUGUGUUCGUCCUGCCUGUCCGACGAGGUGGCGCGGCCGUGCCCGUCGUGCACCUCCCCAGUCUACCUCUUUCACCUUGCUGGCGCAGCUUCCUUCUUGUUGUUGUUCGCUGGGGCAUGCGAGGACUCGUGUGGAGGUCACGGGCUGGCCAAGGCUCGGUCUUGCCCCGUGUUGCAGACCACCCUUCGUCUCUGAUGGCGUCUCCUUCUAGUUACGGCGGCGACCUCUGCCCGUGUGUGGUCAAGGUGUUGUUUUGGGCAGCGGGAUGAAGCUUCGCGGUGGGUCCUUGCCGACACUGCUCCGGUCCCAGCGGCCAUCGACCAGCGUUCUUCGGCCUCCCUACCGCCGUGAAUUCAGCCCCAACACUCCGGUCGCUGCGUCUCCUUCCGGCAUCUUCGGUUUGCCGGUGUUCUGGUGGUUCCACCUCCGGCAGCUCGGAGUUGUGCUCCCUUCCGCCUCCAGCUUGUCAGCGGCGCCGGUCACCAUCCCACCCUCCAUGCCGGCUUUCUACCAUGCUGCCUUCCCGACCCUGUCGACACCCGCAACAUGUCAUUUCCAAAGCUCGUGUUCUUUCGGCAGCAGGUGCAGCCCCACCACCUCCGUACCGGGAUGGUGGUUGACUAGCGGAUUGUCUUCCUCAUCUUCGGAUCCUGAUUUGGCAGCUAUGGCAUUGCUCAGACUAAGGCCAGGCGAAAUCCAUGCUCUGCUUGCCAAUGUUGGCAGAGGCGACACUCGUGAGUGCUUUGCCAUGGCCUUUAUCCGGGCCCCUCUUCGAGCGCUGGGGGAAACCCUAGGUCCGGUUCUUCGGAUCGGAUGGUGGCGGUGUCACGAUGUCGCACCCCUUCCUGAAGGCGCUAUCUUGUUCGCCCCCGGUGUCCCUGUUUGUUUGAUUUUGAGAUGUUCGACGUCGUGCUUGUUCGGCCUGCCUCUCUGUUUAGGAUUUGUGGGUGUAGUUGUGUCAUUUCCCCUGUUCGGGCUGAGCACCCCUUGUCUCUCUGCUCCGGGUUCCAUGAUCAUGCCUCUUUGGGUUCAUGCCAUGUGUUGUAUCCUCUGUUGUACGCAUUCUCUUUCUUCUAUCAAUAAAGGAUAUGCAAGCUUUGUGUAUUCACAAAAAAAAAGACGUUCUGAAGCUCUGAAGCUAAAGAUGUAAAUAAAUCUGAACUCUCGCACUCACUUUUAAAUCGUGGGGCAGUAUACUCUAAUCUAUCCAGCUCUUCCUGUAAAACAAAUAUACUGUCAGCAUGUGAUUUAUCAUUCAUGAAUCGUUUAUCAUGCCAUUUUUAGAAUGUGACUGGCAAAAUGGUGUGACUGUACAAUUCUACUUUUUUCGAAAAAGAGGAUUACCCCUAGUAUCUACAUAGAGCCAUGCACACAACCAUUUUAUUAUAUUAUUUAACGGAACCAAACGAAACAAAUAUAUGGAUCAAGCCAAAGCCACCUCCCUAGAAACUAUUGUCGUUACACGUACAAGCUUUAAUGGCGUGCCCUGACCACUUAUCAACACACAUCAUAUAUUCCGGUCGCCUCACCAAGAUGCCUGCCGGCAAUUUGAGAGCAUCUACCGGUCUAGCUAGACCCUCUGCACGCACAUCAUGCACACGCUUUAGAUUCAGCCACCGCCAUGUUCCGCGGUCCCACCUUCAAGAGCGAUCAACGUAUUCAUCUCGCUAGGCCAUCUCGACACCAGAUAGCUCCACUAUCCAGCGCGGGCGCCCGUCGCCGACACUCCGCCGUGCCACGCCACCGAGACCCUGUGUCGUCCUUUCGGUAGAUGUAACACCGCUCCUCCACUUGUCUCUUCCAGUCGGCUCCUACUCGAGACAAUGCCCCUAGGAGGGAGAACGGCGCUGAAGGCACCAUCAUCGUCCGAUCCGGGAUACCCAGAACUAGAGUUUCCCCCGGAACAACCCGAGCGUAGUGACACAACUUACAAAUGACGAUGCCUCGAAAAAGGAAACAACGUUAGAGACGCCACCAUCUGCCAUGACCGCAGUUAGCACAAUUUCACCGGAAGUCGCGUCGACAUGGAGACGUAAGCUGUCGCCGGAACGUCGGCAUAGGGCCUCCAGUCGCCCCUGACCUGUCCCUGCACGCAUCGCCUGCCGGCCAAGGCCACGCCAAGAUGGAUCUGGAUGGGACGCUAGUUCCGCGGCCACUGCCGCCACCCAUCACAUGGUCGGCCAGGUCAACGACUAAUCCCACAGCCAUGGACAAACCGGUCGCCGCCGCCAGCCCGGGUCACCACCCUGACCGCACCGGCUGAAGACACAGGUGUCGUCGCGAGAUUGAUACGGUGAACAAGGCCCGAAUCCCUCGUGCUCGACCUUGAUCAGCCACACACAAGCAUCUCUCCACGCUGACGAGGGGUCCACUAUGGGAUCCAUCGCGCCGACUUCCGCCACCGCGCCGCGGGAAUAGACUGCCCUGAUGCUGCCGCCCACUGAGGCGGGCUUCGCCUGUUCGGCCUCCUCCAACAGCGUCCGGCCGUGGGCUGCNNNNNNNNNNNNNNNNNNNNNNNNNNNNNNNNNNNNNNNNNNNNNNNNNNNNNNNNNNNNNNNNNNNNNNNNNNNNNNNNNNNNNNNNNNNNNNNNNNNNNNNNNNNNNNNNNNNNNNNNNNNNNNNNNNNNNNNNNNNNNNNNNNNNNNNNNNNNNNNNNNNNNNNNNNNNNNNNNNNNNNNNNNNNNNNNNNNNNNNNNNNNNNNNNNNNNNNNNNNNNNNNNNNNNNNNNNNNNNNNNNNNNNNNNNNNNNNNNNNNNNNNNNNNNNNNNNNNNNNNNNUUCAGCCUCUCCACUUGUGGGAACAAUAUCCUUGAAUGUUUAGUUUCUCAUAUCUUUACGAAAACGGAGUAAGGGAAAUAUCGUGUGUGGUUGCAGGGAACUCACAUCAAAUGAUUGGGAGAUGUUCAUAAAUCAGUGAUAAUAGCCUUUGCAAACAGGCUAAUCCCAAAUGAUUCAAUGAAACCAACCUUCAUGUACUCAAUGAACGUAUUAUGCAUGUUAUGCUAGUUCAAGUCAUACUAAAUAUCACUUGUCUGGCAAAUAACAACAGCGUUCUCUGAAACCAUUGCAUCAUGAGAGAAUUGUGUGAAAUGGAAAUUGACACGAUUUAAAUUUUCAGGUUCCUUUCCUGGUGAGCCUAUCAUAGUAAAGAAACCUGGAAGAAAACAUUGGAGAAAGGAAUUCACAAAAUGCGGAAUUAUUAAUACUAAAUGACUGUUGAUGUUCAAAUGCAUGUCAGUUCUAAAUAAAUAAAUGAUUUUCUUCUUCUUUCUGCUCUUCAAUGUUUUCUUCCCUUACAAGAUUCUAGCAGUCUUAACACCAUUAUGGCCACAGAAAAAAAAAACAUCUAUCCCAUUUGUUACACGAGCUAAAAAUAAAAAUAGCACAUGAGCAUGGGCUGCAGAAAUGCACAUUCUUACUUCUAAGAAUAAUGUCAUCAAGAGAAGCAAAAGGCUGGUUUUUUGUGACAAUAAUUUAUUCAAUGAAAAGAGUGAGCCCGGGUUGCACGAAAUAUGAGUUUAUCUAUUUUUCUUCCAACAAAAUAUCUGGUCUACCAUCACUGCACCUUCGAACAUCAGAGUGCACACAGAACAAGAAAUAAAGAAGCAAAAGGGCCCUUGCGUAACUCAUGUAUUUUCAAACAAUGCUACAGAAAAUAUCCCUUAUACUCCCUCCGUCUAGGUUUGUAAGUCAUCUUACGAAAACAAAAUAAUCCCAAAACACUUAGGCGCGGUGCGUUAACUUCUACCUCGUUUCUUGUUUCUUGACAUAUCAACCAAUAAGAGAUAUGGGUGUGCAUGCUUUUAAUGACUUGAGACUACCAAACACGACAUGCAGUGGUUAGUUCAUUGCAUGCAAUGCUAUUAAUUAGCAAAAAACAUUAAGUUCUCUCGUUUUCCCUCCUCCUUGGUCACGGUGCACAACAUAAGAUGACUUAUUCACUUAGACGGAGGGAGUAUCAUGGAUUUGCGCCUGCAUCAAUUGUUUCCGAGUGCUGUCAAAGAGAAAAAUUUACUAAGAUUUCCAUUGUCAAACUGUGAUGUCCGACUAGUGUUGGUGGAAGAAUCACAUAUUGGAGAGGAUAAUUUGGAGUAGGGGAUGAGAAGAAGUUGAAGAACAGAUGAAGAGGGUGAGAUGUAGAACAGAGUAGGUGAGAGUUCAAACAAUUCUCAUUUCAUCGAUAAGUUACGGCACAUGUCUGAUUCACUUGCCCCUUUUAAACACAUAGGCACUCUCUUACAAGUGGGCCCUCAAAUCCACACGCCCAGUGCACUAGAUGAUCUUCCUAUGGCUCACUCCUAAGUUGUCUCUCUCUAGUUGUUGGGCCCUUCGUCCUCCAUAUCCUAGUCCUCCUCAUUCCACUGGACUGGGAUCUUGAUUUCCGUCGAGGGUGUGGUAGAGAGCAGAUGCAUGACACAAUCUUUGUUCCAUUACGCUUCCUCAAAGUCGCCAUUUUAGACAUUGUCAUGUCUACAACACACAAUUAGACGCUUGGUGACCUGUUGCUUCAAAAAUAUAUUUUGAAAUCAUGUGCCUAGAGGUGUUUUGAAUGUAUGGCUACAAAUGUCACUGAGGUUCCUAGUUCCUGUUCCAUCAGCAUACCCUGCCGAAGUGGUAAUCUGACUUCAAGUGGAAUAAGCAAGACAGGAGAAAGAAUUAAGGUGGUAUUCAGCUCGUUUUCCCCUCACCUUUUUGACUCUCACAUUUUUGUUUUCCUCCCAUAUCUUAGAUGGGGUGAAGCUAUAUGCAUAAACAAAUAUGAAUUCAUAUCACACUCACCUCGACAUCUCAGUAGUACAACACAGGGCUUUCGUCACAGGGCAAUUUUCACAUUAGUCCCGGUUCAGUCACGAACCGGGACUAAUGUGAGCAUUGGUCCCGGUUCGUGCGGCUAAGGCAUUAGUCCCGGUUCACCUGGGCCCUUUAGUCCCGGUUGGUGCCACGAACCGGGACUAAAGGGUGCGAUGCCCAUUAGUACCGGUUGGUGGCACCAACCGGGACUAAAGGUCUAACCUUUAGUACCGGUUGGUGCCACCAACCGAUACUAAUGCGCUUUGAGGCAUUAGUACCGGUUCAUGGCACGAACCGGUACUAAAGGGCCCAUUUUCAAACUCUACCCCCCCUGGUGGACCGCCUUUUCAGUUUUAGGAAAAACAAAAGAAAAUGAUGGAAAUGUCAAAAAAAUAAAAUAAAAUAAGUUUCCCAUGUGAUAUGUGGUCUAGUUGUUGGGAAAAUUAACAAAUAUGAAUUUCGACUUUAUUUGCAAAAUCUCUCUGAAAUUUCUUAAAAUGGGCAUAACUUUUGCAUACGAACUCGGAUGAAAAAGUUUUUUAUAUGAAAAAUCAUCUACUCAAAAUCCUCAAAAACCUAACAGAAAAAAAGAUACGGGACUUUUAAGAUCUGGAGAGGCAAAAAAAUUCAAAAAAUUUCAAUUUGUGGUCAAACUGUGGUCAAACAAUAGUCAAACUAAUUAUUCUAGAAUAUUAGUGUUACUAAAUAAUUAUUUCAGUUUUUUUGAAUUUUGGUCAAAUCUGGUCAAACUGUGGUUAAACAGUGGUCAAACAAUGGUCAAACUAAUUAUUCCAGAAAUAUUAGUGUUACUAAAUAAUUAUUGUUUUUAAAAAUAAUAGUUUCAAACUCAAACAGUGAAAUAUGUCACUUCAUGCUCAAGCUAAAUUCCUGAGGGUUAAUAAAAUUGACAUCUUACUAUUGUCAGGAAAACAACAAGUGCAGACUUGGAAACGAGGGAGAAUAGAACCCAGAAGUUAAGCGUGCUCAGGCUGGAGUAGUGAGAGGAUGGGUGACCGUCCGGGAAGUUAGAUGAUUUGAAAUGAUGAGGGGUGAUUAGAGAUUAGAGGAUAAAUUGAGCAGUGAUGAGGGGUGGUGAUUAGAGAUUAGAGGUUAAAAUAAUUCAGAAAUUUGAAAAUCAAAAAAAAAGUUCGCAAAUUUUUUUUUCAAAAAAAAUAUAUCAUAAAAUUCUGCGUCCACGUGGACGGCCUUUAGUCCCGGUUCGUGUCUAAAGGCUUGGGUAUAUAUAGACCUUCUACACGUCUCCAAUCUCUAGUAGCUCUUCAUAUGAUAAAAAUAUAUUGUGAGUAUGGGAUAUGUGUUGAGAAGGCCAUUCAGGAAUCGUUUAUCAUGUGAGUAGACUGCAAAAUGACAUAACCAUUCCACGAGCAUGCUUAAGUUUGAAAACUCUUUCCCGGGAAGUAUCCUAUGUGAUUGAAUGUAACUCAUAAUUAUUAAAGAAUGUAUAGAAGUUUCUAAACGAGCGAGUGGUUGAAUGUCAAAUGCAUCUGAUACUCGGCGAAGACUUAUGUUUGCCAAAUUCGGUACUCGGCAAAGUUUCGCCGUGUUUAUUAUGGGCUCUGCCAAGUUUCUAAGAAGACAAUCCGGGUAGUGAUGGAUGCCUGAUCUUUAACAUGGAAUGUCUGUAUACAUAGUCCUCAAUGUGGGGCAUAAUGUAGUAGCCGGACAAGACGCUUGAUUAAUCUGGUUCUUCUCUACAAUAGAAACUCGCCUUGUACAUGAACAUAUUUUGUUUUGGGUAUAUAUAGACCUUCUACACGUCUCCAAUCUCUAGUAGCUCUUCAUAUGAUAAAAAUAUAUUGUGAGUAUGGGAUAUGUGUUGAGAAGGCCAUUCAGGAAUCGUUUAUCAUGUGAGUAGACUGCAAAAUGACAUAACCAUUCCACGAGCAUGCUUAAGUUUGAAAACUCUUUCCCGGGAAGUAUCCUAUGUGAUUGAAUGUAACUCAUAAUUAUUAAAGAAUGUAUAGAAGUUUCUAAACGAGCGAGUGGUUGAAUGUCAAAUGCAUCUGAUACUCGGCGAAGACUUAUGUUUGCCAAAUUCGGUACUCGGCAAAGUUUCGCCGUGUUUAUUAUGGGCUCUGCCAAGUUUCUAAGAAGACAAUCCGGGUAGUGAUGGAUGCCUGAUCUUUAACAUGGAAUGUCUGUAUACAUAGUCCUCAAUGUGGGGCAUAAUGUAGUAGCCGGACAAGACGCUUGAUUAAUCUGGUUCUUCUCUACAAUAGAAACUCGCCUUGUACAUGAACAUAUUUUGUUUUGUGGAACUUCCUCCGGAUUAAAAAUACUUGAAGAUAGCAACAUAAUUGAUGAACUAAAAAAUGGUACUCUGGUAGCAAUGGGAUAAAACAAUAUUAUGCCUUUCUUUCAUUAGUUAACUAAAAAUUUGUGCUGCAGUAGUAACGGGAUAAAACAAUAUAAGUAGAAACAAUUUUGAUAAGCAAUAACAUUUCCUUUUGCUAGGGCAACGCUAUAGGUAACUCCUACAAACUAUUUCUCCUAGGUGUUGAUUAAUAAAUUAGCCAUAUGCAAAAUUAAACUGCAGUGGAUUAGUAAUACACGGUUGAAGUCAACACUUCCGGUUAAUCUUAUAAAAUCUAGCCUCUUUAGUCUCCAAUCUCACAUUGAGACAUGGUUAAUAGUUGUUGGUAUAUCUAAAUCCUAUGGGAGGACAUCCUCUUAUUCUCAGACACAUGAGCCCAAGUAUCUCCACAAAAAGUUCACCAGACAUACAUAUCAUGUCCUUUCAUAGCCAUCCAAAAAAAGGAAGGUGCUAUGAUGUAGUGCAACAUUGAUGGAAUAAUACCAAAAAAUGUAAAAAGGGUGUUUCAUUCUCAAAAAUAACUUUGGAAGUAUAUCGGUGAACCAUCUAAACAGGAACAUACUAGUAAAUUUGUUGAGGAAAUUGUUAACUGGUAGCAGCUUGGUUGGCUAGGGAGUAGGGGAUUAAUAGGGUGAUCGGCAAGUUUAUUGGCCUAUUAAGCAAUUAAACGGAGGAUUUAUCAGUUUAUUGGCUACAUGGUGACCUUACAAGUAGGGAUUAAUUCCCAAGUUAACUGGUUAAUCAGACGAAUUCUUCAACAGGACCAGUAAUCAUGCUAAUAUGGUACAUGAUAAUCUCUUAUGGUUGAAUGAAUAUGAGUAAUGUCUGUAGCUAUCUUUAACAGUAUUUUAUUGAGUACCUAAAUAUGUAAAGUUCAGUAGUUUGUACUAUCAUGUUAUUGCACAAAAAAAAAGGAAAUCUCUCAUUCCAAUUUUUUUAGCUAAACUAAACAAAAGAUACUAGCAUGUUGCUCAGGAGAUAGGAAUGGUAGCAGGGGUAGAUAGCCAACAAAAACAUUAUGUUAUUACAGUGUGAAUAAUAAAUAAGAUUAUUUGGAUCAUAUGAAGGAUAAAGCCAUCAAUCUCGCCCAUGUGCAAUAAUUUUAAUUUGUCUUUGUGUAGUAUAUAUUGUUGAUUAAUCAUUCGUGAUGAGAUAUGCACCUUCAUAUGGUUUAACAAAUAGAAGAUGGGUGGCGCCAGAAUAAUUUUUCUGACCGUGCAAAGAUAGAGAUCUGCAUUGCUCUCAUCAAUGACCUGCAACGAUUCAUGCAUGCUUCUACUAUGAUCCUUGAGCCUAUCAAAAUUAAUUGCUAUAAUCUUGACUGACCGAGCUACUGAUAUGUGGGCGUCUUGAUGAGUAUGGCGAAUUCUCUUUUAUCUUGGUGGUUGUUCAUUUCAUAGACAUCUCAAUAUAUUGUUUAUUUGGAUGGUUUUGUCUCCUCCUUUAUUUUGGGGUUAUUUUUACAAAGAGAAGUCUAGUUUUCUCCCUAACAAUUUCACAUGGAGAAGUGUCACUCAUAUUUAUUUCAAUCACAUUUACCUCUUGACCUUAAUAUUCACUCACAUUUACCUCCUGACCUUUUGGUUUUGGUUUAAUUUUUCCAUUAAAAUUUCACAAAUGAUAGAAUCCUCCCUGGAAGUUUUAAGAAAAAAAAAAUCUAGUAAAGGCAUAUGUAAUUUUUUUGUAAAGGAGAAUGUAUUAAUAUCAAGCAGAUACCAAUUAUUCCCAGACUCUGCAACAACAAGAUGCCUAAAAACAUCCAGGAUGCACACAGCUAAAAAUUAAAAUAAAAAGGGAAGAAAAAAUGAGAAAAAAUAUCCCGCCACGGUGAUCAAUCACCCGAUGUAGCCGCACUCUAACCACCACCAAAGAUGUCACCCGGACUACAAAAUAGGUUCUCCAAAAGCAAUGCCUCUAGAAAGGAAACAAAACACAAGCAUUGUCGUUGCCCGAUCAAAGAUAUUACGUUUUCACCCUGGAGAAAGAUCAGGUUCCCAACAAUAAUGCCUUCAACAAGACUACCGCCAGGCACAACCAAUAAAGGCCAGACCUUGGGUUUUCACCUUGGAAAUCCUGAUUGGGUACUCAAAGGAGCACCGAAUAACAAAGAAGUCCUCCAAUGCCGCCACCCCCACUUGCGGAGGCUAAUACUGCAAGUCACGCACCAUUAGGCUCACAGGAAUUCACAUCCCGCCUGGACGGGAACAUAUCCUGUAAGCCAUGUCUAAACAACUGCCUAUGAAGCAAAGUCUUCAUCGCAUCCAAGACCUCGCAUUCGCCACUUGCAAGUCCUUCAAUCACGCCAUGGCAUUCUCCGUAUGUGUUGAUCCCAUGGAAAUCUUGGUGCAGACAUGUCCCAAGGUGCCAACAAAAACAGAGCUUCACGAUACCCCGGUAAACCUGGUUAUGCUGAUGUUGCGGGUGCGCACGACAGGCCCCUAUCUAGUCAAGGUGUCCAAAGAGCGCCAUAUGUGCCAGUCCUUUUUUUCCUUCAAAGGAGAAGUCCGGAAAUCGCAGAUGGCCAGAUUGAAGAUCUCAGGUUCUCAAUUGCAUGAGCUUGUGAGCAACGAGAAUGAGCAAGACCGAACAAGGGGAAACCAUCCAAGGACGGGAACACCGUGUGCACAAUAUAUAGGAUCCAAUUUGCACCAGCAAUGUUUAUACAGGAAUAACCAAAAUGUGAGUGUUGCCACGUACAUGUAUUUACUACUGCAGAUAGUUUUCUUUAUUGCACAGGUAUAAAACUUGUUCUUAAUUUUAAUCAAUUCUCUUGCACAAAUUUAUCCACAGAGAGCACAUAUAUGAUUUAUCUAACACUAUGUUUUCAAUAUCACAAGAUAAAAUCUUGUCUUUACAGAGCAAAAUUAUACACCGAUAAAAAUGUGUUGUCUGCCUGCAUGAAAUUACAUAUGCUAUGCAAAACUCUUUACUUCGUAUCGUCAUGAUCAUCCACAAUAUUAAAAUUGUAAAUAAACAAAAAAAGAGGUGCCGGCAAAUAGUUUUGGAUAGAGUAGUUUGGCACAAUAUAUAUGUUAUCCCUGAAAAUAUAACGUCUUCCUGGAUCACACUGUAGCUUCGUGAUAGUUUUGACGGCUAUGAUAACAAAAGCUGCCGACACAUGGCUCUGGAAAUAGUUAUGGCUGUAGGGGUAAAUAUAAUAGCUGACAGCUCUAAAAAAUAUUCCCGCAAAAGAAGGCAGCUCUAAAAAACAAGCCGACAAAAGAAUCAUGAAGCUACAGUGUGAAUUAUACUCUCUCCAUUCACAUUAUUAUGGGAAAACGAAUUGUGCGAGUACAGUCUGCCAAAAUGAGUGGUCGUCCAUGCACCUUGUUUAGGGGCAACUUUAUUUUAAUGUGUCUUUUUGUAGUAUAUAGUGUUGAUUAAUCGUCCGUGAUGAGAUCUGUGCCUUUGUGUGAUAUAACAAAUAGAAGAUAUAUGGCGCCAGACUAAUUUUUCCAUCCGUACGUGCAAAGAUGAGAUAUGAAUGCAUUGCUCUCAUGAAUGACCUGCAACGAUAGACAUAUGCAUUCAUACAUGCUUCUGCUGUGAUCCACGAGCCCGUCAAAAUUAAUUGCUAUGCAGUGGCUUAACUACUCAGAUGAACGUGGGCGUCUUAAUGAGUAUGGUGACUUCUCUCUUAUGUUGGUGGUUGUUCGUUUCAUAAACAUUUCGAUAUAUUGUUUAUUUGGAUGGUUCUGCUUCCUCCUUUAUUUUGGGGUUGUUUUUACAGUGAAAAUUCAAGUUUUUUCACUAACAUAUUCGCAUGGAGAAGUGUCACUCAUAUUUAUUUUCACUGACAUUUACCUCCUGACAUUUAUUUUCACUCACAUUUAACUCCCGGCCUUUUGGUUUUGGUUUAGUUUUCCCAUUCAAAUUUCAUAAAUCAUAGAAUUUUCUAUCGAAGUUUCAAGAUUUGUUUUUCUAAAAAAGGUACAUGUAUGCACUAUAUAUUAGAUCUAAUUUGUACCAGUAAUGUUACCAGCUACAUGAAUUUACUGCUGCAGAUAGUUUUUUUUUGUAUUGCAUAUGUAUAAAUCUUGUCCUUAAUUUUACUCAUUUCUCUUGCACAAAGUUAGCUUCAUAGUGCACAUGUAUGAUUUACCUAAUAUUAUUAUUUCAAUAUUCCAAAAUAUAAUUUUGUCUUAACAGAGUGAAAUAAUACACCAAUAAAAAAACAUUGUCUGUAUGCAUGAAAUUACAUAUGCUAUGCAAAACUCUUUAGUAUGUAUCGUCAUGAUCAUCCACAAUAUGAAAAAAUAGUAAAGAAACAAACAAGAGGAGCAGACACAUGGUUUUGGAUAGAGCAGUUUAGCACAAUAUAUUUUAUCCCUGUUUAUAUAACGUCUUCAUUGCUCACACUGUAGCUUCGUGAUAGUUUUAUUGGCUAUGAUAACAGAAGCUGCUGACACAUGGUUCUGGAAACAGAUAUAACAGCAGGUGUAAAUAUAAUAGCCGCAGCUCUAAAAAAUAAGCUGACAAAAGAAUCAUGAAGCUACAGUGAACUAUACUCCAUCCUCCCUUGUCUAGGGGCAACUUAAUUCGCUUUGCGAAGGAUAAUGCAUCCAUGGCAAACAGUUUCAGGGUUGUCAGAAUAAGAAAUCUUAUGCCUCCCGAUCAAGAUCUAGACAGAUUUUCAGGGCAUGGUGUGGCCGUCCAACUACCUGAUAAAAAAAAAGAUAAUGAAAAGGGCCCACAGCAUCAAACCAAUGACAGAUAUGUUCAGUUUCGAAUCUCUUAAUAUUUAGUUUGAAAGCUGCAGAUUUUCAGGUUGUGAGAGCCGAAACUCUUGGACCAAGCCAUAUGUUCAGUUUCGAAUCUGACCUAGUAGCGUCCUGGAACUAGUUAUCAUCGAUUGGCUGCCAAACUCCCCCAAGAAACUCCGCACACAUCUCUGCAAUCGAACCAGGGCAAAUUAAUUUAGCGAAGGGAACUCACAACGCAGUGUCUCUUGACACAUCAUCCUAUUUAGUGAAAACUAUUUAGAGACAAUGACCCCUAUUCAUUAUAUACUCAACACGUCUCUUAAUAUUUAAAGUAUCUUAUAAAUGUCGUAUCUAAAUGAUAUUCCAUUUAAUUAGUUUAUGGACCUUUUUUGCAUGUCAACAUUGUGGCCUACUCCAGUUGUGAAGACAAAAAUUGUGAGAUAAACCACAAAGGCUCAAAGCGUUAGUCACUAUACGCAGAAAAACAAGUUAAUUAAGAGCCAUAUCUACACUAAAUAGAACAUAGGGAAGCUCAUCGAUCCAUCACCGGCCACACUUCUUGAGUUAGGCGAAUGUUCUCUUUUGGAGACCAUUGAGGACAUGCGCAUUUCAUCGCUCCAUCUGCCUGUCACUACAAGGGAUAAGGCUACACUAGUAGAAAACAGGGUUUUGGUUCGGCCAGAAAAGAGCAUUAAUCCCGGUUGCAUUACGAACCGGGACUAAUGUGAGCAUUAGUCCAGGUUCGAGCGGCUAGGGCACCGUACAUGCAUUAGUCCCGGUUCAAAUGGGACCUUUAGUCCCGGUUGGUGCCACGAACCGGGACUAAAGGGUGCGAUGCCCAUUAGUACCGGUUCGUGGCAUCAACCAGUACUAAAGGUUAGAUCUUUAGUCCCGGUUCGAGCCACCAACCAGUACUAAUGGGGUUUGAGGCAUUAGUACCGGUUCAUGGCACGCCUUUUCAGUUUUGUAAAAAGCAAAAGAAAAUGAUAAAAACUUCAAAAAUUAAAAUCCUUCCAGAUGUAGUUAUGUUACUACAUGUCCUAGUUAGGAAAAUUUAAAAACUUCAAUUUGGACAUGUUUCGCAAAAAGUGUAGGGAAAAUGUAAAACGGCUAUAACUUUUGCAUACGAUGUCAGAAAAAACGUAUAAUAUAUCGAAAUGUUCAGCACGAAAAUCCGCAUCCGAUUUUGACAGCCUACGGCCUGUUUGUAAAUUUUUAGAAUCCUCAAAUUCUAAAAGGGAAAAAAGUUAUGCUAUUUCUGUUUUUUUAAUUUUUGUUAAAUCUGGUCAAACUAUGGUCAAACUACUUAUUCAAGAAGUAUUAGUGUUACUAAAUAAUUAUUCAAGAAUAUUAGUGUUACUAAAUAAUUAUUUCAGUUUUUUUGAAUUUUGGUCAAAUCUGGUCAAACUGUGGUCAAACAAUGGUCAAACUAAUUAUUCAAGAAAUAUUAGUGUUAGUAAAUAAUUAUUUCAGUUUUUUUGAAUUUUGGUCAAAUCUGGUCAAACUGUGGUCAAACUACUUAUUCAAGAAAUAUUAGUGUUACUAAAUAAUUAUUGUUUUUUAGAACAAUAGUUUCAAACUCAAACAGUGAAAUGUGUGACUUCAUGCUCAAGCUAAAUUCCUGAGGGUUAAUAGGAUUGACAUCUUACUAUUGUCAGGAAAACAACAAGUGCAGACUUGGAAACGAGGAAGAAUAUAACCCGGAAGUUAAGCGUGCUCAGGCUGGAGUAGUGAGAGGAUGGGUGACCGUUCGGGAAGUUAGAUGAUUUGGAAUGAUGAGGGGUGAUUAGAGAUUAGAGGUUAAAUUGAGCAGUGAUGAGGGGUGAUUAGAGAUUAGAGGUUAAAAUAAUUCAGAAAUUUGCAAAUCAAAAAAAAAAAUUUAAAAAAAAAAUCAUAAAAUUUCCUUCAGUACCGGUUGGUGUUACCAACCGGGACUAAAGGUGGACCUCACGUGGAGGGCCUUUAGUCCCGGUUCGUGUAAGAACCAGGACUAAAGGGGGAGGCUUUAGUAACGACCCUUUAGUCCCGGUUCCAGAACCGGGACUGAAGGCCCUUAUGAAGCGGGACUAAAAGCCCUUUUUCUACUAGUGCUAGUAGUGGCGCGGUUUAAAGGCAUAGGAGUAGCGCGGGUUGCCUCUCUACUUACAUUAGCAACUAUAUAAAAACUCAUCAUCAUCAUCAUCAUCAUCAUCAUCAUCAUCAUCAUGUAACAACUCAUCAGCGCGUAGCUAACUGGUUCCUAGUAAGACGGGCCAGGCUCGGCUCUAAUACUACUUACAUUAGUAGCAGCGCGGUGUUUGGCCCGUGCUACUAAUAACUAGCUAUAGCGCGAGGCCCCCCGCCACUACUAACUCUAUGUAUUUCCUUUCUACAUAUUAUACUAUAUUAUACAAUAAUUAUACAGAUUUUUAUACACUAGCAACUAUAUAACAACUCAUCAUCAUCAUCAUCAUCAUGUAACAAAUCAUCAUUAUCAAAAUGAUAUAACUCAUCAUCAUCGUAGUGAUAUAACAGCUCAUCAUGAUCAUAAUUAUAUAAAAAUGUCUCAUCAUCAUCGUCAUCAUCACCAUCAGCAUCAUCAUAAGUUAACCACUACUAGCUAAUUGUCAUCAUCCUAGGUAAGUAACUUUCAAGCACAUGACAAGUACUAUGACCUACUCUAGUGUCUUAGGUAAAAUAGAAUAAAACAGAAAAAAUAACUACAUCUCCAUGAUGGACCACAGAGAUCCCCGGUCUCCAAUUUGUUGCCCGCGCUCAUUGACUAUUUGCCUCCAUCAUUCAAUUUUGAGGCAUCCAUUUGAUUAACACUCAGUCAAGUAUGUAUAUUUGAAUCCGAUCUUCAAAGGGCAAAUAAUAGUCAUCUCACUUUUGACGUCCAUCAGCAGAGGCACAACAACAUUUGGGACCUUCCGCUGAAGUACAUAAUAGUAACAUAGUCGAAAUAUGCAGAUAUAGCAAGAAUGAUCCUAAUUUAUUUAGGCAUCACUACCAGUUUGCCCUCAAUGCCUCGAGCGCCAUCUGGCAGAUCAACCAAGUUCCAAACUUGAUUGUCAUCCAUGGACUUUAAUUCGGAUCUCAUGGUCUUAAGCCAUAACUCAGAAUCAGGGCUCUCCGUCGCUUCUGCAUACAUUGCCGACUCGUUGUUCUCCAAGAACAACACAUUGCAGUUAUGCAUAUUGCGCAACCUUUCCGACCUCUGUGGAAUCAGCGUCGACUCCACUAUGGGUUCCUUGACUAACUCCAUGUGGUUCUCGAAUUUCCUCUAGUCGGAUCAUCCUCCCACUAGCCUUCCGAUUGAGAAACUCUUUCUCAAGGAAAACUCCAUGUCGAGCGACAAACACUUUGCCCUCUUCACAGAUGUAGGAGUAAUAUCCCAAGGUUUCCCUUGGAUACCCCAUGAAUAUGCACUUGUCCGAUUUGGGUGUGCGCUUGUCUGACUGGAGUCGCUUGACGUAUGAUUCACAACCCCAAAUUUUUAGAGAAGACAAAGUUUGGCUCUUCGCAGUCCAUAUCUCAUAUGACGUCUUAUCUACAAACUUGGAUGGUACCCUAUUUAGUGUGAAAGCUGCAGUUUCUAGAGCGUAUCGCCAAAAUAACAAGGGUAAAUCCGACUGACUCGUCAUUGAUUGGGCCAUGUCUAACAGAGUCUGAUUCCUUCGUUCCAACACGCCAUUUCUCUGUGGCAUACCCCGAGGAGUCAGUUGUGGAACUAUCCUACGACUCUUCAGAUAAUCAUCAAACUCCUGGCUCAUAUACUCAUUCGCCACGAUCAGAUCGCAGAAGUUUGAUUCUCUUGUCGAGUUGAUUCUCCACUUCAUUCUGAAACUCCUUGAACUUUUCAAAAGUUUCUAACUUGUGCCUCAUCAAGUAGACAUAUCCAAAUCUACUCAAGUUAUCUGUAAACGUCAUGAAGUAUUGGAAACCACCUCUAGCUGGACUUGUUUUACCAUUGUUGAAAUGUCUUGUGCAUCGGGAUUCCGAGUCUGAUCGGAGGGUCUCGAGAUGGAGGAUUGUCUCUGCGGAUCGUGAGCUUGUCAUGGGCAAAGUUGGGACACCCCUGCAGGGUUUAAACUUUCGAGAGCCAUGCCCGCGGUUAUGUGGCAGAUGGGAAUUUGUUAAUAUCUGGUUGUAGAGGACUUGAACUAAACUCAAUUAAAAUACACCAACCGCGGGUGUAACCGUGACUGUCUCUUUCCAGGUGCGUUCGAGAAGAGAAUACGGUUGGGUUAUGUUUGAACGUAAGUGGUUUAGGAUCACUUCUUGAUCACUAUUAGUUUGCGACCGUUGUGUAGAUUCUCUUCUUACUUUUGUACUCGUAAGUUAGCCACCAUACAAAUGCUUAGUGCUUGCUGCAGCUUCACCACUAUCCAUUCCAUACCCAUUAAGCUUUGCUAGUCUUCAUACCCAUGGUAAUGGGAUUGCUGAGUCCUCGUGGCUCACAGAUGACUACAACAAUAGUUGUAGGUACAGGUAAUGCAAUGAUCUGACGUGAGAGCGAUGCUUGAUUGCUUUUGGAGUUCUUCUUCUUCUUCGAUCAAGGGAUUAGGUUCCGGGUCGGGGAGCCUGGGAUUAGUGGGGUGGAUAUUAUUCUUCUUUUUUGUUUGAUUUCAUCCGUAGUCGGAUCCUGCCCUUCUGUGUGCGCUCGAAAUGCGGUUGGAACAGACGAUCGCUAGACAGCGCGCCCGCAUUGCCACCCUCAAAGACGGUGAUGCCAGCUCUGCCUUCUUUCACCGGCAGUGCUCGUUUCAAUGACAGAAAAACCGCAUCUUCUGCCUCUCUGCGAACGGCACGCUACUCACAGACCAUGACGAGAUGGCCGAGGCUGCAUUCCGGCACUAUGACACACUGCUUGGCACGGCGGUCGAACACGACCACUCGAUGGACCUGUCGCAGCUCAUCGAGGGGAGCGAUCUCUCCGACCUUGACGCGACCUUUUGCCCGGAGGAGAGAUGGGAAGCUGUGAAACGCCUCCCCGCGCACAAGGCAGCUGAGCCUGAUGGCUUUAGCGCUGAAUUUCUCCGCGUGUGCCGGAGCAUCAUCAAGCAGGACUUCAUGGAUGUGUUCCAGUAGCUCUUCGAGCUGCGUGGCCGUGGCUUCUGCAAGGUCAACCAGGCCCUUCUCACGCUGCUGCCGAAGCCCAGGAGGUGCGCAACUACCGCCCGAUAUGCCUCAUUCAUAUCGUGGCCAAGGUACUCGCGAAGGCCCUCUCGCUCCGGCUAGCUCCAAAACUUGACCGCUUUGUCAGCCGCAAUCAAAACGCGUUCAUCCUCGGACGGAGCCUACACGACAACUUUAUGCUCGUCAGGCAAUCGGUCAAGCUGCUGAGCCAACUUGGGGGCCCCAGGGUGAUGCUCAAGCUCGACCUCACGCGCGCUUUUGACUCCAUCUCCUGGCCGUUCCUCUUUGAGGUUCUGCGCCAAUUUGGGUUCGGGAAUCGCUUCCUCGAAUGGAUCGCCAUCCUCCUGUCCUCGGCAAGCACUCGGGUGUAGUUGAUUGGUGUCCCAGGCCCACUGAUAUGGCAUAAGGGAGGGCUGCGGCAGGGGGGACUCCUUGUCCCCGCAGCUGUUCGUGCUCGCGGUCGACACUCUCGGCCGGCUGAUUCGGCGCGCCCAUGAUACGGGCAUCCUCCAGCCGCUGCAUCUGCGGAGGCCGAUACCGGCUAUAUCCCUAUACGCCGACGACGUCAUGCUCUUUUGCCAUGCCACGGAGAGUGACGUGACUGUCGUCAAGGAAAUCCUUGACCUGUUUGGUAGAGCGUCCAGCCUCAAGGUGAACUACACCAAGAGCUCGGCCACGGUCUUGCAUCGGGAAUAGGUUGCCUCCGAGAUGAUCACCAGCUUGGGGUGUUCGACUGCCGCGCUCCCGGUCACCUACCUCGGUAUACCUCUGACGAUGCGCCGCCCUUCCGCCGGGCAGUUGCAGCCCCUUGUCGACAAGGUCACCGGACGCUUGCCCACCUGGAAAGCAUGGCUCAUGAACAGAGCCGGCAGGCUCGCCCUCGUCAAGUUCUUCCUUUGCACUAUCCCGGUGCACCAGCGGGUUGCAUUUGCCCCCUCGAAGAAAAGACUGCAGCAACUCGAGAAAAUUCAACGAGGGUUCCUCUGGGCCGGGCGAGCCAUCACCAACGGCGGGCACUGCCAUGUGAACUGGCAUCAUGCUUCCCGCCCGCUCGCGCUUGGCAGCCUUGGGGUUCGUGAUGUCGAGCGCGUUGGACUCGCGCUCAGGCUGCGGUGGCUCUGGCUCUCGCGAACGGACGAAGGGCGCGCCUGGCAGGGGCUGGACCUCCAAUUUUCUAGCAACGAGCGUACACUGUUCUUUGCCUCCACCUACAUGACCAUUGGAAAUGGCAUGAACGCCCUGUUCUGGGAGGAUCGAUGGCUCAACGGGCACUCGGUUGGCGAGCUCAUGCCCCUGUUCUACAGCUGCAUCCCCAAACGCCGGCGCAAAGCUAGAACGGUGGCCGAAGGUCUCAACUGCAACGCAUUGGCCCAUGACAUCCAGGGCGUCCUCGUCAUCCACGAGAUAGGCCAGUAUCUACAGCUUUGGCAACUCACGGAACAGGCUAUGCUCAGCGAUGCUCCUGACCAGCUGAUCUGUAAGCAGACUGCGAGCGGCAUCUAUUCGGCGCAGUCUUGCUACGCGGCUACCUUCCAAGGAUCAGUGCACUCCUACUCUUGGAAGUUGAUCUGGAAGGCUUGGGCUCCCCCUCGACUCAAGUUUUUCCAUUGGCUUGCCAACCUGGAUCGCUGCUGGACUGCCGAUCGACUGGCCUGCCAAAGACUGCAGCAUCAUCUGUGCUGCCUUCUUUGCGAUCAGGCGCCGGAAAUGAUCCGGCACCUCAUGCUUGACUGCCCCUUCUCUAGGCAGGCAUGGCAUGAGACCCUGGCCUGGCUACGCAUACCGGCGUCGAUCCCCAACCAGGAGCCCACCCUCAUGGACUGGUGGCGGCACGCCGCAAGCACAACGCAAGGCCCUGCAAUCCGUAGUGCUACUCGUACCAUGGCUCGUCUGGAAGCAUAUGAACAGCCACGUCUUCGACAGCGCGACGCCCUCCCUAGGCACGCUAGUCGACCGGAUCAAGGAGGAAGCCGACUCCUGGGCUAAGGCCGGAGCAGUAGGCCUUAGAGUAGUCCUACCCCCUUUAUGGGACGUGCACUGAGCAUUGUAUCUGAUCCUUCAUUAUUCAUCCUAGGACGACUGUAACUGACUCCCUACCUUUUCAAUGAAAAGAAACGGAAAGGUCUUUUGCAUUUUCUCGAGAAAAAAAAGAAUGACCUUGAGGCAAGCUCAAUGAAAAUACGUUUUCCAAAGGUUUCAAGACUAUCUUCCUUGUGCUCUGGGAUAAAGCCAUUUGCAAUUCAUAGUCAGAUCAGCUUGUCCACAUCAAUCUUGUAAUCCUUUGGAAAUAUAGCACAAAAGGAAAAGCAUUGCUUCAUGUGUGAUGGCAAGUCAUUGUAGCUAAGCUUUAAUAUUGGCAGAAUCCAGUUUCCAAAGUGCAAAUGCUGCUACUAGAUGAUAUAGCCUUCCACUCUUCGACGCUAGUCUUGGUACGAAGUACAUAGCCCAAUGCAGUUGCAGCUAAAGGAGAGCCAGAACAUCAGCUUACAAUCUCAUCAACCAUCUUGCUUAGCUCGACAGGCUUUUCUUUCUCCGAACUGAAUGCUCUAGCCUCAGUAAUUUCCUUUACGAAGAAAUCCUCCACAAUAUUGAGAUUGUAGGCUCUACCUGCACCCAUAAUUUCAGUGACUUGUUUAUCACGAGUUCUUGUUAACAUUGCACUACCCAUGCCACCAUGUUGAGGACAGACCUUCAGCCUUCCCAACUUAUAGACCUCUCUGUUCCAGACAUCAUCCAAUACAUGGAGAUACCUGUGCCCGCUGUCCAGUUUUUGAAAUCUAUCCAAAGGUAUCAUAGACCUCUCUGGGGGAUGCCCGCUGUACCCAGAGCUGCAACUGAAAAUGAUUCUGAAUUUCAGGUUCAUUGUAUAUGAGUUACGCUAAUGUGGUCUUGCCAAGGCCCCCCAUUCCAACAAUGGGAACUACUGCGAGAUCAGUAUUGCUAGCUUGACCAAGUAGUAUGUCAACGAUAUUAUUCUUAUCUCCGUGUUUGGAUCUGUUGGCAAUUUCUUGUUGGUCGCUGAUGACAUAAUCUGUGUGCCUCCACUCCUUGGACACUCGUGUUUGCCUCAACUGAUUAGACACCAACAACGUCUGCCUCAACAUAAGCGCGACGCGUUGUUGGGCUAGGCCCAGAACGGUGCGCGGGCAGGUGGGGCGUAUUUUUACCGUAGUAACUGUUUCGUCCGCUGCGCUUCCCCACGACCUGCGUUGAACACGCACGUGGAGGGUCGUGCGUGACGUGGGGGUCAUGCGUGGGGCGGUCUCCACACGCAUGCGUCACAUCGCAUUUAAUGGGAAAAGAGGCGGCCCACGCCUUCCCCGUAAAAAGGAAUAACAGCGGGCGCGCUGUUCAUUUACCCCCUGCGUCUUCUUCAAUCUCGGAAUCGCCGUCCCCUUCUUCUUCCUUCUCAAACUCUCGCCUUUGCUCGUUGCCGCCGCAUCUUCGCUGUCCUCCGUCCUUUGCCUCUCGCAGCCGCCAUGGCCCCCAAAACAAGUAAAGGAAAGGGAGUGGCCAAGGAUGCCGGGGCGAAGGAGCCGCCGGAGAGCGAGUUGGUGGCGCGGCGGACGCAUCUCGCCUACUUCCCCUCGACGGUCGACGCGGUCGAACUCCGGGACUACUUCAGGNNNNNNNNNNNNNNNNNNNNNNNNNNNNNNNNNNNNNNNNNNNNNNNNNNNNNNNNNNNNNNNNNNNNNNNNNNNNNNNNNNNNNNNNNNNNNNNNNNNNNNNNNNNNNNNNNNNNNNNNNNNNNNNNNNNNNNNNNNNNNNNNNNNNNNNNNNNNNNNNNNNNNNNNNNNNNNNNNNNNNNNNNNNNNNNNNNNNNNNNNNNNNNNNNNNNNNNNNNNNNNNNNNNNNNNNNNNNNNNNNNNNNNNNNNNNNNNNNNNNNNNNNNNNNNNNNNNNNNNNNNNNNNNNNNNNNNGCGUGUCAUCCCCGCCAAUUGCGCCGAGGCCGCCCCGAAUCGGUAUCCGUUCUUCGUCGAUUACUUUUCUUGCGGUCUCUGCCCCCCUUUCUCCGAUUUCUUCAAUGAUGUCAUGCACACAUUUGGCUUCCACCUUCUGGAUUUCACUCCCAAUGCCGUGGCGUGCAUGGCUCUUUUCGCCCAUCUCUGUGAGGGCUUCGCCGGAGUUCUUCCCAACACAUUGCCCUUCCGCUAUUAGUUUUACCCUCGCAUCCAAAAGGGAGGCGCCAUCUCUGGUUGCGUCGCCUGGAUACCAAGGUCCAAAGGGACGUACCCGGAGGGCGCCCAGAAGGAGAGGUUGGAAGAGUGGCGGGGCCGGUGGUGCUGGAUUGGGGAGGACGACCCGCCGGAAUUUUUCCGGGUUCGUCAGGCGCCGCCGGUUCGCAGGAACGACUGGGGCGAUGUCAACGCCCUGGAUGACAAGCUCAAGGUCGCCACCACCAGGAUUCACCGCCUCACCGUUGCCGGGCUCACCCUGGAGAUGAUUGGGGCGGACUUGAUCCGCCGCCGAAUCGCUCCACUGCACAACAAGGGGAGACCGGCCUGGCUCUUCCAAAACGCGGCUGACAUCAUGAGGCUUCACUCUGGCCUCAACAACAACUUCACGGUGAUGGGGCACGCCCACUUCUGCUAGCGGAUCUUUCAGCUCGACGUGAACCGCGACGGCAGGGCCAAGAGGUCCGGCAAGGCUGCAAAGGCCGGCAAGGUCCUCAAGGGGCCCUUGUUUGGGUUGCCAGCGGGGGUGGUCCCGCUGAGCAACAACUCGCGCCAGACCGACAUCAUCGCCAUGAUGUCGGACUACAAUGCACACGGUCCCGUCCCAAAUUGGUUCGAGCCGCUAGCGGAUCAGGUGCAGGAGUUCUUUGAUACUUUGGCGGAGAAGUAUGUCUGCGACGAGCCGCUGCUCAUCUAGGACACCACCCAAGCAGAGCUGGACUACAUCGCCGCCAGGGCGGCGGAGGCGGAGCUCGCUAGGGAGGCCGGCAGCGCUGGCGGCAUGGAGGACGAGGUCGCAGCAGCCGCAGAGGAGAGGGAGCUCGCCCAGUGGGAGGAAUCCGAUGGGGAGGCCAGCAGCGCCAGCACCGGGGCCCCUCUUAUUGAAGAUGUGGUCGACGAUUCGGAGGAGGAGGAGGUCGAGGCUGUCGAUCCUCCGGUCAUGGGGAGAGGGCGAGUCCUGCGGCGGGCCAGCUCCGGCAAGCCGGUCCAGCCCGGCAGGGCUGUGCAACCGCAGCAGACCUAGGAGGGGUAUGUGCGCCAGACAAGGGCCGCGGUGGCGAGGAAGUUGGUGAAGGCCGUGGUGGCGAAGAAGAAAGCAACAACCUCUUCUUCGUUCAAGCGUGGCCAGACUCCACCUUCUUCCCCUCCUCGGGCAGACGUUGACACGGAGGUCGUCUUCGACUUUGGGUCCCUCAGCCCAAGGAGGAAGAGGAAGGCAUCAGAAGAGGAGGUGGAGGAUGAGUAAGUUUCUUGUUACUUUUUGUCAUCUCCGUCUCCUCAGACUGUGCUGCUUAUCUCGAUUUGUUUUCAUCUUUGCAGGGAUGCGGAGACGCUGGCCCAGAGGGUGAAGAGGGCCAGGUCCUCGGCUGGCGGCCGGCCUCCGGCGGGCACUUCGAGGAUGCCACUAGUGGUGGUGAGCAGCCCGGACAGCAGUCCCCGAAGCAGCCCCCGGCGUAAGUUCCCCACUCGUCCCUCGUCAACGUGUGUUGGGGGUACGAUCCCUUGGCGCUAACCUUGCCGUGAUUGCAGGAGGAGGACAACAGGAGGAGGAGCCACGGAGGGUUACCCCCAACACGCUGCCCCCAUCGACCACGCCGCCCCGAGGGGUGGUGUCUACUACGCAACCUUCUUCUUGUAGACGUUGUUGGGCCUCCAAGUGCAGAGGUUUGUAGGACAGUAGAAAAUUUCCCUCAAGUGGAUGACCUAAGGUUUAUCAAUCCGUGGGAGGCGUAGGAUGAAGAUGGUCUCUCUCAAGCAACCCUGCAACCAAAUAACAAAGAGUCUCUUGUGUCCCCAACACACCCAAUACAAUGGUAAAUUGUAUAGGUGCACUAGUUCGACGAAGAGAUGGUGAUACAAGUGUAAUAUGGAUGGUAGAUAUAGGUUUUUGUAAUAUGAAAAUAUAAAAACAGCAAGCUAACUAAUGAUAAAAGUGAGCACAAACGGUAUUGCAAUGCGUUGAAACAAGGCCUAGGGUUCAUACAUUCACUAGUGCAAGUUCUCUCAACAAUAAUAACAUAAUUGGAUCAUAUAACUAUCCCUCAACGUGCAACAAAGAGUCACUCCAAAGUCACUAAUAGAGGAGAACAAACGAAGAGAUUAUGGUAGGGUACGAAACCACCUCAAAGUUAUUCUUUCGGAUCGAUCUUAUUCAAGAGUUCGUACUAGAAUAACACCUUAAGACAAAAUCAACCAAAACCCUAAUGUCACCUAGAUACUCCAAUGUGACCUCAAGUAUCCGUGGGUAUGAUUAUACGAUAUGCAUCACACAAUCUCAGAUUAAUCUAUUCAAACCAACACAAAGUACUUCAAAGAGUGUCCCAAAGUUUCUACCAGAGAGUCAAGACGAAAACGUGUGCCAACCCCUAUGCAUAGGUUCAUGGGCGGAACCCGCAAGUUGAUCACCAAAACAUACAUCAAGUGGAUCACGUGAUAUCCCAUUGUCACCAGAGAUACGCACAUGCAAGACAUACGUCAAGUGUUCUCAAAUCCUCAAAGACUCAAUCCGAUAAGAUAACUUCAAAGGGAAAACUCAAUCCAUUACAAGAGUGUAGAGGGGGAGAAACACCAUAAGAUCCAACUAUAAUAGCAAAGCUCGCGAUACAUCAAGAUCGUACCACCUCAAGAACACAAGAGAGAGAGAGAGAGAGAGAUCAAACACAUAGCUACUGGUACAUACCCUCAGCCCCGAGGGUGAACUACUCCCUCCUCGUCAUGGAGAGCGCGGGGAUGAUGAAGAUGGCCACCGGUGAGGGUUUCCCCCUCCGGCAGGGUGCCGGAACAGGGUCCCGAUUGGUUUUUGGUGGCUACAGAGGCUUGCGGCGGCGGAACUCCCGAUCUAUUCUGUUCACCUAUGUUUUUAGGGUAUAUGGAUAUAUAUAGGCGAAAGAAGUCGGUAAGGGGAGCCACGAGGGGCCCACGAGGGUGGAGGGCACGCCCAGGGGGUGGGCGCGCCCCCUACCUCGUGCCUUCCUUGUUGCUUCCCUUACGUACACUCCAAGUCUUCUGGAUUGCUUCGGUUCCAAAAAUAACUCUCCCGAAGGUUUCAUUCCGUUUGGACUCCGUUUGAUAUUCCUUUUCUGCGAAACACUGAAACAAGGAGAAAAACUGAAACUAGCACUGGGCUCUGGGUUAAUAAGUUAGUCCCAAAAAUAAUAUAAAAGUGCAUAGUAAAUCCCAUUAAACAUCCAAGAUGGAUAAUAUAAUAGCAUGAAUACUUCAUAAAUUAUAGAUACGUUGGAGACGUAUCAGCAUCCCCAAGCUUAAUUCCUGCUCGUCCUCGAGUAGGUAAAUGAUAUAAGAAAUAAUUAUGAAGUGUGAAUGCUAGCAGGUGCACAAGUUUGAUCAAUGAUAAUUUCAAUCACCUUUUCAAGCAUCAUUAUAUGUCAUAACAGUAGCUCAACUCAUAAAACUUUUCAUGAUCAAGUAACAAGCUAUUCACAUAUUAAAGCAUAGACCAUAAACUUUCUUGAAAACUAACAAACUAUGUUCUCAGUCAUCAAACAAUUGCAAUUCAUCUUAUUUUCAGGAAGGGUCUAUGUAAGAGCUUUGAUUUAGCAAAUCCCACAUACUCAACUAUCAUAUAGUCUUCCAUGAUUGCUACCACUCAAAGCAUAUUUUCGGAACAAAUAGCAUCCAUCGAACACAGAGAAAGAUAGGGGCUUAAUGUUUCGCCUCCCAACUUAUUUAUCAUAUAGAUAAUUGUCAACAAUAAUAAUUCAUGAUCAAAUAUAUUUGAAUGGCCAUAUAUGCUUAGAUCUUUCCAUCACAUGAUGCUUGCCAACUAAAAAGUAGGUUGGAAUGAGAAGGAAUACUACUGACUCUUGCAUAAAAGUAAAAGAUAGGCCCUUCACAGAGGGAAGCAGGGAUUUGCAGAGGUGCCAGAGCUCGAAGCUAAAACAGAGAUGAAAAUAAUUUUGAGAGGUAUGCUUUCAUUGUCAACAUAACGACCAAGAGUUCCCAAUAUCUUCCAUACUACAUACAUUAUAGGCGGUUCCCACGCGGAAAGGUAAAGUUUUUACUCCCCCUCCACCAACAUUCACACUCCACGGCUUGUCCGAAACAAUGGGUGCCGUCCAACUAUCAACAUUCUUGGGGGAGUUUGUUGAAAUUAUUUGUGAAUUUGUUUUUGAUCUUUUGAUCAUAGGACUGGGCAUCCCAGUUACCAGCCAUUUUCUCGUGAAUGAUGAGCGGUGUCCACUCAUCGUGAGAAUAACCCACCCAGCAUGGAAGAUACUGACAGCCCCUAGUCGCUACAUGAGCGAUUCGGGCAUACAAAACAGAUUAUUAUUUGAAGGUUUAGAGUUUGGCACAUGCAAAUUUACUUGGAACGGCAGGUAAAUACCGCAUAUAGGUAGAUAUGGUGGACACUCAUGGAAGAAACUUGGUUCGAGGAAUUUGGAUGCACAAGCAGUAUUCCUGCUUAGUACAGACAUUUUGGCUAGCAAAUGAUUCUAAAUAGCAAGCACCACAAGUUAGAGGAUCCAUAACAAUAUAACUUCUAUACAAAUAUACCCAAGCAUAACUCAUUAUGUUGUCUUCCUUGUCCAACUUCAACUAAUUUGCUCAGGUUUGCUAAUAAUUAAUGGGGCUCACGAUCAUAGAAGAUGUCCAAGAUAGUAUUAUAUGUGAAAUCUCUCUUCCUUCAAUAUUCUUUCAUGAAUUGUUCAAGUGACAAAUACAAAGUUUGCUAACCUUCAAAAAAUUUACCACCUCUACUUCUUAUAUGUGAAGUCAUUACUCCCCAUGGGAUAAGUAUAUGAAACAUAUAUAAUUUCAGAUUUAUAAUAUUCAAAUCAUUCAACUAUUUACUCAUAGGAUAUAAGUGAAGCACACGAGUAAAUGACAAACUACUCCAAAAAGAUAUAAGUGAAGAUCAAUGAGUAGUUAAAUAAUUAUGUAGUUAUCUGAAGACUCUAUCUCAUUUAAGAAUUUCAGAUCUUGGUAUUUUAUUCAUACAGCAAGCAAAACAAAAGAAAAUAAAAUGACGCUCCAAGUAAAACACAUAUCAUGUGGUGAAUAAAAAUAUAGCUCCAAGUAAAGUUACCGAUGAACGAAGACGAAAGAGGGGAUGCCAUCCGGGGCAUCCCCAAGCUUAGGCUCUUGGUUGUCCUUGAAUAUUACCUUGGGGUGCCUUGGGCUUCCCCAAGCUUAGGCUCUUGCCACUCCUUAUUCCAUAGUCCAUCGAAUCUUUACCCAAAACUUGAAAACUUCACAACACAAAACUUAACAGAAGAUCUCGUGAGCUCCGUUAGCGAAAGAAAACAAAACACCACUUCAAGGUACUGUAAUGAACUCAUUAUUUAUUUGUAUUGGUGUUAAAUCUAAUGUAUUCCAACUUCUCUAUGGUUUACAAACUAUUUUACAAGCCAUAGAUUCAUCAAAAUAAGCAAACAACACACGAAAAACAGAAUCUGUCAAAAACAGAACAGUCUGUAGUAAUCUGUAACUAACGCAAACUUCUUGAACUCAACAAAUUCUACCAAAAUAGGACGACCUAGAUAAUUUUAUUAUUGAUCUGAUGCAAUUGGAAUCAGUAUUUUAUCACGUUCUGGUGAUUUUAAACAAUUGUUUUCGUGAACAGAAAGUUUCUGGAAUUUUCAGCAAGAUCAAAUAACUAUCAUCCAAGAAGAUCCUAUAGGUCUUACUUGGCGCAAACACUAAUUAAAACAUAAAACCACAUCUAAACAGAGGCUAGAUAGAUUAUUUAUUGCUAAACAGAACCAUAAAGAAAGAACAAAAAUAAAAAUCGGGUUGCCUCCCAACAAGCGCUAACGUUUAACGCCCCUAGCUAGGCAUGAUGAUUUCAAUGAUGCUCGCAUAAAAGAUAAGAAUUGAAAUAUAAAGAGAGCAUCAUGAAAAAUAUGACUAGCACAUUUAAGUCUAACCCACUUCCUAUGCAUAGGGAUUUUGUGAGAAAACAACUUAUGGGAACAAUAAUCAACUAGCAUAGGAAGGCAAAACAAGCAUAACUUCAAAACUUUAAGCACAUAGAGAGGAAACAUGAUAUUAUUGCAAUUCAUACAAGCAUACAUUCCUCCCUCAUAAUAAUUUUCAGUAGCAUCAUGAAUGAAUUCAACAAUAUAACCAGCACCUAAAGCAUUCUUUUCAUGAUCUACUUGCAUAGAAAUUUUCCUACUCUCCACGUAAGCAAAUUUAUUCUCAUCAAUAGUAGUGGGAGCAAACUCAACAAAAUAACUAUCAUGUGAUUGAAAAUUAAGAUCAAGAUGACAAGUUUCAUGGUUAUCAUUAUUCUUUAUAGCAUACGUGUCAUCACAAUAAUCAUCAUAGGUAGGAGGCAUGCUUUCAUCAUAAUAAAUUUGCUCAUCAAAACUUGGGGGACAAAAAAUAUCAUCUUCAUCAAACAUAGCUUCCCCAAGCUUGUAAUCAUGCUCAUCAUUCAAAUAUUUAGUGCCAAACAUUCUAAUGCAUUCUUCCUCUAGCAAUUGAGCGCAAUUAUCGGAAUCCUUAUUUUCACGGAAGACAUUAAAAAGAUGAAGCAUAUGAGGCACACUCAAUUCCAUUUUUUGUAGUUUUCUUUUAUAAAAUAAACUAGUGAUAAAACAAGAAACUAAAAGAUUCCAUUGCAAGAUCUAAAUAUAUACCUUCAAGCACUCACCUCCCCGACAACGGCGCUAGAAAAGAGCUUAGUUGACGGGGUGUGAGUGCCGCUUACCUAGCCUCCCCGGCAACGGCGCCAGAAAAGAGCUUGAUGUCUACUACGCAACCUUCUUCUUGUAGACGUUGUUGGGCCUCCAAGUGCAGAGGUUUGUAGGACAGUAGCAAAUUUCCCUCAAGUGAAUGACCUAAGGUUUAUCAAUCCGUGGGAGGCGUAGGAUGAAGAUGGUCUCUCUCAAGCAACCCUGCAACCAAAUAACAAAGAGUCUCUUGUGUCCCCAAAACACCCAAUACAAUGGUAAAUUGUAUAUGUGCACUAGUUCGGCGAAGAGAUGGUGAUACAAGUGUAAUAUGGAUGGUAGAUAUAGGUUUUUGUAAUCUGAAAAUAUAAAAACAGCAAGGUAACUAAUGAUAAAAGUGAGCACGAACGGUAUUGCAAUGCGUUGAAACAAGGCCUAGGGUUCAUACUUUCACUGGUGCAAGUUCUCUUAACAAUAAUAACAUAAUUGGAUCAUAUAACUAUCCCUCAACAUGCAACAAAGAGUCACUCCAAAGUCACUAAUAGAGGAGAACAAACGAAGAGAUUACGGUAGGGUACGAAACCACCUCAAAGUUAUUCUUUCGGAUGAUCUUAUUCAAGAGUUCGUACUAGAAUAACACCUUAAGACACAAAUCAACCAAAACCCUAAUGUCACCUAGAUACUCCAAUGUCACCUCAAGUAUCCGUGGGUAUGAUUAUACGAUAUGCAUCACACAAUCUCAGAUUGAUCUAUUCAAACCAACACAGAGUACUUCAAAGAGUGUCCCAAAGUUUCUACCGGAGAGUCAAGAUGAAAACGUGUGCCAACCCCUAUGCAUAGGUUCAUGGGCGGAACCCGCAAGUUGAUCACCAAAACAUACAUCAAGUGGAUCACGUGAUAUCCCAUUGUCACCACAGAUAUGCACAUGCAAGACAUACAUCAAGUGUUCUCAAAUCCUUAAAGACUCAAUCCGAUAAGAUAACUUCAAAGGGAAAACUCAAUCCAUUACAGGAGUGUAGAGGGGGAGAAACAUCAUAAGAUCCAACUAUAAUAGGAAAGCUCGCGAUACAUCAAGGUUGUACCACCUCAAGAACACGAGAGAGAGAUCAAACACAUAGCUACUGGUGCAUACCCUCAGCCCCGAGGGUGAACUACUCCCUCCUCGUCAUGGAGAGCGCGGGAAUGAUGAAGAUGGCCACCGGUGAGGGUUCCCCCCUCCUGCAGGGUGCAGGAACAGGUUCUCGAUUUGUUUUUGGUGGCUACAGAGGCUUGCGGCGGCGGAACUCCUGAUCUAUUCUGUUCCCCGAUGUUUUUAGGGUAUAUGGAUAUAUAUAGGCGAAAGAAGUCGGUAAGGGGAGCCACAAGGGGCCCACGAGGGUGGAGGGCGCGCCUAGGGGGGUGGGCGCGCCCCCUGUCUCGUGCCUUCCUCGUUGCUUCCCUUACGUACACUCCAAGCCUUCUGGAUUGCUUCCGUUCCAAAAAUAACUGUCCCGAAGGUUUCAUUCCCUUUGGACUCCGUUUGAUAUUCCUUUUCUGCGAAACACUGAAACAAGGAGAAAAAACUGAAACUAGCACUGGGCUCUGGGUUAAUAAGUUAGUCCCAAAAAUAAUAUAAAAGUGCGUAGUAAAGCCCAUUAAACAUCCAAGAUGGAUAAUAUAAUAGCAUGAAUACUUCAUAAAUUAUAGAUACGUUGGAGACGUAUCAAGGGGCGUCCCCGGCAAGGGCGCCAAGCACCGAGCCCAUGCACACAGAGGAGGAGGAGGCAGACUUGGGCGCUAGUGGCUCCGCCUCGGUGCCAGAUGUUGGCAGGGAAGGGGCUACUUCUUCCCAGCCCGGCACGGGUACGUCACUUGCCUCCUGUCCCUGCUUUUUCUUCUUCUUUUUGAAUCUUGGUCUUGGCUCCGCCUCAUCCCCUUCUCGAUAUCCAGACCCUCCCUCGGCGGACCGGGAGGACAUAGACACCGUCAUCGAGGAUGUCGCCAAGGACACCGCGGCGGAGGCCGAGAAGAUUGCCGCCGAGGAGGCCGCCAAGGGCGCUGCCGAGGACGCCGCAAAGCGAUCUGCCGGGGAGUCCGGCAUGUCUACUGCCAAAGUGGCCGGCAAGGGGCCUGCCGGGGAGGCCGGCAAGGCCGCUGCCGGGGAGGAGGUGGUUAACGACCAACCUUCCUCCUCUGCUGCCUCUGGUUCCGGCAGGUAUCUGAAGGUGAGCGACGACCUAUUCGUCAACCUCCUAGGGACGGCGAGCACUAGGGCGCCCACCGAGGGAGAGGUGUUCGACGAGGAGGUGCUUGCCGCCGCUGGGCUCGAGGUUGUUGACGAGUCGAGCGCCGGUGGCGACGGUUCCCAGGAAGAGCGGCUCCUUCAGGCCAUGGGCGCCAGCUUUCGGAAGCUCCAGGCGCUCCACCGCGCCCGCCUGGACAAGGCCAAGUCCAGGAUGGCAGCGGUGGAAAAGGCGGAGGCGGACCUCGAGGGUCGCAUCGUCGAGACGCAGGCUUGGUUCCGCCAGGGCUGCGAGGAGCUGAAGACCGCCCAGGACGAGCUGGCCAAGCGCAAGGUGGAGCUCGUCAUGAAGCAGGCCGACAUCGAGAGGGGCCAGGAGUUGGCGAAGAACCAGGCCGCCAAGGACGAGGUCGCUCGGUCCCAGCACCAGGCCGCGCUGAACUCCCAGGAAGAGGACCUUGCCGCUCGCGAGGAGAAGCUCGCCGUGACACUCCGCGGCAAGGACGAGGAGGUCAAGAAGCUUGUCCUGCAGCGGACCCAGGAGUUGGAGCAGAAGCACGAGGAGGCGCUCAAUGCCCAGGCUUAGGUCCACGCCGGCAAGGUGAAGGAGCUGGAGGUGGAGCGGGACGAGCUGAAGAAGCAGGCCCUGGAGUUGACGGCGGAGAGGGACGCUGCCAAAGGUGCCCUGGCCGACGCGCAGGCCGCAGUCCUCAGCAAGGCCGGGCUACUCUCCACGGCCAACGAGACCAUCAAGGACCUGAAGCUGAAGCUGGAGGGCCUUGAGGGGACGCUCUCGGAGGCCAAGGCCCGGGAGGAGACCCUGGCCAAAGAUUUGGAGGCCGAGAAGCAGCUGCGGAAGAACGAAACCGCCAACCACAAGGAUUUUGUGGAGGGCGAGAACCGCUGGAUCAGCCGCCUCAAAGGCGUCGCCGGCAGGAUCACCACGCAGCUGGCUACGAUGGGGAUGCCAAAUGUGAGGUACGCCCCGGAGCCCAAUGUGACUCCCAAUGCCAAGCUGACCCUAUUCUUCGAGGGUGUCCUUGGAGCCCUGGAGCAUCUUCGCUCCAGCAGGGCGGCCUCUUUGGCCGAUGAGGCCCGGAAGCUUUGCCGGGGUGCCAUGACCAAGGUCCUCACCAAGGUGGCGUACUGGAACCCCGACCUCGACUUCGACGCCGCACUAGAGAGCUUGCCGGAGGAUGCUGACCUCGCGGCGCUCAAGGAGCGUAUCAAGCCCAUCAUCAGUCGCGUCGACGGAAUCCAGAGGGUGGAGGGCCAGCGCUGGGAUUAGGCACCCCGUUUCUCAUUGCCGCUGCAGGUUCAUGACCAUGACAAUUUCUAUCUUUAGUUAGAACCGCGGCAACAACUGAUGUAAUAUAACUCUGCAGUACAUUCGUGAUGAUGUAUGUUAUCUUCCUGUUUGAUCUUCCUUUGUAUGUUCACCCUACGUUAAUCGGGUAGGCUUGCCGGCGCGUAAACCCAGGCCGCGGCGCCUUGAGGAUGGAUCCCCAAUGGCCUGCCGGGUAUGCUUGCUGCCAGGCGAACCACCUUACCGCAUUAGUAGAAAACAGGGCUUUGGUUCCGGCCUGGCCAGCCCAUUAGUCCCGGUUCUUCAUGAACCGGGACCCAUGGGGGGCAUUAGUCCCGGUUCAUGAGCCCAGGGGGCCGUCCGGGGCCUCGUGGGCAUUGGUCCAGGUUCCUCUGGAUCCAUUUGUACCGGUUCUAGAGGGCCGCGCUCCUUGCCCACAGCCAUUGGUACCGGUUCGUGCCUAUAACCGGGACAGAAGGGGGGGGGGCUUUAGUACCGGUUCGUGCCACAAACCGGGACAAAUAAGUUGCCUAUAUAUACUCGUCGCCGCAGCAGAGCACUCCACAGUGCUCUGUUUUUUCUGGCCGGCGAGGGGAGGGCAUUUGGGUGCUCUAGCUCACCUCCUAUGCACAUGAGGUGUUUGAUGAAAUGCCCGAGCGACACUAGUUAAGCUUUCUCCUCUUGAAGCUCGACCUCGGAGCUCCAUUUUUCCCAAGAUUUGUCUAGAUUUAGCGGUCCGUCACGCCCCGUCCCCGUUUUCACCGCCGUCAAUCGCCCGUGCCGAUCUCGUCGCCGGCACCAUCGUGGUGAGCCUCUUGUUCUUAUCUUCUUUCUGAUUUGCUUAAUUUAGAUAGAUACUUGUCUGAUUUUCUUACUUUUGACACACAUAAUUAUAUAUAAUGCACGCAGAUGAACCGGCAAUGGAUGUACGGUGACAGACACACCUCCGAGUACAUUAAGGGCGUGCAUGAAUUUCUCGAAGUGGCAGAGGCAAACAAGCAGAAUGGUUUUAUGUGUUGUCCAUGCCCUAAAUGUGGGAAUACGAAGUCUUACUCUGACCGGAAAAUCCUGCACACCCACCUGCUUUACAAGGGUUUCAUGCCACACUAUAAUGUUUGGACGAGGCACAGAGAAAUAGGGGUUAUGAUGGAAGACGACGAAGAAGAAGAGGACGAUGACAACUAUGUGCCCCCUGAAUACGGUGAUGCUGCAACGGGGGGAGCUGCCGAAGAUCAAGAGGAACCAGACGAUGUGCCCGAUGAUGCUGCAAUGGGGGAAGCUGCUGAAGAUCAAGAAGAACCAGACGAUGUGCCCGAUGAUAAUGAUCUCCGCCGGGUCAUUGUCGAUGCAAGGAUGCAAUGCGAAAGUCAAAAGGAGCAGCUGAAGUUCGAUCCCAUGUUAGAGGAUCACAAAAAAGGGUUGUACCCCAAUUGCGAAGAUGGCAACACAAAGCUCGGUACCGUACUGGAAUUGCUGCAGUGGAAGGCAGAGAAUGCUGUGCCUGAGAAAGGAUUUGAGAAGCUACUGAAAAUAUUGAAGAAGAAGUUUCCAAAGGACAAUGAAUUGCCUGACAGUACGUACGCAGCAAAGAAGGUCGUAUGCCCUCUAGGAUUGGAGGUGCAGAAGAUACAUGCAUGCCCUAAUGACUGCAUCCUCGACCAUGGUGCGUACAAGGAUUUGAACGCAUGCCCGGUAUGCGGUGCAUUGCGGUAUAAGAUCAGACGAGAUGACCCUGGUGAUGUUGACGGUGAGCCCCGCAGGAAGAGGGUCCCUGCGAAGGUGAUGUGGUAUGCGCCUAUAAUACCACCGUUGAAACGACUAUUCAGAAACAAAGAGCAUGCCAAGUUGAUGCGAUGGCACAGUGAGGACCGUAAGAAAGACGGGAAGUUGAGAGCACCCGCUGACGGGUCGCAGUGGCGAAAAAUUAAGAGAAAGUACUGGGAUGAGUUUGCAGGUGACCCAAGGAAUGUAUGGUUUGCUUUAAGAGCGGAUGGCAUUAAUCCUUUCGGGGAGCAGAGCAGCAAUCACAGCACCUGGCCCGUGACUCUAUGUAUGUAUAACCUUCCUCCUUGGAUGUGCAUGAAGCGGAAGUUCAUUAUGAUGCCAAUUCUCAUCCAAGGCCCUAAGCAACCCGUUAACGACAUUGAUGUGUACCUAAGGCCAUUAGUUGAAGAACUUUUAUAGCUGUGGAAUGGAAACAGUGUACGUGCGUGGGAUGAGCACAGACACGAGGAAUUUAACCUCCAUGCGUUGCUGUUUGUAACCAUCAACGAUUGGCCCGCUCUCAGUAACCUAUCAGGACAGACAAACAAGGGAUACCACGCAUGCACGCACUAUUUAGCUAACACCAAAAGUAUAUACCUGGACAAAUGCAGGAAGAAUGUGUACCUGUGCCAUCAUCGAUUUCUUCCGACCAACCAUCAAUGUCGAAAGAAAGGCAAGCAUUUCAAAGGCGAGGCAGAUCACCGGAAGAAGCCCGCCAUGCGUACCGGUGAUCACGUACUUGCUAUGGUCAAUGAUUUACACCUAAUGUUUGGAAAGGGUCCCGGCGGACUAGCUGUUCCGAAUGACGCUGGGGGACGCGCACCCAUGUGGAAGAAGAAAUCUAUAUUUUGGGACCUGCCCUACUAGAAAGACCUAGAGGUCCGCUCUUCGAUCGACGUGAUGCACGUGACGAAGAACCUUUGCGUGAACCUGCUAGGCUUCUUGGGCAUGUAUGGGAAGACAAAAGAUACAGCUGAGGCACGGGAGGACCUGCAACGUUUGCACGAAAAAGACGGCAUGCCUCCAAAGCAGUAUGAAGGUCCUGCCAGCUAUGCUCUUACCAAAGAAGAGAAGGAAAUCUUCUUUGAAUGUCUGCUUAGUAUGAAGGUCUCGACUGGCUUCUCGUCGAAUAUAAAGGGAAUAAUAAAUAUGCCAGAGAAAAAGUUCCAGAACCUAAAGUCUCAUGACUGCCACGUGAUUAUGACGCAACUGCUUCCGGUUGCAUUGAGGGGGCGUCUACCGAAAAACGUCCGAUUAGCCAUUGUGAAGCUAUGUGCAUUCCUCAAUGCAAUCUCUCAGAAGGUGAUCAAUCCAGAAAUCAUACCAAGGCUAAGGAGUGAUGUGGCGCAAUGUCUUGUCAGUUUCGAGCUGGUGUUCCCACCAUCCUUCUUCAAUAUCAUGACGCACGUCCUAGUUCAUCUAGUUGACGAGAUUGUCAUUCUGGGCCCCGUAUUUCUACAUAAUAUGUACCCCUUUGAGAGGUUCUUGGGAGUCCUAAAGAAAUAUGUCCGUAACCGCGCUAGGCCAGAAGGAAGCAUCUCCAUGGGCCAUCAAACAGAGGAUGUCAUUGGGUUUUGUGUUGACUUCAUUCCUGGCCUUAUGAAGAUAGGUCUCCCUAAAUCGCGGUAUGAGGGGAGACUGGCUGGAAAAGGCACGCUUGGAGGGGACUCAAUAAUAUGCAGGGACGGAUAUUCUUGGUCUCAAGCACACUACACAGUUCUACAGAACUCUACCUUGGUGACCCCUUAUGUCGAUGAACACAAGAACAGUCUGCGCUCCAAACACCCGGAGCAUUGCGACGACUGGAUUACAUGUGAACACAUCAGGACUUUCAGCAGUUGGUUGGAAACACGUCUCAGAGGUGACAACACUGUUUGUGAUGAGAUGUACUCGUUGUCCAGGGGACCAUUUUCGACUGUAUUGACUUACAAAGGAUACAAGAUAAAUGGGAAUACAUUUUACACGAUCGCCCAAGAUCAAAAGAGCACCAACCAAAACAGCUGUGUCCGCUUUGAUGCAGCAACCGAGAGGGGAAAGGACACAUAUUAUGGUUACAUAGUGGACAUAUGGGAACUUGACUACGGACAUGAUUUUAAGGUCCCUUUGUCUAAGUGCAAAUGGGUCAAUCUGUCAGGAGGCGGGGUACAGGUAGACCCACAGUACGGAAUGACAACAGUGGAUCUGAACAAUCUUCGGUACACUGACGAACCUUUCGUCCUAGCCAAUGAUGUGGCACAGUUUAUCUAUGUGAAGGACAUGUCUACCAAACCGAGAAAAAGAAAAGAUAAGGAAGCGAAUACAUCAUACGAUGAGCCAAAGCACCACAUAGUUCUUUUAGGAAAAAGGGACAUCGUGGGAGUGGAGCGCAAGACAGACAUGUCUAAAGAUUAUGAAAAGUUUCCUGAAAUUCCUCCCUUCAAAGUCAAGGCUAACCCAAGCAUCCUAAUAAACGAUGAAGAUUAUCCAUGGUUACGGCGCAAUAAGCAAACGACACAAGCGAAGAAAAAGUGAAGACUUUCUCUCUACAACUAUUAUGAUGAUGCCUUUGAUCUAGAAUAUCACUGCAAUUACAUGUGAAGAAAUGAAAUGCAUGUUGUAACAAACGAGUUUCCGUGUGAAAUGAUGAUACCAUGCCAAUUUGCAACCUUAUCGGAGUUCAUUUGAAAUGGUUUUCAAUUUCCGGGUCUUAUAGCUCAAAAAAGCAGUAAAUGCAUGAAAAAUAACAAAUGAAGUCAGAAAGGGUUGAAAAUUGAUGAUGUUGCUUUGAAUGGUGCAUUUUGAACACACAAGAAGUCUGGAGUUCAAAUAAGUUCGAAAAAAUGAAAUCCCUUUGUAACAGAUGAGCUUUCGUGCGAAACCCUGAUACUUCGAAAGAGAUUGUCCGUUUUGUACACAAAGUGCAUCUAGUUUUUGCCGUAACCCUCUCAACUUUCUUGCACAUGCUAUGUGGGUGAAAUGAUGAUAGCAUGCCAAUUUUCAACCUUUUCGGUGUUCAUUUGAAAUGCUUUUCAAUUUUCGGGUCUUAUAGCUCAAAAAAGCAGUAAAUGCAUGAAAAAUAAUAAAAUGCAUAAAACUAUAAUAUUUGUUAUGAUCACUAAAAAACUAAAAUCAAUUAAAAUAUUAAAUAGCAGGAAAAAGAAUCACUCAAAAAUCUAUUUUUAUAGUAAAUUUAUUCAUAAAACUAGUGAUUCACAUACAUUUAAAAAAAAUCAAAUUUUAAAACUAAUGGCACUAACAGAAAGUUUAUAAUUUUGUGACCCAAAAGCAAAAAGAAAUCACUAAAAAACUAUAAAAUUUAGUUUUAAGUAGAAAUAAAAAAAUAAAAAGAAAAAAAGGAAAAAAAAUGCCACCUACUGGACCUCCUCGGCCUAAAUACGACUAGAAACCCUACAAUGGGCCAGGAUUCAGGCCCGCAGAAGGCCCAAUAGGCCCAACAGGCAUGGCAAAGUAGAGAUUAGGCCCGUAAGCCUGCAAUAGAGAGGAGCUCGAGAGGGUGGCGGCAGCAAAGCUUAUAAACCACCCCGAGCCCCUCUCAACUAGCGAGGUGGGACUAAACAUCCCACCGCACCGUGCCAGCACAAGGCCUAUGGUCCCGGUUCAUGCCACCAACCGGUACCAUAGGCGGGCAUUCGUACCGGUUCGUGGCACCAACCAGUACCAAUGCCCACCUACGGUCCCGGUCCGUGCCACCAACCGGGACCAUGGGCCUCUGUUUCCCGCCCUUGGGGCUGCCGAAAAGAGACCUUUGGACCCUGUUGGUGGCACGAACCGGGACCAUAGGUAGGCAUUGGUACCGGUUGGUGCCAUGAACCGGUACCAUUGGUUUUGCUAUAUAAGGUAGCACUUGUGAAAAUUUCGCCAACUGCUCCCCCAUUCCCCCCGACGCCGCCAGGCCGUUCCUCGUCGUCGUCGCCGUCGCCGCCCCGAGCCCCUGCCCCGACGNNNNNNNNNNNNNNNNNNNNNNNNNNNNNNNNNNNNNNNNNNNNNNNNNNNNNNNNNNNNNNNNNNNNNNNNNNNNNNNNNNNNNNNNNNNNNNNNNNNNNNNNNNNNNNNNNNNNNNNNNNNNNNNNNNNNNNNNNNNNNNNNNNNNNNNNNNNNNNNNNNNNNNNNNNNNNNNNNNNNNNNNNNNNNNNNNNNNNNNNNNNNNNNNNNNNNNNNNNNNNNNNNNNNNNNNNNNNNNNNNNNNNNNNNNNNNNNNNNNNNNNCCCGACGACGUCGCCGCGCCCUUGACCCGCCGUUGACGUCGUCCUCACCGUCGCCGUCGUCGUCACCGCCCCCGAGCCGCUCCUCCCAGAGCCCUCGCUGUGCGCGUACCCCUCCCCCAAGAGCCCACCGUCCUCGUCGCCGUCAUCGUCACCGGCCUCGUCGUCGUCCUCGUCACCGGCCUCGUCGUUGUCCGGCCUUGAGCCCCCAGUGAGCCCCUUCCAAUCCCGAUCCGUGCACUGCCGCAGCUGCCGCCGCCCCCCCGCGCCGCGCCGCCGCCCCUGUUUUUUAUAUGUAUGUAUGUAUGUAUCUAUGUAUAUGGAUGUAUGUAUGUACGGAUGGAUGGAUAUGCAUGUAUAUGGAUGGAUGUAUGUGUAUGUGUUCAUAGUUUUUUUUUGUUCAUAGUUUUUUGUUGAUAGCAUUUUUAGGCUGUAUAGUUUUAUUUUUGUUCAAUUUUUAUGGUUAGAAGAGGAGAGGAAAAAAUUGUGUUGCUAAAGUUACAUUUAAGGUUAGUUGAUUUAGUUCAUUUUAGGUUAUUAGUUCUACUGUUAGUGCAUUUAAGGUUAGUUUAUUUUUAGUUGAACUAGUUGAUUUAAUAAAACUAAUUUAUUUUACUAUACAUAUAAGUAGUUUAUUUUUAGUAAGUACUACUUUAUUUUAUUUAUAGUAAGUGCUUAGUAGUUGAACUAGUUGAUUUAAUAAAACUACUUUAUUUUACUAUAGAAGUAGUUUAGUUUUAGCAAGAAAAUUAAUAGAAUUAGUUUAUUUUUUAGUUCAAGCAAUUAUUCCCGCAUCGACAUCGACGAUGCCUAUCCCGCAUCCUCGUCGUCGACUCGGCGGAGGAGGCCGACUUGAUCAGAGGGGCCAUGUCCGGGACUGGGCUCCGCCGGGCUGGUAUUGGGAGGUGCUACCUUCCGGGGGGCGUAGGUUGGUGAGGAGCCAGCCCGUCGUUGACCCGAUCCUUGUUUGGUGGCGGUCGCGUGGGCCAGUGACUGUAUCGAGGCUUCCGGACACCGCGGAGGUGGUACGUCACCAUGUCAGCGAGGAGGACGAGCACGCCCGUCGCUACAUGGUUGCGUUGGAGGGCAGGUUCGACAAUACCUGGCAGCUUCUUCAGGGAUCUCAUUGGAGCUAUGAUCAUGUGAUGGUUCCUUCUCUUUGGGCAUCCACCGCCCGCGCCGAUACCCGUCGGGCGCUACGGUUCUAGCUGUACUAGCGAUGCUAUAUGUAUGAUAGUAUUCGAGGUGUAUUAGUGAUAAUAUUCGACGAUGUACGGACGCAAGAGAUGAUGUAGUUUUGCUUAUAAUUGAAUGCAUCCUAAUUUGAAUACUACUUUAUUUUGCGAUCUGAUUUUGCUUAUUGAAUGCUCAAAUUGGAAAACUACUCCUACUUUGAAUGCUAAAAUUAGAGAGCACUAUGCAAGGCGUAUGCAUAUGAUUAGUUGAUAGCUUAUAGUGUUUUUGUUUUCGCAAAAAUAUAGGAGCCCCCAACCAUCAUCCCCGCCGUCGUCCCCGUCACUGACCCCCUCCGACGUCGAGGUGAGACCAGCCAAAUCUCCAUGUCAAUAUGAGUCCUAUAAUAUGAGUCCUCGGGUCGACUUUAAGUCUGUCGAGUCUCCACCAUAUAUGAAAGGACGAAGAAUCAUGACUGUUGUCGUGGGGGUAGCUUCUCCUUCGUUCCCGUGAUGAAUAAUAAUGAUCUAACUUAGGUUUUUAGUACAUAUAUUUAAUUGUAGAUGUUUAAUAUUUGAAUUAUGAACAUAGGAAAUGUCGUACUCAGACUACGAAAGUCUCCCGGGGGAGUGCGACUGGUGCCACGACGACCGAGGUUAGUGCGACCGGCCUCACCUGGACGAAGAUCAGCGCUUCAGCAUUAAGCUGGAGGAGACCUUCGAUGUUGAAACGGUACGCAACGACGACAAGUGUUAUUUUUUCGUAAUUAAGCACGACUUCAAGUAUUUCAACGUGUACUUCUUAUCUUUUACAAUUCGACUAGCUUAUCCCAUGCCAUGCAAGACGCUAUGUCUUGGAGAGGAUGGGUUUUGAAGACCAGGAAAGUUUCGAAACAAAGAAAAUUCAUCUAAGGACCCAUCAUGGUGUGGAUUUUGAAGUAAAGCGGUACAAUUCUGAGAGCGUAACCCAUUUUGGUUGCAAAAAAUGAGAAGCACUUUGCAAGAUGUAUGGUUUUGAUGAGGGUAUGCUUGUCACCAUUGAUCUUGGUGACCCUGAAAUCGAGCAAGACAAUAUGGACAUUUGGGUCCUUGUUGAUACGCCUCCAAUUCUACCGCUAUGUGAGUUUCUCAAACAUAGUUAUUAGCUAAUUUAUAUUGUUUAUUUCAAAAUAGUUGACAACUUAUUUCCAUUGACAGCUUAUUUUGAUUGUUCAAACAAUGUGCGGAACAUGGUAGACAAAACCCACUACACCGAUGGCUCCGAAUUAACUUAUCAGGAGAAAAAUCAUCUGGUCUGAUUUUGUACUGAUAUUGAGAAUUACAAUAUCUAGAAUCAAACUCCUCAACAUUAUUGUCAAUACGUGCCACUAGUGCACGUGUUGAACUACAGUAACUACCAUGGAGAUACCCUGGUAAGAUUUUUUACUAUUACGACAUCCGUGCAUCUUUUGCAUACUUCUAAAACUAGUACAUCAUUGCUAACUAUGAAGUUAUUACUAUGUUUUUCAACAGAGAAUCCCAGAGGAUUGUGUGCCUCAUUUGAUGUAGCAGAAUGGCAGCCUUCGUGUUUUGAACAUAUAUCCAAGUCAUCCAACGAAUCUCAACUGUCCAUACCGGAUUUAUCAAUGAAGUGGAGACAUGCUAAUCAAAAAAUGGAAAAAAUGUAUGGACAGUCGUAAGGAGGUUCUUGGAAGCAAAAGGAAGCGAAGCGUAAGAAUUGGAGACAGGAUGAUCUCCAUUCUCCAUAAUGGAGAGUCAGGGUCUAUAUUGUUUUAUGCUAUUUUACCUUAAAGAGGGUAUUUAGGUCCUACCUAAUACUGAUGAUCAUGUGCUAAGAACAAUUAAGUAGGGCUGGUUCGAUGACUAUGAGGAUGAUGAUCGUAUGACUUGUUAUUAAUAACGAGUAGAAGUUGUAUGAUGAUGAUUAGUAGGACUUGUUAUUAUAUAAGAUGAUGCAUGAUGCGAGCAUGAAGAGUUAUUAUAUAUCAGCGGGUGAAAUGAACAUGGAUUGGAUUGAAGUGAAGGCAACAUGCAUGUGGUGCAUGUCGAAAGUACUACAAUCCAAACUUGAUCAAAGUUAGGAUUAGUAUUACUUUCGACAUGCACCACAUGUUGCCUUCACUUCAAUCUAAGCCAUGUUUAGGCAUAGCAGUAGCGUUGGUAAACCAAGCACGGAGAUAUAAGAGAGGACACUUCUCUCUAUUAUAUUAGCUAGCUAAUAACAACCUAAAUUAACCCCCAAAACCCCUAAAUCAGCCCCUUUAAAAAAACAAAAAGCUCAACUCCAGCCAGCUGCUGACGCGUGGAUGCCUUUUGGUCCCGGUUGGUGUCACCAACCGGGACCAAAGGCCCCCCUGCCUGGGCUGGCCGUAGUGGCCACGUGGAGGCCCAUCUGUCUCGGUUCGUGUAAGAGCCGAGACUAAAGGCCAAGGGCAUUAGUAACGACCUUUUAGUCCCGGUUCCUAAACCGGGACAGAAGGCUCUUACGAACCGGGACAAAUGGCCCUUUUUCUACUAGUGCCGCUCUAAACGCGGCCGCUCGAACUGUUGAGCUUGACUCGAGUCAGAAUCGAGAGCGUUGCCGAUUGCGGAAGGCUAUGUUGCCGUUCUCGACGCGGCCGCUUGAGCUAUUGAGCGGACUCGAAACAGAGUAAGGGCGUUGCCAAUAGCGGAAGGGCCCCUUUGCGUGCAUGUUUUCCAUACAUAGGGCAGGACCUUCGAGUACAAUAACCUUCUAUAUAAAAAGAUAUUGCUUAAAGUUUCACACGACUUAGCUUUUCUGUCAUUGCACGGGCGUCCACCGCAUCUGCAGAUGGUGCCGUCAAGCUUGGUCGUCUUCUAUCUUGGAACGACGGCCACGAUGAAGCCGCUGCUCCGAUCAGACCAAAUUUCCACAACUGCGCCCCCUACCUAGCGCGCCAAAGAUGUCGGGGGAAAUCGACACCUAUGGAAUCACAGGGAUCCCUUCUACGGUUGGCGGGCGCGGGGUUGUGCAAAGAGCAGGUCUGACAGGAAGCACGCAGAUCGUUUACCCAGGUUCGGGCCGCGGAGAUGCGUAAUACCCUAGUCCUGCUAUGGUGGAUGUAUUCGAGUGUUCUUGUGUUCUUGAACUAGCUACGGGGUGUAACUUGCCCAGAAGAUCCGAAUCCCUGUCCUGGAUGCCUCGGGCCUCCUUUUAUAGACAAAAGGGGUUGCCACACUGGCACACAGGAGGUGGAAAGGUGUACAGUGGAUGAGUCUAUCCUCUGGCACCGUUGGACGAACACAUUUAAUGCGCUGCCAACGUGACCCUCUCGCUUUAUCGGGGACGGUCAAGGAAGCUCGUCCCAGCUGUCGCCGCCUCGCCUGGCUUCGACACGCGUCCGAGCUGACGAGGCGUCGUGGCGCCACAUUGGCUGGCUGCUGGGCUGGCGCGGUGGUGGAGCCUUCACGAAGGUCUGCAUGCCACCACGCAGGUGCUUGCUGUGUCGGUGUAGAGGCCGCUCGUCGCCACGCAGGUGCCUGCCCAGCUGGUUGGGCUAGCAGCUGCACGGGGACGGCGGUGGAGUCUUGGCAGGCGCGGGCCUGGCUGUGGCCCCGCUGAUGCCCUUGGCAAGGGUCUUGCCGGGGGCCCGGCAAGGGUCUUGCCGUGGUGCCGCGGUCGUCCCCGGCAAGGCGCUUGCCGGGGGUCUCGUGGAUUUCCUCGGCAAGGACCUCGCCGAGGAUCAUCGUCUUCUGGUCCUCAUCUGAUCUUGUGUAUUUAUGAUCUUCACAAAGAUCAGCAUGCCACCACGGAGGUGCCUCCCGAGCCUUGGUCCCAAUGUGGUUGAUGGCGUUGGAACCCUUGGGCUCAAUGGAGGCGCGCUUCGUUGGCGUCAGGCAAGUUGCCCCGGCAAGGCUCUCGCCGGGGCUGAGGAGGCCGUCCCGGCAAGGGUCUUGCCGGGGGAGUCCACCUCGCCCUCUUGCCCUUUGUGUCUCUGGUCUUGGCAUUGCCAUGGCUGUCUUGUGCUCCGGCUUCCCUCCUCUGCCCUGCUAAGUGUGGCCGUGGGCGCGGCUCUGACUACCAGUGCACAAGUAAAGGGGUCAAAAGGAGAGCCCCUAGUUUUAUACACCGACAUGUAUCCUCCCAGAAUCUCGUAGAAGUACCGUUACUGAUCACAAGCUUUGUCUGAUUGAAAAAAAUGGAUUUAACUCUCAUCAGUCCUUUCCAAAAGGGCUAGUCCAUUGGCCUCACUGUGACCUGGGAUAAAGUUCUGGAAUGAAGGUACUUAUUACGCAGUAUUUGUGCCCAUGUAGCCCCCGUCUCGCUAGAUAGCUUAUACAGCCAUUUGCUGAGAAGACAUAUGUUCUUCACCUUAAGAUUUUUGAUACCUAGACCCCCUUGGUCUUUGGGUCGACAAAUAAUAUCCCAUUUAGCGAGUAUACUUUCUCUUCAGAUCAUCACUUUGCCAGAAGAAACGGGAUCGAUAGAAAUCUAGUCUUUUCCGAACUCCAACUGGUACCUCGAAAAAAGACAAGAGAAACAUGGGCAUGCUCGUGAGAACCGAAUUAAUAAGAAUUAAACGGCCUCCAUAUGACAUGAGUUUGCCAUUCCAGCAACUGAGUUUCUUCUCAAAUCGAUCCUCAGUGCACUUCCAUUCUCUCUUUGUUAGCUUACGAUGGUGAAUUGGUAUGCCCAAUUAAGUGAAAGGCAAAGCCCCCAAUUCGCAUCCGAACAAUUGCUUAUAUGCCUCUUGUUCCUCAUUGGCUCUUCCAAAAUUGUAUAAUUCGCUCUUGUGGAAAUUAAUUUUUAGUCCGGUCAAUUGUUCGAAUAAGCAUAACACCAGCUUCAUAUUUCUCGUUUUUGCCAAGUCAUGGUCCAUGAAGAUGAUAGUAUCAUCGGCGUACUGUAGGACAGACACACCUCCAUCCACUAGAUGAGGUACCACAGGAGAGCACCUGCGAUAAUUAUAUCAUGCCACACGAGUACAAAGGAUGAAGCAUCUUAGACGUUUGGAAUAGAUUUGGGCAUCACAUACGAUUUAUUUUUCCAAAAAGGUAUGCAUGAUUGGGCUCUAUCUGUAGGAGAUAUGCCCUAGAGGCAGUAAUAACAGUUAUUUUGUAUCUCCAAGUUUGUAAUGAAUGUUUAUGAUCCAUGCUAUAACUGCAAUGAUUCUCGAGUCUACAAUAUCCACGAGGCUCGGAGGGAACUCAUAUGCACGUGUGGUAUUAUAAACGGUAAAAUAUAUUCCUAGUCUUGCCUCUAAGACUAGCUCAAGUAUUGCAUGAUGAUCCUGUUUCCUGAUCAUGGGCAUGACUAUGCCGGCAAUUUUGAGGGCACAAGUUUGGUAGAACGCUUGUGUUGAAUCAACCCGGAUUGAUGUUGUGCUAUGAGAUGCCUUCGUCACAAGUUUAUGGUUAAUAUCAUUGAGAUAGUUAAUGUUUGCAUAAUUCCUUAGACCAUGAGAGUAUCAAGUUCCUUCGUGCUUGCUUCGUGAACUUUGGGGUUUGUUAAACGUCAUCCGUAACUUGGUGGCUAUUAUGGCAGCUUUCGGGUUCACGGAAAAGUAUAGGAAGUAACAAGAUAGCUCAAGAUUGGGAUUUGCUCCUCCGACGAUGGAGAGAUAUACUCGGGCCCUCUCAGUGUAACGGUAUCCAUCAUCGUCUGGCCAGACACAUUGUGAUUUGAUCACUGGGAUGCCGGAACACGGAAACGAGAAAAGAGAACAAAACCGGUAACGAGGUAACUUGCAUGGUGGACAAAUUGUUCGUCCAUGGGCAUGCAAUAAAUCUCACCUCGGGUGUUUGUGACAUAUCGCGAAGCAACAGGAAUAGCUCACUACAACUAGAGGUUCACUCGAAUAUUCAUUCGUGUGGGUAUAGGGGUCAAUAUGGGUGUCCACGGCUCCGAUGUUGAUCAUUGAUCGGAAGGGGUUCCAGGUCAUGUCUAUACUUCACCGAACCUAUAGGGUCACACGCUUAGGGGUCAUCUAUCUGUUGAAUACUAGACAGGGAGUCUGAGAGAAAAUCACCGAAAAAGUUUCGGACACCGAAAAGUUUCGGACAGCGGAAUCGUACCGCAGAGAGAGGUCAUCGGAUAAGUUUCGAUGAUACCGAAAAGUUGUUUCGGGAUACACCAUUAAGUCAAAUUGGUUUCGGCACAUGCCUGAUAAUUCUUGGAGGAUGCCAGAAUCAUUCUGGAAGCUUUUUGGAAUUUUCUGACAUAAAAACCGGAAAUGUUCCGGAGCUGCCGGAGCCACUUCAGAUGCGUUUCGCAGAUGAAAAUCACUAAAACCGGAAUUGUUUCGGAACGCGUUGAAAAACAUUUUAGUGGGUACUGGAAAUGUUCUUAGCCCACAUAAAUAUUUUCAGUUCGAUCAGACGCUGAAAAAUGUCGUCGUGAAUAGUGAAAAUCAGCUUUAUGGUUACUUUAUGGAAAGCCACCUUUUGGGGCUUUGCUCCAAAAGAUCUUGGGGAUGACAUGGAUGGAUAGGACCCAUUUUUUGGGCCCCUCAUGGGGGUGUGGCCGGCCACAUGGGGUAUCCCCCCUUGGGGACCCUUUUGUUCAUUGGUUUCACUUCUAGGUCCUUGUGGAAGGACUUCAUUCAUGUGCAUUUUGGGUUUUUGUGUGAAACUACCCUACCCCUUGGGAUUUCCUAUAAAUAGAGGUGGAGGGGCAGCCCUCCACACUCAUCCCUUGCUCUCAUACACAUGCCAUGCAUUAUCUGGCUUCUUCUCUCCCUCCCACGAAAAGAGUUUCGUAGAGCCGUAAGGCUGUCUGGGUUCCGGCAGGAACUAGUUCUGGACGGCGAAGCCCUGCCGGAUAGCUGACACCGUAUGUGUGCAACCCCGUAGAGAGAUUGUAGUUUCGAUCUUUUGCCCGAGGGGCUGUUCGAGUGUCCUCCCGAAGGGCUGUCCGAGUCUCCGUCCGAGUUUCGAGGGUCCUCCCGAAGGGCUGUCCGCGACAUUGUCCGGGGGACUGUCCGACCGCCUCCCGAAGGGCUGUCCGGAGAGGGAGUACAUCCUCGCGGUUGGGAGGUUGUAAAUCCUAGCUGCGGGGAUCUGCACCGACGAUCUACACCGACUCUUCUUCCGCUGCGCUUCGAGUCGGUACGGAUCAGAUCAAACCUUGUAUGCAGUCUCCAUAGUGGUCCUGGGCGUGCUCGCUAUACCGAAAAUUUUCGUUUUCUGUCGCGUUCCCCUACAGUGGCAUCAAGAGCCGUGCUAUGCGUAGAUGCAGGUUACGAUCUAGAAUACAUGGAGAUGUAUGGGUAUUGCAUAAUAUAAUUUUGGAGUAGAUGAGAUGUAUUGCUGAAAAUUAUUUAUGCGGGUGACAGAUGAAAUCUGUUACCCGACGUUCUUGUUGCUUCCCUAGAAUUUGCGUUUGCUCAAUCUCGAGACAGGAUGGUGGAAUUUGACAAAGUUCUGGCAAUCCGUGAUCCUGAUUGAUCAUGGAAGUGCUAUCAGUUCUUUGGGUUCUGCCAUAGUCAAAAGAAAGAUGAAAUUCGCAGAUGAAAGGGCAUUGCAGAUAUGAUCUGCACGGGGGUCAUGCGUAUGACGAAGUUUAGUAUGGGGCUCGAGAUUUAAUUAUCUCGUGUUUCAUACACCCCGAGAUGUUAAUCUAGCAACUUGAAUAAUCAUACUUGAUGAUAAAACGUUGGUAGCUGCGGUUUAAGUCAAAACCUUAGAAGCCACGUAAAAUAAAAUUUUGCAUAAACCGAUUAGAGGCGUCUAACUUGGUUUUGCAGGAUGUGCAUGUGAUGUGGUAUAGCAAUGCUCAUAUUCAAUUUGAUUAUGUAUGAGAUGACUAUAUGAUGUAACUAACAUGACCUGCGUGUCAUGAUUCUGCAUGAUGGCUGGAGCCAUAUGAUUGCACUUUAAUGACCUGCGUGUCAACCUUAAGUAAUGCACUUAUUUUAUUAGCUAUAGAGAUAGCAAUAUUAUCUGGUGCAUCGACAAGGUGGUGGCAAUCUUCGCGAAGGUGAACACCGACGCAAAUGCCGAAGACGAAGAAUUGAAAGACUUCUCCGUCAGAAAGGGCUAUACCAUAUCAUGCUAAUUAUGAAUUGCCUGAGAUGUUUAUCCCCUAUGAUGCACCCUUCUUGAUUGCGCGGUAGUCGCUUUUAUUAGGGUGAUCUCUCACUUAAAAAUAUCAAGUAGAUAGUGUUCUCCCAAGUGUAGCACCGUCACGGCACCUAUCGUUUCGGGGUGCGCCGUGUCACACGGGUACGAACGAUUAGAGAAGUGUGAGGCGGGUGAGUUGAGACCUCGCAGCGAGAUCACUUGGUUGUCUUGACGUUCAGGCAUGACCGUCAUGAGCUCGGAACACACGCAUCGAAAGAUGAACAAGAGUCACAUAGUGAUGUGAUUGGCAAGUUGGCCUACCGGUUAAGAUUUUCGUCAUCAGUGGUGUUACACCAAUGGCGAACAAUCAAGACACGGAUCUUGAAUCACUCAUAAUCAAUUUUGAGAGAUAUUGAUUUGAGUGGGAGUGCAUUUUAGAAUAAAAUGUUUAUUCACUAGUGCAAAUUUCAUUAUAAACAAAGUCUAAGUGAAACUUGUGUCUUCGUUGUAGAUCAAAUGGCUCGCAACACCGCGUUCAACUUAGGCCCGAUGUUAGAGAAAGAGAAGUUAGCUACGACUGGAAACAACUAUGCGGACUGGGCCCGUAACCUGAGGAUUGUCCUCAGGAGCGCUAAGAAAUUGUACGUGCUUGAAACUGCUCUUCCAGCUAAACCGGCGGCAGAUGCACCGGUAGAUGAACAAAAUGUCUGGGCCACUAAGGAUGAUGAUCACAACUUAGUGCAGUGCCUCAUGCUAGCUUGCAUGAGUCCAGGGCUUCAAAAACGUUUUGAAUUCCAUAAAGCCCGUGAUAUGAUCCGGGAAUUGGAUGCUCUGUACAAGGAAACCGCAAAGUCUGAACGAUAUGAUAUCAUGAAGGCUUGGAUGGAUUGCAAGAUGGCUGAGGGUAGUUCAGUUGGCGAACACGUGGUCAAAAUGAUUGGCUAUUCUGAAAGGCUUAAAGCCCUAGAAUUUCCACUUCCACCUGGCCAUAUGAUGGACAUGUUGCUUUCUUCACUCCCCCCGUCUUACGACGGUUUUGUCAUGAACUACAACAUGACAGGGAUGGAGAAGACGCCGAAAGAAGUGCUCGCCAUGCUGAAAACUACAGAAGGAGGACUGCGGAAAAAUCGCAAGUAAGUGUUGCUUGUGAAUAAAACCGCCUGUUUCAAAAAGAAGAAAGGCAAGCCAAAGAAGGGCAAGGGCACCGGUAAGACCGGCUCCCAAAGCAACUCUAAGGGCGGAGCCAAGAAUGAAACUGAGUGCUUCUACUGCAAGGGCACAGGACACUGGAAGAGAAACUGCAAGAAGUAUCUGGAAGAUAAGAAGACCGGGAAAACCGGAAAAGGUAUAAUUGUUAUACAAGUUAAUGUCAUUGACGUUUUGCUUGCUAGCGAAAACUCUAAGUCUUGGGUAUUUGAUACCGGAUCGGUUGCUCACAUUUGCAACUCGAUACAGGGACUUCAGAAGGUGCGCAAGCUAGCAAAGAAUGAAGUCGUGAUGCGCGUCGGGAACGGCGCUGGGAUCGCCGCUCAAGCCGUCGGCAUUAUGCCUCUACGUCUCCCUUCAGGAUUUAUCUUAGAACUAAGUAACUGUUAUUUUGUUCCACUGUUGUGUAGAAACAUUAUCUCCGGAUCAUGUUUGGUACACGAUGGGUAUUCGUACAAGUCUGAGAACAAUGGUUGUUCACUUUAUUGUAAGGAUAUGUUUUAUGGAUUUGCACCCAUUGUUGGGGGCCUUUUCAUACUAAAUCUUGAAUGUGGAAGUGAUGUCUUUAACAUGAAUGCUAAACGCCUUAAGAAGGCUGAUACCACCACCACUUUCAUGUGGCACUGUCGCCUUGGCCACAUCGGUAAGAAACGCAUGCAAAGACUCCAUAAAGAUGGAGUUUUACCGUCCCUUGAUUUUGAAUCAUUUGACACAUGUGAAGCUUGCCUGAUGGGGAAAAUGACCAAGACGCCGUUCACGGGUCAUCCUGAACGGGCGGGUGAAUUAUUGGAAAUAAUACAUAGUGAUGUAUGUGGUCCAAUGAACACAGGCGCACGGGGUGGAUAUUUUUACUUCGUGACUUUUACUGAUGAUUUGAGUAGGUAUGGCUAUAUCUACUUAAUGAAGCAUAAAUCGGAAACCUUUGAAAAGUUCAAAGAAUUUCAGAAUGAGGUAGAAAAUCAUCGUAACAAAAAGAUUAAGUUUCUGCGGUCUGAUCGCGGAGGCGAAUAUCUUAGUCAUGAGUUUGGCCAACAUCUGAGUGAUCGUGGAAUCGUUUCACAGCUUACGCCUCCCGGAACUCCACAGAGAAAUGGAGUAUCGGAACGACGUAACCGAACCUUGUUGGACAUGGUAAGGUCAAUGAUGUCUCUUACAAAUCUUCCAAUAUCUUUUUGGGGUCACGCACUACUUACUGCUGCUCACACACUAAACAAAGCACCGUCUAAAUCUGUUGAGACGACGCCACAUGAGAUGUGGCACGGGAAGAAACCCGACCUGUCGUUUUUCAAAAUUUGGGGUUGUGAAGCUUAUGUAAAACGUUUACAGCCAAGCAAGCUUGAUCCCAGAUCAGACAAAUGUUACUUUGUAGGUUAUCCCAAGGAGACAGUUGGGUAUUCUUUCUACCACGCCUCCGAGAAUAAAGUGUUUGUUGCAAAACAUGGAGUCUUUCUUGAGAAAGAGUUUCUCACUAAAGAAGUGAGUGGGAGGACAAUACAACUCAAUGAGAUUAGUGAAUCUUCGGGAACCGUUGAUAUGGCUAAGGAACCGGAAGAAAUUCCGCUAAUUAUCCCUACAACCGAGCCGGAAGUUGUCGCAUGUGAUGCGGAGACUUCAGACAAUGUUGUAACUGAACCGCGCAGAUCAGGUAGGGCUAUCCAGCCACCUGAGUGGUUUCAUAACGAAAUCUUCAUUCUUGAAGACGAUGAACCUGCGCACUACAAGGAAGCGAUGGCGGGGCCCAGCUCAAAAGAAUGGCACAAAGCCAUGAGAUCCGAAAUGGAAUCCAUGUACGAAAACCAAGUUUGGAACUUGGAAGAACUUCCAGAAGGCAUAAAGCCCAUUGGUUGUAAAAUGGAUUUUCAAAAGAAAGACGGACGCGGAUGGUAACAUUACUAUCCACAAAGCUAGACUUGUCGCGAAAGGGUUCACACAAGUUCCAGGAGUGGACUACGACGAGACUUUCUCGCCAGUAGCUAUGCUUAGGUCUGUUCGGAUAUUGCUAGCAAUUGCUGCUUAUUUCGACUAUGAAAUAUGGCAGAUGGAUGUCAAAACGGCUUUCCUAAAUGGAAACCUCAAAGAGGAUGUAUACAUGAUACAGCCAGAAGGUUUUGUCAUUCAUGAGGAUGCUGGAAAGGUAUGCAAACUUCAGAAAGCCAUUUAUGGUCUGAAGCAAGCAUCAAGGAGCUGGAACAUUCGUUUUGAUGAAGUGGUCAAAGAGUUUGGCUUCAUCAUGAAUGAUGAAGAAUCUUGUGUUUACAAGAAGUUUAGUGGGAGCGCAAAAGCAUUUCUAAUCUUGUAUGUGGAUGACAUAUUGUUGAUUGGAAAUGACGUGAAUUUUCUUAGCGAAAUAAAAGACUCAUUGAAGAAAAGUUUUUCAAUGAAAGACUUAGGCGAAGCGGCAUAUGUAUUAGGCAUCAGGAUCUAUAGAGAUAGAUCAAAACGCCUGAUAGCGCUUAGCCAAAGCACGUACAUUGACAAGGUGUUGAAAAGGUUCAACAUGGAGAACUCCAAGAAAGGCCUACUCCCCAUGUCACCUGGCACAGUGCUUUGCAAGAAUCAGAGUCCUCGGACUCUGGAUGAGCGAGUACAAAUGAAUGAUGUUCCAUAUGCCUCGGCAGUUGGUUCUAUUAUGUAUGCCAUGCUAUGUACAAGACCAGAUGUUUCCUAUGCGCUAAGUGUUAGCAGCCGGUACCAAAGUGAUCCAGGGUUGGAACACUGGGCCGCAGUCAAGGGUAUUCUUAAGUACCUCAGAAGGACCAAGGAUUUACUCCUUGUGUACGGAGGUGAUGAAGAGCUCAUUGUAAGUGGUUACAAUGAUGCAGGCUUCAUGACUGACCCAGAUGACUUCAAAUCUCAAUCAGGCUACGUUUUCAUAUUGAACGGCGGCGCAGUUGAUUGGAAAAGUUCCAAACAAAAGACUGUGGCGGAUUCUACGACGGAGGCGGAAUAUGUUGCUGCUUCAGAAGCCUCCAAGGAGGCGGUAUGGAUCAAACAAUUUCUUGAAGACCUUGGUGUGGUUCGUAGUGCCCAGGACCCGGUGGAGAUCUAUUGUGAUAAUAGUGGCGCCGUGGCUCAGGCAAGGGAGCCAAGUUCGAACCAUAAGACAAGACAUAUUCAACGCAAAUAUAAACUCAUUCGACAUCAUGUCGAAGAGGGUUUAGUGAAAGUACGCAAAGUUCACACGGAUCUGAACGUGUCAGACCCGAUGACAAAGCCUCUACCACGAGCAAAACAUGAGCAACACCGGAUAGCCAUUGGUGUUAGGGAAGCCAUGUAACUGGAUUAUGACUCUAGUGCAAGUGGGAGUCUGUAGGAGAUAUGCCCUAGAGGCAGUAAUAACAGUUAUUUUGUAUCUCCAAGUUUGUAAUGAACGUUUAUGAUCCAUGCUAUAACUGCAAUGAUUCUCGAGUCUACAAUAUCCACGAGGCUCGGAGGGAACUCAUAUGCACGUGUGGUAUUAUAAACGGUAAAAUAUAUUCCUAGUCUUGCCUCUAAGACUAGCUCAAGUAUUGCAUGAUGAUCCUGUUUCCUGAUUAUGGGCAUGACUAUGCCGGCAAUUUUGAGGGCACAAGUUUGGUAGAACGCUUGUGUUGAAUCAACCCGGAUUGAUGUUGUGCUAUGAGAUACCUUCGUCACAAGUUUAUGGUUAAUAUCAUUGAGAUAGUUAAUGUUUGCAUAAUUCCUUAGACCAUGAGAGUAUCAAGUUCCUUCGUGCUUGCUUCGUGAACUUUGGGGUUUGUUAAACGUCAUCCGUAACUGGGUGGCUAUUACGGCAGCUUUCGGGUUCACGGAAAAGUAUAGGAAGUAACAAGAUAGCUCAAGAUUGGGAUUUGCUCCUCCGACGAUGGAGAGAUAUACUCGGGCCCUCUCGGUGUAACGGUAUCCAUCAUCGUCUGGCCAGACACAUUGUGAUUUGAUCACUAGGAUGCCGGAACACGGAAACGAGAAAAGAGAACAAAACCGGUAACGAGGUAACUUGCAUGGUGGACAAAUUGUUCGUCCAUGGGCAUGCAAUAAAUCUCACCUCGGGUGUUUGUGACAUAUCGCGAAGCAACAGGAAUAGCUCACUGCAACUGGAGGUUCACUCGAAUAUUCAUUCGUGUGGGUAUAGGGGUCAAUAUGGGUGUCCACGGCUCCGAUGUUGAUAAUUGAUCGGAAGGGGUUCCAGGUCAUGUCUAUACUUCACCGAACCUAUAGGGUCACACGCUUAGGGGUCAUCUAUCUGUUGAAUACUAGACAGGGAGUCUGAGAGAAAAUCACCGAAAAAGUUUCGGACACCGAAAAGUUUCGGACAGCGGAAUCGUACCGCAGAGAGAGGUCAUCGGAUAAGUUUCGAUGAUACCGAAAAGUUGUUUCGGGAUACACCAUUAAGUCAAAUUGGUUUCGGCACAUGCCUGAUAAUUCUUGGAGGAUGCCAGAAUCAUUCUGGAAGCUUUUUGGAAUUUUCUGACAUAAAAACCGGAAAUGUUCCGGAGCUGCCGGAGCCACUUCAGAUGCGUUUCGCAGAUGAAAAUCACUAAAACCGGAAUUGUUUCGGAACGCGUUGAAAAACAUUUUAGUGGGUACUGGAAAUGUUCUUAGCCCACAUAAAUAUUUUCAGUUCGAUCAGACGCUGAAAAAUGUCGUCGUGAAUAGUGAAAAUCAGCUUUAUGGUUACUUUAUGGAAAGCCACCUUUUGGGGCUUUGCUCCAAAAGAUCUUGGGGAUGACAUGGAUGGAUAGGACCCAUUUUUUGGGCCCCUCAUGGGGGUGUGGCCGGCCACAUGGGGUAUCCCCCCUUGGGGACCCUUUUGUUCAUUGGUUUCACUUCUAGGUCCUUGUGGAAGGACUUCAUUCAUGUGCAUUUUGGGUUUUUGUGUGAAACUACCCUACCCCUUGGGAUUUCCUAUAAAUAGAGGUGGAGGGGCAGCCCUCCACACUCAUCCCUUGCUCUCAUACACAUGCCAUGCAUUAUCUGGCUUCUUCUCUCCCUCCCACGAAAAGAGUUUUGUAGAGCCGUAAGGCUGUCUGGGUUCCGGCAGGAACUAGUUCUGGACGGCGAAGCCCUGCCGGAUAGCUGAAACCGUAUGUGUGCAACCCCGUAGAGAGAUUGUAGUUUCGACCUUUUGCCCGAGGGGCUGUUCGAGUGUCCUCCCGAAGGGCUGUCCGAGUCUCCGUCCGAGUUUCGAGGGUCCUCCCGAAGGGCUGUCCGCGACAUUGUCCGGGGGACUGUCCGACCGCCUCCCGAAGGGCUGUCCGGAGAGGGAGUACAUCCUCGCGGUUGGGAGGUUGUAAAUCCUAGCUGCGGGGAUCUGCACCGACGAUCUACACCGAUUCUUCUUCCGCUGCGCUUCGAGUCGGUACGGAUCAGAUCAAACCUUGUAUGCAGUCUCCAUAGUGGUCCUGGGCGUGCUCGCUAUACCGAAAAUUUUCGUUUUCUGUCGCGUUCCCCUACACUAUCGCAGCCGGUUAACUUGCGUUGUGUGUGAUGGACACCCUUUUCGCACACCUUCACACAGCGAUGCAUCAAAGGUACGUGAGCAAAAGGGGUUUUUAACCGUUUGUGUUGGACUUGCGUGCACUAGUGUGACAUGCGUUACUUAACCUAGCUUUUGUUUAGUUUAGUUAAAUUUCAAGUAGUUUUUUAUGUAACUUGUUAAAUUUUAUCAUAUAUGCAUAUAUGUAAUAUAUCGUACUAGGUUUAUUUUCAUUCGUAAUUCAUUUGAAAUGUGUUCCGAACCGGGGGGUGGUAGUUAAAUGCAGAAAAAACACCACAAUAGCCAUCUCAUUAGCAAAAACAACCACUUUACAAUUUGUGGCAAAAAGGACGACACGCAACAACGGACAGUGGCAAAAGAGCCGGUCGGGACCGGCUCUUUCAAAAUGUGGGGUCCCACUCACCCACUCACUCUCUCACUCACCAGCUCUCGCUCACACUCGACGCCGGUGCCGCUCCUGCUUGACGCUGCCACACAAUGCAUUCAUGGAAUGACGAAGAGGAGAGCAGCAAGGAUGCCCUCAAGUACAGCAGCAUGGAUAUGGAUUUGUGGGUAAGUUUCAGCGCUCAAUAACUAGACGUUUGGAUUAGGGUUAGUGUUUGGAUUUGGGGAUUUAGGGUUUGUGCUCGUUUCCAGCCUUAUUGAAAGGAUUUGUUAGUUAAUUUAGAUAUUGUCAAUGCAGGAGAACCCUGAGACCAUUGUGAAUUCAUUUUACUAUGGGACAGUGGCAUUUUCGGCCAUCAAAUCCAAGCUUUACCAGGCAAGAGCCAAAAAAUCUGUUGGUUUUGGUGACAGACACUAGGAGGAAACUUUAUGGCUGCACUGCACAAGUACUCCCUCCGUCCUAUAUUAAUUGAGCUAAAAUGGAUGUAUCUAGUACAUAUGGAUACUUUCAUUUCAACAACAAUUAAUAUGGGACGGGGCAGUAAUUUUAACUUGCCUUGCUGUUUCACCACUUUGCUCUGUAGCUGUUUGAUUUCGCUGUGUAGUUAUCUAUGUAGUGACGAGUCAUCUGAACUUAGUUGUAUCUUGUUCAUUUUGACUGGAUUAAACUUAGUCUUGCUGCUAUUAAAGGUUAGUCUGUAAUUUAGUAAAUCGAAAUUUAACUGAAUUUUGUUGUUCAAGUUCAGUAUGUAGUUUAGUGAAUCAGAAUUUAACGGAAUAUUGUUUUUCAAGUCCAGUCUGUAGCUUGCUGAAUAUGUAUUGUACUGAUUGUUGUUACUCAAGUUCAGUAUGUAGUUAAGUCAAUCUAAAUUGUAGUGUCAUCAUGUAGUAAAAUAGGUAGUAUAUGUGAAAGAAAUAGGCUUGAUUUAUUGUUGUGUAGUUUUGGAAACAAUAAAUUUUGAGAUACUUUUGUCUGUCUGAACAAUAUGUCACUAGUAGAAAACAGGGCUUUGGUUCGGCUAGAAAAGAGCAUUAAUCCCGGUUGCAUUACGAACCGGGACUAAUGUGAGCAUUAGUCCCGGUUCGAGUGGCUAGGGCACCGUACAAGCAUUAGUCCCGGUUCAAAUGGGACCUUUAGUCCCGGUUGGUGCCACGAACCGGGACUAAAGGGUGCGAUGCCCAUUAGUACCGGUUCGUGGCACCAACCGGUACUAAAGGUUAGACCUUUAGUCCCGGUUCGAGCCACCAACCGGUACUAAUGGGGUUUGAGGCAUUAGUACCUGUUCAUGGCACGAACCGGUACUAAAGGUCCCAUUGUCAAACUCUACCCCCACCCUGGAUCGCCUUUUCAGUUUUGUAAAAAGCAAAGAAAAUGAUAAAAACUUCAAAAAUUAAAAUCCUUCCAGAUGUAUAGUUAUGUUACUACAUGUACUAGUUAGGAAAAUUUAAAAACUUAAAUUUGGACAUGUUUUGCAAAAAGUGUAGGAAAAAUGUAAAACGGCUAUAACUUUUGCAUACGAUGUUAGAAAAAAAGUAUAAUAUAUCAAAAUGUUCAGCACGAAAAUCCGAAUCCGAUUUUGACCGCAUAUGACCCGUUUGCAAAUGUUUAGAAUCCUCAAAUUCUAAAAGGAAAAAAAGUUAUGCUCAAAUUUCUGUUUUUUUUAAUUUUUGUUAAAUCUGGUCAAACUACUUAUUCAAGAAGUAUUAAUGUUACUAAAUAAAUAUUCAAGAAUAUUAGUGUUACUAAAUAAUUAUUUCAGUUUUUUUGAAUUUUCGUCAAAUCUGGUCAAACUAUGGUCAAACUAAUUAUUCAAGAAAUAUUAGUGUUACUAAAUAAUUAUUUCGGUUGUUUUGAAUUUUGGUCAAAUCUGGUCAAACUGUGGUCAAACUGUGGUCGAACUAUGGUCAAACUACUUAUUCAAGAAAUAUUAGUGUUACUAAAUAAUUAUUGUUUUUUAGAACAAUAGUUUCAAACUCAAACAGUGAAAUGUGUGACUUCAUGCUCAAGCUAAGUUCCUGGGGGUUAAUAGGAUUGACAUCUUACUAUUGUCAGGAAAACAACAAGUGCAGACUUGGAAACGAGGGAGAAUAGAACCCGGAAGUUAAGCGUGCUCAGGCUGGAGUAGUGAGAGGAUGGGUGACCGUCCGGGAAGUUAGAUGAUUUGGAAUGAUGAGGGGUGAUUAGGGGUGACAAGUUUUUGAUUACUUGUCCGGUAAGUAUACGAAUUAGAAACCGAGUCGGUUUGGGAUUGUGGUCGCGACACAAUACCGCCUCUGGUCCUAAUAUAUAUACAGCUACCGGCUGCGGCCAGAGACACACCGAAAAACACCUAGGGUUUUGCCUCAUCUCACAACCUGCGCCGCCAUUGUAGUCUACUCCAUCCCAAACGCCGGCGUGCAUCGACGCGUGGGAGAGCAGGUCUCCGGAACCGUUCGUCUUUGCGAUCCUGCACCGGGAGAGGACGAAUUAGGUUUAUGGGAAGCGUUGUGCGCGACUGCUCAAAUUCGUCAUCACGGGUCGUCUUCCGUCCAAGUCGGGCGGUGCUACUCAUCGUCGUAUUCAUCGCCGUCAGCAGCAGAUCGUCACCAACAUCGUCAUCAACACUGUCACACCCUUAAUAGCUAACGAUCAGUACGUCCGACAUCCUCUGUUCAUGUCUGCUUCUACAGCUAUUGUUACGUGUUUGCUGCUGUUAUGCAUGUCUUGCUGUUCUUCUAGUUUGCUAGAUUAUUGCAUGCUAGUAUCUCUUCUAGUCAUGAAUUAUUUACUGGAAUCAAUCAUGAACUUGCCUAAUAUUCCAACAAUCCAAAAACCUAAUUAUAGGCAAUUUCCUGAGUUAACUAUGGCUGGAUUCGCUGAUGCACUGAGGCCGGAUAAGUUUACCGGUGUGCACUUUAAGAGGUGGCAGUUGAAGACCACGCUCUGGCUUACUGGUCUGAAAGUUUUCCACGCUAGUGUUGGUGCUCCAGAGGGAAUGACCGACGAAGAUCGGAGAAAAUUCCAGGAAGCCAAUACUAUGUUUGUGGGAUGCAUUCUGAGUGUUCUUGCUGACUGUCUGUGUGAUGUGUACAUGCACAUAAAUGACGGAAAGAUUCUGUGGGAUGCACUGAAUGCAAAAUUCGGUGCAACAGAUGCAGGCAGUGAACUGUACAUCAUGGAGAGUUUUCAUGACUACAAGAUGGUGAAUAACCGUUCUGUGGUUGAACAAGCUCAUGAGAUACAGUGCAUUGUGAAGGAACUUGAACUCCUUAAAUGUGUUCUACCUGACAAAUUCGUGGCUGGGCGCAUGAUUGCAAAGUUGCCUCCUUCAUGGAGGAAUUUCGCCACAACUCUGAAGCAUAAGAGACAGGAGAUAUCAGUUGAAAAUCUGAUUGCAUCUCUUGAUGUUGAAGAAAAAGCUCGGGCUAAAGAUACUACUGAAAAAGGAGGUGAGGUUCAGCCUACUGCUAACAUGGUGCAGAGGUACCCACAGAACAAGAACAAAGGGAAGAACAAACCUGUUUUCAACAAGCCUACCAAGACUACUACCUUCAAGAAGAAGAAGUUCAACAAGGCUGAGCUAGAGUGCUACGCCUGUGGGAAGCCUGGACACUUUUCCAAGGAAUGCCCUGAACAUGCAGACCGCAGAGGGAAAAUAAGCUCCAAGACUGUCAACAUGGUGACCGCUAGCAAUACUGAUGGGUAUGGUAAUUUACCUAUUGUGCUUUCAGUAUUUCAAUCAUCUUCGUGGUGGAUUGAUUCGGGUGCUAACGUUCAUGUGUGUGCUGACAUCUCCCUAUUUACUUCUUAUCAGGUCGCAAGGGAUUCUUCCGUCCUAAUGGGGAAUGGGUCACAUGCUUCGGGAAAGAUCGUGCAACUAAGGAACGUGCAGCAUGUCCCUACUAUGAACAAGAAUCUAGUUAGCGUCUCCCUUCUAUGUCGAGAUGGAUUUAAGGUAGUUUUAGAGUCCAAUAAAGUAAUCGUGUCAAGAUUUGGACAAUUUAUAGGAAAAGGCUACGAGUGUGGAGGCUUGUUCCGCUUUUCUCUUUCAGAUUUUUGCAAUAAGUCAAUAAACCAAAUUUGUGCUAGUGAUAAUGAUGAUGCAAGUAUUUGGCACUCUCGUUUAUGUCAUAUUAAUUUUGGUUUAAUGUCUCGGCUAUCCAGCAUGAGUUUAAUUCCGAACUUCAGAGUUGCCAAAGGUUCUAAGUGCCAUAGUUGUGUGCAAUCUAUGCAACCUCGAAAGCCUCAUAAGGCCGCCGAGGAGAGAAACUUGGCACCUCAAGAACUCAUACAUUCUGAUCUUUGUGAGAUGAAUGGUGUGUUGACAAAAGGUGGAAAGAGAUAUUUCAUGACUUUGAUUGAUGAUGCGACUAGAUUUUGCUAUGUUUAUUUGUUGCAAACUAAAGAUGAAGCAUUAGACUACUUUAAAAUCUAUAAAGCUGAAGUUGAAAAUCAACUAGAGAGAAAGAUCAAGCGUCUUAGGUCCGAUCAUGGUGGAGAGUAUUUUCCAAAAGUUUUUGAUGAAUUUUGUGAGGAACAUGGUAUUAUUCAUGAGAGGACGCCUCCCUAUUCACCUCAAUCAAAUGGAGUGGCCGAGAGGAAAAACCGCACAUUGACUAACUUGGUGAAUGCCAUGUUAGACACUGCUGGUUUAUCUAAGGCAUGGUGGGGGGAGGCUCUAUUGACUUCAUGUCAUGUCCUGAAUAGAGUUCCCAACAAUAAUAAGGAGAAAACCCCUUAUGAGGAGUGGGUUGGGAGAAAACCAUCACUUUCUUAUUUGCGCACUUGGGGAUGUUUGGCAAAGGUCAAUAUUCCUAUUCCUAAGAAACGCAAACUUGGACCAAAGACAGUGGAUUGUGUCUUUCUAGGGUAUGCUCAACGGAGCAUUGCUUAUAGGGUUUUAGUGGUAAAAUCUGAAGUUCCUGAUAUGCAUGUUGAUACUAUAAUGGAAUCUCGUGAUGCAACAUUUUUUGAGAACAUAUUUCCUAUGAAAGAUAUGCAUAGCAUUGCUAGAUUUUCUUCUGAGAUAAUUCCUGUAUCUAGUACAACUGAUGAAUAUUUCGAACAAUCACAUGAGGAAGUCCUUGAGAAGGAUAACAAUGAAGUUCCUAGAAGGAACAAGAGACAAAGGAUUGCAAAAUCCUUUGGUGAUGAUUUCAUUGUAUACCUUGUGGACGACACACCCAAGACGAUUGCAGAAGCAUAUGCAUCUCCGGAUGUAGAUGAUUGGAAAGAAGCUGUUCAUAAUGAGAUGGACUCAAUUAUUUCUAAUGGAACUUGGGAACUAACUGAUAGACCAUAUGGUUGUAAACCUGUGGGCUGUAAGUGGGUGUUCAAAAAGAAGCUCAAGCCUGAUGGUACUAUUGAUAAGUACAAGGCGCGGCUAGUGGCCAAGGGCUACACUCAGAAAGAAGGCGAAGAUUACUUUGACACCUAUUCACCCGUUGCUAGAAUGACCACCAUUCGAGUGUUACUUUCCUUGGCUGCCUCUUAUGGUCUUAUCAUUCAUCAAAUGGAUGUAAAGACAGCUUUUCUCAAUGGAGAGUUGGAAGAGGAGAUCUAUAUGGAUCAGCCUGACGGGUUUGUGGUUAAGGGUGAAGAGAGAAAGGUGUGCAAGUUGUUAAAAUCUUUGUAUGGUCUGAAACAGGCACCUAAGCAAUGGCAUGAGAAGUUUGAAAGAACUCUGACUUCUGCAGGAUUUGUCAUUAACGAGGCUGAUAGGUGUGUUUACUAUCGCCAUGGUGGGGGCAAUAGUGUCAUAUUAUGUUUGUAUGUGGACGACAUACUGAUCUUUGGUACAAACAUUAAUGCAAUUAAUGAGGUCAAGUCUUUUCUAUCAAAAAGUUUUGACAUGAAAGAUCUGGGAGAAGCCGAUGUAAUUCUAAACAUCAAACUUAUUAAGGAUGAGAGUGGGAUUACAUUAACGCAAUCUCACUAUGUUGAGAAGGUCUUGAACCGAUUCGGUUUUAUGGAUAGCAAGCCUUCUCCAACACCUUAUGAUCCCAGCGUGACACUCAGAAAGAACAAGAAAGAAACGAGAGAUCAAUUAAGAUACUCUCAAAUUGUCGGUUCACUCAUGUACUUAGCUAGCGCUACAAGACCAGAUAUCUCUUUUGCUGUGAGCAAACUGAGUAGGUUCAUGUCCAACCCGGGUGAUGAUCAUUGGCAUGCACUAGAAAGGGUCUUACGCUAUCUGAGAGGUACUAUGAGUUACGGAAUUACUUAUUCAGGGCAUCCUGCUGUGCUAGAAGGAUAUAGUGAUUCAAAUUGGAUCUCCGAUGUUGAUGUACUUUACGCAACAAGUGGGUAUGUAUUUACUCAUGGUGGUGGCGCAGUGUCAUGGAGGUCUUGCAAGCAAACCAUAUUGACGAGGUCAACUAUGGAAGCAGAAUUAACUGCUUUGGACACAGCUACUGUUGAGGCAGAAUGGCUGCGUGAGCUCUUGAUGGACUUGCCGAUUGUUGAAAAACCUGUACCGGCUAUUCUUAUGAAUUGUGAUAACCAAACGGUUAUCGCUAAAGUGAACAAUUCUAAAGAUAAUGCAAAGUCAUCAAGACACGUGAAAAGACGUUUGAAGUCUGUCAGGAAGUUGAGAAACUCCGGAGUAAUAACUGUUACAUAUAUACAAACAGACAAAAACCUGGCAGAUCCCUUUACAAAGGGACUAUCACGAAAUGUGAUAGAUAUUGCAUCGAGGGAGAUGGGUAUGAGACCCAUAGAUGUUACACCAUAGUACUAACCCAACCUUUGUGAUCGGAGAUCCCGUGAAUUAGGAUCUGGGAAGAACAAGCUAUUGGUUAACUGAGGAGAGUAAUAACUUAUGAUCGUCUCCAAGUGAAGAUGCAAAACUCUCAGAGCUGUAAAGCUCAGAUCUGUAAGGCAGGUUGGCAACAUGCCUUAAUGUGGUUCUAUUGGCUAUAAUUAGCAAAGAUGCUGUCCUACAGAGCAGUCUUGAAAGAACACACCUAUAUGAGUUCUGACUGUAAACGUCGCAGUCUAUGAGAUUUGGGUGAUCUCUAGUAAGCUCACGAAGAGACAAGGGAGUAUGACGUAUAAGCUCCAAACCGCGGGGUAGCCUACUGACGUAUAAGCUUCCUUUUGCCGUUUUAUUUUUAUGUCUUGGCAUACAAGUUUUUUAUUACUUGUCCGGUAAGUAUACGAAUUAGAAACCGAGUCGGUUUGGGAUUGUGGUCGCGACACAAUACCGCCUCUGGUCCUAAUAUAUAUACAGCUACCGGCUGCGGCCAGAGACACACCGAAAAACACCUAGGGUUUUGCCUCAUCUCACAACUUGCGCCGCCAUCGUAGUCUACUCCAUCCCAACGCCGGCGUGCAUCGGCGCGUGGGAGAGCAGGUCUCCGGAACCGUUCGUCUUUGCGAUCCUGCACCGGGAGAGGACGAAUUAGGUUUUUGGGAAGCGCUGUGCGCGACUGCUCAAAUUCGUCAUCACGGGUCGUCUUCCGUCCAAGUCGGGCGGUGCUACUCAUCGUCGUAUUCAUCGCCGUCAGCAGCAGAUCAUCGCCAAUAUCGUCAUCAACACUGUCGCACCCAUAUAGCUAACGAUCAUUACGUCCGACAUCCUCUGUUCAUGUCUGCUUCUACAGCUAUUGUUACGUGUUUGUUGUUGUUAUGCAUGUCUUGCUGUUCUUCUAGUUUGCUAGAUUAUUGCAUGCUAGUAUCUCUUCUAGUCAUGAAUUAUUUACUGGAAUUAAUCAUGAACUUGCCUAAUAUUCCCACAGACGCAAUAAUUGUUUUCGGGAUUUUGAAUAAAUCAGAAAAUGAUUUGUUUAAUUCCGAAAAUACUCCAAAAUUUGGAAAAUCAUGGAAAAUAAUCUGUAACUCAGAUGGAGAUAAUUUAUAUAUGAAAAAUUAUCAGGAAAAUAUGAAGAAUCUAUUUAUAGCAUUUUCAUGUAUGUUUGAACAAGUUAAGUUUUCUGUAUAAGACAAUUUGAAUAAAUGUCAUUUUAAAUUCUUAUGUGGAGUUUGAAUUUGAACCUUUGGUUCAAACCAACUUUAUUUAAAUUGUUGCUAGUUGCAUUAGUCCAAACACCAGCAUGCCAUGUCAUGAUCAUGCAUCAUACUGCUGCAUUGCAUUGAUUGUGUUCCCUCUCUGUUGCCGGUGUUUGUUCCUUCUCGAUAGAAGACGAUUCGGACGUUGUGAUCAUUGACACCGAUGAAGAGCUACUAUCUUCAAAGUGUCAGGCAAGCAAAUCCCCUUUGAGCAUUCUGAUACAAUCCCACUCUCUAACUCUUGCUCUCUUUUACUGCAUUAGGACAACAAUGAUUCAACUGUUACAUGUUGUGGUAGUUGAACCCAUUCCUCUGCAUGAUCUGUCUUUGCCACAGUAAAUAGUAAAACCCACUAGCAUGAGUAGGAGUAUUUUGAGCCAUGAUGUGCCUACUCAUUCAUGCUUGCUUGUUAUACCUGCUAUGCUUAGAGUUGUGUCAGGUUUGAUUCAUCUGGGUUGGCUUGGAAUGGUGAUGAACAUGUCCUACUGCUGAGCUCUAAGUGUGUGAACACGAUUUGGUAAAGGUAGCGAUGAGAGGCAAUGUAGGAGUACAUGGUGGGUUGUCUCGUUGAAAUCGUCCUUAGGAACUGAGUUCCGUGUUUGUGAUCCAAGACAGUUACUACCACACAUCGGGUUUCGAUAACUUGACCCCUCUCGACUUACUAAUCGCCUUGAUCUCUAUCUAGGAGUUGUAACUAGUUUCUGGUGUUUGUAGGAUGUGCUGGGGGCUGUACCUAGCGCUGACCGGAGGGGUAGGCUUUGUUACGGUAGGCACCAUGGCACGGUGUAUCAAGCGCAGUACUAUUGGUCGAGGUGGACAUGGGAAUCCUGCACACAUCGUUUGACGCCGUGAUGGAAACUUCGGCCGAACAUCCGUUACGGGUCAGUUCUCAGAUAGGCGAUAAACCUAGACUAGAGUCUUGCGUGGUUAGUCAGGUUGUGGCUGACACCCUCGCUAGGCUUCCGCUUGAAGGUUUCCGAGAUACAUGACGUGUAUAUGGUGUUAAGUGGUGAGAGCGUGUGUGAAGAAAUACACCCCUGCAGGGUAAUAUAAUCUAUUCGGAUAGCCGCGUCCUCGGAUAUGGACUACUUGGAAAGCUUGUAUGGUCCAUAGAUAACCUGAAGUGGAUACUCUAAAUGCGCAAAAUAAGUGUGAGUGCUAUGGAUGGCCUUCUCAUGGGGAGACGGGAGCGGAUCCAUAGUGGUGUAUUGAUAUGGUGAAUAUGUGGACUCACGUGCGCUUUCUCACCUCAAAGAAGUUAUUGGUAGUCAUAGUACAUGAAAGCCACUGAGUCAAAGCUGGCUUGCUGUAGUUAAACUCCACAACCCCAUUGUUGAUACUGAUGCAUAAGUAGAUAGUUCUGAUGUAAGUCUUGCUGAGUACAUUUGUACUCACGUUUGCUUAAUUGAUGUUUUUGCAGAGGAGAUUUCAAUCUCGCUAGUAGUUUCACAUGGGCUUUGACGGUUAGCUUGGGAAUCCCAGACAGAGGUAUGGCUCCUAUGGAGGGUAUUGUAGACAGACAUGCUUCCUAGCCUUCUUUCUUUUCAGCUGUCUAUAUUCAGACAGGUUUAUGCUUCCGCUUGUUGCUUGUAUGACUUUGUAUGUUGGGUCAUGAGACCAAUGUUCGUAAUAUCAUGUUAUGUGUGGCUCUUCAGAGCCUCUUAAAUAAAUACUUGAGUCGUAGAGUUAUAUUGUGACGACAUGUUGUAUCCACACAUAUUUGCAUGUUCUACAUACAUAUGAUGUGUGUUGCAAUGUGUUGGGUCACGAUAAAUCUUCUAUUGGAUUGCUUGAAUCUUUUGAUCUUUUGGUCCAACAAAAUUAUACUGUAAUAAUUAGGUCCAACAGAACAAAUCAGAAAACUUUGCUUGUACCAGACAUGGUUAGGUCCAAUAGAACAAAUGAAUCAUCUCUUCUUGGAGGAUUGUUUAAUUUAUCUUAGAUGUACCAAAAAUGAUCAUUGUGUUGGUCACCAGGAAGCAUCACAAGAUAAUUUAACAUCCAACAUGAAAGAACAUAGAUCUCAAUUCAAACAUCAUGCAAUAACUAACAGACUUCUCAAGUGUAAAUGGAAUCAUCACCACUAUAGCAGCUAUAUUUUGAACACCACGGAAACUCCAAUUUGAAACUGCAUCCUCAUUAAUAGAAACUGGAAAUUAGCUUGUCUAGUUCCAGUUUGAUUUGUUCAUCAACUAAAGAGUUAUAGUUUAAAUGACAAAUUUCACAUCCAAACUACAUAUCACAUCACAAAUUUAGGGUAAUUCAUACAUAGUAUAAAUAUAGGUAGCAUAGUACAGAAGAUCAGUUCCCAUCAAUCAAAUAUAGCAAUAGUCUUUGCAACAAAAUAUAUAAUAUAGACUUUCUUCUUGAGCUCAGCCACUUAGAUCAAUGACAUCAUCCUCUUCAAAAUUCCCUUUGAUAUUUUUCGGCUUGCCCUUGUGAAUUUCCCCAAUUUUAAGAAGCUCAGCUAUGACAUACUCUACCUUCUUAAUAUCUUUCCGGAUAACAUCCAUGUCCUUCAUCAUAGUCUCGAGCUCAUAUAUGUCCUUCUUCAGAACAUCCCUCUUCUUCAUCACAUCAUCCGAAGGGAAAGCUAGCUCCUUCCUAUCCUUUUUUAGGUCAAGGGUCUCCCUCAUGAUCAGAACCAUCUCCUUCUUGAGCCCAUCUUUGUCCACUUUCAGCUUAUCAUUAUCCUUCCUAGUGUUCUUGGUCACUUCUCGCUGAACAACAUGAAUGGCCUUGAGAUCACUGAUUACAUACUGCUUGUUCUCUAGCUGCUUCUGCAGGUCUAUAGAGUCCUCUGACAUCAUUUUUGGUAAUUCUCUUGCCACACCUUUUGGCAUUGCCUGACCCAGUGCUUGUUCCCAUCACUAGCAAACUCAGUGAAUUGGAAGUCCAACUACUUAAUCUUAUCUUUGAGAUUGAGCACUUCCUCUGCAGGAUCAAGCCCUUCCUGGGUUCUAGCAACCAUACACUUUUCAUAUUUUUUCCAGAGCAUGUGAAGUGCCUUUUUCAGGGCUUCGGGCCAGUCCUUCACUACUAGGGAAAACCUUAUACACAGAGGUAUAGCAGUAGCGCUGGUCAAAACAUGGCGCUAUUGCUACUUAUUAGUUGCGCUUGUUACAAAAGCACGCUACAACCAUUGUUGUAGCAGUAGCGCGUCUGCCCGGAAAAGCGCUACUACUAUAAUUCCCUCGUUGGUGCCGGUAGGCUAGGAAUAGUAGUGGCGGUUCUUCCAGAAGCACGCUACUGCUAAAAACUUUGUAGCAGCGCAUUUAUGCUGUAGAGCGCUACUGCUAUGAAAAGGAAAAUAAAUAGAAAAAUAAGUAGAAAAGUAAAUGAAAAUGAAAGAAAUAGAAAAAGGAGAAAUGAAAAAAAGAAAAUGUAAAGAAAACAAAAGAAAAAGAAAAAGAAAACAGAAAGGAAUAGCUGUAGCGCGUUUCGCUGGAAAACGCUAUAGCUAACUUAGCUAUAGCGUGUUUCGGUAAAACGCACUACUGCUAGUUUGACUUAACCCCCAGCCGCGCGGGCUCAAAAUUUUGCUAAGUCCUUCCCCCUCCACUCCCCCCUCUCCCCCAACUGCUCCAUCGCCGUUGUCGCCCUGCCGCCUUCAACCACACCGCCGCCACCCAAGGCCGUCUUCGACCACACCGCCGCCGCCCGAGGCCGCCCUCGACUUCACCGCCGCCGCCCGAGCCAGAGCCUGCCCUCGCCGUCGACCGUAAAGCUCUGCCUCUCCUUUCCCCUACCCUCCUAUCUCUCUUUGCUAGGGUAAUUCAUAUAUAUGUUGACGUUGUGUUGAUGUUCAUAUGAACCCUAGGUGUUCAUAUGAACCCUAGAUUUGUUGAGGGCAGUAGGCAUUUUUUGGCAUUUAGGAAAAAUGAUUGGCAAUUUUUUUAGGAAAUUAGCUAGGGAAAUUUUUUAUGAAAAUGCCUAAACAGUAAUUCCAUUUAGCUUUCAAUUAAUAGAGGGUAUGUAAAUAAUAGUAGCAUUUUGAUUAGAUUAAUAGACGCUAUAAACAAAAAACACUUAGAUAUAAAAAUUUAUUUGGACUAUGGACUUGAAUCUGUUCCAAAUUUCAUUCAAAUGAAAUUUGAAUUAUUUGGACUAUGGACCUGAAUCUGUUCCAAAUUUCAUUCAAAUGAAAUUUGAAUUAUUUGGACUAUGGACCUGAAUAUUUCUGAAGAAAUUGGGUGUAGGUACUAAGCUCUUGCUGCGGAAUUUUUGGUGAGGUCAGAAGGGUUAGAGAAAAUGGAGUUCCUAGACUUUUAGCUUUAGACAAAAAACAAAAGUAUUUAGCUAUAAAUAAAAAACAGUAGCUAUGGCAUUUAGCUAUAAACAAAAAACAGAAUUGUUUUUCUUUUCAAAAACUUGGUUAAACUAAUCGUUGCUAUGUAAACAAAAAACAAGAUUUUUGUUAUAUCAUAUAUGUCAUUGAUGUUCAUUUGCACAUUCCAUUAUUGUUGAUUAUAUCUUUUCAUUGAAGUGGCUAUGUUAUAUGCAAAUUCCUCAAUAGUGUUUGCUCAUGUUAUAUCUUUUCAUUGAAGUGGUUCGAUUGUGCCCAAAGUGGCUUCGUUGUUUCCAGGGAAUGAAGCCGAGUGGCCUAUGUUUUUCCGGAAUGUUGAUUCGUUUCCGUUCCGGCAAAUUUCAGGCUCUCGAUUUGUCCACUUUUUAGCAAAAGUCAUGCCGAAAUUUUCCGUGAAUUUCGGCAUGACUUGUGCUACAAACUAGGACAUAUCGAGUGCCCGGGAUUUGCCGCACAGGGAAGGAGUCAACGUUCCUGCAGAGCAUAGACCUUUUUUUAUGUCAUUAUUCAUUUUAUUAGGUCUAGAAUUAAUUGACUAAAUUUAAUCGUAGGAAACAUGGCUAGCAACGAUGAAGGACAGGGUUCUGGUGACUGCGACAACGUCUACCUGGCAGCAGAAGAAUUUUUUAUGGAAGAUGACGAUCAAGAGUUGAUGUUGCUGGGUCCACCUGUCACAUCAGAGAUUGAGACCGACAUCGAGACCGGCGCUGAGAUAGAGACUGGCACUGAGAGUGAGACCGGCAUCGAGACCGGCACUGAGACUGAGACCGGCGCCGAGACCGGCGCCGAGACUAGCGGAGCCGGUAUAGACCCGAAAGCAAAGAGGCAACUGCUUCCUAACAAGCUCAGGUCUAAUAGACUGGUGGUCACGGAGGUGGACGACGGCAAUUUUGAACCAAACGCGCCCUAGGAAGCGCGCGCGUGCUACGACAAUCAAAUAGGAUGCAUCAUACGGACAACCGCCACCAUCAAAGAUGAGAAACUAAAGAAGAUAGAUAAUAUGAGGCCCUCCCUCCUAAAGAAGUUGCACCUGAUAUUCUUGUUCCCGGGCCGGAAUGAAAAGGAUUAUAAAGAUCCAGAUAAGGACCUGGCAAUGAAGAAGAAAAACAAACACGUCAUGACCAAGUUUAGCGACGCGUUGGCCGCCUGGAAAUCAAGGGUGAAAUAUCGGAUCGUUGACAAAAAGGAACCCUACUCCGAGAUUGUAAAGGAUAAUCCGACAACCAUGGUAGAGCACUUUCAAAUAUUCAAGGCAGCUUGCGAGGCCGAAGCUGCCAAAAAAUAGUCGAAGUACAUGAAGGGGCUUCAAUAGAGGAACAUUGGGUGCCCCCACCUCGGAAGUCGUGGUUACGGCAGGAAGAGGUCCAUAUGGGCCAUGGAGGACGCGGAAGCCGCGAGUCCGGGCAUCCCAGACCCCUUGGCGGAGUUCACCGUCCCGCAGGAGCGUGACAUCCUCAGGGCCCGGCACCGUUGGGAUCCAAUGAAGAAGGUUUUCGAGACGAACGCGGUCACGGCGGAGUUCAUGUGACUGCUGGCAAUUUUAGUUUCUGAUCAAUUCGACUGCACGUUAGUCAUAUUUAUAAACGAUCCUUGUGCCAUUUGCAGAGAGAGCAGCGCAGGAUUGCGGCCGAAAGCGACUCGCCGUCUGAGGCGUUGGCGAGGCCCAAGUGGGACACUCCAUUCAACCGGGCGUUGAACAUAUUGAAAGGACUCCCGGUGGAGACUCGACUGUCGUAUGGACGCGUGCACGGUGUCGGAGAUGGCGCCACGUGGAAGAAGUACUACCGUGAGACCACGGAGGAGAGAAAGGAAAGACGGAGGUUAACUGAAGAAAACAUUGACAAGAAGGUUGAGAUUGCGGUUGAGAAGAAAUCAUCUAAGACAGUCGCAAUAGCGGUAGCUGCCGCAAAACAGGUGCUUGUACAUAUGUCUACUACCUUGGUUCCGGCCGUUUUCAAUUGGAGCAGGCAAAAUCUAGAAAAAAAUGCAGCGGAGUUUCCCCUUGCUGACUUCUUUGGGAGCAGCUCGACUAGCGUUGCACCAGCACCUGCAGCUGCACAUGCUCCCGCACCGGCUCCCGCACCGGCUCGUGCACCUGCUCCCGCACCGGCUCCCGAACCUGCUCCAGCACCGGCUCCGGCACCGGACGUGCUCGGCGGUGCUUCGUCUUUGGCUGAGCUCGACGCCCUCACGGUGUCUGUCACACCGGCCCCCAUCAAUAAAUGUAUUAUCUCCCGUUUUCGUUGCCUUUCGGAUGUCUCACGUCACAGACUUUUCUUUGCAGGCCGACGAAACCCCGUGCACCAUAUUGUACACCAUCGGCGACAAGAAGGUGGACGUGGGGAAGGCGACGAUAAUGGAGCCGAAGGAACCAUUGUUCCACAGCGGCUGAUCCCCCAGGACGUCUUCAAGGUUUCCGUGGCCAGUGUCAAACCGGGCCACGAGAAUUUGACUCCUCUGGUACUAGUGGGGGAUGACAACGAGACCCCACGGCGGCUUGGUAAUUGUUGCAAUGGGUGGGUCCUGUUGUGGCCAAAGAGUCUGCUUCGUCUGGAGGUGGCCGGGAGCACACCCACGAGCACACAGUUAGGUAUGAACAUCAACACCUCACCUACCCAAUUAGCGUCGGCUGUCGUGCUAGGUGAUAGCGGAGGGGGUGAGGAAGAGGCUCCAUUAGUCACUGGUGAUGUCGCCAUAGAUGAGGAUGAGGAUGACGAUGACACUCAACAGUAUGUCAAUACUGGUGCCUACUUAGGGUUUGAGCGUCAUGAGUCGGUGCCUGAAUUGCCGCCUCCGAAGUCUGAACGUAUUAUGGACAACCUUCCGGUAGUAAAGAAGUCUAGGAAGAGACCGAGGAAAGGCAAAAAAGCUGCUUCUAUGAUCCAGCCGCCUCAGCAGCCUCGGGUUCAAGACUGUAUAGAUAUCCCCGGUGCGGCAAAAUGGCAUAUCCAUGGUCAACCAAUCCUACCUAAAGCAGCGCUAGGGGCUAGAUUCGGCGAUUUAAGGAGACUUCAUGACGAUGUGCUGCGGAUAGAGAAAUGGCUCAUCGCCUCAAAAAAUCCAGGAUACCCACUCUACAUGGUUAACGUGCCGCGGCAAUUCUCGUACGUCGACACAUUCCCCGCGGAGAAGUUCUUCCUUCGAUUCGAUUACAUCUUCGACAUGUUUCACUUAAAGAAACUGGAUUUUACGUUUGUCCGCCUUUAUGUCUUGCACAUGAACUACCUCAUCAGGGUUGAGCAGAUACCUCAUAUCUGUGUCGCUAGCCCGUACUUCAUGCAUGAGGGCUUCUUGGGAGUCUGCGCAGAGCACCGUGAAUAAGCAAGGGAAUACAUCGCCAAUUUCAUGCUCACCAUAAGGACAAGGAGGCGAUUCUCGUGCCUUAUCAUCCCCUGUAAGUCAUCUGCGCGGAUAUCCUUCCUUUGAUUUCAAUCAUUCAUUUGCACAGUGGAGGCUAAUUAAUUUGAGGUGUACUUAUUUUUCGCAGCGGCGGGCGCGCCGUCCUCAUCAUCCUCUACCCCCGAUACUCCCACGCUCUUUACUUGGACUCGUCGAAGAACAUUAACAAAAAGGAUUACACCCACAUGAAGUCUGUUCUCGACAGUGCUAUGUUUUACUACGGCGCACGGGGUGGAGAGGUCAAGGACAAGAAGAAAAGGGACGGCAGGCCCGCCUUUGGCCAUAAGACCGACUUCUGCUGCAUCCACCAACCGAGUUAUUCUCUUAAUGAUGGAUUCUAUGUCCUACACCACAUGCUGGAGUACAGACGGGAUCACCAGAACCUUCGCAUGUCACCUAGAUCCGGCGAUGCCCAUAUUCUGCAAUGGGCAAAGAACUUAGGAGAUAUCGAGGAUCAUCGACUUCGAGCUGAGUUCUAUCACAUCCAGCGCAAACUUGCCCAAAUCAUCAUGAAGGAGGUCGUCGAAAAAACAGGGAUUUUCUAUGAAGAAGGACAAAUGUCGCGGGAAGACGUCCGAACACGCGUAGCGGCUCAGCUUCUCGACCUGAAGCCUUUCACUAAGCUUGGGGACUAUCUCCCUGACUUGGAUGCAUGGCACGACAUGUUGGAGUGAUUGUCGAUAUAUGACAAUGUGUCUGUUUAGUCCAUACUAUCUGUAUCACGAAACUCUGAGUUAUGCAUGACGAAACUUUAUUUGUUAUGUAAUUAAACCGUCCUCCUCGACUAGUGAAGAUCACUCUAGUUAGGGCUUUUUGGGUACGAUGAAUUUUGUUAUAUAUGCUUAUGGUAUGUUGCUUCUAUUUUUGCCAAGUCUGUCUCUUUCUGUUGCUCAACUAUAUAUGUUGCAUAUCAUCGACUCAUGUGACGAUGCAGGUGUAUAGAUCAUCGAUGGCGAAGAAGUGCUACGCCAGGAGUAUACGACGAGUGGCCGGAAUGUCAGGCCCAGGUGUACCGGUUUCCGGUUUCCGAGCGACAGCCAGUAGUUAGUUUAGGUUCACGCUAAUGCGAGAGAGGGAUACGAACUCAUGUACUGCAUAGUUCCGCUCUCACUCAAAGUGAUAGCUCUUCUCGCGUAUAUCAUUGUUUAGAUGGAUGACGACGUAGUUGCAAGUAAUCGAGACUUGUAUCGCUAUUUUUGAGAUGAUGACGAGAGACCACUUGUUGUUGGAUGAUGAUUAUGAUGAUGGCAUGAUUUGAUGAGACUAUUUGUAUGUAUAUGCUAUGAUUACAUUUGUAUGUGUAUGAUAUGCUAAAGAUUAUUGUAUAAAGCCUAUUCAAAUACAAAACAAAUAUGCAUAAAAAAAUAAAAACUAAUAAAACUAGCAGUAGCGAGGGGAACAAAGUUAGCAGUAGCGCUCCCUUACCAGUAGCGCUUCGUGCUAAAAAGCGCUGCAGAUAUUAGCAGCAGCGCUCUGCACUAAAGCGCGCUACUGCUAGCCAUGUAUAGCAGUAGCAUGGGAUGACAGGUGCUACUGCUACACGUUAGCUGUAGCGCCUUAUCAGUAGCACGUCGUCCCGAGCUACUGAUAGGCAAAAUACCCGCGCUACUGCUAGGGUUUUCCGUAGUAGUGCUUGUCAACCCAAUGAAUAAAUCUACCGUUUCCUAGUUGCAAUAAGAAACAAUUAGCAUUUAAUUAAUGGACACACAUUAGUCAAUAUAUUUUGAAAUGAGCAAAGUAUAGCAUAACUAGAUGAAAACCAAAUAUAGCAUAAGUGAGCUAGAAUGUUCCACAAACACGACAUGUCACAACUAAGUUACAAUGUUCUACCAACACAGCUUAGCAGCCAAACAAAACAUAGCUAUAAGACAUCCAAAUAUAGCACAAUAUAGUUGAAUUGUUCCACAAAAGUUGUGCAUGGGAUAACUGAAAUAUACAAUGGGUAUUGUCACAGAACACUAACUCUAGUUUAUACCAUUUACAUAUACUUUUUCCAGACAACCAUCACUUACUGAACAAGCAUCCCAUCAUUAGAGUCUGAGAAGAAAUGCAGCCUUCUCAGGGCGUCGAGAUCUGGGCCGUUGGAUUAAGCUUUCAAAAGAAUUGCGACCAUCAGAUCUUCAGAUGGAUCGAUCCGGGCCGUCGGAUCAUAGCAAACACUGCUACAGUGAAUAGUGUUGUUUCUUUUUUAUUUUGGUCUAUUAUUACUAUCUCGCUGACUGAUGGGCCACGCGGUAAGUGGUCCAUUGCUGUUAGUGAGAGCAGAGCACUAAGCGGUCGGUGCUGGUUCGUACAGGCUCAGGGGUCAGGCCAACGCCUGUGAAAUUGGGUAGCCGCUGAGGGCAAAUUCAACAUUUCACGUCAUCGCCCCUGCGUGACGCUCCGUGGAUGGCUAGUCAGCAAGUAAUGGCGAGGGAGCGACCCAUUGGCUAGAAACCUAGCCGCCUCUUCCCCGUCGUGUUCCUAUCUGUGUCGUUUGAGCUGCGGUCGCCAUCGAGGACGUGUCACUCGCACCGCCACUUCCCUGUCGAGCUCAUGCGUCCACUAGCCACACCGUCUCUUUUCCAUGCCUGCUCAUCCUCCGUUCCUCUUCGAUCACCGAGCUCGCCGUCGCUAUCGUCGGGAGGAAGCGAUUGGUGGACCUAGCCCACCGCCAUCAACGGGUGGAGCGCAGGAACCCGCGAUGCCCCUCCAGCGACCAGCACUUAUCCCUCGCCCAGCGACGAGGCCCCAUCGAACUCGCGUGUGGUCGCAGCUGGGAAUCCUCCUGUCCGCUCCUUGCUCCCCGCCGAGAGCCUUGAUUGGAUCUGGAUCCUGAGCUCUCCGUGCCCGCAUCGCCCCACCAUUCAUGGUGCACCACCAGCACGAGCUGCACAUCAUCAUGUCGUCAGAGGGAGAGCGGGAGGAAGUUGGCGCUGUUUAUCCCCACGAGGUGUGCCGUCGACGGUAGGAAGCCAGGCAGGGCGACGGGGAAAUACCGACGUAGUUCAAGCCGCAUCAAAAGGAAUUUCUGGCGCAGUUGCCAGGGAGACAUCAUCAACAUCUAUGAGGUUCCUAAUCACAAAUCCCAUCUCCUUGCAAUUUACAUUAUUUGCCAUUUGCCUCUCGUUUUCAUCUCCCCCACUUCACAAAAAAUUGCCGUUUUAUUCGCCCUCUUUUUCGUUUGCCUUUUUCUGGUUCGAUCUUAUGUUUGUUUGUGUCUCCAUGUGCCUUCUAUUUUGCUUGCAUCUUUUCUUGCUAAAACCUAUUGUUAUGGAUCCACUCAAAGUUUUGUACCUGGAUCUUGUUCGACCCAUAUGUGCUCGUGCUGAAACCCCAACUAGUUUAGUUGAGGGAAAAUCAUUAGAUGAGCAUGCUCUUUUUGCCCGUCAUCGUUUGUCUGAAAAAGGGAAGCUCUUAUGGAAUCAAAUAAAUUGUUUGCUAUGAUAUGCUUGGAAUCAUUAUGAAAUUUGUGAUUUUACUUGUUGCUCUAAGAACCCCAAAAAACACUUCCCCUAUCUAUGUGAGUUUAAUGACAAUGAAGUCUUAUGUUCUUAUGCCAAGGAGGUUUAUAGUUACUAUGAUAUCGAACAAAUUGAACAAUUUGUUGCUUUUAAGGGUGCUUAGAAGUUGCUUAUUUGAUUGAAAAGUAUGAUAUUACUCUCUACAAAUCUGAAAAUUUUGACAUACUUAAAUAUUGCUAUGAAAACUAUGCUCAUAAUGCCUAUGUUAAAGAAUUUAUUGAGAGAAUGUCCUAUGCUUUGAAAGAAAAUAGUGAUAUGCAUGAAGCUAUGGAUAACCAUGAUUCCGUUGAUUUGAUUGAAUUAUCCCCUCUUGAUGAACACGUUGCUAGCUAUUCUUGUGGCCAUGAUGCCAAUAUUAAUGAUGCUUAUGAAGAUGAACUUGCUAUAGUUCUUUAUGUUAAACAUGAAAUUAUUGCUAUUGCACGCACGCUGGAUAGCUCCUUUAAUGAAAAGCAUGAUUGCAAUGAUAUUAUUAUAGAUUCUAUUAAUCUCAAGUUUGUUAGUGAUAUGCAAAACCCCAAGCUUGGGGAUGCUUGUUUUGUUAUGUCCGCUACUUAUUGCAAUGAUCAUGAUUGGGGUGAUGAUGACUUUUAUGAUCUUGAUAGUCUAUUUAAGCCUCAUGAUGAAUAUGUUUGCAAUAAUAUUAAAAGUGGGUUUGGAAGAGUGUCAAAUAUUGAUAAAAAUAAUCCCACAAAUUUGGAGAGUGUUCAAUCUUAUGAUUUUUUUAUAAAAGUGGGCUUGGAAAGGUCAUGACUUUAUUUUAUGGUAAUCCCACUAUUUUGGAAGAGUGUCAACUUUGCAUGCAUGUGGAUCAUGUAGAGAAUAUGUUAUGUGAUAUCUAUAUUAUUGAAUUUGAACAUGAUUCCACAUGUAAUUGUUAUGAGAGAGGGAAAUAUGGUUGUAGAAAUUUCUUGCUACUAAGUCACCUCUCGUUAUGUUGAAUUGUCAAAGUUUUAUUUGUUUCCUAUGUAUAUGCUAGAUAUUUCUUGUUUUGAUAAUUUGUUUGCCUGUAAAAUUCCUAUACAUAGGAAAUAUGUUAGACUUAAAUGUGUUUAUCACAUGUUUUAUGAUCCUCUCUUUGUGUUUCAAUUAUUAUCUUUCAUGUGAGCAUCAUUGAAAUCGCAAAGCCUAUCUUAAUGGCUAUAAAGAAAGAGCUUGUUGGGAGGCAACCCAACGAAUAAAUUUUAUGUUUGCCUUUUUGUUUCUGUACAAUUAUGCCUCUGUUAUGAUUAUGUUUUUUAUGUUUUAAUUAGUGUUUGUGCGAAGCAAAGCCUUUUAGGAUCAUGUUGGGUGAUAGUUGAUUUGAUCUUGCUGAAAAACAGAAAAUUAUGAGUCCAGUAACACAAUUAUUAAAAUUCACAGAAGCGUGAUAAAAUUCUGAUUUUUUUACAGAAGAUUAAUACAAAUAGCGUAUGUUGUCCUAAUUUUUCAGAAUUUUUGCAGUUACAUAAGUAUACGAAGUUUUCAGAUUGCUACAGACUAUUCUGUUUUUGACAGAUUAUAUUUUCUUUUUGUUGUGUGCUUAUUUUGAUGAAUAUAUGGACUUUAUUGGAGGGUAUAAGCUAUAGUAAAGUUCGAAUACAGUACAUAUAAUGCAAAAAUAAAAUAUGAAUGGGUUUGCAACAGUACUUAGACUAGUGAUUUGCUUUGUUAUACUAACGGAUCUCACGAUGGUUUUGUUGAGUUUUGUGUGAUUGAAGUUUUUCAAGUUUUGGGUGAGAUCACGAUGGAUGAAGGAAUAAGGAGUAUGAAGAGACUAAUCUCGGGGAGGCCCAUGGCACCCCAAGUUAUUAUCCAAAGAGGAACAAGCAAUUAAGAUUGGGGAUGCCCCCGAGUGGCAUCCCCUCUUUCUUCUAAUGACCAUCGGUAUUUUACUUGGAGCUAUAUUUUUAUUCGUCACAUAUCAUGAGUUUUGCUUGGAGCAUCUUGUAUUAUAUGAGUCUUUGCUUAUUUUGCUUUUUUAUUUUGUGUCAUCUAUCCUUGCUGGACACACCUAUUUGAGAGGGCCCAAAUUAUGCUAUGGAAUCUUUUUGCUUCACUUAAAUCUUUUUGAGCUAUGGAAUUGAUCUUUGUGCUUCACUUAAAUCUUUUUGAGCUAUGAAAUUGCUCUAGUGCUUCACUUAUAUCUUUUUGAGAACGGUGUGCUUUGGUAUUUUUGAAGAAAUGCUCUCAUACUUCACGUAGAUUUAUUUGAGAGUUAGUAAAUUUUUUAAGAAAUCCUCUCAUGCUUCACAUAAAUUAAUUUGAGAGAAGAAAUUUUUUAUGCUCGUGUUCUUCACUUAGAUUUGUUUGAGCUAUCAAAAGCAACAUAUGAAAUUAGUCCCAAAGUGAUAGAUAUUCAAGAGGGAUAUAAUAAAAACUUUCAUGAAGAUCGUUAGACAAAAUAAACUUGAUUCUUUGUAAUAGUUUUGCGGUAUGACGAUAUAAUAUGUGAGUCAUGUUGAUGAGUUAUUACGCUUUAGUGAGAAUAUUGAUGUUAAGGUUUGUGAUUCUCUAUGUAAGCACGAAAGUCAAUAGUUAUGCAAUGAAAUUACAUCCUACUUGUCGUGCAUUAUUCGGUGUUAGUUCUGCUUAAUUCUUGCUUAUGAGAUUUUUUGUUUCUUGGUUGGAUGCUUCUCAAUAUUUUGCUAGCCUUCAAUUGUACUAAGUGGGAUUACUACUUGUGCAUCCAAAAUCCUUGAACCCAGUUUUUGCCAUAUGAGUCCACUAUACCUACCUAUAUGCGGUAUUCAUUUGCCGUUCUAAGAAAAUUUGUAUGUGCCAUCUCUAAUCUUCAAAAUAACUUCCUUUUUGUGUGCUCGUACCGCUCAUGAAACGGUAGGGGGUGGCUGAUAUUUUUCCAUGCUAGAUGUGUUAUUCUCAAGAUGAGUGUUUAUUCACUUGUCACUGCACGAGAGUAUGGCAAAGUUAUUAGGGAUGCCCAGUCCUGAAAUGAAAAAUGAAUUUACUUUAUGUUGUCAAAUAAUAAACUCCUUGGAAAGUGUUGGUAUGGACGGUACCCGUGGAUUCGGUUCGCCGUGGAAUGUGAAAGUAUGGUGGAAAAAGGAAUAAACUUUAUUUUCUGUUUGGGAACCACCUAUGAUAUAUCUAGCAUGGAAAGUAUUGGGAACUACUCGAUCGUUUUCAUUGACAGGAAAGGCAUGCCACCCAAAAUGUCUUAUCUCUAUCUUUUUCCGCUUUUAGCUCUGGCACCUCUACAAAUCCCUACUUCCCUCUGCGAAGGGCCUGUCUAUUUACUUUAUGAAAUUUUUAUUUUUAUUUCAAGUCUCCAUCUUCUCUUACAAAGCACCAACUAAGGGGCACUACGAUCGUACCAUAGCAUUGGGUGUAGCUAAUAUGCGAGUGUGUUUCAUGAAUGGAUCAAUGAUUGAGCAUAAUGGGCUAGGGAUAAAUUGCUUUAGUGUUGAUAUUUUGAAAGACAUGGUUGCUUGUUGAUAUGCUUGAGUAUUGAAAUCUUCAUAUCAACACUAGACUAUUCCUUUGAAUCAUAUAAAAGUCCAAAUGUCCAUGCUACAAAAGAAAAAGAAUAUGUGAUGAACAUGAUAGGCAACAUUCCACAUCAAAAAUUCUAUUUUUAUCAUUUACCUACUCGAGGAGGAGCAGGAAUUAAGCUUGGGGAUGCUGAUACGUCUCCAACGCAUCUAUAAUUUUUCAUUGUCCCAUGUUGUUAUAUUAUCAUUUUUGGAUGUUUUACAAUCAUUUUAUAACAACUUUAUAUCUUUUUUGGGACUAGCCUAUUGACAUAGUGCCUAGUGCCAGUUGCUGUUUUUUGCUUGUUUUUACACUGCAGAAAAUCAAUACCAAAUGGAGUCCAAAUGCAGCGAAACAUUUUGCAGAAUUUAUUUGGACCAGAAGACACACGAUGGGCCAAUAGAGUACUAGAGGGGGGCUCCGAGGGAAGCACAACCCACCUGGGCGCGCCCUGGUGGGUUGUGCACACAUCGGCUCGCUAUCGUGCCGCCUCUUUGCUCCAUAAAUACCCCGAAAAUCCAAAAACCCUAGGAGUCGACGAACACAAUUCCAGCUGCCGCAAGUUCCACAAAGCACAGAUCCAAUCUAAACACUGAUACGUCUCCAAUGUAUCUAUAAGUUUUUAUUAUUCCACGCUAUUAUAUUAUCUGUUUUGGAUGUUUUAUAUGCAUUAAUAUGCUAUUUUAUAUUAUUUUUGGGACUAACCUAUUAACCUAGAACCCAGUGCUAGUUCCUGUUUUUUCUUGUUUUAGAGUUUCGCAGAAAAGGAAUAUCAAACAGAGUCCAAACGGAAUGAAACUUUGGCGAUGAUUUAUCUUUGACCAGACGAUAACCAGAGGACUUGGAGUACACGUCAAGGAAGCCACAAGGAAUCCCAAGGGGGUAGGGCGGGCCCCCCACCCUUGCGGACCCCUAGUGACACCACCGACCAAUUUCUUCCGCCUAUAUAUUCUCAAAUACCCCAAAACCUUCUAGGAGAGCCACGAAACCACUUUUCCACCGCUGCAACCUUCUGUACCCGUGAGAUCCCAUCUAGGGGCCUUUUCCGGCAUCCUGCCAGACGGGGACUCGAUCACGGAGCGCUCCUACAUCAACAUUGCCUCUCCGAUUAAGCGUGCGUAUUUUACCACAAACCUACGGGUCCAUAGCUAGUAGCUAGAUGGCUUCUUCUCUCUCUUUGAUUCUCAAUACCAUGUUCUCCUCGACGUUCUUGGAGAUCUAUUCGAUGUAAUACUUUUUUGCGGUGGGUUUGCCGAGAUCCGAUGAAUUGUGUAUUUAUGAUCAGCUUAUCUAUGAAUAUUAUUUGAAUCUCCUCUGAAUUCUUAUAUGCAUGAUUUGAUAUGUUUGCAAGUCUCUUCGAACUAUCGAUUUGGUUUUGCCACCUAGAUUUGUUUUUCUUGCAAUGGGAGAAGUGCUUAGCUUUGGGUCAAUAUUGCGGUGCUCGAUCCUAGUGAUAGAAGGGGAACCGACACGUAUUGUAUUGUUGCCAAUGAGGAUAACAAGAUGGGGUUUUCAUCAUAUUGCUUGAGUUUAUCCCGCUACAUCAUGUCAUCUUACUUAAUGUGUUACUCUUUUAUUCAUGAGCUUAAUACUCUAGAUGUAGGCAGGAGUCGGUCGAUGUGUGGAGUAAUAGUAGUAGAUGCAGGCAAGAGUCGCUCUACUUGAUACAGAUGUGGUGCCUAUAUUCAUGAUCAUUGCCUUAGAUAUCGUCAUAACUUUGCGCUUUUCUAUCAAUUGCUCGGCACUAAUUUUUUCACCCAACGUAAUAUUUUCUAUCUUAAGAGAAGCCUCUAGUGAAACCUAUGUUCCCGAGUCUAUUUUCCAUCAUAUAAUCUUCUAUUUUCCAUCAUAUAAGUUUCCGAUCUACAAUUUUAGUUUCCUAUUUACUUUCUUUGCAAUAUUUUGCAUUCCGAUCUAUAAACCAAAAAUACCAAAAAUAUUACUUUACCGUUUAUCCAUCUAUAUCAGAUCUCACUUUGCAAAUAAUUGUGAAGGGAUUGACAACCCGUUUAUCGCGUUGGGUGCAAGUUGGUGUUUGUUUGUGCAGGUAUUCGGUGGCUUGUGCAUUGUCUCCUACCGGAUCGAUACCUUGGUUCUCAAAACUGAGGGAAAUACUUACUCUACUUUGCUGCAUCACCCUUUCCUCUUCAAGGGAAAAACCAACGCAAGCUCAAGAAGUACUGGGAAGAAUUUUUGGCGCCAUUGCCGGGGAGAUCUACGCCAAGCCGAGACAUACCAAGUACCCAUCAUAAACUCUCAUCCCUCGCAUUACAUUAUUUGCCAUUCGCUUCUCGUUUUCCUCUCCCGCACCUCUCACUACUAGGAAAAGGGCUAUAGACAAUAUGCACACUAAUGGCGCACCAGACAUGCGGUGCGCCACUACUAUAUAGCGGUGGCGCACCGUGUGCUGGUGCGCCAUUAGUGUGAUAGACACUAAUGGCGCACCACAACCAUGGUGCGCCACUACUAACAAAUUUUCUUUUUCUUUUUAAAAAAAUACUAAUGGCGCACCGCAACCAUGGUGCGCCACUACUAAUUUUUUUCCUUUUUUCCAAAAAUACUAAUGGCGCUACUUGGCACAGUGCGCCAUUACUAGUUUUAACUAGUAAUGGCGCACCAGUCACCCCGUGCGCCACUACUAUCAUUUUUUUGCAAAACUACUAAUGGCGCACCGCCAGCUGGUGCGCCAUUAGUAACCAGGGUUACUAAUGGCGCAUUUGUUGGUGGUGCGCCAUUAGUAACCUGGGACCAGCUAGAUAUUUUGGACAGCCACCUACACACUCACUUUCCCCACUUCAUUCUCUCCACCUCCUCCUCCAAGCUUGUCUCGGCUGCCUCCUCCUCCUCACCUCAUUUGCACCAUAGAUUCAUCCAAAUUAAGUGGUUAAAUUACCUUUUUUGAUAGGUAAGUAAGGGGAAAGCUUUCUUUAUGUUGUAGAUCUACUUUUUUCUCCCUCCAACAACGUGCACAUGCACUUUUUAUGGCCUAGCUAGAUCUAUGUAUGUUUGUGGUGUUGCAUAUGUUUGUGGUGUUGCAUAUAUGUUUGUGUUUGCACGUACCGGUAUUUGAAAUGCGAUAGUUGCCAAUAUUUUGCCAGAAUGUUGAUUCAUUUCCGUUUCGUCAAGAAUUUUGGCACUAUGCAUUCUUUUUUGUCCUAUUUUUAGGCAAAGUCAUGCCAAAUUUUUUCUUGGUUCUAAAAUAUCGUUUUGCUCUACCCUGCAGGCGACCAUGGUCUGCACGAUGACCGAAGGCAUCGUGAAUAGGUUUUUGAGCUCCGCGAAGGCCGAGAUGCUUCAAAAGAAUGAGACGGAGAUAAGAUGUCCGUGUCGAAGAUGCAAGCUGAGGAGCCUUAUGGACCCGGAUUCCGUACAGGUGCGGGACCACCUGCUCUUGCGUGGUUUCAUGGAUGGCUAUCGGUGGCAAGGUGAUGAAGAUGAUUAUGAAGUCGUCCAUGGGGGCCGGCCGGUAAGAAAUGAGGAAGGGCAGCAAGACAACCGCGGCGAGGGCGGGCGAGAAGACGAAGAAUCUCCAGGACAUGAUCACGAAGUAGAUGCAGUACGCAGUCAUCAUGUAGAAGAUGCCGGACAUAAAGAUGAGGAAGAUGCCGGAGCAGACGAAGGGCAUGAUCAUGAAGAUGAAGAUGCCGGAGCGGACGACGAUGGACCAUCGAUGGGCUGGGUGCAGGACCCUCAUAUUCAAGAGCUGCUUCUCAAGCAGACGGAUAACGCAAGAGCUGCCGCCCGAGAGAAAGCCAAGCUGGAUCAACUGGAGAUAGACGCGGUUACUCCAUUGUAUGAAGGAUGCAGGCCCGAGGAUACCCGCCUGAAAGUAACGCUCAUGGCUCUGGAGAUGAAGGUAAAACACAAAAUGACCGACGCAUGCUUCGACGAGAACAUGUCAUUCUGGCACGAACGUCUUCCCAAGGGGAACAAGUGCCCGACCAGUUUUGAGGAGGCGAAGAAAAUCGUGUGUCCUCUGGAUUUACCGCACGUGAAAUACCAUGUGUGCAUGAACAAUUGCAUCAUUUAUCGGGACGAGCACGCGGAGUCUACCAUAUGUCCGGUGUGCGGCGUCACUCGAUACAAGAAGAGGAAGAAAGCUCCUCGAAAAGCGGUGUGGUACUUUCCGAUCGCUCCUCGUGUGCAGCGGUAUUUCGCGGACCCUAAGGUAGCAAAGCUCUUGCGUUGGCACGCGGAUAGGGAGGAGAAGAAGCGAGAAGAUGACGCAAAUGAUCCGGAGAUAAAUAAAAAAGACAAGAUGCUGAGUCACCCUAAGGAUGGGAGCCAGUGGCAAGCGUUGAACUUCGAACACCCAGAAUUUGGGAACGAUCCAAGGAACAUCGUGCUGGGCGCGAGCACCGAUGGAGUCAAUCCGUUUGGCAGCCAGAGAAGCACACAUAGCACCUGGCCUGUGUUUGUGGAUGUACAACCUUCCCCGCUGGUUGUGCAUGAAGAGGAAGUACAUUCACAUGAGUAUGCUAAUUGAAGGGCCGAAACAACCAGGGAACGACAUCAAUCUGUAUCUGGGGCUGCUGAAAGAGGAGCUAGACACGCUGUGGAAAACGCCAGCCAAUACGUGGGACACCGCAGAGAAAGAAUAUUUCCCUAUGAGAGCCGCUCUGCUCACGACGGUGCACGACUAUCUCGAUUACGGAUAUGUCGCGGGGCAGGUGGUCCACGGAUUUUCUGGAUGCGUCAGGUGCAUGGAUGACACAACAUAUCGCCAGCUAGAUAGAGAUCUCAGGUCUUCGAAAACCGUGUUCAUGGGACAUCGAAGGUGGCUUCGCGACGAUGACUCAUGGAGGAAACGCAAGGAUCUGUUCGAUGGUGAAACCGAAACCCGAAGACGCCCGCGUACGAGGAGCGACAAGGAAAUAGACGAGUUGUUGAAAAAUUGGAAAGAUUGCCCACUGCCGGGAAAGAAGCAAAAGGCACCAGAGCCGGAAAAGAAGCGAAAGGCGCAAGAGCCGCUGCUGAAGGUAUGGAAAAUGAGGUCUGUUUUCUGGGACUUGCUGUACUGGAAGAUCCACCGUGUGCCUCACAGCCUUGAUGUCAUGCAUAUCACGAAGAACGUGUGCGAGAGUCUGCUUGGUACCCUGCUCAACAUGCCGGAGAGGACCAAAGAUGGGCCGAAAGCAAGGGCAGACUUGAAAUCAAUGGGCAUCAGGGAGGAGCUUCACGCUAAUGAUGAUGAUGAUGAGGCGAAGCAGGACACGGAAAGUCGUCGCAAAGGCAAAAAGGCCAAGAAGACCGAAAAUGACUUCCCUCCCGCGUGCUUCACUCUAAGUCAGGAGGAGAUCGAUCAGUUUUUCACCUGCCUCGUAGGAGUAAAACUUCCUUACGGUUACGCGGGGAAGAUAAGCAGAUACCUAGACUCAGCGAAGCAGAAGUUCAGCGGGAUGAAGUCUCAUGACUGUCACGUGCUGAUGACGCAGAUACUUCCAGUUGCAAUCCGUGGGAUCAUGGACGCGCACGUCCGUGAAACGCUAUUUGGCCUAUGCAACUUUUUCGACGUCAUCUCUCGGAAGUCGGUUGGUGUGAGGCAACUCAGAAGGCUACAUGAAGAGAUCGUAGUGAUACUAUGCGAGCUUGAGAUGUACUUCCCGCCCGCAUUCUUCGACGUUAUGGUGCAUCUGCUGGUCCAUAUCGUGGAGGAUAUCAUCCAACUCGGGCCGACGUUCCUGCACAGCAUGAUGCCGUUCGAAAGGAUGAAUGGUGUCAUCAAAGGAUACGUUCGCAACAUGUCACGUCCAGUGGGAAGCAUAGCCAGGGGCUUUCUGACCGAAGAGUGCAUCUCCUACUGCACGAAUUAUCUAGGCAUCGAGAACCCCGUUGGUCUGCCCGCCAACAGGCACCUCGGCAGGCUCGCUGGAUGGGGUCAUCGUGAGGGUUGCCGCGAAAUGCAUGUCGAUUUCGAGGGUCGACUCGCCGACUUUGAAAGAGCAAACCUAGUCGCGCUACAACACAUAGACGUGGUCGAUCCUUGGGUGGUAGAGCACAAAACCUUUAUUGAGAAGACGUACAAUGACCGAGACCAACAGAGGACGGACGGAGAUAUAAUCAAAGAGCACAACUCAUAUUUCACGCGUUGGUUCAAGCAGCAUGAGGAUUCUUCCGCGGAAGAACAACUCAAAUUCGCCUUGUCACAGGGCGCCGAGCACAACCUGAUGACGUAUGAGGCGUACAAUAUCAACGGCUACACAUUCUACACCGAGGGAAAGGACAUGAAGAGCGAUGGUUAUCAGAACUCUGGGGUAACGAUGGAAUCCUACACCGGUAACGAUAAGGACAGAUACUACGGAAGGAUCGAGGAGAUCUGGGAGCUGAGCUAUGCUGGAGAGAAGGUCCCGAUGUUCCGUGUCAGAUGGGCCAAGAGCGUCCUAAAAGAAGACCGGUAUUUCACCACCAUGGUUAUACCCGAAGCCAAAUCCAAGACCGCGGGCGCAAACGACACCGUGAAAAAUGAGCCAUGGGUACUGGCUUCCCAAGUGGACCAAUGCUUCUUCAUUACCGACCCGUCAAAGCCCAGUCGUGUUGUCGUGAGGAGAGGCAAAAGGAAGAUCAUCGAAAUGGAUGGAGUCGCCAAUGAGCAAGACUUCGACAAGUACGGCGACCCGAAGAUGGAACAUGACGACGAUGAUGAAGUACCAGCAUACACCACAAGAAGAAGCAGGACCACCCUACCUAAAGGACGUCCGUUCAAGAGAAGAACUCCAUUUACGAAAAAUAAGGGCAAGAAGAUUGUGAACAGAUAGCUAGCUAAGAUCGAUUGUAUUUAAAUUGUAGCCUUCAUUUCUCGAUUGUAUUUCAUGGGCACUUUUUGAACUCAUGAAUAUUUUUAAAUUUCAUGGGCACUUUUUGAAUUCAUGAAUAUUUUUUCAAAUUUCACCGCCGCCGCCGCCGACCCCCCGCACCCUCCCCCGCUCCACCGCCACCGACGACCCACCGCACCCUCCCCCGCUCCACCGCCNNNNNNNNNNNNNNNNNNNNNNNNNNNNNNNNNNNNNNNNNNNNNNNNNNNNNNNNNNNNNNNNNNNNNNNNNNNNNNNNNNNNNNNNNNNNNNNNNNNNNNNNNNNNNNNNNNNNNNNNNNNNNNNNNNNNNNNNNNNNNNNNNNNNNNNNNNNNNNNNNNNNNNNNNNNNNNNNNNNNNNNNNNNNNNNNNNNNNNNNNNNNNNNNNNNNNNNNNNNNNNNNNNNNNNNNNNNNNNNNNNNNNNNNNNNNNNNNNNNNNNNNNNNNNNNNNNNNNNNNNNNNNNNNNNNNNNNNNNNNNNNNNNNNNNNNNNNNNNNNNNNNNNNNNNNNNNNNNNNNNNNNNNNNNNNNNNNNNNNNNNNNNNNNNNNNNNNNNNNNNNNNNNNNNNUCCACCGCCACCGACGACCCCCCGCACCCUCCCCUCUGCCCUCUAUCACAGCGGGGACAACAGGAAGCCGCCGUCGCGCCCCUCUGCACCGGCUGCCCACGGCGCCUCCGUCCCGAAGCCGCAGCCCAAGUGCCCACCACUCUCUGUCCACGGUGAGCCAUCCUCUCUGUCCCAACUCUCUGUUCUUCUUUUUUAGCUAUCCUUUGUUGAAACAGUAGUUGCUGUGUAGCAAAUCUUUGGGAUUAGUGUUCAGUACUUUGUUGGGUGAGCGGCCAUCUGAGACAUCCUGCUUACAUAGUCUCCUUUUUAAAACUCGUCAAAUUGGUUUUAGAUAGAAAUGAUCAACACUCAAUUGGCCAACUGCAUGUGGAAUGAUUUCGAAGGGCGCCAUAACUUAUUGUAGAUGCUGACUACAAUAACAAUACUAAACUCAGUGUAGUCUGUUGUAAAGACACUUGUGCUUCUUUCAUCUGGAAAGGGGUCGUCUGGCCUCCAAAACUGUCAGAUUAGGUUGUGCUGUAACUCCUCACAUGGCCAUGUUUUUGGAAGAUUGGUCGUUUGUCACCGGCCCUUUGGUCACCCAGCAAUGGGACUUGUAUCAUAUUGCCAAUGAGGUUAAUAAAACAGUAGUGCAUCAGUACUUUGUUGGAACAGAAAGUCAGAAAAUCAGAAAAUCCACGGUACUUUGUUUAGAUCUUCACUGUUGACAAACGCAGUCAACUAAAAAUCCAGUUCAGUGCAUAAUUAGUGUUGACAAAUACACUGAUCUUUAUCUGCAGUAAUUCAGUUUAAACUGAAAAUUCAGUGUUGUAGUACAGAAAAUUUAAACUGAAAAUUCAUAGUCUCCUGGUGCAUAUUGAUCUCAGUGUAUGAAUUCAUAGUGUUUCAAAUUACUGAUGCUAUGGUCCAGGAGUAGAAAAAUUUGUACUCCAAGAUCAAUAUGGUUCAAUUUCUACUGUACUGUAAUCAAAGUGGAUAUAAAUUGCAGAGUGUUUAUGUUGGCAUUCGACAACAUCUAAAUUUACCAAAUGAUUGUGAACUCAGUUUAUGUUUGCAACCAAAUGCUUAGUUCAUUGUUUACUCCAAAUGAUUGUGAACUUAUUCAAAGUUUCCAAUAUUGUUCAGACACUACUUGUACUGGAACUGGAACUACUACUACUGAUGCAGCACCCCAUGUAGUUUAAGUUUUCUUUAUCUUAAACUCAGACAGCUCUCUAAUUAUUGGAGUUUAUAUCAUAUAUAUUGCUGGCAUGUAUUUCAUAUGUUCUGUAGCAUUAAGGCUACAUAGCAUUGCUUUUGUCUCUGACCAUCGUGUCGUGAUGAUAUUGUGGGGUGUUGUGGGGUUGCAGAGGCCCUUGAGUUUCAUCGCGAUGAUGCUAAUCGUGAUGACCGCAGCUCUCUUCUAUGUGAUGGUAGUUUAGAUGAUCGAUAUCGACUUGUAAUGUGAAGACAAACUCGCUACUCGCGGUUUCGAGACUUGUAGUGUUCUAACUUUGUUUGGUCUUUUGAAUUCGGAGACUAAUAUGAUGAAUUGUAUUCGGAGACUAAUCUUCUAUUGUAUUCGAUAACUCUGCUGUUUAUAUGUUGUGUGUCUAUAUUCUGUGCAGUAAUAUGUUUUGUAACCUGUGCAAAUAUCAGAAAAGAAAAAAAUCCCUAAUAUUCAUACUAGUGGCGCACCACCCAGAACUUUAGUGGCGCACUGCAAAAUGCAUACUAGUGGUGCAUCAGCAAGCAGUGCGCCAUUAGUAAGCCAGAGACAUGGUUAAAUAUGGCCCCCUGGGAGGCAUUCUAAUGGCGCAUCAUAGGGUGUACUAAUAGCGCACUACAUGGUGCGCCAUUAGUAUCUGAUAUACUAAUGGCACACUUGUGGUGCGCCAUUAGUAAUAAAAUCUAAUGGCAUGGUACUAGUGGCGCACCUGUAGUGCGCCAUUAGUAGGCAAAACAGGUGCGCCACUAGCAGCCCUUUUCCUAGUAGUGUCUAAAACGAUUUUCGAAAAAUUUGUCUUUUCUUCGCCCCUCUUUCGUGCGUCUUCUUCUUUUGCUCUUUGUUCGCUUGUCCGUUUGAUCUUUUAUCUUGCUGUCAUGGCUAGUUUUCCAUCCUUGUUAGCACUCCCAAUAAUAAGGUCCUCAACUUCAAACAAAGGGAAGGAGAAAAUUUAAAAGAUGCUUGGUAUAGAAUUUAUAAUGCUCAAAUUUGAUGAUUACUGCUGGAGAUGACUAACAUCCUAGAUGUUACUCACUAUGUCUAGAUACAUUCGUUUGAGUGUCAACUAAUUCUGAACAUCUUAGGUGUUACUCCCAAGUCUAGAUACAUUUUUUUGAGUGGCAACUAAUUCUGAAUGGAGGAAGUACACAAAGCUAAGCCACAGCCAUGAAAUAUAUAUAGGGCGGGGGGCGCUCGUUCCACAAGGAGCGGCGGGUAGCUUAGCUAUAGCUCGAUCGAUGAAUAUGGCUGUAGAUGGGUUUGGUGAGCUGGGCAUUCGUGUGGUGAGUCGCCGGCUGGUGCUCUGCCUGCCAGCUACUGCUCUGCCUGCCGCUCCACCUCCUUGUCGAUCGCGCCCACCCAAACGGACGUCCAUGACACAUACACCGACAAUGUGCUCCUCCACGGCCACGACUACCCAAGUAGUGGCCACGGCACCUCCUCCACAGGCUCGGGCGUGGGCGGUGCUGGUGGUGGUGGGGGCACGUUGGCCUCCACUCCGGCCGCCAAUUGGGCCAGCGCCUGCGCAAGGCCAGGCCACCUGGCCUUGCUCCUCGCGCUCGGCCUCCACGAUGGCCCUCCAUGUGGCCUCCUCGAGGGACACAACACAGGCCUCCUCGGCAUCCUAAUCCUCCUCCUUCACCACUCCCGGAAGUGGUGGUGGAGUGGCAAGAACGCGUGGUGCACCGGGCGCACACUUGACGCACUACCGGCAAUGUUGGUCGUGCUCGGUGGCAAACCACGCGUCCUAGUUACCGCAUACGUUGGGUCACGGCGGAGGUUGGCUAGGAGUAGAGCAUGGGAUCUCCGUCAGCUGUGCGCGGCCUGAGGCCGGCACCGGAACCCUAGCAAGGUUGAGGUCCCACCCGUGCGGUAGGUUCACACUGGGCUAUGGCGCAGGCACGCCAUACUCCCAAAAGUACUGGUAGCGGUGCAUCGGCAUGUAGUGCCGAAACCAUGGCUGCCGACUCAAGGUCGAUUUAUCUGUUCUUAUAAACUAGCGAAUUAGCAACUAUAUUACCCAAGAGUAACAACCAAGUCAUAUAUACAAUGUACGCUUGCAACCAUUGAAUAAAUUGUACAGAAUACCAAACAAAGAAGAUUGAACGAGGUCGUGGAACAACUCACAUGCACCAUCCACAGGUCAAGUGGAUGAUCCCAAUGAUGAGCGAAUGAUCCUAAUGACGAGCAGUUGGCGAGAUUAUGUUGCUCUUGUGAUGGUUAGUGAUGUCUGCGCUAGAGCUUGCUUACAACCUUGCGAGGUAAGGAGCUACGGCUACAUGCGUAUUAGGUUUUAUAAGCCGUGAAACCUCGAUAAAAGUUGCCGCUAUAAGUUUUUUCUUCAUGUCACUAUAAACCUUAUNNNNNNNNNNNNNNNNNNNNNNNNNNNNNNNNNNNNNNNNNNNNNNNNNNNNNNNNNNNNNNNNNNNNNNNNNNNNNNNNNNNNNNNNNNNNNNNNNNNNNNNNNNNNNNNNNNNNNNNNNNNNNNNNNNNNNNNNNNNNNNNNNNNNNNNNNNNNNNNNNNNNNNNNNNNNNNNNNNNNNNNNNNNNNNNNNNNNNNNNNNNNNNNNNNNNNNNNNNNNNNNNNNNNNNNNNNNNNNNNNNNNNNNNNNNNNNNNNNNNNNNNNNNNNNNNNNNNNNNNNNNNNNNNNNNNNNNNNNNNNNNNNNNNNNNNNNNNNNNNNNNNNNNNNNNNNNNNNNNNNNNNNNNNNNNNNNNNNNNNNNNNNNNNNNNNNNNNNNNNNNNNNNNNNNNNNNNNNNNNNNNNNNNNNNNNNNNNNNNNNNNNNNNNNNNNNNNNNNNNNNNNNNNNNNNNNNNNNNNNNNNNNNNNNNNNNNNNNNNNNNNNNNNNNNNNNNNNNNNNNNNNNNNNNNNNNNNNNNNNNNNNNNNNNNNNNNNNNNNNNNNNNNNNNNNNNNNNNNNNNNNNNNNNNNNNNNUAUAUAUGUAUAUAUAUAUGGGGCAUGAAACUGCAAACUACCACUAUUGUUGCCGGUGGACCUCCCGGCUCCGGUGCACAUCCCAACGUCGCCCUCGUGAAGCAAGCGAAUGGCCCCGCGAGCAUGUGGACGUUGUCCAUGUGGCAUUGGGUUCCCGCUUCUUGAGUGAACCGGAAAAAAAACCCAAAGCUGGUCAAUCUUCGGCUCGAAAGGAAGCCUGGCUUAUGGUUUUGUGUUUUCGCGCCGGCGUAGCCGCUCUCCGUCUGGGUGAGCGAGCGGUGGAGGACUGCCGCAAUGGAGGAGAUGGUGGUCCUUGGGCCCCGAUGCCUUUCGUGGCAUGAGGGCCGUGUCUUGUAUUCGAUGGCCGGGGACGCCAUCCGGAGCAGCUUGAGAAGGCACCGUCGGGGCUUUGCGCUUGCACCCCUAUGCAGCCAUGCCCGGCGCAGCGGGCUGUCCGCUGUGUGUCUUGCGGAGUCUGAGUGCAUCCAUCGGCUGAUUUUUAUUUUAUUCUUUCGAUGAGGAUUAGUAGUCGGAGAGUAGAUAGGUUCUUCCUCGAUCCCAUGAUAUAAAAGCUUGGGUGUUCGUUGACGCUAGCAAUGUCAAAAACGCUCUUAUAAAAUGGGAGGGAGUCCCUCGCAAAGAAAAAAAGAGAGUAGAUAGCUACUUUAUCUUUUAUUUUGAAGGUGGGAGUAGAUUGAUAACUACUUAGUGCACGUACGAAAAGAAAGACACGAUCGCCUAAAAAAAAGAAAUACUAUAUUGAGAUAUAUAUAGGGCGUGCGGGCGCUAGCAGUUCCACAACGAGCGGCGGGUAGCUAGGUUCAACAUCCAUAUAGGUUGAAUAUGGCUGUAGAUGGGUUUGGCGAGGUGGGCAUUCGUGUGGUGAGUCGCCGGCUGGUGAAGGCAUCCGACCCCUCCAUCCAACCGCAGGUGGUGCCCCUCUCCAACCUCGACCUGUACGUCGGCAACGUACAAGUCGCCAUACUAUGCCUCUAUCCCAAGCCUCCGGCGGGCAGGGAUUUCGCCGGCGUGGUGGCCACCUUCGAGUCCUUGCUGCCGGCUUUACUCAACGAGUUCUACCCUUUCGCCGGCCGCAUCGGCACCAACCCAAGCUCAGGCCUCCCCGAGCUGCUCUGCCAGAACCAGGGCGCAGAGCUGGUCGUGGGAGAGGUCCGCGUCGCUCUGGGGAGCCUGGACUACGGCCUGGCGGACAAGUCCCUGAAGAAGCUGAUGCUCCCGUACGCGGAGGACGUCACCUUCUCGGUGCAGCUGCUAUCCUUCGCCUGCGGCAGCUUCUCCGUGCUGUGGGCAACCAACCACCUCGUCGGCGACGGCCAUGACAACAUCAGGUUCCUGCGGAUGUGGUCUGAGCUCGCACGAACGGGCAAAAUCGUCGCCGACGGCGGGGACGGAAAGCUAAGCCACGACCGCUCGGUGUUCCGCCCUCGCAACCCGCCGUCAUACAGAGCCUCGCUCGCCACCGACCUAACGACGUUCGACCCGCGCCGGCUGGUAAACGUCCUGACGGCCCACGACAGCUUCGUCGACCGCCUCUACUACAUCGACGCGGCCGACAUCGCCAGGCUGCGCGAGAUGGCGAGCACCAAGCUGCAGCGCUCGUCACGCGUCCAGGCCGUGUCCGCGUACCUGUGGAAGGUCCUCGCCGGCGUGGUUGCCGCUUCCCGCGUGCCCGAGGAGCGCUGCCGCAUGGGGUGGUGGGUGAGCGCGCGCCGUCGUCUCACGUCGCCUGACCUCGCCUCUGCGAUGCGCAACUACUUCGGCAACGUCACGACCUAUGCCUACGGGGACGCGACGCUGGAGGAGAUCCAGCGCAAGUCGCUCGCGGAGGUGGCGGCCAUGGCGCGGGAGCCGGUCGCCUCCGUCAACUACGACGAGUACAUCCAGGAUCUGGUGGACUUCGUGGAGGUGCACAAGGGACAAGGGCUGAUGGAGACGGCCGUCGUCGGGCUGGGCAGCCCGACCCUAAGCCAGUCCGUGUUCGACUCAUUCCCACUCGACACCGACUUCGGCUUCGGCCAAGCUGCUCUCGCCAUGCCCAUCUCCGACUUCGCCAACCUCUGCUCAGCCUACCUGUCCAUCAGCGCGCGGCCGGCAGGCGACGGCUCCUGGCUCGUCAGUGCCUACAUAUGGCCGCGUCUCGCCGCCGCCCUCGAGGCCGAUGAGCAGCACAUCUUCAAGCCUCUCACGGCGGACUACCUUGGCCUCACAGCCUGCUAGACAACACCCACGCUAUUCUGUGUGUUCUUUUAGCCAACAAUAAAAUUCCUUGGUGUUUUGCUCUUCUUCCAACAAUAAAAUCCUUGUGUUGUGUUGUGUGGUGCUAUGUACUUUGGUUUUUUUCUUCAUCCAACAAUAAAGUUAGGAAGCGUUACUUUUUGAAAAAUAGCACACCUUAUAUAUACAUUUACUUUGAAAGUUAGAGAGGAUUUACUUUGAAAGUCACAGGUUUGCCAAGCACCUGAGGAAAAACACUCGGCAAAGCCAGCCCUUGGUUUCCGUCAGCCAAUAAAAGAUAGAUCACACGCGUGGCCGCCUGCUUAGCUAUAACCAAGGGCUCGCCGCCGCCAUACCCCCUUCACCUCCCCGCUGCCCCCAUCGGCCUCCUAAUUCCGACCACAGCCGCCUCUAUCCCCCACUAGCCGUCCAACUUUCUCCUCUUCAUAGAUCUAAAACUAGGAAUGGGUUGGAGGGCUCAAUGAACUAGAUCUACUAUAUAGUCAUCUUUGAGCUCAGCUAUUGGGCAUCAUUGCUAGUUGCAAGCUCCCAAUUGGUCACAUCACUGCUAUUCAUAUACCAGCGGGAUCAAAUUGGCCUCUACACGAGUAAGUUGGUCCCUACGGUGAAGUACAGCAGUGGGCCCAUAUUGGCACCCACCACUGAUAGGUGGCAAAGUAAAAUUGGCAUGUGAAAAGAAUUGCCAUGUACUGAUAAGAAUUUACCAGUGCGGUCCCACUUUGCACACACCACUGGGAAAAAAAUGAGACCAACCCAAGGGAUAACCCUCGUUGGCAUUUUCUUUAUAGGAGAAACUUCGCGAGCACCACACGUCCAAGCCGAAGCUCGAACUCGCGUGGGCUGGCAGCUACCCCAGCUACCGAGCCGACGGGUCGACGCCCCGUCCUCGCACACACCUAUGUGAUUUGGCUAUAUUAUGAGUUGGUGGGCCAUUAGUGUUUUAUGCAUAUUCCAAAAAAUCACAUUGUUUUACCAAUAUUCUGCGGCAGAAGCUUAUCCUCAAAGUGCACAUAUCCCAUAUUUACGAAAAAUACUCGUUUAUUCGUUUUUCUGCAGACCGCUCGGCGUUAAGGUUGGUUUACAGCCGAGCAAGCCGACUGCUCGGCGGGAUGAAGAUGAAAAGGCAGUGGGCUAAGCCGCGUGUGUUUUAUCAACUACAUGGGCUACAUUUAGGUAUUUCAAAACCAAAGGGCAAUAUAUAAGCCGAGUAAGGCGUUAGAGGACACUCGGCCAAUACCAAGACGUCGUCAUGGAGCCGUCAAGCACGUGGCAAUAGAAACACUGCAGUUGCUUGCGUGAGCCACACGUGUAUGCCGUGGUUUUUCUACAUAAUAUAUCGUGUUCUUUCUGUAGGCCAUGCGUCUUUUUACGUUGUAUUCGGUUUACAUGGAGCUAAGUUGAGGGACCUGCAAAUGCCGUGUGUUUUCAAGAUGGUACUCGGCUUAGGGUCUCUUUGAUUCAAAGGAUUUUGAUAGGAUCUUUGAAGGAUUAAAAUCCUGAGGAAGUUUUCCUAUGUUGGUCGUUUGAUUUGUAGGAUUGAAUCAUGUAGGAUUUUUUUCUAAAGAUGUAUUUGUACUACAUUUUACAGGAAUUCUAACAUCCACUCCAACCUUUUGGAAGAAAUCCUUUGUUUUCUCCAUGACACAAUCAAACAAACUCAAAUCCUAUAGGAAUCCAAUGGACAUGUCAUUCCAAUCCUACGUUUUUCCUAUGGAAAACUAUUAAAAUCAUCCGACUUAUUUUUCACGAACGUAAACCGUCUUUGACGGACGCCACGUGUCCCUGCUGGUCGCUCACUCCUUAUCCUUAUCUUUUCUCCAGAAGAAGCGUGAGCCACUCAUUCCUUUUCCUCCUUUUUCUUCUUCCUUCGAGCAAACAUGCUUUCCCAGGGACGGCUCUCUCCAGCAAUCCCAGUCGCCGCUCACUUCGUGUUGAUGUAGGGCUAGGCUGAGAGGAUGCUCCUUCCAUGGCCGGCGGCGGAGCUGCGUUUGGUGAUGCGCGACGAUGUUGCGGCCACGUUGACGGCAAAGCUGCGUUGGAGCAGAAGGUGCUACGAGCUGCUGCCAUGACCGGCGGCGCUACUGCACAGCAACGGCGAAGCUGCGUUUCAGCAGCAAACAGCUAUGAGCUGCUGCCAUGGCGGGCAGCAGAGCUACAUGGCAGCAUGCAGCAGGCGAUGCGUCAAUGAAACUUGGCCGGAGCUCCAUUGAAGCUUCGCCGGUGCGUCAAUGAAACUUCGCCGGAGCUCCAUUGAAGCUUCGCCGGUGCGUCAAUGAAGCUUGGCCGUAGCUCCAUUGGAGCUUCGCCGGGGCGUCAAUGAAACUUCGCCGGAGCUCCAUUGAAGCUUCGCCAGUGCGUCAAUGAAGCUUCGACGGGGUGGCUCGGUGUUGCUAUGGAGCAGCACCCGGUGGCUCUCGGUGUUGUGAUGCAGCGGUCGCCGGUGGCUCCGGGGACGCGAGGUCGCCGAGGCAGGGUGACAGGGGAGGGUCUGCGUUGCUCUGCAUCAGGAGGAGUUGUUGUGCGCUGCUCUGUAUCAGAUGGCUGGGGAUUAGUGGAGAAAGGCCCAGGUUGUGUCGCGGCGAUCGAACGACCAUCUGUGCGGACCGAACGGCUGGCUGGGCGGAUGAUAUCUCUAGGAAAUCAUCCGCCUGAUUUGUAGCAGCCGCCUCCUAUUCCUGUGUUUUUGCAAUUCUAUGAAUCUGUCUAAGACGAGUAUCCGAGAAAAUACACCCGGCUUACCAAAAAGCACUAAGCAACAUGUCUUUUUCUCGUAGUGGCCUUUUAAGGUUUUUAUUUUACUUCAUAUAGGGCUCAAAGAGCCAACCUCGCCACCAACAUCGCCUACCAAACUUUGCCCAAGACGUCAUGUCCAUGAUCACAGACCAGUCAGGUUUAAACAUGUUUUCAUCUCUAUGAAAUUCACACAAAAAUUCCAAAUUGACUAGGUGUUUAAACUUAUGUUUCGACAAAGACUCAGACACCUGGACAUUUGAAAAUAGGACAAACGUCGACGCUCACAUGGACGCACCUAGACUCACAUCUAUGAACUUAUACACUAUCUCACUAAAUAGCAUAAAACUACUACAAUUCGGACUAGAGUUUCAAAAAACUACUAAAUAUAUUUUUCCGCUCAUAACUACUAAAUCAGGGGUCGGCUGUUUCAAAAAACCCAAAUCAUCGAGUCUUUAGUAAUUGAUCACGAUUAUGACAGUUGGGGCCAAGCGUAAGAUAACCGUUUGUUUGACCGUUUAGUUUGAAUGUUAACUUACAUGUGGGUCCCACAUGUUAGUUUUUUUAAAAGCAAUCAGGUCCCUGUAAGUUUUCUAAAAUAGCAACCGGGUACAUGUGAGUUUUCUAUAAGGUCCCUAAAAGUUUUUGCAAAAAGCAAUAUAAUCAGGUCUCCAGAGGAGCCGCGCCCGCGGCAGCCUGCUCGAUCCCGAGCGCUCUGCCCGAACCACGACGCUGCCUCCAUCGGCCGGCCAGCCGCGCCCGCAACGGCCGAAUCCACGCCGUGCCUCGCCUGCCACCAUGGCGUGACUCGCAUGCCGCCAUGUCAUGCCUCGCUGGCGGCCGCUGCCACGCCGUGCCUCACCUGUGGCUGCCGCCAUCCCCUGCCGCGAGCUCCUCAAGCUAGACGUGGACGGCCUGCGCCGCUGCUGGAGUGCGCACCUCCCAUUGCCGCGGACGAGGUCGCUGUCUGCUAUGCCUCCUCGAAGCCACCGUCACCACCAGGAGCUACGGUGAGCACCUACCACGACCAUGGGGAGGGUGGGAAGGAGAGGGAGGGUCGCCGCCAGCCAGGCCCGGCCCGGAUGGAGGGGUAGGGGGCGGCCGCCCCAGGCCCCCGAAAUUGAGGGGACCCCACGUUCGUGUGCUCUCUGUAUCCAGCCCAUGUGCUCUCUGUAUCCAGCUGAUGAGAAAAAAUGAUUCUGGGCUACUUUUGAUGAAACAGACCUGUACAUGUAGUGGAACUUGUGUUUCCCUCGCGUAGGUCCGCGGAUGACGACAUGAGCGAUCAACCUAGCGAUAUAUCCUACAAGCCCGAGGGAAACCCCGCCGCCGACACAGCCUCCUCCCGUGGAGGCCUCCCCCGAUGAUUUCUCGUCCAAUGGCGGAUCGAGUAAUUUCAUGUUCAUCGCCCUGGACAGGAGUAACAACACCACCGGCCCUGGCAGGCAGUUUUAAACUACAGAGGUCAGGUUAGCAUCUUCCUGAUGCAUCAUCCAACGGAGCUAGCUAGAUUGAUAUGUGACUAGUUGGUGGCAGAAUUAUUAGAUCUAGUGUAUUAGCGGAGAGGAGUAGGACGUAGUUGUCCUUCUGACUAAUUUUUUUAAUGCAAUCCUUCCGAUUAAUUAAUCUGGUCGUGUUGGAGAUCGAUGAAAGAUGAGGGGAGAGGAUGUCUAGAAUCCAUGGGAUAAUGAUAAUUGGCAAGCUGAAAUUAAUUGGAGGAUUCAUGGUCGAUUCAAUAUGAUUAGGUGGCAAAAUUAAUUUUUAGUAGCUAAAAAAAUUAACUUUUAGUGUUGCAAACUAUGAAGCUAUUCUACCUGCAUGCCACCAAGAGCAGUUCAAAUUACUUUUUGUUUGCCAAACUAUGAAAUAUACAAUGCAUGAAACUUCCCUAUCAAAAUCUUAGCAAAAGUGAGAAAUAAUAAUUAUAAUAAUGUAUAAUUAGAACCCGGAACUAGGUCGACCAGCUGGUUUUGCACGCCAUGAUAAAAAAAUUAACAACAAUUCAUGUUUAAAAUUUAUCUAGACAUGCACAUAAUGAUUAUAAUUUUGGAUAUAUAAAGGGCCUCCGAUUGUAUUUUUGCCCCGGGCCCCUGAAAUCUCAGGACCGGCCGUGCCGCUAGCUUGGGAUGGGAGGGGACGGUCGUCGGCUUGGGAGCGGAGGGGAGGGUCGCCGGCUUGGGAGGGGAGAUGGCCUGCUCGGGAGACACCAGAAGAGAGACGAGAAGAGACAAAGAGGAAGAAGAAAGAGAAUAGCAAGAGGAAACUUACAUGUAGGCCCCACAUGUAAGUUAACGGCCAAACUAAGGUCAAACUGACAGUUUGUUUAGGUGCGGGCCCAACCUGUCGUGACCGUGAUCAACCGAUAAGGACUCGGGGAUUUGGGUUUUUUGAAACAGCCGACCCCCCGGCUUGGUAGUUAUCAGCAAAAAGAAUUUGGUAGUGUUUUGUAACCCUAACGUGAAUUGUAGUAGUUUUAUGCUAUUUACUCAAACGAUCUCUAUGAGCAUUUUCAAGAUACUGAACCGGCACAUCAUUUUGAGAUUGGUGAACACCACAGACGUCUUCAUAGUUGACAGAAACGUCUCCUCCCAAUGAACGAACAUCGCAAAAGCCUGAAAUAAAUCCCAAAAACUGUCAGCACCAUUACCAAGUUUAAAACUUGAACCCUGAUAGGGUUGGUUCCACCACAAGAAAUCUAACUAUUUGAGCCAUGCACAUCUCAUAGUUUUCCCUGUGGCCAUGGAGGGUGCCACAUAUGUAACCCAUUAAUAUGGGAACCCAUACCUGUAAGCUUGUCAGCAUUUAUAGGCUAUAUAUGCUAAUCAAUUAUAAAAAAAACUGGGAUAACAAGUUUGAACUACACCCAUUAUUCCUCCGCCUAUAUAUUGUCGUGCAUGCAUGCCAGUGCCAUAUACGGAAACAAACCGACCGAGAAGGCCCUUAAUUAACAGCUAGCUAGCUCUCUUGGUCGAAUAUGGUAACUGCUAAUGCUAUUGGCUCCGGCGACCUGAGCAUCCGUGUCCUGAGUCGCCGCCUUGUCAAGGCCUCCGACCCAUCUACCAAGCCGCACGUAGCCGCCUUCUCGAACCUCGACCUCUACCCUGGCAACGAGCAGGCCUCGAUAGUAUGCCUCUACCCCAAGCUCCCAAACGCCGGUGACUUCCCGGCGGUUGUAGCCACCUUCGACUCCAUCCUCCCGUCGUUGCUCAACGACUUCUACCAUUUCGCCGGGCGCAUCCGCACCAACCCAAGCUCCGGCCUCCCCGAGCUGCUCUGCGACAACCAAGGCGCAGAGCUGGUGGUCGGCGAGGCCGGUGUCGCCAUGGCCAGCCUGGACUACGGCCUGGCGGAGCAGUCGUUGAAGAAGAUAAUGCUUCCGUACGCCGAGGACGUCACGCUCUCGGUUCAGCUGCUCUCCUUCGCCUGUGGCGGCUUCUCCGUCGUGUGGGCGACCAACAACCUUGUGUGUGACGGCCAAGCCUUCACCAUGUUCGUCAGGAGGUGGUCCGAGCUCGCCCGAACUGGGCGCAUCGUCGACGGACCGCCCAACCAUGACCGCUCGGUGUUCAGCCCUCGCAGGCCGCCGUCGUACGGAGCCUCGAUCAGGGACAUGUUCGCGACGUACGACCAUGACCGGCUGGUGAACGUGCUGACGGCGCACGACAGCUUCGUCGAGCGCCUCUACUACAUCGAGGCGAGCGACAUCGCUGCCCUGCGGGAGGCGGCAAGCAGCAAGCUCCAGCGCCCGUCGCGCGUCCAGGCGGUGUCCGCGUACCUGUGGAAGGCCCUCGCCCGCGUGGUGGCCGCGUCCCGCGUGCCGGAGGAGCGCUGCUGCAUGGGGUGGAUGGUGGACGCGCGGCGGCGGGUGAAGGCGCCGGAGCUCGUCCGGGCGAUGGGCAACUACUUCGGCAACGUUACGGCCUACGCUCUCGGGGAGGCAGCCGUUGAGGAGAUACAGGAGAAGGAGCUGUCGGAGGUGGCGGCCAUGGUGCGGGAGACCAUCACGUCUAUCGACUACGAUGAGUACACCCAGGAGCUGGUGGACUGGGUGGAGGAGCACAAGACAGAGAGGCUGAUGGAGAAGGGCGUCAUCGGGCUCGGUACGCCCACCUUGAACCAGACGGUGUUCGCGUCGUUCCCGCUCGACACCGACUUCGGCUUCGGCCAUGCCGUGCUGGCAAUGCCCAUGUGCGACUACGGGAGGCUCAGCUCGGGGUACCUGUCGAUCGGAGCUCGGCCGGGAGGCGACGGCUCCUGGCUGGUCAACGCCUACAUAUGGCCUCGCCUCGCGGCGGCGCUUGAGUCGGACCAGCAGCGCAUCUUCAAGCCUCUCACGGCGGAGUAUCUAGGGCUCGUCUAGGCGUACCACUCUGCUGUCUGCCCGGUUUCUUCUUCAAUAAGUCUUUGCUUCGUCUUUUGAGGCAUGAAAGCAGCUCGUGCUUGUUUUACUUCCACCUAUUUUGCAAUACCCCAAAUAAAGCCCUUCUGUGUGGAGGGUAGUUUGUUUGAUCAAUAAAUGUUUGAGUCGUUCAUAAGGUUUCCUUGAUUAGUAUACAAAUCAGUUGAUGACUACGUUUCACAACUCAUGUGCAUGGAGAUGCUAAACCGAUAGUAUGGACUCGGGGAUGGAGACCACGCAGUCGGACAUACCAACUCUGAGACGCAGCGAGAUGUUGUCAUAUGUUAGUGUCAAGCACAAUGUUUAUGCCAUGUCCUAGACCUAAGGUCCUCGCAUGUUCUCGGGAUGAGUAUCGACUCACUUAAGGUCUAUCAAACGCUACUCCAUAACUGGCUAGAUAUAAAUGUAGCUUUUGGGUGGGUGGUGAGAUAUGCCGCGAGACAUGGCCGACCAAGAUGGGAUUUACCCCUCCUAUUUGAAGAGAUAUUUUCUGGACCCUCUCGAGGGAUCGGAUUCGGAAAGCAUGACCAUGCGACUUGGUUAAGUGUUAACCCAGUGCGGGAAUCUAUAUCACGGUGUCAAGAAGAGAGGUCGAGCUACCACAAGGGUGACAAGUACUCACCUUGAGCUUGACAACAUAUAUCGUGAGGCAAAAGGAAUGUUGCAGAUGAUACAUUGUCGAGGUUCUUCGAACGACUUUACACGCACAUGAGAGUUGGCACGUUCAGCGAGGAGCUGCUACCAACUAUCGACUCUGGUCGUGUCCAUGUGUACGUAAACCUAUAGGGUCGCACACUUAAGGGGCUGCAGGCCAUUCGGAUUGGAUUCGAGUGGAAAUGGUUUUACUCCUAGUGGGCCUCAAGUAUUGAGCCUAUCUCGGAGGUCUAUAUAUAGGGGAGUGGCCGCACAACUGAGGUUGAUCUUUUUCCACCAUGGACAGCCUCCAUCGCAACUCCCCACGCCCAUCCCGCGCGACCUAACCUAGAUGCCUACCGCCCGACGCUGCUCCCCGUACGUGUGGAUACCUUGCAGGCAUCGCAUCCGUGGUGCUUGGAUGAACUGUUCGAGGGAACCGCGAGGUGCCGUUCGCGGGAGAUCAACGUUCACAGGUCUUUGUUGUUCGCGGGAGAUCGACGACGCGAGGAGGAGACGCCUCGGGAGAUCGUCUACAUGCAUCUCCAACUCUAUUUUCUGCUGCGGUUACUGCGCGUCUAGUGGUAAACUCGAUCUCAUGAUCUAUUUCCAGCAACUUGAUCUUGGGUGCGUGGUAGAAUUUUUUUUAUUUGGCUCUAGCUUAGCAUACCGCGUGUUUCUACAGUCGUAUCAGAGCCUAUGCUACGUGGUAUUAGAUUCAAGGUAGAAUUUUCAAAUGAUGAUAUGUAGAUUGCUUUAUGUACUGGCCGAUGAGAUCGGUUGUCAAUAUGAUUGACUAUACAUGGUGUCAGGCAUUCGAAAUUGUGAUCUAAUUUUCCGUGAUGAUGUUGUGGAGGUCGUGGCACAAAUUACCUAUACCGGUCGGUUUCGGCCAUCGGGUAAGACAGUGGAACGUAAAGUCGGUCACAACACGCGAAGACCAAUGAGAUUGGUUGAAUCAGAUAGAUGGUCAAAAUAGGAUAAAUAUGAUUUGCCGGUGAAAAUUCCCAUGCAAAAAUGCAUAGAUAUUGCAAGGGCGCUGCCAGUUGACCCCACAGGGGGCAAAGCCCCAUCGACCCCCAUCCUGUUAAUCUCUUAGGGCGGUGGAUAACUUGUUUUUGCAGGUAAUGCUUGUGAUUUGGUACAACCCGGGUAUGUUGCAUGUACGUAAUUAUAUCAUGACCUGCGUGUCGAGAGUACAAUAACUGGUUGGAGCCAUAUGGUUGUCCCAUUAUUGUAUUAAUGACCUUCAUGUCAACAUGAGAAGCAUUGUAUUGUUAUUUACUUUCAAUAGCUAUUAGUUUGUAAUAGCGUAGUAUCUUAUGUAACACUUGGCGGUUGACACCAUGGCGUGGAGAUGAAGAUCUCCACGAGGACAACCAUGCAUGGAGAUGGAGAUCACCAUGGGCAGGCCGUGCAGGUGGAGACGAAGAUCACCAUGCGAUAUCAAAAGGGGCUAAACCAUAUCACACAUAUAAACUGCCUGUGAAAGUUUAUCUCUGUUAUGCACCCUUCUUUUGCAUGGUAGACGUUUCAAGUAGGGUGAUCCCUCAAAGAAUGUCAAGUAAAAAUGCCUCUCCAAAUGUUGCACCAUCACACAUCAAGUAUACUUAGUGGUGGGAUUAUAAAAUUAAGGUGCCAUUUGGUGUCCUUGAAGUGAUGGGUUCGGUUCGGACACUUACAUGCAUAGCAUUGGUUAUCUUGUCGUGGCUAUCAAAACAGUUUUGGGCCUCGAGGCGUAGGAGUUGGUGCGACAUGAGAUGUCCCCAACAACAAGAGUCGUAUGGAGACACGAUUAGCAAGAAAUACUUAUGGAGUGAUCUCGUCUUCUAGCAGUGAUGCAAAUGCUCACUAGUUAACAUGUUGAUCUUGGAUCUUGAAUCACUAAGUAUCAUCUGAGGGAUGUUGAUUUUAUUUGGAGUGAUGAUCUUAUUAAAAUGUUUAAUAUGAAUUACUCUUCAUGAAUACAUGUCUUAGUGUUUUGCAUCUUUCUGUUGGAGAUCAGAGGCACCACCUGCUCAAGUUACUCCUUUUGCGCUGAAAACAAUCCUAGAAAAAGAUAAAUGGAAUGGGACAAACUUUACGACCUGGUAUAGAAAUCUGGGAAUUGUUCUUAGGCAUGAGAAAAAGGACCAAGUUCUAGAAAAUCCGCUUCCAGAUGUACCUGCCAAGAAUGCUAAUGCCACAACCAGGAGUGCCUACCAGAAACCCAUUGAUGAAUAAAAUGAGAUCAUCUAUCUCAUGCCGGCUUCAAUGGAGCCCGAUCUACAGCAGCAGUUCGAAAACAUUAAGGCUUUCGAUAUGAUCGAGAACCUCAAAAGCAUGUUUCUGAUGUAGGCUAGGACCGAAAGGUUCAACGUCUGGCUAUCCUUGAUGGAUUGUAAGUUGAAUGAAAGUGAUCAAGAUGACUAGGUACAUGCAAGCUUUGGAUUGGUUGGGCUUCCCACUUGGGAACGUUCAACUCGAACUACCAUAUGCAUGGGAUGGAAAAGAAGCUCACUGAAUUGCAUGGGAUGCUCAAGGUGGCAGAGCAGGAUAUAAAGAAAGUUACGCAUCGUCAAGUGUUGAUGGUGCAGAACUGGGCUAAGUUCAAGAAGAGAUGUUCCAAGAAAAAGCAUAAGGCAAACGGCCAGGAGGAGAAGGCAACUCCAACUUCUGCCGUUGCGCCUAAGUCAGGGCCAGCCGGGGACCGUUUUCUUUCACUGUAAGGAACACGGCCACUAGAAAAUGAACUGCAACAAGUGGCUUGUCGAGAAGGGCAAGAAGACUGGAAGUGUCACUUCUUCAAGUACACUUAUUGUAUAUGUUAUAGACAUUUAUCUUGCUGAUGUUUCUAGUAGCUCUUAGGUAUAUGUUACCGGAUCGGAUGUUCACAUAUGCAUCUCGAUGCAGAGUCUAAGAAGAACUAGGAAUGUUGGAAGAGAAGUUGACAUACACAUCGUGAAUAAAGCAAGAGUUGAUGCAUUGGCCGUCAGCACUAUGCAACUUAAUUUACCUUCAGGAUUUGGAAUGGAACUUGAUAAUUGUAAUUAUGUUCCUGCUUUGAGUCAAAACAUUAUUUCUGCCUCAUGUUUGAUGAUACAAGUUUAUGAAAUAAGUAUUAAGGACAAUGGUUGUUCUAUGUACUUGAAUAAAAUGUUUCAUGGCUUUCCACCUAUUGUGAACGGGUUAUUAAUCCUAGAUCUUGAAGGUGAGCCAGUCUAUAACAUAAAUGUCAAGAGGCAUAAGCCUAACGAAAUAAACCCGACUUACAUCUGGCAUUGUCGACUAGUACACAUUAGUAAAAGUGCAUGAGGAAGCUCAAUGAUGAUGGAAUUCUAACUUCAUUUGAUUUUGAAUCAUUCGAGACAUGUGAGUGUUGCCUUCUUGGCAAGAUGACUCAGACUCCUUUUGCAAGGAGUUGCGAAAGGACGUCCGAGUUAUCGAAACUCAUCAUAGUGAUGUAUGUGGACCAAUGAGCACGACAGCAGGUGGUUUCCAAUAUUUCGUGACGUUUACAGAAAACUUGAGUAGAUUUGGAUAUGUCUACUUGAUGAGGCACAAGUUAGAAACUUUUGGAAAGUUCAAGGAGUUUGAGAGCGAAGUGGAGAAUCAACUCGGCAAGAGAAUCAAACUUCUACGAUCUGAUCGUGGCGGUGAGUAUAUGAGCCAGGAGUUUGAUGAUUAUCUAAAGAGUCGUGGAAUAGUUCCACAACUGUAUCCUCGGGGUAUGCCACAGAGAAAUGGCGUGUUGGAACGAAGGAAUCGGACUCUGUUAGACAUGGUCCAAUCAAUGACGAGUCGGUCGGAUUUACCUUUGUUAUUUUGGCGAUACGCUCUAGAAACUGCGUAUUUCACACUAAAUAGGGUACCAUCCAAGUUUGUAGAUAAGACGGCAUAUGAGAUAUGGACUGCGAAGAGUCACAGUUUGUCUUCUCUAAAAAUUUGGGGUUGUGAAGCAUACGUCAAGCGACUCCAGUCAGACAAGCGCACACCCAAGUCGGACAAGUGCAUAUUCGUGGGGUAUCCAAGGGAAACCUUGGGAUCUUACUCCUACAUCCGUGAAGACUGCAAAGCGUUUGUCGCUCGACAUGGAGUUUUCCUUGAGAAAGAGUUUCUCAAUCAGAAGGCUAGUGGGAGGAUGAUACGACUCGAGGAAAUUCGAGAACCACAUGGAGUUAGUCAGGGAACCCAUGGUGGAGUCGACGCCAAUUCCACGGAGGUCAGAAAGGUUGCGCAAUAUGCAUGACUGCAAUGUGUUGUUCUUGGAGAACAACGAGCCGGCAACGUAUGCGGAAGCCAUAGAGAGCCCUGAUUCCGAGUUAUUGCUUGAGGCCAUGAGAUCCGGAUUAAAGUCCAUGGAUGGCAAUCAAGCUUGGAACUUGGUUGAUCUGCCAGAUGGCGCUCGAGGCAUUGAGUGCAAACUGGUAGUGAUGCCUAAAUAAAUUAGGACCAUUCUUGCUAUAUCUGCAUAUUUCGACUAUGUUACUAUUAUGUUCUUCAACAGAAGGUCCCAAAUGUUGUUGUGCCUCUGCUGAUGGACGCCGAAAGUGAGAUGACAAUUGUUUGCCCUUUGAAGAUCAGAUUCAAAUAUACAUACUCGACCGAGCGUUAAUCAAAUGGAUGCCUCAAAAUUGAGUGAUGGAGGCAAAUAGUCAAUGAGCUCGGGCCACAAAUUGGAGACCGGGGAUCUCUGUGGUCCAUCAUGGAGAUGUAGUUUUUUUUCUCUGUUUUAUUCUAUUUUACCUAAGACACUGGAGUAGGUCAUAGUACUUGUCAUGUGCUUGAAAGUUACUUACCUAGGAUGAUGACAAUUAGUUAGUAGUGGUUAACUUAUGAUGAUGAUGAUGGUGAUGAUGGUGAUGAUGAUGAUGAUGAGACAUUUUUAUAUAAUUAUGAUCAUGAUGAGCUGUUAUAUCACUACGAUGAUGAUGAGUUAUAUCAUUUUGAUAAUGAUGAGUUGUUACAUGAUGAUGAUGAUGAUGAUGAUGAUGAUGAUGAUGAUGAUGAUGAUGAGUUGUUAUAUAGUUGCUUGUGUAUAAAAAUCUGUAUAAUUAUUGUAUAAAUAUAGUAUAAUAUGUAGAAAGGAAAUACAUAGAGUUAGUAGUGGCGGGGGGCCUCGCGCUAUAGCUAGUUAUUAGUAGCACGGGCCAAACACCGCGCUGCUCCUAAUGUAAGUAGUAUUAGAGCCGAGCCUGGCCCGUCUUACUAGGAACCAGUUAGCUACACGCUGAUGAGUUGUUAUAUGAUGAUGAUGAUGAUGAUGAGUUUUUAUAUAGUUGCUAAUGUAAGUAGCGAGGCAACCCGCACUACUCCUAUGCCUUUAAACCGCGCCACUACUAGCCUUAUCCCUUGUAGUGACGGGCAGAUGGAGCGAUGAAAUGCGCAUGUCCUCAAUGGGCUCCAAACGAGAACAUUCGCCUAACUCAAGAAGUGUGGCCGGUGAUGGAUCGAUGAGCUUCCCUAUGUUCUAUUUAGUGUAGAUAUCACUCUUAAUUAACUUGUUUUUCUGCGGAUAGUAACUAACGCUUUGAGCCUUUGUGGUUUAUCUCACAAUUUUUGUCUUCACAACUGGAGUAGGCCACAAUGUUGAGAUGCAAAAAAAGGUCCAUAAACUAAUUAAAUGGAAUAUCAUUUAGAUACGACACUUAUAAGAUACACUAAAUAUUAAGAGACGUGUUGAGUAUAUAAUGAAUAGGGGUCAUUGUCUCUAAAUAGUUUUCACUAAAUAGGAUGAUGUGUUAAGAGACACUGCGUUGUGAGUUCCCUUUCGCUAAAUUAAUUUGCCCUGGUUCGAUUGCAGAGAUGUGUGCGGAGUUUCUUGGGGGAGUUUGGCAGCCAAUCGAUGAUAACUAGUUCUAGGACGCUACUAGGUCAGAUUCAAAACUGAACAUAUGGCUUGGUCCAAGAGUUUCGGCUCUCACAACCUGAAAAUCUGCAGCUUUCACACUAAAUAUUAAGAGAUUCGAAACUGAACAUAUCUGUCAUUGGUUUGAUGCUGUGGGUCCGUUUCAUUAUCUUUUUUUUUAUCAGGUAGUUGGACGGCCACACCAUGCCCUGAAAAUCUGUCUAGAUCUUGAUCGGGAGGCAUAAGAUUUCUUAUUCUGACAACCCUGAAACUGUUUGCCAUGCAUGCAUUAUCCUUCGCAAAGCGAAUUAAGUUGCCCCUAGACAAGGGCGGAUGGAGUAUAGUUCACUGUAGCUUCAUGAUUCUUUUGUCAGCUUAUUUUUUAGAGCUGCGGCUAUCAUAUUUACACCUGCUGUUAUAUCUGUUUCCAGAACCAUGUGUCAGCAGCUUCUGUUAUCAUAGCCAAUAAAACUAUCACGAAGCUACAGUGUGAGCAAUGAAGACGUUAUAUAAACAGGGAUAAAAUAUAUUGUGCUAAACUGCUCUAUCCAAAACCAUGUGUCUGCUCCUCUUGUUUGUUUCUUUACUAUUUUUCAUAUUGUGGAUGAUCAUGACGAUACAUACUAAAGAGUUUUGCAUAGCAUAUGUAAUUUCAUGCAUACAGACAAUGUUUUUUUAUUGGUGUAUUAUUUCACUCUGUUAAGACAAAAUUAUAUUUUGGAAUAUUGAAAUAAUAAUAUUAGGUAAAUCAUACAUGUGCACUAUGAAGCUAACUUUGUGCAAGAGAAAUGAGUAAAAUUAAGGACAAGAUUUAUACCUAUGCAAUACAAAAAAAAACUAUCUGCAGCAGUAAAUUCAUGUAGCUGGCAACAUUACUGGUACAAAUUAGAUCUAAUUAUAGUGCAUACAUGUACCUUUUUUAGAAAACAAAUCUUGAAACUUCGAUAGAAAAUUUUACGAUUUAUGAAAUUUGAAUGGGAAAACUAAACCAAAACCAAAAGGCCGGGAGUUAAAUGUGAGUGAAAAUAAAUGUCAGGAGGUAUUUGUCAGUGAAAAUAAAUAUGAGUGACACUUCUCCAUGCAAAAAUGUUAGUGAAAAAACUUGAAUUUUCACUGUAAAAACAACCCCAAAAUAAAGGAGGAAGCAGAACCAUCGAAAUGUUUAUGAAACGAACAACCACCAACAUAAGAGAGAAGUCACCAUACUCAUUAAGACGCCCAUGUUCAUCUGAGUAGUUAAGCCACUGCAUAGCAAUUAAUAGAAAGAAAACUGCAUAGAAAUUAAUUUUGAUGGGCUCGUGGAUCACGGCAGAAGCAUGCAUGAAUGCAUAUGUCUAUCGUUGCAGGUCAUUCAUGAGAGCAAUGCAUUCAUAUCUAUCUUUGCACGGAUGGAAAAAUUAGUCUGGCGCCAUAUAUCUUCUAUUUGUUAUACUACAGAAAGACAUAUUAAAAUAAAGUUGCCCCUAAACAAGGUGGAUGGACGACCACUCAUUUUGGCAGACUGUACUCGCACAAUUCGUUUUCCCAAUAAUAAUGUGAAUGGAGAGAGUAUAAUUCACACUGUCGCUUCAUGAUUCUUUUGUCAGCUUAUUUUUUAGAGCUGCCUUUUUUUUUGCGGGAAUAUUUUUUAGAGCUGUCAGCUAUUAUAUUUACCCCUACUGCCAUAACUAUUUCCAGAGCCAUGUGUCGGCAGCUUUUGUUAUCAUAGCCGACAAAACUAUAACGAAGCUACAGUGUGAGCCAGGAAGACGUUAUAUUUUCAGGGAUAACAUAUAUAUUGUGCCAAACUCCUCUAUCCAAAACUAUUUGCCGGCACCUCUUGUUUUGUUUAUUUACAAUUUUAAUAUUGUGGAUGAUCAUGACGAUACGAAGUAAAGAGUUUUGCAUAGCAUAUGUAAUUUCAUGCAGGCAGACAACACUUUUUUAUCAGUGUAUAAUUUUGCUCUGUAAAGACAAGAUUUUAUCUUGUGAUAUUGAAAACAUAGUGUUAGAUAAAUCAUAGAUGUGAUCUUUGUGGAUAAAUUUGUGCAAGAGAAUUGAAUAAAAUUAAGAACAAGUUGUAUACCUGUGCAAUAAAGAAAACUAUCUGCAGUAGUAAAUACAUGUAGGUGGCAACACUCACAUUUUGGUUAUUCCUGUAUAAACAUUGCUAGUGCAAAUUGGAUCCUAUAUAUUGUGCACACGGUGUUCCCGUCCUCGGAUGGUUUCCCCUUGUUCGGUCUUGCUCAUUCUCGUUGCUCACAAGCUCAUGCAAUUGAGAACCUGAGAUCUUCAAUCUGGCCAUCUGGGAUUUCCGGACUUCUCCUUCGAAGGAAAACAAGGACUGGCACAUAUGGCGCUCUUUGGACACCUUGACUAGAUAGGGGCCUGUCGUGUGCACCCGCAACAUCAGCAUAACCAGCUUUACCGGGGUAUCGUGCAGCUCUGUUUUUGUUGGCACCUUGGGACAUGUCUGCACCAAGAUUCCCAUGGGAUCAACACAUGUGGAGAAUGUCAUGGCGUGAUUGAAGGACUUGCAAGUGGCAAAGGCGGGGUCUUGGAUGCGAUGAAGACUUUGCUUCAUAGGCAGUUGUUUAGACAUGGCUUACGGGAUAUGUUCCCAUCCAGACGGGACGUGAAUUCCUGUGAGCCUAAUGGUGCGUGACUUGCAGUAGUAGCCUCCGCAAGUGGGGGUGGCGGCAUUGGAGGACUUCUUUGUUAUUCGGUGCUCCUCUGAGUACCCAAUCAGGAUUUCCAAGGUGAAAACCCAAGGUCUGGCCUUUAUUGGUUGUGCCUGGCAGUAGUCUUGUUGAAGGCAUUAUUGUUGGGAACCUCAUCUUUCUCCAGGGUGAAAACGUAAUAUCUUUGAUCAGGCAACGACAACGCUUGUGCUUUGUUUCCUUCCUGGAGGCAUUGCUUUUGGAGAACCUAUUUUGUAGUCCGGGUGCCAUCUUUGGUGGUGGUUAGAGUGCGGCUACUUCGGGUAUUGAUCACCGUGGUGGGAUAUUUUUUCUUCUCUUUUUAUUUUGAUUUUUAGUUGUGUGCAUCCUGGAUGUUUUUAGGCAUCUUGUUGUUGCAGAGUCUGGGAGUAAUUGGUAUCUGCUUGAUAUUAAUACAUUCUCCUUUACAAAAAAAAAUUACAUAUGCCUUUUCUAGAAUUUUUUUCCUAAAACUUCCAGGGAUGAUUCUAUCAUUUGUUUAAUUUUAAUGGAAAAAUUAAACCAAAACCAAAACGUCAGGAGGUAAAUGUGAGUGAAUAUUAAGGUCAAGAGGUAAAUGUGUUUGAAAUAAAUAUGAGUGACACUUCUCCAUGUGAAAUUGUUAGGGAGAAAACUAGACUUCUCUCUGUAAAAAUAACCCCAAAAUUAUGGAGGAAACAAAACCAUCCAAAUAAACAAUAUAUUGAGAAGUCUAUGAAACGAACAACCACCAAGAUAAAAGAGAAUUCGCCAUACUCAUCAAGACGCCCACAUGUCAAUAGCUCAGUCAGUCAACAUUAUAGCAAUUAAUUUUGAUAGGCUCAAGGAUCAUAGUAGAAGCAUGCAUGAAUCGUUGCAGGUCAUUGAUGAGAGCAAUGCAGAUCACUAUCUUUGCAUGGUCAGAAAAAUUAUUCUGGCGCCACCUAUCUUCUAUUUGUUAAACCAUAUGAAGGCGCAUAUCUCAUCACGAACGAUUAAUCAACAAUAUAUACUACACAAUGACACAUUAAAAUUAUUGCACAUGGGCGAGAUUGAUGGCUUUAUCCUUCAUAUGAUCCAAAUAAUCGUAUUUAUUGUUCACACUGUAACAACAUAAUGGUUUUGUUGGCUAUCUACCCCUGCUACCAUUCCUAUCUCUUGAGCAACAUGCUAGUAUCUUUUGUUUAGUUUAGCUAAAAAGAUUGGAAUGAGAGAUUUCCUUUUUUUGUGCAAUAACAUGAUAGUACAAACUACUGAACUUUACAUAUUUAGGUACUCAAUAAAAUACUGUUAAAGAUAGCUAUAGACAUUAGUCAUAUUAAUUCAACCAUAAGAGAUUAUCAUGUACCAUAUUAGCAUGAUUACUGGUCCUGUUCAAGAAUUCGUCCGAUUAACCAGUUAACUUGGAAAUUAAUCCCUACUUGUAAGGUCAUCGUGUAGCCAAUAAACUGAUAAAUCCUCCGUUUAAUUUCUUAACAGGACAAUUAACUUGCCGAUUACCCUAUUAAUCCCCUACUCCCUAGCCAACCAAGCAGCUACCAGUUAACAAUUUCCUCAACAAAUUUACUGGUAUGUUCCUGUUUAGAUGGUUCACCAAUACACUUCCAAAGUUAUUUUUGAGAAUGAUGCACCCUUUUUACAUUUUUUUGGUAUUAUUCCAUCAAUGCUGCACUACAUCAUAGCAUCUUCUUCUUUUUGGAAUGGCUAUGAAAGGACACGAUAGGUAUGUCUGGUGAACUUUUUGUGGAGAUACUUGGGCUCAUGUGUCUGAGAAUAAGAGGAUGUCCUCCCAUAGGAUUUACAUAUACCAACAACUAUUAACCAUGUCUCAAUGUGAGAUUGGAGACUAAAGAGUCUAGAUUUUAUAAGAUUAACCGGAAGUGUUGACUUCAACCGUGUAUUACUAAUCCACUGCAGUUGAAUUUUUGCAGUUGAAUUUUGCAUAUGGCUAAUUUAUUAAUCAACACCUAGGAGGAAUAGUUUGUAGGAGUUACCUAUAGCGUUGCCCUGGCAAAAGGAAAUGUGAUUGUUUAUCAAAAUUGUUUCUACUUAUAUUGUUUUAUCCCGUUACUACUGCAGCACUAAUUUUUAGUUAACUAAUGAAAGAAAGGCAUCAUAUUGUUUUAUCCCAUUGAUACCAGAGCACCAAUUUUUAGUUCAUUAAUUAUGUUGCUAUCUUCAAGUAUUUUUAAUCUGGAGGAAGUUCCACAAAACAAAAAUGUGAGAGUCAAAAAGGUGAGGGGAAAACGAGCUGAAUACCACCUUCUUUGUCCUGUCUUGCUUAAUCCACUUGAAGCCAGAUUACCACUUCGGCAGGGUAUGCUGAUGGAACUCGAACUAGGAACCUCAGUGACAUUUGUAGCCAUACAUUCAAAACACCUCCAGGCACAUGAUUUCAAAAGAUAUUUUUGAAGCAACAGGUCACCAAGCGUCUAAUUGAGUGUUGUAGACAUGACAAUGUCUAAAAUGGCGACUUUGAGGAAGCGUAAUGGAACAAACAUUGUGUCAUGCAUGUGCUCUCUACCACACCCUCGACAAAAAUCAAGAUCCCAGUCCAGUGGAAUGAGGAGGACUAGGAUAUGGACGACGAAGGGCCCAGCAACUAGAUAGAGACAACUUAGGAGUGAGCCAUAGGAAGAUCAUCUAGUGCACUGGGUGUGUGGAUUUGAGGGCCCACUUGUAAGAGAGUGCGUAUGCGUUUAAAAGGGGCAAGUGAAUCAGACAUGUGCCGUAACUUAUCGAUGAAAUAAUAAUUGUUUGAACUCUCACCUACUCUGUUCUGCAUCUCACCCUCUUCAUCUGUUCUUCAACUUCUUCUCAUCCCCUACUCCAUAUUAUCCUCUCCAAUAUGUGAUUCUUCCACCAACACUAGUUGGACAUCACAGUUUGACAAUGGAAAUCUUGGUAAAUUUUUCUCUUUGACAGCACUCGGAAACAAUUGAUGCAGGCGCAAAUCCAUGAUAUAAGGGAUAUUUUCUGUAGCAUUGUUUGAAAAUACAUCAGUUACGCAAGGGCCCUUUUGCUUCUUUACUUCUUGUUCUGUGUGCACUCUGAUGUUCGAAGGUGCAGUGAUGGUAGACAGAUAUUUAGUUGGAAGAAAAAUAGAUAAACUCAGAUUUCGUGUAACCCGGGCUCACUCUUUUCAGUGAAUAAAUUAUUGUCACAAAAAACCAGCCUUUUGCUUCUCUUGAUGACAUUAUUCUUAGAAGUAAGAAUGUGCAUUUCUGCAGCCCAUGCUCAUGUGCUAUUUUUUCUUUUUAACUAGUGUAACAAAUGGGGUAGAUGUUUUUUUUUCUGUGCCAAUAAUGGUGUUAAGACUGCUAAAAUCUUGUAAGGGAAGAAAACAUUGAAGAGCAGAAAGAAGAAGAAAAUCAUUUAUUUAUAUAGAACUGACAUGCAUUUGAACAUCAACAGUCAUUUAUUAUUAAUAAUUCCGCAUUUUGUGAAUUCCUUUCUCCAAUGUUUUCUUCCAGGUUUAUUUACUAUGAUAGGCUCACCAGGAAAGGAACCUGAAAAUUUAAAUCGUGUCAAUUUCCUUUUCACACAAUUCUCUCAUGAUGCAAUGGUUUCAGAGAACGCUGUUGUUAUUUGCCAGACAUGUGAUGUUUAGUAUGACUUGAACUAACAUAACAUGCAUAAUACGUUUAUUGAGUACAUGAAGGUUGGUUUCUUUGAAUCAUUUUGGAUUAGCCUGUUUGCAAAGGCUAUUAUCAUUCCACCACUCAGUGAUUUAUGAAUAUCUCCCAUUCAUUUGAUGUGAGUUCCCUGCAACCACACACGAUAUUUCCCUUACUCCGUUUUCGGUAAGAUAUGGGAAACUAAACAUUCAAGGAUAUUGUUCCCACAAGUGGAGAGACUGAAAAAGUCGCGCGCGUUGCUCUCCNNNNNNNNNNNNNNNNNNNNNNNNNNNNNNNNNNNNNNNNNNNNNNNNNNNNNNNNNNNNNNNNNNNNNNNNNNNNNNNNNNNNNNNNNNNNNNNNNNNNNNNNNNNNNNNNNNNNNNNNNNNNNNNNNNNNNNNNNNNNNNNNNNNNNNNNNNNNNNNNNNNNNNNNNNNNNNNNNNNNNNNNNNNNNNNNNNNNNNNNNNNNNNNNNNNNNNNNNNNNNNNNNNNNNNNNNNNNNNNNNNNNNNNNNNNNNNNNNNNNNNGAGGCCGAACAGGUGAAGCCCGCCUCGGUGGGCGGCGGCAUCAGGGCAGUCUAUUCCCGCGGCAACUCAUCGCCCUGGACGGCGGAGCCCGCUCGCGGCACGGUGGCGAAAGUCGGCGCGUUGGAUCCCACGGUGGACCCCUCGUCAGCGUGGAGAGAUGCUUGUGUGUGGCUGACCGGGGUCGAGCACGAGGGAUUCGGGCCUUGUUCGCCGUAUCAAUCUCGCGACGACACCUAUGUCUUCAGCUGGUGCGGUCAGGGUGGUGACCCGGGCUGGCGGCGGCGACCGGUUCCUCCAUGGCUGGUGGGUUAAGUCCUUGACCUGGACGACCAUGUGACGAUGGGUGGUGGCAGAGGCCGCAGAACUAGCGUGCCAUCCAGAUCCAUCUCGGCGUGGCCUUGGCCGGCAGGCGAUGCGUGCAGGGACCGAUCUGGGGCGGCUGGAGGCCCUAUGCCGACGUUCCAGCGAUAGCUUACGUCUCCAUGGCGACGCAACUUCUAGUGAAAAUGUGCUGACUGCGGUCAUGGAAGAUGGUGGCAUCUCUAAUGUCGUUUCCUUCUUCGAGGCAUCGUCGUUUGUAAGCUGUGUCACUACGCUCGGGAUGUUCCGGGGGGAACUCUAUUUCUGGGUAUCCCGGAUCAGACGAUGACGGUGCCUUCAGCGCCAUUCUCCCUCCUAGGGGCAUUGUUCUGGAGCAGGUGCCGACUGGAAGAGACAAGUGGAGGAGCGGUGUUACAUCUACCGCAAGGAUGACGCAGGGUCUCGGUGGCGUGGCAAGGCAGAGUGUCGGCGACGAGCGCCCACGCUAGAUGGUUGAGCUAUCUGGUGUCGAGAUGGCCUGGCGAGAUGAAUACGUUGAUCGCUCCUGAAGGUGGGACAGCAGAACAUGGCGGUGGCUUAAUCUAAAGUGUGUGCAUGCUGUGCGCGCAAAGGGUCUAGCUAGACCAGUUGGUGCUCUCGAAUUGCCGGCAGACAUCUUGGUGAGGUGACCGGAAUAUAUGAUGUGUGUUGAUAAGUGGUCAGGGCACGGCAUUAAAGCUUGUAGGUGUAACGACAAUAGUUUCUAGGGAGGUGGCUUUGCCUUGAUCCAUAUAUUUGUUUUGUUUGGUUCCGUUGAAUAAUAUAAUAAAAUGGUUGUGUGCAUGGCCCGAUGCAUAGACUAGGGGUAAUCGUCUUUUUCGAAAAAAAGUAGAAUGGUACAGUCACACCAUUUUGCCAGUGACAUGCUAAAAAUGGCAUGAUAAACAAUUCCUGAAUGAUAAAUCACAUGGUGACAGUAUAUCUAUUUUAUAGGAAGAGCUGGAUAGAUUAGAGUAUACUGCCCCAGGAUUUUAAAGUGAGUGCGAGAGUUCAGAUUUAUUUACAUGUUUAGCUUCAGAGCUUCAGAACGUCUUUUUUUCACGAAUACACAAAGCUUGAAUAUCUUUUAUUGAUAGAAGAAAGAGAAUGAGUACAACAGAGGAUACAACACAUGGCAUGAACCCAAAGAGGCAUGAUCAUGGAACCCGGAGUAGAGAGACAAGGGGUGCUCAGCCCGAAUAGGGAAAUGACACAACUACACCCACAAAUCCUAAACAGAGAGGCAGGCCGAACAAGCACGGCGUCGAACAUCUCAAAAUCCAACACCAGGGACACCACGAGCGAACAAGAUAGCGCCUUCAGGAAGGGGUGCGACGUCGUGACACCGCCGCCAUCCGAUCCGAGGAACCGGAUCUAGGGUUUCCCCCAGCGCUCAAAGAGGGGCACGGAUAAAAGCCAUGGCAAAUAACUCACGAGUGUCGCCUCUGCCAACAUCGGCAAGAAGAGCAUGGAUUUCGCCUGGCCCAAGUCCGAGCAAUCCCAUAGCUGCCAAAUCAGGAUCCGAAGAUGAGGAAGACAAUCCGCUAGUCAACCACCGUCCCAGUACGGAGGUGGUGGGGCUGCACCUGCUGCCAAAAGAACACGAGCUUUGGAAAUGACAUGCCGUGGGUGUCGACGGGGUCGGGGAGGCAGCGUGGUAGACAGCUUGCAUGGAGGGUGGGAUGGUGACCGGCGCCGCUGACGAGAUGGAGCCGGAAGGGAGCACAAGUCCGAGCUGCCGGAGGUGAAGCCGCCAGAACACCGGCAAACCGAAGAUGCCGGAAGGGGACGCAGCGACCGGGGUGUUGGGGCUGAAAUUGAAGGAAAUAUGCCCUAGAGGCAAUAAUAAAGUUAUUAUUUAUUUCCUUAUAUCAUGAUAAAUGUUUAUUAUUCAUGCUAGAAUUGUAUUAGCCGGAAACAUAAUACAUGUGUGAAUACAUAGACAAACAGAGUGUCACUAGUAUGCCUCUACUUGACUAGCUCGUUAAUUAAAGAUGGUUAUGUUUCCUAACCAUAGACAUGAGUUGUCAUUUGAUUAACGGGAUCACAUCAUUAGGAGAAUGAUGUGAUUGACUUGACCCAUUCCGUUAGCUUAGCGCACGAUUGUUUAGUAUUCUGCUAUUGCUUUCUUCAUGACUUAUACAUGUUCCUAUGACUAUGAGAUUAUGCAACUCCCGUUUACCGGAGGAACACUUUGUGUGCUAUCAAACGUCACAACGUAACUGGGUGAUUAUAAAGGUGCUCUACAGGUGUCUCCACAGGUACUUGUUGGGUUGGCGUAUUUCGAGAUUAGGAUUUGUCACUCCGAUUGUCGGAUAGGUAUCUCUGGGCCCACUCGGUAAUGCACAUCACUUAAGCCUUGCAAGCAUUGCAACUAAUGAGUUAGUUGCGAGAUGAUGUAUUACGGAACGAGUAAAGAGACUUGCCGGUAACGAGAUUGAACUAGGUAUUGAGACACCGACGAUCGAUUCUCGGGCAAGUAACAUACCGAUGACAAAGGGAACAACGUAUGUUGUUAUGCGGUUUGACCGAUAAAGAUCUUCAUAGAAUAUGUGGGAGCCAAUAUGAGCAUCCAGGUUCCGCUAUUGGUUAUUGACCGAAGACGUGUCUCGGUCAUGUCUACAUAGUUCUCGAACCCGUAGGGUCCGCACGCUUAAAGUUUCGAUGACAGUUAUAUUUUGAGUUUAUAUGUUUUGAUGUACCGAAGGUAGUUCGGAGUCCCAGAUGAGAUCACGGACAUCACGAGGAGUCCCGAAAUGGUCGAGACAUGAAGAUUGAUAUAUUGGACGACUAUAUUCGGACACCGGAAUGGUUCCGGUGGUUAUCGGAUAUAUACCGGAGUACCGGGAGGUUACCGGAACCCCCUGGGGGUUUAAUGGGCCUACAUGGGCCUUAGUGGAGAAGAGGAGAGGCGGCUAGGGCAGGCCGCGCGCCCCCUCCCCCUCUAGUCCGAAUUGGACAAGGAGGGGGGCGGCGCCCCCCCUUUCCUUCCUCUCUCUCUCCUCUUUCCCCCUUCUCCUAAUCCAACAAGGAAGGGAAGGGAGUCCUACUCCCGGUGGGAGUAGGACUCCUCCUGGCGCGCCCCUCUCCUGGCCGGCCGCCUCUCCCCCUUGCUCCUUUAUAUAAGGGGGCAGGGGGGCACCCCAAAGACACAACAAUUGAUCAUUGAUCUUUUAGCCGUGUGCGGUGCCCCCCUCCACCAUAGUCCACCUCGAUAAUAUCGUAGCGGUGCUUAGGCGAAUCCCUGCGUCGGUAGAACAUCAUCAUCGUCACGACGCCGUCGUGCUGACAAAACUCUCCCUCAACACUCGGCUGGAUCGGAGUUCGAGGGACGUCAUCGGGUUGAACGUGUGCUGAACUCGGAGGUGCCGUGCGUUCGGUACUUGAUCGGUCGGAUCGUGAAGAAGUACGACUACGUCAACCGCGUUGUGCUAACGCUUCCGCGUUCGGUCUACGAGGGUACGUGGACACACUCUCCCCUCUCGUUGCUAUGCAUCACCAUGAUCUUGCGUGUGCGUAGGAAUUUUUUUGAAAUUACUACGUUCCCCAACAGUGGCAUCCGAGCCAGGUUUUAUGCCUAGAUGUUAUAUGCAUGAGUAGAACACAAGUGAGUUGUGGGCGAUACAAGUCAUACUGCUUACCAGCAUGUCAUUCUUUGGUUCGGCGGUAUUGUUGGAUGAAGCGGCCCGGACCGACAUUACGCGUACGCUUACGCGAGACUGGUUCUACCGACGUGCUUUGCACACAGGUGGUUGGCAGGUGUCAGUUUCUCCAACUUUAGUUGAACCGAGUGUGGCUACGCGCGGUCCUUGAGAAGGUUAAAACAGCACUAACUUGACGACUAUCGUUCUGGUUUUGAUGCGUAGGUAAGAAUGGUUCUUGCUCAGCCCGUAGCAGCCAUGUAAAACUUGCGACAACAAAGUAGAGGACGUCUAACUUGUUUUUGCAGGGCAUGUUGUGAUGUGAUAUGGUCAAGACAUGAUGCUAUAUUUUAUUGUAUGAGAUGAUCAUGUUUUGUAACAGAGUUAUCAACAACUGGCAGGAGCCAUAUGGUUGUCGCUUUAUUGUAUGCAAUGCAAUCGCCCUGUAAUGCUUUACUUUAUCACUAAGCGGUAGCGAUAGUCGUAGAAGCAUAAGUUGGCGAGACGACAACGAUGCUAUGAUGGAGAUCAAGGUGUCGCGCCGGUGACGAUGGUGAUCAUGACGGUGCUUCGGAAAUGGAGACCACAAGCACAAGAUGAUGAUGGCCAUAUCAUAUCACUUAUAUUGAUUGCAUGUGAUGUUUAUCUUUUAUGCAUCUUAUCUUGCUUUGAUUGACAGUAGUAUUAUAGGAUGAUCUCUCACUAAAUUAUCAAGGUAUAAGUGUUCUCCCUGAGUAUGCACCGUUGCGAAAGUUCUUCGUGCUGAGACACCACGUGAUGAUCGGGUGUGAUAGGCUCUACGUUCAAACACAACGGGUGCAAAACAGUUGCACACGCGAAAUACUCAGGUUAAACUUGACGAGCCUAGCAUAUAACAGAUAUGGCCUCGGAACACUGAGACCGAAAGGUCGAGCGUGAAUCAUAUAGUAGAUAUGAUCAACAUAAAUGAUGUUCACCAUUGAAACUACUCCAUCUCACGUGAUGAUCGGACAUGGUUUAGUUGAUAUGGAUCACGUGCUCACUUAGAGGAUUAGAGGGAUGUCUAUCUAAGUGGGAGUUCUUAAGUAAUAUGAUUAAUUGAACUUUAAUUUAUCAUGAACUUAGUCCUGGUAGUAUUAGCAUAUCUAUGUUGUAGAUCAAUAGCUCGCGAUAUUGCUCCCCGUUUAAUUUUUAUAUGUUCCUAGAGAAAACUAAGUUGAAAGAUGUUAGUAGCAAUGAUGUGGAUUGGAUCCGUGAUCUGAGGUUUAUCCUCAUUGCUGCACAGAACAAUUAUGUCCUUGAUGCAGCGCUAGGUGACAGACGUAUUGCAGGAGGACAUGCAGACGUUAUGAACGUUUGGCUAGCUCAAUAUGAUGACUACUUGAUAGUUUAGUGCACCAUGCUUAACGGCUUAGAAUCAGGACUUCAAAGAUGUUUUGAACAUCAUGGACCAUAUGAGAUGUUCCAGGAGUUGAAGUUAAUAUUUCAAGCAAAUACCCUAGUUGAGAGAUAUGAAGUCUCCAACAAGUUCUAUAGCUAAAAGAUGGAGGAGAAUAGCUCAAGAAGUGAGCAUGUGCUCAGAUUGUCUGGGUACUACAAUCACUUGAAUCAAGUGGGAGUUAAUCUUCCAGAUAAAGAUAGUGAUUGACAGAAUUCUCUAGUCACCAUCACAAAGUUAGUAUAACUUCGUGAUGAACUAUAGUAUGCAAGGGAUAACGUAAACGAUUCCCGAGCUUUUCAUGCUGGUGAAAUCAGAAAUCAAGAAAGAGCAUCAAGUGUUGAUGAUUAACAAGACCACUAGUUUCAAGAAAAUGGCAAAGGGAAAGAAAGGGAACUUCAUGUAGAACGGCAAGCAAGUUGCUGCUCAAGUGAAGAAGCCCAAGUUUGGACCUAAGCCUGAGACUGAGUGCUUCUACUGCAAAAGGACUGGUCACUGGAAGCAGAACUACCCGAAAUAAUUGGCGUAUAAGAAGGAUGGCAAAGUGAACAAAAGUAUAUUUGAUAUACAUGUUAUUGAUGUGUACUUUACUAGUGUUUAUAGCAACCCCUCAGUAUUUUAUACUGGUUGGCAACCUCUGCUUGCCUCUGCGAAGGGCCUAUCUUUUACUUUUAUGCAAGAGUCAUGGUGAUCUUCACCUUUCCUUUUUUUCAUUUUAUCCUUUGGCAAGUACCUCGUGUUGGAAAGAUUCUGAUAUAUCCAAUUGGAUGUAAGGCAUCAUGAACUAUUAUUGUUAACAUUACCCUUGAGGUAAAAGGUUGGGAGGCGAAUCUAUAAGCCCCUAUCUUUCUCUGUGUCUGAUUAAAACUUUGAACCCAUAAAUAUCGCGUGAGUGUUAGCAAUUGUGAAAGACUAAAUGAUAGUUGAGUAUGUGGAGUUUGCUAAAUCAAAGCUCUGACAUAGACUCUUCCUGAAAAUAAGAUGAAUUGUAAUUGUUUGAUGACUAAUAACACGGCUUGUUAGUUUUCAAGAAAGUUUAUGAUCUAUACUUUAACAUGUGAAUAGCUUGUUACUUGAUCAUGAAAAGUUCUAUGAGUUGAGCUACUGUUAUGACAUAUGAUGAUGCUAGAAAAAGUGAUUGAAAUUAUCAUUGAUCAAACUUGUGCACCUGCUAGCAUUCACACUUCAUAAAUUCUUUCUUUUAUCAUUUACCUACUCGAGGAUGAGCAGGAAUUAAGCUUGGGGAUGCUGAUACGUCUCCAACGUAUCUAUAAUUUAUGAAGUAUUCAUGCUAUUAUAUUAUCUGUUUUGGAUGUUUAUGGGCUUUAUUGAACACUUUUAUAUUAUUUUUGGGACUAACCUAUUAACCUAGAGCCCAUUGCCAGUUUCUGUUUUUUGCUUGUUUUUGAGUUCUACAGAAAAGGAAUACCAAACGGAGUCCAAUGGACGUCCCAAUUUUUGACGAUUUUUUAUGGACCAAAAGGAGACCCCGGAGCAAAAGGGUUGGGACAGGAGAGUCCCGGGCUGCCCACGAGGGUGGGGGGCGUGCCCUCCCCCCCUGGGCGUGGGCCCCUGCCUCGUGGACAACCCGGAGACCCCCCUGACAUGAGACCUACGCCAAAAAAUCCUAUAAAUACUGAAACCUCCAGAAAGCAGAAUAGAUCGGGAGUUCCGCCGCCGCAAGCCUCUGUAGCCACCAAAAACCAACCGGGACCCUGUUCCGGCACCCUGCCCGAGGGGGUAUGUCGGUGUCAAAACCGGCGGAUCUCGGGUAGGGGGUCCCGAACUGUGCGUCUAAGGCGGAUGGUAACAGGAGGCGGGGGACACGAUGUUUACCCAGGUUCGGGCCCUCUCGAUGGAGGUAAUACCCUACUUCCUGCUUGAUUGAUCUUGAUGAUAUGAGUAUUACAAGAGUUGAUCUACCACGAGAUCGUAGAGGCUAAACCCUAGAAGCUAGCCUAUGGUAUGAUUGUUUUUGUCCUACGGACUAAACCCUCCGGUUUAUAUAGACACCGGAGGGGGCUAGGGUUACACAGAGUCGGUUACAAGGGAGGAGAUCUGCAUAUCCGUAUUGCCAAGCUUGCCUUCCAUGCCAAGGAGAGUCCCAUCCGGACACGGGACGAAGUCUUCAAUCUUUUGUCUUCAUAGUCCAACAGUUCGGCUAAAGUAUAUAGUCCGGCUGUCCGAGGACCCCCUAAUCCAGGACUCCCUCAGUAGCCCCUGAACGAGGCUUCAACGACGAUGGGUCCGACGCGCAGAUUGUCUUCGGCAUUGCAAGGCGGGUUCCUCCUCCGAAUAUUCCAUAGAAGAUUUUGAACACAAGGAUAGUGUCCGGCUCUGCAAAACAAAUUCCACAUACCACCAUAGAGAGAAUAAUAUUUCCACAAAUCUAAUCUACUGACACAUUCUGCAGCAUGACAUCACACCAUGGCCCGGUCAUUAUUCGGACCGUUUUUCUUAACCAGCCACUGCACAUAUCGCGAGGCGGUUUUCUUGGCACGUCUUGUCGAAGCAGAGAUCGUGUCCCCCUAUCACGGGAUUGUCAUCAAUACGGGUGUGGGUAACCUAACCGCGCCAUCAAUUACAGCUCUUGGGGAAUAAGCGAGUUUACCAGGCAGGUGGGGAGGCGCAUAGUUCCUUCCGCCCUUAUAAAGAGACAAGGAUUCAUCUUUUUCACCCACGCCCUCUUCCUCCUUGCUCAUCCGUUCUUGCGCACUUGAGCUCCAACACCCAAGUUCGCAUUCUCUCCUCAAACCACUCCAAGCAUGUCCGGAGCAGGAGGCAAGUGGAUGGUCUCCUCCGUUACGAAGGAGGACAUCACAAGGCUAUGGGGAGCCGGAUACCUGGCCGCGGAUAUCGCGCACCGGCUACAAGAUGCGGGGCAGAUCGUCCCUACUCCAGAACCCCAUGAGAGGGUGAUAUUUCUUACCCACUUUGUCCGCGGACUGGGAUUUCCCCUCCACCUGUUUGUCCGCGGGCUCAUGUUCUACUACGGGCUGGACUAUCACGAUCUGGCCCCCAAUUUCAUCCUCAACAUCUCGGCGUUUAUCGUCGUGUGCGAGGCCUUCCUCCGCAUCAAGCCCCACUUCGGCCUGUGGCUGAAGACCUUCAACGUUAAACCGAAGGUGGUGGCCGGCCAGCAAGCGGAGUGCGGAGGCGCCAUGGUGGGCAAAAUGCCCAACGUCACCUGGCUAGAAGGCUCCAAUGUGGAGACCGUAAAGGGGUGGCAAUCGGGGUGGUUCUACAUCACCGAGCCGCGCGACACCAACUGGGUAGCGGCCCCCGAAUUUUUAUCCGGAAUCCCCAUGCGGCUCACCUCCUAGAAAGAGAAGGGCCUAUCCUGGGGUUCCUCGGUAGAGCUGACCGGACCCCAGACCUGCGUCAAAAACAUGAUGAGCAAGAAAAUCAAGCUUGUCAACAUGGUCCAAGUCAUGCUCUUCCGCCCGAUCCUCCCGUGUCAAAGACGGGCAUUCAAUUUGUGGGAGUUCGACCCGGCCGAGCACCAGACGCUGCGAGAGCUCUUCGACACGGCGCACAAGGACGUCUGGAAGGUGAUGUUCAAGGGCGCUGAGGUACCUCCUCCCCUUACCAAGGACCGCGGACUCAGCGCAAAGCGCCCUGCCAAUCCGGUAUGUCUUUUAUAUUUCAUAAGAUGUUCUUUUCCCCAGUAUAACCACACGCGGGAUCUAAGCCCCCACGCCAUUUAACAGGACUGGGUAGCGACAGCGGAGCAGAUCGAUUGUCCAGCCCCCCUGCCUGAAGAUCCAGCGGAUGCUCUCCUAACGGAGAUCCUGGUUUCGGCGCCUUAUGAGGUGCCGGAGAAGAAGGCCACGGGGACCAGGAAGGGUCUCCGGCGCAAGGUUAUAUCGGACUCAUCGUCCGAAAACACCGAGGCGCACUCCUCCCACGAAAACGGGGAGGAAGAGGAAAGUUCUCCCCCCCAGCCAGGGGGGACAGGACAAGGAAGGCUGCCCCAUCAGGGGAGGCCGAAGGGUCCAAGAAGGGAAGGACCCUCCUCCCGGACUGCUCCACAAAGGCCGCUUUUAGCGACGAGGAGUGGUUACCCAGGGACAAGCCCCUGGCAAAGUCGUGAGUAUCCGGAUACCAUAAUAAUUCUUGGUACGUCUUAUUGUACUGUUUCUUAUCACGCCGCGCAUGAUUAUGCAGUCCGUCCCGAGCCCAUAUCGACGUAUCUUCGUCGGAUGAUUCUUUGGGCCCGUCAGAUAUGAAUAGCGAUUCACUCCCGACUGCCUCCUCCCCCCGCCCUACGGACGACGCCGAGGUGUUGUCUCAAAGGGAACUAAACCAAGGGGAGACAGUUCCGGAGGCGCCCCAAGGCGACAUUCCAGGCGCUAGGUGCACGAGGGGCAAGACUCCCCUAGGCCCUAACACCGGGGGCAGUAAGUCUAGCCCCAAGCCGAAUACGGCGCCGGAACCUCCAGUGGUUCCGGAUUCUGUCAGGCAACCCCUCGCUAAGGGGGGUAAGCCGUCUGUGCCGAUGGCCUCUGUCCAUCCAGAGGCAUCGGACAACUUGCUAGAAGUGCUUCGCGGCGCUUCCAUUGACGAAGAGCACCGCACUAUUAUGAGUGCGGUAGUUAAGAAGGUUCAGUCCGCUAAGAGCGGACUGACUGAAGCCUGUGCCAACCUCCUAACCGGCUUUGAGGUAAGUAAUCAAAUUGUAAGAAAAUGUUACAGCAUAGACAGUAGCCCCUGAUGCUCUGUUUGGCGUUCGCGGAGAAAGGCCGAAUAGAGGAUCAAAUAAUAAUCGCAGGAGUCUAAUCAGAAUGUGUCUAUGUGAAUAAGCGGGCUUCACUGCUGGCCGCCGCCGCUCGUACUGCGGAGGUCACCGCACUGAAGCGGGACCUUGAGCGGUCCAAGGAAGAGCUCGGCCUUACCAAGAGGCAGCUCGAAGAGAACAAAGGUAAGUGACACCCCGUCUGAAUAUUGGUAAAGAAAAAUUUGGUUUUGGAAUAAUAGGAUCCUCAUGAAUUUUGCUAGGGGCCACGACCGAAGUGGCGGCCCUGCAGAAGGCGCUAUCUGAGGCCGAAGACAAAGCGGCCAAGGAGCACAUCGAGCGAGAGAAGCAAGAGGCCCGAGUAGGCGAGGUGCGGCAAGAGCUCCAGGCUCUCGUCAAGAAACACGAGUCCUUGGAGCUUGACUCUAUGACGCAAGGGUCCGAGCUUGCGAAGGCCCUCGAAAGCGCACAACAUGCCAAGGCCAAAGCCCAAAAGGCCCUCCAGGAAAUUUAGGCGGUUAAGAAGAUAGCGGCGGGUAAGGCAUUCAUUAUGCAAAGCAAGCAUGUGAAGGAAACUUUCUUUUUACUUACCCGAGUUCGGAGUUCUCCAGAAGCGUUCGCAGAUCUACCCCGCAGUGUGUCGGAUGCCACGGAGUUCUACCGGGCCGAGGAGGGGAGCUCGGCGGAGAAGUUGUUCUGGUCUCAGUAUACUGGGACCGAACAUCCAAUGCCCUUGAGCGACCAGUUGAAGCAACUGGUCGAGCUUCACAAGGCGGCCGAACAGGCCAUGAAGGGUCUUAUGGUCUGGAUGUGGCAUGGCGACCCCUGCCUGGUAGCUACUUCGGUCUGGUGAGGCGGCUUGUGAAUGCCUGCACACGGUUUGAAGUCAUAAAGCGGUCCGUCUGCAUUGAGGGUGCGCGCAGGACUUUUGCCCGGGCGAAGGUGCACAGGGCGAAGCUGGACGCCGAAAAGCUGGUGAAGGAGGGGCCGCCGGAGGGCAAGGAGCAUCGCCACCCCGAAAAGUAUUAUGAUAGUGUCCUGAAGGGUGCUCGCCUUGUGGCGGAGGAAUGUGCUAAGGAUGUAAUAUUUGAAUGAAUGUACUCAUGUGAUCCUGUAAUAUGAAACGAGUUCAUUUGCGUACGCAAUGCUUGUUAAUUUAAAAUAUUACCUUCUAUGCGGCCGUUUAUAAAAUCUGAGAGUUGGCCAGUCGUCGGCUUCUGCCCCCAUGUAACUAGUACUAAGGUGUUCGGGGUAAACCUGAGCACUCUUUAUCCCAAUUUUGGGUCCUUCGAAGGAGGUGUUUAGCACAAUGAACCAGGCAAUCGGACUAUAAAGCUUUAUCACUCUCACUUAGCCAUAGAAGUCUACAAUUUUAAAUUUUGGCGAAGCCCCUAGUAUUUCGAAGGCCGAAUUUGGGGCACUAUAUACGCCUAAGUCGGGCAAGACGACUCCUUGCCCGAAGCGGAAAGAGACUUUAAGGACUUGAGACCUCUCGAACAGCGACCAGCUCUCGCCUCAUUAUGACAGUCAGUUUUCGGCUUUCUCUACUGAGGUGCUCGUCCGGAAGAACCGGGACACAAUCGCAGUAGUUCUCCCAAGGCUACCUUAGCCGAUAUUGCGGAACGUAAGGUACCAAAACAUGGGAGCCGGGCAAACCCAACUAUUGACCCAAGACAUGAUUCGGAGCUGGUGCAUAUAAUUCUAUAAGUUCGGGGUGCCGCACUGUCGAAAGUGUUCGGACUUCUCACACUGUAUUAUGGGGUAUACUAAAGCCCCUGGCGCACUGGUCAUACCAGGAUGUACGGGUGCAAUUUGUCGUAAAUAAGCAGACAAGGAAAAAAAAGAAAGGGGAAUGCAAUAAUAGACUAACGAUAUGCAUUGUUAUUAAAUAAUACGUCAAAGCGACGGAUACAAGUAGUGCAAUAAGCAAAAAAUAAGACUAUUUGACAUGUCCUAUCCAAGGGCAAGCUGCGUAUGGGUAUGUAAAACAGGUAUUUCGAUCGUUAUCAGAGACCACCUAGGGAUUCCCUUGUACGUCAGAGCGUCUUGCUUCCUUGGUAUUUCCUUACCGCGAUGGGUCCAACAAUUAGAUUGCCGAAAAGGGCUUCCAGAGAGUAAGGUCCUGAAAGAGAGAAAAUGAUAAAGGUAUAUGGCCCCUGGGGCGGUUGAGCCACCUUGUGGGACGUGCCGUAGCUGUGCCUCCGCCUAUGCCCAUGGUAUCUUGAGUGCGUAGUUAUGUACGCGCGGCGCAAAUUUCGCCACUUGACUGGGACUAGGACGGAGGCCGAAUUGCUAGGCGAGCUCAAAACGUGCAUGGCGAUCCUCCUGCGGGGUACCCCGGACUCGCUUGAAGGUGUCCGGGGUCUUUUUCGCCGAAUUGGCGGUUUGCCUAUUAAGGCUGCUUUGCGCUUCUGCUGCGAGGGCUGCAGUGUGCUCCUCCGUGCGGAGCGAGCGCUCUGUGUUUCCAUUAACUGUUAUAACCCCGCGUGGUCCUGGCAUUUUGAGUUUGAGGUAUGCAUAAUGCGGUACCGCAUUGAAUCUGGGAAAUGCGGUUCGUCCGAGCAGUGCGUGAUAGCCGCUGCGAAAGGGGACGAUGCCGAAGAUUAACUCCUCGCGUCGAAAAUUGUCCGGAGAUCCGAAGACCACUUCCAGUGUGAUUGAGUCCGUGCAACAGGCCUCUACACCUGGGAUUACACCUUCAAAGGAGGUUUUGGUGGGUUUGAUCCUCGAGGGGUCUAUGCCCAUUUUGCACACUGUAUCCUGAUAGAGCAGGUUCAGGCUGCUGCCACCGUCCAUAAGGACGCGAGUGAGGUGAAAUCCGUCAAUGAUGGGGUCAAGGACCAAUGCGGCAGAUCCGCCAUGACGGAUACUAGUGGGGUGGUCCCUGCGAUCGAAGGUGAUCGGACAAGAGGACCAUGGGUUCAACUUUGGGGCGACUGGCUCCAUAGCAUAGACGUCCCUUAGUGCACGCUUCCGUUCCCUCUUGGGAAUAUGGGUUGCGUAUAUCAUGUUCACCGUUUUCACUUGUGGAGGGAACCUCUUCUGUCCUCCAAUGUUCGGCGGCCGAGGCUCCUCCUCGUCGUCGCUAUGGAGCCCCUUGUCCUUGUUUUUGGCAUUUAACUUGUCGGCCUGCUUGAAUACCCAGCAUUCUCUGUUGGUGUGAUUGGCUGGCUUAUCGGGGGUGCCAUGAAUUUUAACGAGCAAUCGAGUAUACGGUCCAAACUGGACGGGCCCGGAUUGCUUGUUUUGAACGGCUUCUUCCGCUGACCGGAUUUAGAGCCACUGAAUCCGGCAUUGACUGUCGUGUCUUCGGCGUUGUCGCCGUUGUUGUGGCGCUUGUGUCUGUUGCGACGUGGUCUGCCAAUAGUAUCUUUGGCGUCUGAAUUGCCGGGAUUUCUUGAUGUGCUGUUGCUGCGAGCUAGCCAGCUGUCCUCGCCCGCGCAAAAGCGGGUCAUGAGUGUCGUGAGGGCUGCCAUGGACUUCAGCUUCUCUUGGCCGCGGUGUCAGGCGAGCCACUCGUCCCGGAUGUUAUGUUUAAAUGCCGCUAAGGCCUCGGCAUCCGGACAGUCGACAAUUUGGUUCUUUUUAGUUAGGAACCGAGUACAGAAUUUCCUGGCCGAUUCCCCUGGCUGUUGGGUUAUGUGGCUCAAGUCAUCAGCAUCUGGUGGUCGCACAUAAGUGCCCUAGAAGUUGUCAAGGAAUGCGUCUUCCAAAUUCUCCCAACUGCCAAUGGAGUUUGCUGGCAGGCUAUUCAGCCAAUGUCGAGCUGGUCCUUUGAGUUUUAGUGGGAGGUACUUGAUGGCAUGUAGAUCGUCAUCGCGGGCCAUGUGGAUGUGGACGAGGAAAUCCUCGAUCCAUACCGCGGGGUCUGUUGUACCAUCAUAUGACUCAAUGUUCACGGGUUUGAAUCCUUCUAGGAAUUCAUGAUCCAUUACUUCAUCGGUGAAGCAUAGUGGGUGUGCAGCGCCUCUGUGCCGGGCUAUGUCACGACGCAGUUCAUACGAGUCUUGUCUGCUGUAUUCGGCCCCGCCGGAUUUGCUUUUAGUGUAUCCGGCAUGACGAUCAUCAUCACACAUUGGGGCGCGACCCCGUGAUCCGUAGAUCGAUCUUGUUUGUCCUGCUCUGUUUUCCUAUACGUCUCGCAGGUCCCGCGUGUUGCCCCAGGCCUUGGUAUUUAUGUUUGAAUGGCGGCGGGGUGCGGGCUGGACUUCGGGCUGAUAUGCCCCUCUGUCUCGGCCACGAGGUGGCCGAUCAGCCGCAUCAUACGCUGGUGAUGUAGGUUUUAAUGCUUCCUCCUCGAUUUGGGGUAGCAACCUGCGCUUUGGGUAACUCUUGGUUGGGCGCUCGAGUUCGUAUUCCUCUACCUCCAGGACUUCAGUCCAUCUAUCCGCUAGCAGAUAUUGAUCAGCUCGAAGCUGUUGUUGCUUUUUCUUCAGGCUGUUUGUUGUAGCUAUAAGCCGACGCUUGAAGCGCUCCUGCUUGACGGGAUCCUCAGGCACGAUAAAUUCUUCGUCGCCGAGGCUCACCUCGUCUUCGGAGAGAGGCAUGUAAUUGUCAUCCUCUGAUUCUCCGUCUGCUGCCUAUUCCGGAGGGCUAGCUUGUUCAUCCUCUCGCUCGAGGUCUGGCUGGAGGGGAUUGUCGUCGUCUUUGGCACUAUCCGGAGCGUUAUUGUCUCUUGUGCCGGUAUCGCUGCUUUUGCUAUGGCGGGACUUAGAGCGGCGCCGCUGACGUCGGUGCUUGGGUUGCUUCUUGGAGGGAUUAUCCUCGGUUGUCUUAUCGCCGUCGCCUUCUUUGGGGGUGUCCACCAUGUAUAUAUCAUAUGAUGAGGUGGCAGUCCAGCGCCCUGUGGGCGGUGGUUCCUGUUCGUCUCCUGUAUCGUCGUCCAUACCGUCGAUGUUUUCGGAGCCGAAAUCGAGCAUGUCGGUUAAAUCGUCGACAGUGGCUACUAAGUGGCUGGUGGGUGGGGAGCGAAUUUCUUCGUCGUCCGCAUCCCAUUCUAGCCAGACAUAGUUCGGCCAAGGGUCUCCUGACAAGGAGAGAGACCUCAAUGAGUUCAGCACGUCGCCCAGUGGUGAGUGCUGAAAGAUAUCCGCGGAGGAAAACUCCAUAAUCGGUGCCCAAUCAGAUUCGAUAGGCACAUACGCAGGCGGCUCAGAGCCCGUGGCCGGGGAUGAAUCCAGGUGUCCGGCGACACAGGUCUCAUAGGAGGUGAAGUCAGUAUUCGGCUCUAUCGCCACUCAGUGUGUGGCCUCCGAGGCGGGGUCCAUCCACCCGUCCUCGGACGGCGCAAUCGACUCCGGAUCUAGGGCCGGAGUAGCCAUGGGUGUGAUCUCCCGAACACCGUCCGGCGGCAGAGCUAAGUCGUGCUCGUCGUGACUGUGCGGCGCACCUGACAUGGGCUCGAAUCCGUCAAAGAUAAAGUCUCCGCGGAUGUUGGCACUGUAGUUUAAAUUUCCAAACCUGACCUGACAGCCAGGGGCGUAGCUCUCGAUCUGCUCCAGAUGGCCAAGCGAGUUGGCCCACAGUACGAAGCCGCCGAAUACAAAGAUCUGUCCGGGGAGGAAAACCUCACCCUGGAUCGCAUCGUUGGCGAUGAUUGAAGGAGCCAUCAAGCCUUUAUCGCGACGGCAGAGUGGAACUCUCAAUGAAAGCACCAAUGUCGGUGUCAAAACCGGCGGAUCUCGGGUAGGGGGUCCUGAACUGUGCGUCUAAGGCGGCUGGUAACAGGAGGCGGGGGACAUGAUGUUUACCCAGGUUCGGGCCCUCUCGAUGGAGGUAAUACCCUACUUCCUGCUUGAUUGAUCUUGAUGAUAUGAGUAUUACAAGAGUUGAUCUACCACGAGAUCGUAGAGGGUAAACCUUAGAAGCUAGCCUAUGGUAUGAUUGUUGUUGUCCUAGGGACUAAACCCUCCGGUUUAUAUAGACACAGGAGGGGGCUAGGGUUACACAGAGUCGGUUACAAGGGAGGAGAUCUACAUAUCCGUAUUGCCAAGCUUGCCUUCCACGCCAAGGAGAGUCCCAUCCGGACACGGGACGGAGUCUUCAAUCUUGUGUCUUCAUAGUCUAACAGUCCGCCUAAAGUAUAUAGUCUGGCUGUCCGAGGACCCCCUAAUCCAGGACUCCCUCAGGGUAUCCCUCACCGGUGGCCAUCUUCAUCAUCCCGGCGCUCUCCAUGACGAAGAGGGAGUAGUUCACCCUCGGGGCUGAGGGUAUGUACCAGUAGCUAUGUGUUUGAUCUCUCUCUCUCUCUCGUGUUCUUGAUUCAGCACGAUCUUGAUGUAUCAUGAGAUUUGCUAUUAUAGUUGGAUCUUAUGAUGCUUCUCCCCCUCUACUCUCUUGUAAUGGAUUGAGUUCUCCCUUUGAAGUUAUCUUAUCGGAUUGAGUCUUUAAGGAUUUGAGAACACUUGAUGUAUGUCUUGUCGUGCUUAUCUAUGGUGACAAUGGGAUAUCACGUGAUCCACUUGAUGUAUGUUUUGGUGAUCAACUUGCGGGUUCCGCCCAUGAACCUAUGCAUAGGGGUUGGCACACGUUUUCGUCUUGACUCUCUGGUAGAAACUUUGGGGCACUCUUUGAAAUACUUUGUGUUGGUUGAAUAGAUGAAUCUGAGAUUGUGUGAUGCAUAUCGUAUAAUCAUGCCCACGGAUACUUGAGGUGACAAUGGAGUAUCUAGGUGACAUUAGGGUUUUGGUUGAUUUGUGUCUUAAGGUGUUAUUCUAGUACGAACUCUAUGAUAGAUUGAACGGAAAGAAUAGCUUCAUGUUAUUUUACUACGGACUCUUGAAUAGAUCGAUCAGAAAGGAUAACUUUGAGGUGGUCUCGUACCCUACCAUAAUCUCUUCGUUUGUUCUCCGCUAUUAGUUACUUUGGAGUGACUCUUUGUUGCAUGUCGAGGGAUAGUUAUAUGAUCCAAUUAUGUUAUUAUUGUUGAGAGAACUUGCACUAGUGAAAGUAUGAACUCUAGGCCCUGUUUCCUAGCAUUGCAAUACCAUUUACGCUCACUUUUAUUAUUAGUUACCUUGCUGUUUUUAUAUUUUCAGAUUACAAAAACCUAUAUAUACCAUCCAUAUUGCACUUGUAUCACCAUCUCUUCGCCGAAUUAGUGCACCUAUACAAUUUACCAUUGUAUUGGGUGUGUUGGGGACACAAGAGACUCUUUGUUAUUUGGUUGCAGGGUUGUUUGAGAGAGACUAUCUUCAUCCUACGCCUCCCACGGAUUGAUAAACCUUAGGUCAUCCACUUGAAAGAAAUUUGCUACUGUCCUACAAAGCUCUGCACUUGGAGGCCCAACAACGUCUACAAGAAGAAGGUUUUGUAGUAGAUAUCAGGGGGAGGGGGGUGAAACCGCCCCGCCGCCGCCGUCCCCGAGCGCGGCGCGGCUUCGCUGGCCGGCCCUCCGGCGGCAGCGAUGCGGGGGGAGGGGGGCACUGGCGGAGGAAGGCUACCGGUGGCGAUGAAGGUUUCCCCCGUAUCGCCUGUUGCGGGCGACGCGGGGGCAGGGUUGACCAGCUCGAGGAUUUCGGCUGAGCUGUAGAACGUAUGAAAUAUUGAAGGAAAACAAAAACAUGAGAAUCAACAGAUAUUGGAGAAGUUGGUACAGAGUGGUACAUGGAAAGGAAAUUUUACUUUUACUGGAGGUUGAAUGAAGUUAUGUUUACACCUUCCAUUUCACUUUGUGGGCACUCCGAAGUUGCAAAGAAAAAAUAUAUAAAAUAUCAUCAUUCGUACGCAUUUAUAUGCAGGUAAUGAAAAUGGCUCCACCUAAUUAUAAGAUUAUUAAGCACUUUUAGUACCCGGGAGUCCCUGGUACUGUGAAGAUGAUAUUAAGACUAAUUAAUGGACAUGGAUUUGUUCUGAUCACACAAAGAUAGCUCAAACACCCAUCCGCUUACUUGCUUGCAUUUCAAAAGAUUGAUAACCACAUUUCAUCAUUUUUCCCCACUUCUCCACCUUGCUGGUGAUAUAUAUCCAGCUUCCGCAUAUAUGAUAUUUUUCACUCUAGCACUUUCAGCUUCUUUUUGAAAUGAAGAGUACUUUUCUUGCUGAUGCAGCAACAAUAGUAAGUCAGAGCUUUCUUAGGCCUUGUACAAUGCAAGGUGCUUUGAGAAAUAAACUAGGCUUUCCUUAAGCACCGAUACUUAUUUGUACAGGAUACUUUAUUAAUUUUUCUCACAAGAUCUUACAAAGUCAUACAACAGUAAGACUAAAGCCGCCGUCUAAGCAACAAACUGUCGCUACACCUAUCCAGUUGAUGAAGGGACGCAGAUAGCCUGGGCCUAAUACCAAACAGACAUCGCAUCCAAGCCUAACAUCUAAGACCUGAGACCCCAACCUAGCCACUUGCCGGGUCUGGGGCACACACUGGUCCGGCGUGCUCUCAGAGGCCGCCGCCGCCAACUGCCACCGCUCCAUCUUCAGAAUUGUACUGAUGCAUCAACCUUACUCGGUCUAGCUAUCGUCGACGCCACCACUGCGCCCAGCGGCACCUCCUCCCUGCCCGCAAACAACUGAGCACAUCGCGGUCGCCACUGAUACACCUCAGCACCAUGCUGCCAAGUACCACCAGCUGACACAGCUUGAAGUCCUUGGAAGAUCUUUCAUGCGUAGCACCUGCCGACCAAGUAUGACAAAGUGUAGCACCUGUCGGUCAGGCAUGACUUGACAUCUCCACCGAAGCUCCGUGCAAGACGAAGCCGCUCCACCUCCUGCCUCUGACUUCCAGCGCUGCUCCACAAACGAUGCUCCCAAGAGAGAAACGAGACAGCGGUGCCACAAUCGUCCGAUCUGGAACACCAGAUCCUAGAGUUUCCCGUGGAGCAGCACGAGUGGGUCGACAGUAGUUACACGAUGAUGCCUCCAUCAAGGUAACGACGAGAACGCCGCCAUCGCCUACCGUCGGCUCGAUUUUCACCGGCAACCAUGUCUCCCCUACUCGCAGUCGGGACUAGAUGAUGGAUCUCGAGAUCCGAUCACCAAGCCUCUGGCCGGCCAUCUCUGGAAGAAGAUGACCACCACGUCCACCAGCGUCACCACACCGGGCACGCGUUGCCGCCGGCACCCCCAUGGUGCCUAGAGGCCGACAAGCCCCGACGAACACCACGCCUCGCCAGCCGCCAUAGCCCAGGCCCAAGCACCACCAGAUCCAGAUCAGAUCGGGGUCAAGGGCCCCAAGCCGCAGCCGUCGCGGAGGCAGCACCACUAGACGGUGCCCUGCCCUCCACCCCGCUGUAGGAUCGAGUCAUCGCCGGAGCUCCGCCACGCCACGCCGCCAAGACGCCGCCGGAAGAACUCGCGCCGCCGCUAGGGGAGAGAGAGACGCGCUAGGGAGAGGCCCCGCCGCUGGCACUGCCUUGGCUUUGCCCGGCUGUGUCCCUCGGCGGCGGCGAGGGGGGAGGGAGGGUGGAGGAGGGCCGGCGGCGGAGGGGGCUAGGGUUCCCCCGAGUCGCCUCAGAGAGGGACGCAGGCGACGGGGUGAGAAAACUGAGAGAGUGGAUAUGGCCUUUACUCGAGCUCAUGGGGUGGCCCGACUGCUGGUGAGUGUUCUCGAUAUUGAGUUCGUGCCUGAUGUGGUUAAGUGGACAUAUAGGGGACAGAUUUUCAACCUCGAGAUUGAGUUUGAGGAUGCCGCUCUCUUCGCUGAGGCUAUCAAUGGGACUGAUGUAGAUAUGCACGAGGGUGAUGACAGCUCGGGUGCUAAGGAGGCACCGGUUGAUGAUGUUGGACGAGAGUUGUCCAACUAAUCGGGGCCCGUUCCUCAGACGCCCAGGGACGGGACGGCACCAUCCUCUUCGGUGCCUAUGAGUUCUCUGAGAUUUGGGUCGUUUGAGCCAGCUUCUGCUCCUCCCAGACUCUGGAGUGACCGGGUGGAGUCCGAUGACGUGUUUGAGCGCACGCUACCUACCCUGGAUUUUGUUGCUGCUGAUAGUCCCGUGCUUGGAGGUUUGGAGGGGAUUAUCUCUGUGCAGACCUCGGUAAGGGGAGGGGAGGCGGAGCUUGGGCAGGUGGCCCCUCUUUCCCCCGCUCUCCCUGCGGUGUCACCUCGGGAGACGGAGUCGACUAUGGAGGCUGUCCCUAGGGAGGGAGUCCAUGGCAGGUGGCCUCGGCUCCUUCUUCUCUUCUCGCGGUGCCGGAGCUGCAGAUGGCGGUUGUGCUUAGGGGAGGCGGUCCAGGGCAGGUGGCCUCGGCCCCCUCUUCACCUCUGGCGGCUAGGGAGGCCACACCCCCUAUGGCGCCGGAGACCUCUUCUAGCCAGAGGGCUGGGGCGGGAGGAGCGUACGGGCAGGCGGCCCACGCGCUUCCCUCUCCCGGCGCGCCAACGUCCCAGGGCCUCGGUUCGAGGUGGACGUCAGUGGGGCCGGGGAGGUCCCCGCCGCUGCCCCCGGCAGCUCCCGCCGACUCUUCGACGUGUGCAGCUUCGCGGUGUGCUGGGGGUGAGGCCGGUGGCUUUACUCCGAGCGGGGUCACUCGGGAGGAGGUCAUCGCCUUUGGAGGGAUUCUAGAUCCUGUCUCUGCGGGGCGACGGAUGAGCUGUCGUCUCUAGGAUCAUCCGGAGGUUGAUGACAUGCAGCAGCGGUGCGCCAUGAGGGCGGCCAAGCUUCGUGACAUUGAGGUCACUACUGGUAUGUCGGUCAACACUUCUAAUUCCAUUCUGCAUUUUUCUAAUAAUGAGAUUAUUAAUAAUUCAAAUCAAUUGGGAGUUUCACUAGGUAGUAAUGAUAGUGAAAUUUCUAACUUUGUAAAUGAUAUCCUGGAUUUGGAAGCGGAACGCGCUUUAGAAAUGAUUCAAAACUUAGCAGCGGUUAAACCCAUGAAUGAUGCAGAUAUCGAUGCGUUGGGGGUCAGGGUGCUCGAUAAUUUUUGUGCAGAUCUUGCACCAUCCAUUCCUGAGUCAGAGGAAGAGGAUAACACUUUUGAGGCUGCCGUAGAUCGAUCCAUGGAGCCCGGUUGUGAGGACUGGGUGGAGGAUCAAAACAAACCUAAACGCAAGUGGAAGCGGAAGAUCUACCCUGCUUCGGCGGUGCGUAGGAGUGCUAGGAUCCGUACUAUUAAAACAUUUCAUGAUGAAAUAUGAAAGGAAUCUUUUGGAAUAGCAGAGGUCUGAAAGACUUGGCUAAAAGAAGGUUUCUUGCAGAUGCGUCUAUCGAGCAUAGGUUGGAUUUUAUCACUCUCUCGGAAACUGGUAGAGAUAAUUUUUCGCCCCAGUUUCUCAGUACUUUAUCGGGAGGUGUUGAUUUCAAUUGGCACUGCCUGCCUCCGAGAGGAAGAUCGGGUGGGAUCUUACUUGGAGUGAGAUGCGAUUCGCUAGAAGUCUGAAGUGUAGUGAUGGGAGAUUUCACAAUUAAGUUCCGGGUUAGGUCGAAAGCCAACGGGUUUAAUUGGGCUCUGAUGGCGGUUAUGCUCCCGCGCAGCCCGAUCUCAAACCAGAGUUCUUGGCGGAUCUUGUUCAAAUUUGCGGCUCUGAGCAGCUCCCAAUCCUGGAUGGGGGUGAUUUCAACAUCAUUAGGAGGAGAGAGGAAAAGAAUAAUGAUAAUUUCGACGGCAGGUGGUCGUUUAUGUUUAAUACCAUUAUUGAAAGCUUGGAUCCUAGAGAGAUAGAGCUUUCGGGUAGAAAAUUCACCUGGGCUAAUACUUUGCCAAAUCCGACGUUUGAGAAGCUGGAUCGAGUCCUAGUGAGCGUCGAAUGGGAACAGAUAUUUCCUUUGGUAACGGUCCAGGCUCUUUCGCGUGGUAUUUCUGACCACACGCCUUUAUUUGUGGACUCUGGUGAGCCAACCCACAUGGGGAACAAAAACUCCUUUUCUUUCGAGCUGGCAUGGUUUGAACGAGAAGGCUUCUUGGAUAUGAUAGCCAGGGAAUGGGCUAAGGAUGCAGGAGGUAGGACUUCGAUUGAGCGCUGACAGAAUAAGAUAAGGCACUUGAGAAGUUUCUUGCGUGCGUGGGCUAAGCAUCUUAGUGGGGUUUAUAAGGUCGAAAAGGAAAGGCUCCUUACACUUAUUCAGUCUCUAGAUUUAAAAGCCGAGUCCACAAUUUUGCAAGCCACAGAGCUUCAUGAUAAACUGGAGGCGGAGAUGAGAUUGAAAGAGCUUCUCCGUGAAGAGGAAUUAAAGUGGGCGCUGCGGGCUAAGGUUCGCAAAGUUGUCCAGGGGGACGCGAAUACUCAAUUCUUUCACAUGAUCGCUAAUGGCAAGCACAGAAAGAAUAGAAUCUUUCAGCUUGAACCAAGAUGAAGGAACGAUUUUAGGACAGGAAAACCUAAAAUUAUACAUAACCGAAUACUACAAGCAGUUGUUUGGGCCUCUGGAGGAUAAUUGUGUAUCCCUGGAUGAGUCUAGGAUUGAGGAUGUGCCUCAACUUACUGCUGAUGAGAAUGAUAUUUUGAUUGCCCCUUUUUCGGGGAAAGAGGUGUUUGAAGCCAUUACACAGAUGAAAAACAAUAAGGCUCCAGGGCCGGAUGGAUUUCCGGCGGAAUUCUAUAAAAAGUGUUGGCAUAUUAUUAAGGGGGAUUUGCAACCAAUGUUCCAUGAUUUAUUCUCUGGACAGCUUCAGUUAUUUCACUUGAACUUUGGAAUGAUAACAUUGCUUCCUAAGAAAACAAAGGCUGUGAGAAUUGAGCAGUUCAGGCCGAUCUGUCUUCUCAAGGUUAGUUUCAAAAAUUUCACAAAGGUUGGGACUAAUAGGCUCACGCAGACUGCGCAUUCUGUGGUGCAGCAUUCCCAAACUGCUUUCAUGCCGGACAGAAACAUCCUAGAAGGGGUUGUGGUCCUUCAUGAAACGCUCCACGAAAUUCACACGAAAAAACUAGAUGGAGUUGUUUUCAAGGUGGAUUUCGAGAAAGCGUACGAUAAAGUCAAAUGGCCUUUCCUUCAACAGGCCUUACAUAUGAAAGGUUUUGAUGAAGCCUGGCGACGCCAGGUAGAAUCUUUCACGCAAAAAGGGAGUGUUGGAAUUAAAGUGAAUGACGACAUAGGUCAUUAUUUCCACACACAUAAGGGCCUGAGACAAGGGGUUCCGAUGUCUCCUAUUUUGUUCAACAUUGUAGUUGAUAUGUUGGCAAUUCUAAUAGGAAGGGCUAAGGAGGUUGGUCAGGUGGGUGGCUUGGUGUCUCAUCUAGUUGAUGGAGGUGUGUCUAUCCUACAGUACAGCGAGAAAUAUGAAGCUGGUGUUAUGCUUAUUUGAACAAUUGACCGGGUUAAAGAUUAACUUUCACAAAAGCAAAUUGUUCUGCUUUGGAAGAGCCAAUGAGGAACAAGAGGCUUAUAGGCAAUUGUUUGGGUGCGAAUUGGGGACCUUACCAUUUACGUAUUUAGGUAUACCAAUUCACCAUCGUAAGCUGACAAACACAGAAUGGAAGUGUAUCGAGGAUCUCUUUGAGAAGAAACUGAGUUGCUGGAAGGGCAAGCUCAUGUCAUACGGAGGCCGAUUAAUUCUGAUUAAUUUGGUUCUCACGAGUAUGCCUAUGUUUCUCUUGUCUUUGUUCGAAGUCCCAGUUGGAGUUAGGAAAAGGCUGGACUUCUAUCGAUCCCGAUUCUUCUGGCAGAGCGAUGAACUAAAAAGAAAAUACAGACUCACCAAAGGGAUAUUAUCUGUCGACCGAAAGACCAAGGGGGUCUUGGCAUUGAAAAUCUUGAGGUCAAGAACAGAUGUCUUCGCAGCAUGUGGCUGUCUAAGUUAUCUGUAGAGAUCGAUGCCACAUGGGCGCAGAUUCUUAGUAGUAAGUAUCUUCAUUCCAAAACUUUGUCCCAGGUGACAGCGAGGCCGACAGACUCACCUUUUUGGAAAGGGCUUAUGAUAGUCAAAUUAGCCUUUUUUAAUAGGACAAAGUUUAUUAUCGUCAAUGGCGCUAGCACGCGAUUCUGGGAGGAUACUUGGCUCGGAGAGACCCCCUUGCACUUCAAUACCCGUCUCUGUAUCGUAUUGUUCAACGACGUGAUGCUUUCGUUGCAACGAUACUUCAAUCCAUCCCCCUUAAUAUUUAGGUCAGGAGGACGCUAGCCGGUAAUCGUUGGGAAGAGUGGCUCCAUCUAGUGAGUAGACUGAUGGAGGUUCAGCUGUCUCAACAGCCCGAUCAAUUACGCUGGAAACUUACUAGGUCUGGAGAGUGUACAGUUAAAUCAAUGUAUCUCGAUGUGAUCAAUUCUAGCUCUAUUCCUAGUUCCAAAUAUGUUUCGACAGUCAAAGUUCCAUUGAAAAUUAAAGUGUUUACGUGGUUUGUACAUAAACAAGUCAUCUUAACCAAGGACAAUUUGGCAAAGCGUAACUGGACAGGACCUACUAAGUGUAGUUUUUGUGAUCGGGAUGAAACUAUCAAACACCUUUUUCUUGAUUGCUCGAUGGCCAAAGUUCUAUGUCGGACAGUCCACAUAGCCUUUGACAUUUCCGAGUUCUGUUAGCACGUUAUUUGGAACGUGGCUUAAUGGGAUAGAGUCCGAAACAGCGAGACACAUUCGCGUAGGAGUAUGUGCUUUAUUGUGGGCAGUCUGGAACUGCAGAAAUGAUUUGGUUUUUAACAGAACAACAAAUAUUCAUUUUUUGCAGGUUAUCUUCCAAGCCACUGCGUUGAUCCGUACGUGGUCACUACUCACUCCGACGGAGGCCAGGGAGCGUUUGGUUACUGGAUCUAUCCGGUGGGAGAUGGUAGCACGGGAUAUCUUCAACCGGUUUGAAUGGCGGUCAUGUAAUAGGAUAGGCAAUUAGUUUACCUAUCUUUCUUAUGCCGGCCGAUUGUGGCUUUUUGGCUAGUUUGUUAUUGGCCCUUUGGCUCUUUAUGAGCUUUCCUUUACUUUCGUUUGAGACUUUAAGACCUUGUUAAACCUAUUUGCUUUUUUAUAAAGUUGGCCGUAUGCAUCGUUCUGAUGCAGAGGCCGGGGAGCCCCCACUUUUCGAAAAAAAACCUCUUGUUAUCUUGUAUUCUUGUGUGACAAUGCUCGAAGAAUAUAAAAGGGCUAGGUGGAAAGACCCCCAUAUCGAAAACUUGCCUACCUACGAGUUUUAUAGACACAGAGCCUCAUUGGAUUGUACUAGAUGGAGCCUCCAGUGAGAGCUGAAGACGAGGCGAUGAGCACGGAGGAGCUGCUCCAAGCCCAGACGGAUCUCUACCACCACUCCCUAGCCUACAUCAAAUCUAUGGCGCUCGGUGCCGCCACAGAACUCAGCGUCGCCGACGCCAUCCACGGCCGUGGCGGUGCCAUCACCUUGUCUGACCUUGCGGCCGCGACCGGCGUCCACCCGACGAAAGUCCAACACUUCGGGCGGCUGAUGCGCGCGCUUACCGUCACUGGUGUCUUCACCUCGGAAGAAAAAGAAGGCGGUGGUGGUGCCCUGUACAAGCUCACUCGGAUUUCACGCCUCCUUCUCGGAGUCGGCAAGCGUCGGCUCUCCCCGAUGGUGCGUAUGCUUGUCAGCGAGGUCAGUUUCACUACUCCCAUGAGCAUCUGCGAGUGGAUCACCACUGAGACGCCGGCCAGGGCCAUGUUCGAGGCCCAUUUUGGCUCUACGCAAAAUGGGUUGUGGGAGAAGGACGACGCGUAUGGUGCCCCCUUCUACUCAGCAAUGGCUGCGGACAGCCGUCUCGUCAUGGAGGUUCUGCUGAGAGAGUGCAGCAGCGUCUUUGAGGCCGUUGCCGGCUCACUUGUCGAUGUCGGCGGCGGCAGCGGAGGAGUCGUGGCUGCCGCCAUUGCCACAGCGUUCCCUCACAUCAAGUGCUCCGUGCUGGACCUCCCCAACGUGGUAGCCGCGGCUGACGACACCACCAACGUGCAGUUUGUCUCCGGCGAUAUGUUUGACUACAUUCCACCAGCGGAUGCCGUUCUACUCAAGGUACGUACUUACAUAGUACUCCCUCCGUAAGGAUAUAUAAGAGCAUUUAGAUCAUUAUUAUUUUAGUGAUUGAUCCAAACGCACUUAUAUUUCUUUACAGAGGGAGUAGCACAUACAAAUGCAGCAAGCUAUCCAUUUCUUAUAUAUAUAAUGAACCAAAUUAAUCAACCAAUCCUUCCUAUAAAUUUUGUAGUGGAUUUUGCAUGACUGGGAAGACCAAGACUGCGUCAAGAUACUGCGCAAGUGCAGAGAGGCCAUCCGCACAAGAGGUGCUGGGGGGAAGGUGAUUAUAAUCGAUUUCGUCGUCGGUGCUGGUUCUUGCAAGGAGACGGAGACACAGGUUCUGUUUGAUCUUUACAUGAUGAUGGAGAAUGGGGCUGAGCGGGACGAGCAAGAGUGGAGCAAGAUUUUCUUUGAAGCUGGAUUUAGUGACUACAAGAUCAUGCCAGUCUUAGGCGCUCGUUCACUCAUUCAAGUAUUCCCAUGAAUUCUGGCGGUUUGAUGUCCAAAUGUACUUCCUGUUUCCAAAUGUUUGUUUGCUUUCACAUCAGAAUAAUGCCUAGGACUAUACUAUAUAGUCUCGACUUUGAAUCUGAAUAAUGAAACUGUUUGUUAUCCUACGUGUUGUUUUCGUUCAUAAUUCAUAUGCUCACAAUGAAAUACAGUCUGCUAUUUUUGUUUACAUUAAAUUAUACUUUACCUAGCAAUAUGGUAAACAGGCUCACUUAGCAGAGGCUGGCUUGUUCGCUUAUUCGCCGCCCUAGGAAUGCGAGCUCCUUGCCGAAAUGAAAUUCUAGUAGCACUGGUUACUAUCGGGUCCUGCAUGUUCGUCAUUUGUGCAAGUAAACACAAUGCAUACGAGUACUCUACUGAAUUGAACUUUUUUGUAUUGUUUUCAUUGGACCAUCCACUGUAUAGUAACAGAGUAUUUAUUGCACACAGACUAUUUUAUUCUUUCAACCCAUAGUUCAUCCACCCACACUUUUAGUCUGAUUCUAAAAUUUGUAACACUUUUAAAUUUUGAACUUGUUCUGAACAAGUAAAAUUCCAAAUUUGACACCAUAAUGAAACUUAUGUCAAAUGUGAGAUCAUAUGAAAUGAAACUGAAGUGAACCAAUAAUAAAAAAUGCAAAAAUAAUUUAAUAAACCAUAAUAAAACUUAUAUCAAAUUUGAGAUGAAACAUAGACGAAUUGUGGAUUGAAACAAUAACGAAAACAAGCUAAGGGGAAUCUAUGAAUAAAUAAUGAGAACAUGUAAAAUUACGAUGACACGGAAAUGAUAUCGUAUGGAAAAUAUGCUAAGAGAACACUUUCAUUGGCCAGCCCAACCAUGAAAGGUAAUUUAACAAAAUGAUAUGAAACUUAUUUGAAAGCUCGAAAAAUAGAAAUAAAACCAGAAUGAAAAUAAUAAUGAAACAUGUAAAAAUACGAUGAAACACAUAUGUAAAAAUAAGGCCGCGAGAUCGUCGUCCUCUGAGUUGGAAGUUUAUGGUGAAGGUGACGUGGGAUCCAUUGCAGGCGCGCCCGGGGUCUGGUGUGGUUGUGGAACACAUAUGUGGAGAUCAUAGUAGCGGUGAAUGACGAACGUGAGCGCUCCGAAGAAUAUGGUGCAGGAAGGAGAAGUCGGUCUGUUAGUGUAGAACCGGCCUUCUGCGAUGAAGGUGAGGAAGCCGAUGGUUAAGCCGUGAGAUUGCCAGCCGUUAUUGAGGAUCUGAUCUAGAGUCGGUCCCCAGCUGACAUAGCCCCUUCCUGUGCUAACUGAUGGUAUGGGAAUUUGCGAGUAUCCUUUGUAGGGUGGCGAACAUGUCCGGAAGUACAAGAAGGGAGUUCGCCAAGGGGGUUUUCCAGAUUUGCGCCCUCAUGGCGAGGAAAUACCUUACGUCCUGCUAUUUGUUUUCUAUUGAUGAUGGAGAACGUUGAGCGAGGGGUUACAAGGGACAUAAAUAUGGCCAUAGGAGUAUAGUCUACGGGAGUAGAUUGGAAUCGCUACCCCUAUCCUCACCUUAUAUAGGUGACGGGGCUAGGUUUUACAUGGCGCCUACAUGAUCUCACACUGCCAUCAUCUUGGCUUCCACCCAAGAUGGUCUUCUGGCUUCCAGGACCCCCGGGCUGUCUCUUGAUGCCAGACCUCCUUCAAGACUUUUGGGCCCGAAGGCCGGCCCACUAUUGGGUUCAUAUCUAGUGUGCCAUCCACGUUGUAAUGCACCAUCACCAACCCCGAUUUCUGGGGCCUUAAGAGUGAAGCGAUUCCUAAUUCUUCUUGGUAACAUGCCAAAGUGUUGUGUCCCAAAGGCUCGACUGGGUAUUUUCGUCAUUGCGGUUGAUAUGGAGAAGGGGUGGGUCGCAUGGAGGCAGAAAUGGGUAAAUGAAGACAGAAACGAGGGGCUGGCCUGACAGUGGUUCAUGUAGACGACGAGCAAGAGCAUGUGGCCAAUUUUUCCGCAAGCGUUAGAAGCAUAGCCAUAAUUCCAGAAAUUUUAGUGGCGGCAACUGAAUUUGCCCUAUUAUAAGAAGGUAUUGCCCCACAACGGUGCGCACACGGGUGACCUUCCUCUUGGUCCAAUGACAGGUGGGCCAUGGACUCGCCGGGGGCCAUAUUAAUGGGACAUUGUCUAUCGUGCUCUUGUGAUUUCUCUCUCGGGUGAUGGGCGGGCUAGACCCACCUGUCGGUUUUUUCGGACACCGUUGGGCUGGCUCAGGUGUGCCAGGGGGCCAGGUCAGACUGUGGUGGGCCUAGACCCCGGCGGGUGUGCGUCGUUCAGGAUGGCCGGCCACGCGGGUGUGCCAUGCUGUUUGAUCGCGAGAGCUGGCAAAGCACGGGCACCAGGUUGUUCGGCUUGUGUGAGCGAAACAGGCGACGGUGAGUCUAUCGUCCAAGAGACGGGCCGAAUAUACCGACAGGCGGAUCAGGCUUCCUGCUCUUGUGCAAUACGAUGAGAAAGGGUUCUCGCGGGAGCACCGAGGCCGCUCCAUGAGAGUGGCCCUGCACGCACCCGCGGUCCACCCGUCAUGGACCCCCGAGUGCACGUCCACUAGUUGAAAACGGAGUUUUAUCACCGGUUCGUAAGGGCCUUUAGUGCCGGUUCUGCAACCGGCACUAAAGAGUGGGGACUAAAGGUCCCCCUUUAGUACCGGUUUGGCACGAACCGGCGUAAACGUGCCACCACGUGGCACGAGCCAGGCCUGGGUGCGUGUAGGACAUUAGUACCGGUUGGUAACACAACCGGUACUAAAUGUUUGGGUGUGUUUUGGUUUUAAUUUUUAUUUUUCCUUUAGUUUUGUGUUUUCAAUUUAAUUUAGUGAUUGUUUUACAUUAUAAUGAGUUGUUAAAUCAUUAGGUGAAAGUACCGCAGAUUAGUUUCGACUGGAUGCAUGUGGAUCCUAGCUAAGUGAUAAAGUAUAUGCCAUAUCCAUAUUACUUAGAUCUAAGUAAUAUGGAUAUGGCAUAUAGUUGAUCACUUAGCUAGGAUCCAUCCAGUUGAAACUAAUAUGCGGUUUCUUUCAUAAAUGAUAUAAUAACUCAUCAUCAUCAUCAUCAUAUUAAUAUAAAAACUCUUGCAUCAUAUCAUCACCAACAACAGUAUAUACUAGCUAGCAAAGAUAUCAUCGAGUUCAACAUGGUCAUGAUAUUAUAAGCAUUCAUAACACCACAAAAGCAAAUCACUCUUUGAGAUUAAGUUCAUGACGAAGAACACGGACACGCAUGAGAGGACAAGAAGUACUAAGAGCAUGAUAACUAGCUAAAUCACUCCUGCUGCUCUCUCUCAGGUAAAAUAGCAUAGAACAUGUAUAGCUCUCCUGAUUCAUCAUAUUGGAUCAUGCAGAUGAACCUGUCUCCUAAUCGUGGGCUGCGCUUCUGAUUGCUGCCCCCUAGUACUUCUUUGCGAUCGUUAACAAUUUUGCUCCAAUCUUUCACUAUUAAGCAUUCAUCGCUUUCAGAAAUUCUGAAUGCACUCAUGUGCACUGUAGGAUAUCUUGGCCGUAAGCUAACAAUUGACAUGCGACCUUUAGUCUUGAUCCACUGAGGCACAACUAUUAAGCAUUCAUCGCUUUCAGAAAUUCUGAAUGCACUCAUGUGCACUGUAGGAUAUCUUGGCCGUAAGCUAACAAUUGACAUGCGACCUUUAGUCUUGAUCCACUGAGGCACAACUGUCAUCGGGAGUCCCUGUUGAAGAACAUCGUAUAGUAAUUAAUAUACUUAGCAAUGAAAGUUUAGCUUGAAAAAUAAUGUAUGCAAAAGAUGCACUGAGGACUAAUAGUAAAAAUCUUACCAUCUUUCCUAAAUACAUGUGACCGUAGUUCAAUACGAUCACUAUUGGUCGCACGUUUUGAGUACUAAGAUUUUCAAAUUCAGGAAAAUGAUUUCUCUUAACAGCAUCAAGAUCCUCAAGCCAUGAAACAUAAUGACUUAUCUCCUCGCAGUUUAGUUCAGCCCCGGGACAGUGGAUGGUCCUGUCUACCAAGCGCCGAACAUGUUUGCUUGAAUCAAAAUAAGCUGUCAAUAGAAAUUACUUGUCAACUAUUUUUGAAUAAACAAUAUCGAAGACAUAAAUAUGGUUGAGAAACUCACAUAAUGGUAGAACUGGAGGCAUCUGCACAUCGACCCAGAUAUCUCUAUUACCUUCAAUAUCAUCUUCCGGACGAAUAUCAAAGGUGAUAACCAUAUCAGGCUCAAAUGCAUAAGUCUUGCAUAGUGCUUGCCAAGUUUUGCAUUCAAAAUAGGUGUAUGUGUCUGCAUUGUAUAAUUUGACGUUGAAAGUAUAACCAUGCUCGGUCUUCAGGUAAACUCUCUUUGCCUCCAUAGUUUCCAUAGCACUGAAACCUAUCUUAUCCAAGACAAAAAUUCUUGCAUGGCAGGGGAUGCGCUACUACAAUAGUGAAAAUUAAAAAUUAUAAGUUGAAGCAAAUGAAGCAUAAGUCAUGCUUAAUUAUGAAAAAAGACUUGUCGUUGUGACUUACUGUAUCCACUUCGAAGGUCUCAUCCAGCUUGAUGCUGAAGCGCCUAUCAUCAACAAGGAAAUUUCUGUCGCACAGGCCGCGCUGGUCUUCACAGUAUUCGCACUUAAUGAAAUCUUUUUCGUCGUCAGACGACAUUUCCUAUGUUCAUAUAGGUGAAACAUUAAACACUUACUAGUUCUAUUAAUUCAACUAGUUCAACUACUUCUAUUAAUUCAACUAGUUCUAUCAAUUCAACUAGUUCUAUUAAUUCAACUAAUUCAACUAAGCAUUUACUAAAAAUAAACUAGUUCUAUAUAUAUAUAUAUAUUAAUAUUUUAAUUAGAUCAUCAAAUCUCAAAUACCUAAAUUUUCUUACUAAAAAUAAACCAGUUCUAUUAAUUCAACAAAUUCAACUAAGAAUUUACUAAAAAUGAACUAGUUAUAUUAAUUUUCUUACUAAAAUAUAUAAAGUAGCUAUGUAUAGUAAUAUUUUAAUUAGAUCAUCAAAUCUCUUAUACCUAAAUUUUCUUACUAAAAAUAAACNNNNNNNNNNNNNNNNNNNNNNNNNNNNNNNNNNNNNNNNNNNNNNNNNNNNNNNNNNNNNNNNNNNNNNNNNNNNNNNNNNNNNNNNNNNNNNNNNNNNNNNNNNNNNNNNNNNNNNNNNNNNNNNNNNNNNNNNNNNNNNNNNNNNNNNNNNNNNNNNNNNNNNNNNNNNNNNNNNNNNNNNNNNNNNNNNNNNNNNNNNNNNNNNNNNNNNNNNNNNNNNNNNNNNNNNNNNNNNNNNNNNNNNNNNNNNNNNNNNNNNNNNNNNNNNNNNNNNNNNNNNNNNNNNNNNNNNNNNNNNNNNNNNNNNNNNNNNNNNNNNNNNNNNNNNNNNNNNNNNNNNNNNNNNNNNNNNNNNNNNNNNNNNNNNNNNNNNNNNNNNNNNNNNNNNNNNNNNNNNNNNNNNNNNNNNNNNNNNNNNNNNNNNNNNNNNNNNNNNNNNNNNNNNNNNNNNNNNNNNNNNNNNNNNNNNNNNNNNNNNNNNNNNNNNNNNNNNNNNNNNNNNNNNNNNNNCUGGGGCGGCGAUGGGGGCGGCGACGACGGCGGCGACGACGACGGCGACAGGAUGGGCUGGGGCGCGAUAGGGGCGGCGACGGGGGCGAAGAACAAACUGAAACGAACUGAAAAUAUUCGUAAGUGGUGCUUAUAUAGCGGUGGCCAUUAGUACCGGUUUGAUACUAAAGGCCUAUUUUGGCCAGGCCAAGAGGCGGGAAGAGCAGGCCUUUAGUACCGGUUGGUGGCUCCAACCGGUACUAAAGACCCACCUUUAGUACCGGGUUGGGCUACCAACCGGUACUAAAGGGGGUGCGCUGCCACCCGCGGUGUAGAAAGUUUAGUCCCACCUCGCCGGGCGAAGGGCAGCCGCACUGGUUUAUAAACCCAGCCGCGGCUGCUACUUUGAACUCCCUUGUAAAGCAGGCUUCUGGGCCUAACUAUGGCACGCUGCCCUGUGAGCCUGCUGGCCCUUGUGGGCCUGAAUUUCCACGCCCGUGGUCUUGUAGGCCCAUUGGGAAGCGCCCCAAUAAUUUUUUAUAUAGUUUGUUUCUUUUCUUCUUUAUUUAUUUUCUUCUAUUUAUUUCUGAGUAGUUUUUUAUAUAGUUUUUUCUUUUCUGCUUUUUUUUAUUUUCUUCUAUUUAUUUCGGAUUAGUUUUUUAUAUAUUUUUUUCUUUUCCCCAAAUCGGUAAAUGACUGAAAAAUAGCAAAUGUUGUCAGAAAGUGUUGAAAAUUGAUGACGUCGCUUUGAAUGGUGUGUAUGGAACGCAAAAAAGUCUGGAGUUGUAAUAAGUUUAAAAAAAUGAAGUGCCCAUGUAACAGAUGAGUUCUCGUCAGAAACCCUGAUACUACAAAAAAGAUAGUCCAGUUUGUACACGAAGUGCGUCCAGUUUUUGCCAUAACCCUCUCUACUCUUUUGCACAUGCUAUGUGGGUGAAAUGAUGAUACCAUGCCAAGUUUUGACAUUUUCAGAGUUUAUUUUGUAGUGAUUUUCAAUUUCACGGUCAUUUAACUCUCUAAACAAAUCGGUAAAUGACUGAAAAAUAGCAAAUGAUGUCAGAAAGUGUUGAAAAUUGAUGACGUCGCUUUGAAUGGUGCGUACGGAACGCAAAAAAGUCUGGAGUUGUAAUAAGUUUAAAAAAAUGAAGUGCCAGUGUAACAGAUGAGUUCUCGUCCGAAACCCUGAUACUCCGAAAGAGAUUGUCCAGUUUGUACACGAAGUGCGUCCAGUUUUUGCCGUAAUCCUCUCUACUCUUUUGCACAUGCUGUGUGGGUGAAAUGAUGAUACCAUGCCAAGUUUCGACAUUUUCAGAGUUCAUUUUGUAGUGAUUUUCAAUUUCACGGUCAUUUAGCUCUCUAAACAAAUCGGUAAAUGACUACAAAAGUGCAAAUAAUGUCAGAAAGUUUUGAAAAAUGAUGACGUCGCUUUGAAUGGUGUGUACGGAACGCAAAAAAGUCUGGAGUUGUAAUAAGUCUGAAAAAUCGAAGUGCCAAUGUAACAGAUGAGUUCUCGUCAGAAACCCUUAUACUUCGAAAGAGAUUGUCCAGUUUGUACACGAAGUGCGUCCAGUUUUUGCCGUAACCCUCUCUACUCUUUUGCACAAGCUAUGUGGGUGAAAUAAUGAUACCACACCAAGUUUCGACAUUUUCAGAGUUGAUUUUGUAGUGAUUUUCAAUUUCACGGUCAUUUAGCUCUCUAAACAAAUCGAUAAAUGACUGAAAAAUAGUAAAUGAUGUUAGAAAGUGUUGAAAAUUGAUGACGUCGCUUUGAAUGGUGCGUACGGAACGCAAAAAAAGUCUGUUGUUGUAAUAAGUUUAAAAAAAUGAAGUGCCAGUGUAACAGAUGAGUUCUCGUUCGAAACCCUGAUACUCCGAAAGAGAUUGUCCAGUUUGUACACGAAGUGCGUCCAGUUUUUGCCGUAACCCUCUCUAAUCUUUUGCACAUGCUAUGUGGGUGAAAUGAUGAUACUAUGCCAAGUUUCGACAUUUUCAGAGUUCAUUUUGUAGUGAUUUUCAAUUUCACGGUCAUUUAGCUCUCUAAACAAAUCGGUAGAUGACUAAAAAAUAGCAAAUGAUGUCAGAAAGUUUUGAAAAUUGAUGACGUCGCUUUGUAUGGCGUGUACGGAACGCAAAAAAUUCUGGAGUUGUAAUAAGUUUAAAAAAAUGAAGUACCCAUGUAACAGAUGAGUUCUCGUCAGAAACCCUGAUACUCCAAAAGAGAUUGUCCAGUUUGUACACGAAGUGCGUCCAGUUUUUGCCGUAACCCUCUCUACUCUUUUGCACAUGCUGUGUGGGUGAAAUGAUGAUACCAUGCCAAGUUUCGACAUUUUCAGAGUUCAUUUUGUAGUGAUUUUCAAUUUCACGGUCAUUUAGCUCUCUAAACAAAUCGGUAAAUGACUAAAAAAUAGCAAAUGAUGUCAGAAAGUGUUGAAAAUUGAUGACGUCGCUUUGAAUGGUGCGUACGGAACGCAAAAAAAGUCUNNNNNNNNNNNNNNNNNNNNNNNNNNNNNNNNNNNNNNNNNNNNNNNNNNNNNNNNNNNNNNNNNNNNNNNNNNNNNNNNNNNNNNNNNNNNNNNNNNNNNNNNNNNNNNNNNNNNNNNNNNNNNNNNNNNNNNNNNNNNNNNNNNNNNNNNNNNNNNNNNNNNNNNNNNNNNNNNNNNNNNNNNNNNNNNNNNNNNNNNNNNNNNNNNNNNNNNNNNNNNNNNNNNNNNNNNNNNNNNNNNNNNNNNNNNNNNNNNNNNNNNNNNNNNNNNNNNNNNNNNNNNNNNNNNNNNNNNNNNNNNNNNNNNNNNNNNNNGACUAAAAAUAGCAAAUGAUGUCAGGAAGUGUUGAAAAUUGAUGACGUCACUUUGAAUGGUGCGUACGGAACGCAAAAAAAGUCUGGAGUUGUAAUAAGUUUAGAAAAAUGAAGUGCCAAUGUAACAGAUGAGUUCUCGUCAGAAACGGUGAUACUCCGAAAGAGAUUGUCCAGUUUGUACACGAAGUGCGUCCAGUUUUUGCCGUAAUCAUCUCUAUUCUUGUGCACAUGCUGUGUGGGUGAAAUGAUGAUACCAUGCCAAGUUUUGACAUUUUCAGAGUUCAUUUUGUAGUGAUUUUCAAUUUCACGGUCAUUUAGCUCUCUAAACAAAUCGGUAAAUGACUACAAAAGUGCAAAUAAUGUCAGAAAGUUUUGAAAAAUGAUGACGUCGCUUUGAAUGGUGUGUACGGAACGCAAAAAAGUCUGGAGUUGUAAUAAGUCUGAAAAAAUGAAGUGCCAAUGUAACAGAUGAGUUCUCGUCAGAAACCCUUAUACUUCGAAAGAGAUUGUCCAGUUUGUACACGAAGUGCGUCCAGUUUUUGCCGUAACCCUCUCUACUCUUUUGCACAUGCUAUGUGGGUGAAAUGAUGAUAUCACGCCAAGUUUCGACAUUUUCAAAGUUGAUUUUGUAGUGAUUUUCAAUUUCACGGUCAUUUAGCUCUCUAAACAAAUCGAUAAAUGACUGAAAAAUAGUAAAUGAUGUCAGAAAGUGUUGAAAAUUGAUGACGUCGCUUUGAAUGGUGCGUACGGAACGCAAAAAAAGUCUGUUGUUGUAAUAAGUUUAAAAAAAUGAGUUGCCAGUGUGACAGAUGAGUUCUCGUUCGAAACCCUGAUACUCCGAAAGAGAUUGUCCAGUUUGUACACGAAGUGCGUUCAGUUUUUGCCGUUACUCUCUCUACUCUUUUGCACAUGCUAUGUGGGUGAAAUGAUGAUACUAUGCCAAGUUUCGACAUUUUCAGAGUUCAUUUUGUUGUGAUUUUCAAUUGCACGGUCAUUUAGCUCUCUAAACAAAUCGGUAGAUGACUAAAAAAUAGCAAAUGAUGUCAAAAAGUUUUCAAAAUUGAUGACGUCGCUUUGUAUGGUGUGUACGGAACUCAAAAAAUCUGGAGUUGUAAUAAGUUUAAAAAAAUGAAGUGCCCAUGUAACAGAUGAGUUCUUGUCAGAAACCCUGAUACUUCGAAAGAGAUUGUCCAGUUUGUACACGAAGUGCGUCCAGUUUUUGCCGUAACCCUCUCUACUCUUUUGCACAUGCUGUGUGGGUGAAAUGAUGAUACUAUGCCAAGUUUCGACAUUUUCAGAGUUCAGUUUGUAGUGAUUUUCAAUUUCACGGUCAUUUAGCUCUCUAAACAAAUCGGUAAAUGACUGAAAGAUAGCAAAUGAUGUCAGAAAGUGUUGAAAAUUGAUGGCGUCGAUUUGAAGGGUGCGUACGGAACGCAAAAAAAGUCUGGAGUUGUAAUAAGUUUAAAAAAAUGAAAUGCCAGUGUAACAGAUGAGUUCUCGUCCGAAACCCUGAUACUCCGAAAGAGAUUGUCCAGUUUGUACACGAAGUGCGUCCAGUUUUUGCCGUAACCCUCUCUACUCUUUUGCACAUGCUAUGUGGGUGAAAUGAGGAUACCAUGCCAAGUUUCGACAUUUUUAGAGUUCAUUUUGUAGUGAUUUUCAAUUUCACGGUCAUUUAGCUCUCUAAACAAAUCGGUAAAUGACUAAAAAAUAGCAAAUGAUGUCAGAAAGUUUUGAAAAUUGAUGACGUCGCUUUGAAUGGUGUGUACGGAACUCAAAAAAGUCUGGAGUUAUAAUAAGUUUUAAAAAAUAAAGUGCCCAUGUAACAGAUGAGUUCUCGUCAGAAACCCUGAUACUUCGAAAGAGAUUGUCCAGUUUGUACAGGAAGUGAGUCCAGUUUUUGCCGUAACACAAGAAGUCCGGAGUUGUUAUAAGUUAUUAAAGAUAAAAAAGAGGCACAAUGCUCGUUAAUUAGCUUCAAGCCUUUCGGAAUAGUGCAAACUGCACUGCACAUAGCUCCGUGCAGUCUACACUAUUCCUCAAGGCUUAAAGCUAAGCAACGUGUAGAUGAGCAUUUCACGGUCAUUUAGCUCUCUAAGCUAAUCUAGUAGCCAUGUUAAGUCGAUAAUGACGUGGAAUUGUUAUAUGACAUGCAAAUACCUUCUGAGUUAAUGGCACUAGUCAUCAACCCGUGCAACUGCAUGGGCUAGUUUUUUAAACGGUUCAUAGUUACAAUACUUUUCAUGACCACUUGUUUCUUUGCAUCCAGCAAGAAUAUAAAUUUGUUGUGUGUGAACCAUUAAAUGAACAAUUAAUAUGAAAAUAGAAAACUUAUAUCCUGAAAGUUUACAAUCUUCAUAAAAUAUUUAUAUUUUAUUUUAAGACAAACGGGAAAUUAAAAAUCCUACUUAUAGAGAUCCUGAAACAUAAUUCAAAUGUCGCAUAAAUUACGUAAUUUUGAAUGAUAAGUACUAAAAAUGUAAUAAUUUGUUUAGUUAAUAUUAAUCCUUUUUUUAUUUGGGAGUCUACUUAAUCAUGGGGUAUUUUGCAUAAUGCUUAGGCUUGUCAAAUGAAAUAAGCAUUUCAUAACAACAGUGUACCUCCCUACAGUUUAAUAACAAACUUACUCUACAAACACCGAAAACCGAACCAAAGACUGAAGAAGCAAUCAUAAGUGUCAUACUUCUUAAAUUCUCCUUUUUUUUCCCGGCACCACCCAUGGAGUAGUCUUUCCACCGUGUUUGACUCUCGUUGUGGUAGCAAAUGAUGGGUCCAAGUUUUCGCAUAGUAUUGUCCGUUUGUUUUAUCAUGAUAGAGUACUCCAUUAGUUGGCACCGCUCUUAUAUUUGUGUGUGAUCUUUUAGCAGUUCAACAUUAUAGUUCUUCCACCCAUAUGUUCGCAAUGUUAAAUCUAUGGAGAAAAAGAUUCAAAUCUUCACUAUUGUACCACAAAAGCAAGUCACAUGAAUAGCUCGCAAUUAUUUAACUACUGGUGGUUGGUGCCAGGUAUAUUAGCGUUAGGAAAGUAAAUGUACAUACUGAACAUUUGACUGUGGAAGAAAAUGAAUUUUCUUAUUUACUCUUAUUGAAUUCUAAAUAUAUUUUGGAUAUUUGUUUUCAGUAAUACACCUAAUUUUGGAAAAUCUAUUUCAUAGCCUUGUAUUUUUGAAAUAUUUUACAAAACAUGACACAAAUUGUUGUGUUUUUUCACAUACAUAUUUAUAACAUUAAUACACUCUUUAUAUGUAAUGUGAUAUUUAUUAUAUAAUUUUUUAAUCAUACAUAACUAAAUUCUUAUUAUUUUCAAAUCACAAAUUUUAAAUGAUAUGAUAACUUACAUUUUAAAAGCUCUAUUUCGGGACAUUAUAACUAAAAACUAUCUGAGCGAAUCGGGCACCAUAAUGUAUUUGGUGUCUACACUUUGUCGCAUACAUAGCCUUUUUUAUUUUUAAUGUAAUUGCUAAAAUAUGUAAUUAUGUAGAACUUAAUAUUACAUUCUAUUACACAGAUUGGACUUAUAUAGGUUGGAAAAGAAUUAAAUCUAUGCUGUCAAACCUACCGAAUAGCAUUCCUCCGGCACAUUGUAUAUCUGGCAUUUAUUAGUAAUGUGUCUAAAUCAGUUCGGGAUAAAUUCACUCUACAUCGUCAUAAUGGCUUGUUGUUAAAAUUUGGCAUCCUGACGCAUUACUUGGAAUUUUUAUAAACUCAGUGUAAACAGUUAUGUUAUCUUUUUAAACAUAAGUUAUUUAGUUCAAUUCGGAGUACUAUAUAGUAAUUUUCAACAGUAAAUCUAGCCUAUUUCAACUCGGUCAUUAUAAACAAUAAAUCUAGCCUGUUUCAACUCGGCCAUUAUAUUUAACUUAUUUAAGACAUAAGGUAAUCUAACUUUUGAACAAUCUUUAGAAAUCUACAUAUGUAGAGGUCAAGUAGGACAUACAUAUGUGAAAUUCCUUAAAAUAAUUUGAUAAUUGUUAUAUUAAAGAAAAUAAUAUUAUAAUUUAUUAUCUGUACUUACUAUAAUUGCAAUACUUUUUGAUAGCAUGUUCCCGUUGCAUAGUGUCGCUUACUGCACAAUAUCUUAAUUUGUUAUGUGUCUCGGAUAGAAAAAUAUUGUAUUUCCGCGUAUGUAUAUGCAUGUCUAUAUAUGUUUCACACACAUGAAAUUUUUUUAUAUAUUAAAAAAUGAUUUCGCCUGAGUUACAUCCAUGCAUGCUAAUUUCCUGUCUAUCAUUGGAGUUUAGAUCUAUGCAUGUAUGUGCUUGACUAAGCUCUGCACAUAUAUACGUGCCGGUCAAAUCAUAUACAUGAACGUACAUCACUCUAUUCUACUAUUAAGGGAUUCGUUGAGCACCUCGUCAAAGAAACAAACCUUUCAGAUCAACUUGUAAAUUUUCUUUUUACAUAUUUGCAUUUUUUUAGCAUAUUUGCAUUUCUUUCCUAAAAUAUUGCAAUAUUUGCAAAUAUCUGAAUCAUAUUCUUUUGAUUGACAAUAACACAAUGGCUUACCAGCAGAUCAAAACAGAUAUCUAGCUAGUGCGAAGGUUGUGCCACCUCUUGAUUGUUUCCUCCAUGAGCAAGCAAGCUUCUGGUAACGGUAACAGUCAUGGCGACGGAACAUGAUGUGCCGGCGAGCCGCAGACAUUAGAAAGAUCUGAAAAGAAGCAGAUAGGCAUGAUGCAUAAAUCUGGAAAGGAAGAAGAAUAUGCAUAACUCAAAAGCAUUGAAGCCGUCGGUUUUUGCAUUGCUCUACGAUCAGUUAAUGUACGCAUGCAUCGUAUAUGUACGCAUCCAGCCGCCGGAAUUUACUUCUCCUGCCUUCGUUUGUCAAGGGCAAAAAUACUGGCCAGCAGCACAAAUUGAAGACCAGCUUUCGGCACCUCCAUAACGCUCGUAGAAAAGUUCUCAAUGACUUGCAUCGGGAAUAUCUCUCCAGACCAGGGCAUGCGCCAAUUAAUGCUUCUUGCCGUGUCAUGUAUGCCGGGUCAUGUAUCUCUACGGGGACAACAAAAUUCAACUUGUUUAUUUUUGGAUAAUCAUUGGGAGAUAGAGACCCAGCACAGGACGUCUCCCAUGCGUGGGACAACCGAGGUUUUUUUUUUCAAUCUUAGGCUUCAUCAACGGCUAAAAUAUAUUAUAUUUUAAUCUGACGGAUGUAAAUCUUUAACUUAUAAAAUUGACGUGAAUCCUCGUAUGGCUCUUCCAAUUAGUAAAUAUAUAAGAUAGUAGUAGACGUGAAGAAUAAAGGGGCAGUAAUGGGAUAUUAAAUGUGGCAGCUAACUUGCUAGGCCUUCGAGUUAUAUUUUGUUCAGCAUUAAGUGGAAAACAUAUUUUGGCAUCCUUUUCCUCCUCUCGACUCUGACAAAAUGUUAGUGAUAUUCAAAUGGAAAAGCUUAGGCAAGAAAUAUUCCGAGGAAAAAUAAUGCAUCUACUCUAAAAUAUAUUUUCAUCAAUAGUAGUCCACUACUACCAUGAGCCAAUGGCCAUGGUUCUAUUCAAAAUUUUAAUUUAUCAAGAUCAGGCGUAGACUUGAUGUUGACAUCAAUGGCUAUCUAGGCUUAGAGAGAUGAGAGGAGUGAAGAACAAAAAAGGAGCGCCAAUAAUGGUUAUAACCCAUAGGGGAUAAAAUAAGGACGCCGCUAGUUGGCAUGAAUUGAUACAGGUAGACAUCACUUACUCUGCGUCCCUGAAUAGAGGCCAUAAUUUGUGUUGCUCUAGGGACCCAUAAUUUAUGAAUUCUGCUCACAAGAGAUCCGACUGUUGUGGGGAUCAAACUUUAGCACGCUGCCCUUAGAGCAACUCCAACGCGUCAACCCAAAUGGACGGCGAUUUUGUUAUAUUUUCGUCUGUUUGUGUCGACCGUCCACUCGGUGUCCGCCUAAUUUUCUUUUUGGGUCAGCAGUGCGCCCAAUGCCAGCGACUCAUUUCAUGUCCGUGCACAAAUUUUAAAAAGGCCCGCGGCUGUAGAUCAUGGCAGCGGCCAAGCCGUCACCCAAAGUUCAUGCCGGCACCAUGCCAGCAGCCGACAUACAAUGCCAGCUCCAAAAAAGCACCACACAGUUUGUGUUGGCGCACUUGCCAGCGACUGGCAUAGAUGCCAGCAAACAAAAAAGGGGCGGGAGUUCGACCACGCCAUCGCGACCGUAGUCAUGCCAACACACUUUUCGGCAUGCAAAAAAGGAUGGCGCUUUCCGCCAUAAAUCACUCGUCGUCGAACUUGAGCAUGUCGGCUUGCAUCUUGUCGAACCACGACCUCUUCCUCGGCGACAUGGUGUUGAGGUCCACCUUCAUGAUCUCCACACCCGUCAUCAUGCUAGCGAGAACCACUUCUUUCGCCUUGGUCUUGACAUUUGCGGCAUCGAUAUCUAGCAUCUUGGCUUGCACUGGUGCAGAACCGGGCUUUAGCACCAGUUCGUAAGGCCCUUUAGUGGCGGUUCUUGAACCGGUACUAAGGGGGGGGGGGCUUUAGGGAUUUUGGUUUUAUUAUUUAUUUUUCCUUUAAUUUUGUAUUUCCAUUUAUUUUAUUUUUCAUUUGCUGGUAUUUUACGAACUACAUAUUGUACACGUUAUGCAUAUAUAUAAAUAUAAUUUCUCGUAGAACCGAUCAUAUANNNNNNNNNNNNNNNNNNNNNNNNNNNNNNNNNNNNNNNNNNNNNNNNNNNNNNNNNNNNNNNNNNNNNNNNNNNNNNNNNNNNNNNNNNNNNNNNNNNNNNNNNNNNNNNNNNNNNNNNNNNNNNNNNNNNNNNNNNNNNNNNNNNNNNNNNNNNNNNNNNNNNAGCUAAUCAUUGAUAUAUACUACAUACUAAACGUACAUACUCUCUAUUUUGACGGAUACUACAUACAACAUACAAAAUGCAAGUGGUGGUAAUUACCACCGCUUGGAGGAAGCAUUUGAGGCACCACCAUUUGAAGCACCGCCAUUCACACAUAGAGCAGAAAAGAGUACCGGUUGGAGCGACCAACCGGUUUAAAGGGGUGUGCUGGCCCAGGUGCGAUGCACAAAGUUUAGUCCCACCUUGCUGAGCGAAGGGCGGCCGCACUGGUAUAUAAACCCAGCCGCGGCUGCUCCUUUGAGCUCCUCCCUAACGCAGGCCUUCUGGGCCUACUUGUGUUGCGCUGCCCUGUUGGGCCUACUAGCCUUGCGGGCCUACCUCCUGGCCCGACUACAGGUUGGGUUUCUAGUCGCAUGCAGGCCGCUGUGGCCCAGUAGGCGGGCUUUUAAAAAAAUAUUGUUUGCUUUAUUUAUUUUCUUUUAUUUAUUUCUGAGUUGUUUUUCCUGUAUUUCGAAUUUCUUUGUGAAUAUUUUUGCUUUAGGUACAAAAAAUUACAAAAUUUCUGUUAGUGCCAGUAGUUUUCAAAUUUGAAUAGUUUAAAUUUGUCUCCUUUAUUUAUUUUUAAGUUGUUUUUUGCUGUAUUUAGAAUUUCUUUGUGAAUAUUUUGCUUUAGGUAAAAAAAAUUACAAACUUUAUGUUAGUGCCAAUAGUUUUCAAUUUUGAAUAGUUUAAAUUUGUCUGCUUUAUUUAUUUUCUUUUAUUUAUUUGUGAGUUGUUUUUUGCUGUAUUUAGAAUUUUUUGUGAAUAUUUUUCUUUAGGUACAAAAAAUUACAAAAUUUCUGUNNNNNNNNNNNNNNNNNNNNNNNNNNNNNNNNNNNNNNNNNNNNNNNNNNNNNNNNNNNNNNNNNNNNNNNNNNNNNNNNNNNNNNNNNNNNNNNNNNNNNNNNNNNNNNNNNNNNNNNNNNNNNNNNNNNNNNNNNNNNNNNNNNNNNNNNNNNNNNNNNNNNNNNNNNNNNNNNNNNNNNNNNNNNNNNNNNNNNNNNNNNNNNNNNNNNNNNNNNNNNNNNNNNNNNNNNNNNNNNNNNNNNNNNNNNNNNNNNNNNNNNNNNNNNNNNNNNNNNNNNNNNNUAAGUUGUUUUUUGCUGUAUUUAGAAUUUCUUUGUGAAUAUUUUUGCUUUAGGUACUAAAAAUUACAAACUUUCUGUUAGUGCUAGUAGUUUUCAAAUUUGAAUAGUUUAAAUUUUUCUGCUUUAUUUAUUUUCUUUUAUUUAUUCCUGAGUUGUUUUUUGCUGUAUUUAGAAUUUCUUUGUAACUAUUUUUGCUUUAGGUACAAAAAAUUACAAACUUUAUGUUACUGCCAGUAGUUUUAAAAUUUGAAUAGUUUAAAUUUGUCUGUUUUAUUUAUUUCUGAGUUGUUUUUUGCUGUGUUUAGAAUUUAUUUUUGAAUAUUUUUGCUUUAGGUACAAAAAAUUACAAACUUUCUAUUAGUGCCAGUAGUUGUCAAAUUUGAAUAGUUUAAAUUUGAAUUAUUUGAAAUUUUUGUGAAUAACUAGUUUCGGAAUAACUUUACUUUAAAAAUAGAUUUUUCAGUGAUUCGUUUUUCUUAUGUCUAACAUUAGUGUGUUUUAUCAUUAUAUUCAAUUUGGUAAUACUUAGGUUAUUUAAAAAAUGAAAUGCCAUUGUAACAGAUGAGUUUUCGUCUAAAAACUCUGAUACUUCGAAAGAGAUUGUCCAUUUUGUACACUAAGUGCUUCCAGUUUUUGCCAUAACCCUCUAUACUUUUUUGCACAUGCUAUGUGGGUGAAAUGAUGAUACCAUGCCAACUUUCAACCUUUUCAGAGUUCAUUUGUAGUGCUUUUUAAUUUCAGGGUCAUUUAGCUAAAAAAAUCAUUAAAUGCAUGAAAAAUAGCAAAUGAUGUCCGAAAGUGUUGAAAGUUGAUGACGUGGCUUUGAAUGGUGCAUACUGGACGCACAAAAAGUAUGGAGUUGUAAUGAGUUUCAAAAAUGAAAUUCCUUUGUAACAGAUGAGUUUUCGUCCGAAACCCUGAUACUCCGAAAGAGAUUGUCCAUUUUGUACACGAAGUGCAUCCAGUUUUUUCCAUAACCCUCACUACUUUUUUGCACAUGCUAUGUGGGUGAAAUGAUGAUGCCAUGCCAACUUCCAACCUUUAAGAGUUCAUUUGUAGUGUUUUUCAAUUUCAGGGUCAUUUAGCUAAAAAAUCAAUAAAUGCAUGAGAAAUAGCAAAUGAUGUCAGAAAGGUAUGAAAGUUGAUGACGUGGCUUUGAAUGGUGCAUACUGAAUGCACAAAAAGUUUAGAGUUGUAAUAAAUUUAAAAAAUGAAAUGCCUUUGUAACAGAUGAGUUUUCGUCCGAAGCCCUCAUACUUCAAAAGAGAUUAUCCAUUUUGUGCACGAAGUGCAUCCAGUUUUUGCCGUAACCCUCUCUACUUUUUUGCACAUUAUAUGUGGGUGAAAUGAUGAUACGAUGCCAACUUCCAACCUUUCAGAGUUCAUUUGUAGUGCUUUUCAAUUUCAGGGUCAUUUAGCUAAAAAAAAUCAGGAAAUGCACGAAAAAUAGCAAAUGAUGUCAGAAAAGUUUGAAAGUUGAUGACAUGGCUUUGAAUUGUGCAUACUGAACGCACAAAAAGUCUAGAGUUGUAAUAAGUUUAAAAAAUGAAAUGCCUUUGUAACAGAUGAGUUUUCGUCCGAAACCCUCAUACUUCGAAAGAAAUUGUACAUUUUGUACACGAAGUGCAUCCAGUUUUUGCCGUAACCCUCUCUACUUUUUUGCACAUGCUAUGUGGGUGAAAUGAUGAUGCCAUGCCAACUUUCAACCUUUGUAGAGUUCAUUUGUAGUGCUUUUCAAUUGCAGGGUCAUUUAGCUAAAAAAUCAGUAAAUGCAUGAAAAAUAGCAAAUGAUGUCAGAAAGUGUUGAAAGUUGAUGACGUGGCUUUGAAUGGUGCAUACUGAAUGCACAAAAAGUCUGGAAUUGUAAUAAGUUUAAAAAAAUGAAAUGCCUUUGUAACAGAUGAGUUUUCGUCCGAAACCCUGAUACUCCGAAAGAGAUUGUCCAUUUUGUACACGAAGUGCAUCCAGUUUUUGCCGUAACCCUCCCCUACUUUUUUCCACAUGCUAUGUGGGUGAAAUGAUGAUACGAUGCCAACUUCCAACCUUUUCAGAGUUCAUUUGUAGUGCUUUUCAAUUUCAAGGUCAUUUAGCUAAAAAAUUAGUAAAUGCAUGAAAAAUAGCAAAUGAUAUCAGAAAGGUUUGAAAGUUGAUGACGUGUCUUUGAAUGGUGCAUACCGAAAGUACAAAAAGUCAGGAGUUGUAAUAAGUUUAAAAAAAUGAAAUGCCUUUGUAACAGAUGAGUUUUCGUCUAAAACCCUCAUACUUCGAAAGAGAUUGUCCAUUUUUUUCUACACGAAGUGCAUCCAGUUUUUGCCGUAACCCUCUCAACUUUUUUGCACAUGCGAUGUGGGUGAAAUGCUGAUACCGCCAACUUUUAACCUUUUGAGAGUUCAAUUUUAGUGCUUUUUAAUUUCAGGGUCAUUUAGCUAAAACAAUCAGUAAAUGAGCUAAAAGUAGCAAAUGAAGUCAGAAAAGGGUUGAAAAUUGCUGAUGUGCCUUGGAAUGGUGCAUAUUGAACACACAAAAAGUCUGGAGUUGAAAUAAGUUAUUAAAAAUAAAAUCCUUUUGUAAUAGAUGAGUUUCGUCCGAAACCCUGAUACUUCGAAAGAGAUUGUCCAGUUUGUAGAAGAAGUGCAUCCAAUUUUUGCCGUAACCCUCUCAACUUUUUAGCACAUGCUAUGUGGAUGAAAUGAUGAUAUCAUGCUAAGUUUCAACCAUUUCAGAGUUGAUUUGUAGUGCUUUUCAUUUUCAGGGUCAUUUAGCUAAAAAAAUUCAUUAAAUGCAUAAAAAUAGCAAAUGAAGGCAGAAAAGAGUUGAACAUUGAUGAUGUGACUUUGAAUGGUGCACAAUGAACACACAAAAAGUCCGGAGUUAAAAUAAGUUAUAAAAAUGAAGGAGAGGCGCAAUCCUCACUGGCACAUUGCUUAGCUUCAGGCCUUGACAAACUACACAUAGCUCUGUGCAAUCUACACCAUUUCCUCCAGGCAUGAAGCUAAGCAACGUGCAGGUGAGCAUUGCGCCUCUCCUUCAUCGUUCCUCGUCUCUGCACUCAGGGCUUAUAAACCGCUGAUACGUCUCCAACGUAUCUAUAAUUUUUGAUUGUUCCAUGCUAUUAUAUUAUCAAUCUUGGAUGUUCUAUAAUCAUUUUAUAGUCAUUUUUUGGUACUAACCUAUUGACAUAGUGUCAAGUGCUAGUUGUUGUUUUCUGCAUGUUUUUUACAUUGCAGGAAAUCAAUACCAAACGGCGUCCAAAUUCAAUGAAACUUUACGGGGAUUUUUUAUGCACCAGAAGACACCUAAUGGGCCAAGGCUGCGCCUAGGGGGUGCUCCGAGGAGAGCACAACCCACCAUGGCGCGCCAGGAGGCCCGGGCACGCCCUGGAGGGUUGUGCCCACCUCGGGUGCCCCUCGGGCCGCCUCUUUGCUCUAUAAAUAUCCCAAUAUUCCAGAAACCCUAGGGGAGUCGACGAAAAUCAAUUCAAGCCUCCGCAGAGUCCAGAACCACCAGAUCCAAUCUAGACACCAUCACGGAGGGGUUCACCACUUCCAUUGGUGCCUCUCCGAUGAUGCGUGAUUAGUUCUUUGUAGACCUUCGGGUCCGUAGUUAGUAGCUAGAUGGCUUCCUCUCUCUCGCCAAACUCUCAAUACAAUGGUGUCUUGGAGAUCCAUAUGAUGUGACUCUGUUUGCGGUGUGUUUGUUGGGAUCAGAUGAACUUUCAGUUUAUGAUCAGAUCUAUCUUUUUAUAUCCAUGAAAGUUAUUUGAGUUUCUUUGAACUAUUAUAUGCAUGAUUUCUUAUAGCCUCGUAUUUCUUCUCCGAUAUUUGGGUUUUGUUUGGACAAAUUGAUCUAUUUAUCUUGCAAUGGAAAGAGGUGCUUUGUAGUGGGUUCGAUCUUACGGUGCUUGAUCCCAGUGACAGAAGGGGAACCGACACGUAUGUAUCGUUGCUACUAAGGAUAAAACGAUGGGGUCUAUCUCUACAUAGAUAGAUCUUGUCUACAUCAUGUCAUCAUUCUUAUUGCAUUACUCCAUUUCCCCAUGAACUUAAUACACUAGAUGCAUGCUGUAUAGCGGUCGAUGUGUCGAGUAAUAGUAGUAGAUGCAGGUAGGAGUCGGUCUACUAAUCUUGGACGUGAUGGCUAUAUAUUGAUCAUUGCCUGGAUAUCGUCAUGAUUAUUUGGAACUCUAUCAAUUGCCCAACAGUAAUUUGUUUACCCACCGUUUGCUAUUUUGCUCGAGAGAAGCCACUAGUGAAACCUACGGCCCCCGGGUCUCUUUCUCACAUUAUUUGCCUUCGCGAUCUAUUUUAUUUGCCUUUUGUUUGCAGAUCUAUUAAACCAAAAAUACAAAAAUACCUUGCUGCGUUUUACUCUUAUUUAUUUUAUUUGGUGUUCGAUCUAUCAAUCUACUACAAUUAUCUCACGUCUGUUUGCCAAUUUCUGGCGCCGCUACCCGAAAGGGAUUGACAACCCCUUUAACACGCCAGGUUGCGAGGAUUUGUUAUCUGUGUGCAGGGGCUAUUUACAUUCUAUUGCUAGGUUCUCCUACUAGUUCGAUAACCUUGGUUUCAUAUCUGAGGGAAAUACCUACCGCUGCUAUGCUGCAUCAUCCCUUUCUCUUUGGGGAAAUACCGACGUAGCUUCAAGCCGCAUCAAAAGGAAUUUCUGGCGCCGUUGCCGGGGAGGAUCUUCAACAUAUACGAGGUUCCGAAUCACAAAUCUCAUCUCCUUGCAAUUUACAUUAUUUGCCAUUUGCCUCUCAUUUUCCUCUCCCCCACUUCACAAAAAUUUGCCAUUUUAUUCGUCCUCUUUUUCGUUCGCCUUUUUCUCGUUUGAUCUUUUGUUUGCUUGUGUUGCCAUGUGCCUUCUAUAUGCUUGCGUCUUCGCUUGCUAAAAAUAUAUUGAUAUGGAUCCUCAUCCACUUGCUAAUCUUUUUAAAAGAUCCAAUCAUGUUGAACCAGUUGCUAGUGAGUUGAGUGCACUAGAUUAUCUUUAUGAAGUUUUUCUUGAGAUUCGUGAAUCUAAAAAUUGCGAUGAAGAAAUUUAUGAAGUGAUUCAUGAUAGCUCCUUGAAUGAAAAGCAUGAUUGCAAUGAUUUUACUAUAAAUCCUAUUAAUGUCAAUUGUGCUAAUAAUAUGCAAAACCCCAAACUUUGGGAUGCUAAUUUUGCUAUGUCCACUACUUGUUGCAAUGAUCAUGAUUGGGGUGAUUCUUCUUAUGAGCUUGAAAUUUUAUUUAAACCUCAUGAUGAAUAUGAUAUUGAUAAUAAUGUUUGCAAUAAUAUUGAAAGUGGGUAUGGAAGAGCGUCAACUUUAGGUAAAAAUAAUCCCACAUAUUUGGAGAGUGUUCAAUCUUAUGAUUUUUUUUAUGAAAGUGGGUUCGGAGGGGUCAUGACUUUAGUUGAUGUUAAUCCCACUAUCUUGGAAGAUUAUAAGACUUGUAUGCAUGUGGAUCAUGAAAAGAAAGUUUUAUAUGAUUGCUAUAUUGUUGAAUUUGAGUAUUAUCCUACAUGUAAUUAUUAUGAGAAAGGAAAAUAUGGUUGUAGAAAUUUUUAUGUUACUAAAUUACCUCUCGUUAUGUUGAGAUCGUCAAUGUUUUAUUCCUCUUCUUUGCAUAUGUUAGAUGUUUCUUGUCUUGAUAUUUUGUUUUCUUAUAAAAUUCCUAUGCAUAGGAAGUAUGUUAGACUUAAAUGUGGUUGUCAUAUGUUUCAUGAUGCUCUCUUUGUGUUUCAAUUAUUAUCUCUCAUGUGAGCAUCAUUGAAAUUUUAUGCCUAGCUAGGGGCAUGAAACUAUAGCGCUUGUUGGGAGGCAACCCAAUGAAUAAAAUUUGUUUUUACCUUUUGCUUUCUGUUCUUGAAUGUUUGCACAAUUAUGCUAAUGUUAUGAUUGUGUGUUUUGUGUUUUAAUUAGUGUUUGUACCAAGUAGAACCUAUAGGAUCUUCUUGGGUGAUAGUUGUUUGAUCUUGCUGAAAAAACAGAAACUUUUGCGCUCAUGAAAACAAUUCUUAUUUUUUACCAGAGCGUGAUAAAAUGCCAAUUAUUUUUGCAGAAGAUUAAUAUACAAAUUUCUUAGGUCUUCCUAUUGUUUUAGAAUUUUUGGAGUUUCAGAAGUAUUCGAACAAUUCAGAUUGCAACACAUUGUUCUGUUUUUGACAGAUUUUGUUUUCUUUGCGUUGUGUGCUUGUUUUGAUGGCUCCAUGGUUUUCUUUGUUGAGUUUUUGCCAUAGAAAAGUUGGAAUAUAUUAGAUAUAAUGCAAGAAUAAAAUAUGAAUAGGUUGCAACAGUACUUAUAGUAGUGAUUUAUUUUCUUAUACUAAUGGAUCUCACGAAGGUUUUGUUGAGUUUUGUGUGAUUGAAGUCUUCAAGUUUUGGGUUAUCUUACGAUGGAUGAAGGAAUAAGGAGUAAGCAAAGCCUAAGCUUGGAGAUGCCCCGGCAACCCAAGCUAUUAUCCAAAAGAUAGCAAGCAAGUAAGCUUGGGGAUGCCCCGAGUGGCAUCCCCUCUUUCUUCUAACGACCAUCGAUAUUUUACUCGAAGCUAUAUUUUUAUUCGUCACAUACUAUGUGUUUUGCUUGGAGCGUCUUGUAUGAUAUGAGUCUUUGCUUGUUUUAUUUUGUGUUUUAAGUCUUGAUUCCUUGCGGGACACACCUAUUUGAGAGAGCCAAAAUUAUGCAUGACUUAUUAGAAUUGCUCUCUAUGCUUCACUUAAAUUUUUUAUGAGCCAUGGACUUGCUCUAGUGCUUCACUUAUAUCUUUUUGAGCACGGUGUGCUUAGUUAUUUUUUAAGAAAUGCUCUCUUGCUUCACUUAGAUUUGUUUUAGAGGUAGUAAAUUUUUCAGGAAAUUCUCUCUUUCUUCACUUAAAUUAAUUUGAAAGAAAGAAAUAUUAUGCUCAUGAUCUUCACUUAUAUUUGUUUGAGCUUAUCAAAAGCAACAUAUGAAAAUUAGUUCCAAAGUGAUAGAUAUCCAAGAAGGAUAUAAUAAAAACUUUCAUGAAGAUCAUUGGACAAAAUAAACUUGAUUCUUAGUAAUAGUUUUAAGAUAUGAUGAUGUGAUAUGUGAGUCAUGUUGAUGAGUAAUUAUGCUUUACUAAGAAUAUUGGUGUUAAGGUUUGUGACUCCCUAUGCAAGCACGAAAGUCAAUAAUUAUGCAAUGAAAUUAUAUCCUACUUGUGGUGCAUUAUUCGGUGUUAAUUAUGCUUAAUGCUCGCUUAUGAGAUUAUUCGUUUCUUGGUUGGUUGCUUCUCAAUCUUUUGCUAGCCUUCAUUUUGCACUAAGUAUGAUCUCUACUUGUGCAUCCAAAAACCUUUAAACCAGUUUUGCCACAUGACUCCACUAUAUCUACCUAUAUGCGGUAUUCUUUUGCCGUUCUAAGCAAAUUUGUAUGUGCCAUCUCUAAUUUUGAAAAUAAACUUCUCUUUUGUGUGUUCGUACCGCUCGCAGAGCUGUGAGGGGUGGCUAAUAUUUUCCAUGCUAGAUGUGUUAUUCUCACGAUGAGUGUUUAUUCACUUGUCAUUGCACGAGAGUAAGGCAAAGGUAUUAGGGAUGCCCAGUCCCGAAAUGAAAAAUGAAUUUACUUUAUGUUGUCAAAUAAUAAAUUCCUUGGAAAGUGUUGGUACGGAGGGAAACCGUGGAUACGGCUAGCCAAGGAAAGUGAAAGUAUGGUUGAAAAAAGAAUAAACUUUAUUUUCUGUUUGGGAACCGCCUAUGAUAUAUCUAGCAUGGAAAGUGUUGGGAACUCUAAGUCGUUUUCGUUGGUGGGAAGGACACACCUCCUGAAAUGUUCUUAUCUCUAAGUUUUUUCGCUUUGAGCUUUGGCACGUCUACAAAUCCCUACUUCCCUCUGUGAAGGGCCUUUGUUUUACUUUAUGCAAUUUUUAUUAUUGAAUUUGAAUCUCCUUAUAAAAGCACCAACUCGGAGGCACUAUGAUCUUACUUGAGCAUUGGGUGUAGCUAAUAUGCAAGUGUGUUUCAUGAAUGGAUCAAUGAUUGAGCAUGAUGGGCUAGGGAUAACUUAUUUUAGCGUUGAUAUUUUGAAAGACAUGGUUGCUUGUUGGUAUGCUUGAGUAUUUAAGUUAUCAUAUCAAAACUAGACUAUUGCUUUGAACAAUAUAAAAGUCCAAAUGUCCAUGCUAUAAAGAAAACAAUAUGAUAUGACAUGUUACGCAGUAUUCCACAUCAAAAAUUCCGUUUUUAUCACUUACCUACUCGAGGACGAGUAGGAGUUAAGCUUGGGGAUGCUGAUACGUCUCCAACGUAUCUAUAAUUUUUUAUUGUUCCAUGCUGUUAUAUUAUCAAUCUUUGAUGUUUUAUAGUCAUUUUAAAUAAUUUUUUGGUACUAACCUAUUGACAUAGUGCCAAGUGCCAGUUGUUGUUUUCUGUAUUUUUUUACAUCGUAGGAAAUCAAUAUCAGACGGAGUCCAAAUGCAAUGAAACUUUACGGAGAUUUUUUUAUUGACCAGAAGACACCUAAUGGGCCAAGGUUGCGCCUGGGGGCGCUCCGAGGAGAGCACAACCCACCAGGGCGCGCCAGGAGGCCCAGGCGCGCCCUAGUGGCUUGUGCCCACCUCGGGUGCCACCCGGACCACCUCUUUGCUCUAUAAAUACCCCAAUAUUCCAGAAACCCUAGGGGAGUCGACGAAAAUCAAUUCCAGCCGCCGCAGAGUCCAGAACCACCAGAUCCAAUCUAGACACUAUCACGGAGGGGUUCACCACUUUCAUUGGUGCCUCUCCGAUAAUGCGUGAGUAGUCCUUUGUAGACCUUCGGGUCCGUAGUUAGUAGCUAGAUGGCUUCCUCCCUCUCGCUAAAUUCUCAAUACAAUGGUCUCUUGGAGAUCCAUAUGAUGUAACUCUUUUUGCGGUGUGUUUGUUGGGAUCAGAUGAACUUUAGUUUAUGAUCAGAUCUAUCUUUUUAUAUCCAUGAAAGUUACUUGAGUUUUUUUGAUCUCUUGUAUGCAUGAUUUGUUAUAGCCUCGUAUUUCUUCUCCGAUAUUUGGGUUUUGUUUGGCCAACUUGAUCUAUUUAUCUUGCAUUGGGAAGAGGUGCUUUGUAGUGGGUUCGAUCUUAUGGUGCUUGAUCCCAGUGAUAGAAGGGGAACCGACACGUAUGUAUCGUUGCUACUAAGGAUAAAAUGAUGGGGUCUAUCUCUACAUAGAUAGAUCUUGUCUACAUCAUGUCAUCGUUCUUAUUGCAUUACUCCCUUUCCCCAUGAACUUAAUACACUAGAUGCAUGCUGGAUAGCGGUCGAUGUGUGGAGUAAUAGUAGUACAUGCAGGCAGGAGUCGGUCUACUAAUCUUGGAUGUGAUGCCUAUAUAUUGAUCAUUGCCUGGAUAUCGUCAUGUUUAUUUGUAGUUCUAUCAAUUGCCCAACAGUAAUUUGCUUACCCAUCAUUUGCUAUUUUUCUCGAGAAAAGCCACUAGUGAAACCUAUGACCCCCGGGUCUCUUUCUCAUUUUAUUUGCCUUCGCAAUCUAUUUUAUUUGCCUUUCAUUUUCAGAUCUAUUAAACCAAAAAUACAAAAAUACCUUCUUGCGCUUUAUUCUUUUUUUUUUAUUUGGCGUUCGAUCUAUCAAUGUACUACAAUUAUCUCACGUAUGUUUGCCAAUUUCUGGCGCCGUUACCCGAAAGGGAUUGACAACCCCUUUAACAUGUCGGGUUGCGAGGAUUUGUUAUCUGUGUGCAGGGGUUGUUUACGUUGUGUUGCUAGGUUCUCCUACUAGUUCUAUAACCUUGGUUUCAUAUCUGAGGGAAAUACCUACCUCUGCUCUGCCGCAUCAUCCCUUCCUCUUUGGGGAAAUACUGACGUAGCUUCAAGCCGCAUCAACCGCUGCGAGUCCCUCUUGCUAGGCGAGGUGGGACUAAAUUUUAGCCAUUGCCAGGACAAGGCCUUUAGUCUCGGUUGAUGGCUCAAUUAAAAUAUUUUGUUAUGAUCCACUUAUAGAAAGUUAUAAUAUUCUUCAAUAGCAAAAAGAAUCAACUAAAAAUCUCUAGUACCGGUUCGUGGCAUGAACCGGUACUAAAGGUGCUGGUGGGGGGCCCAGCCUGACAACAGCCUGCCACCACCUCUUUAGUACCGGUUCGUGGAACGAACUGGUACUAAAGGUUCGCCACGAACUAGUACUAAUGAGCACCGCCCGCCUAGCUGUUGGAACCGACACUAAUGGUCACAUUAGUGCUGGUUCAGUUACAAACCGGGACUAAUGUGCUUCACAUUAGGCCCUUUUUCUACUAGUGUUGCUUCUCCGCCUCCAUCUCAAGCAUCCUCAUUUGCUUCUCUGCCUCCAUCUCAAGCCUCCUCCUUUAGAUCUUCAUGAAGGCGUUCAUUUGUUCUUCCUUGUCUUGUCGGCGCUUCUCCUCCCUUGAGUCCUUCUUAGUCAUCAUGCCCUCCAUGGUAGCGAUCAAGGCAUUGGACGCCGCAUCCCUCUUGUCCUACUUCUUGGAGUUGGUCUUCCCCCACGGCCGUGGCUUCUCGCCCUCCCCAACCUCCUCCACGACUUUCUCUCCCCCACGCAACAUGAGGGCGGCAUAUUGCACCUUGAACUUCUCCUCGUCUUUGAUGACCCUCCAACAAUGAGAGAGGUUGAAGGACUUACCAUCAUGUUGGACCUUGAAUGCCUCCAAAGCUUGGAAUGCCUACAAAUGAAAUGCAUGCAAGCAUAUUGGCAAAUGGAUAUGAAUAUGGACUUGCAAGAAUAAACGGAAGAGGGGCGCAUGCAUGCAUACCAUAUCUUGCAUGCCGAUGCCGCUCACCGGGCGUGACUUGAUGCUCUCAAAGGUGGCACAAAACUUGUCAUGCUCUUGUUGGAUCACCUUCCAUCGGUUCGAAAUGGACACCCACCCGCGCAUGCUUUAUAUCUGGUACGGCAGAAACUUCUUGCGUUCGUGGAACUCACGAUGGACACGAGUCCAAAAGGUUGAUUCCUUUUGUUCGGCACCGACCAUGGGGUCUUGCCCAAUGUCCCUCCAAAACUCACAAAGGAGCUUGUCCUCGACCGUGGUGUAUGCCUUCGUCCGCCUGCUCUUGUGCUUUGGCUUCAGCCCGGCGGCUUGGCUGGCGAGCCCGUCCUCUUCCUCAAGGCCGUAGUCCUCCGGAAACUCGUGGUCGAACAGGAAGUCGUCUAGGUCCAGGCCGAAGUGAUCUUGCAUGAAGGCGUCCUGCAUGCUAUCUUGAUCAUAGGUCGACGGCGUGAACGGCCCUCAGCCGUCCUGGCUUUGUGUCUCCUCUGAAUCGUAGGCAGCCGCGGCGGCACCACAGGCGGCCGACGUACCACCCUCGAAGAUGAUGCUCACCAUGAAACGGUCGGCCGUCUUGUCUUCGCCGGAUGACGAGGCACCGACUACCGGUGUGGCGUUGAGAUCGAUGGGCGCGGGCGCGGGCAUGGAAUGCGCCACCACGCUCACCUCCAGCGAGCAUUCCCUGAAGAAUUGGGAGGCUUGCAAGUAGACGUGGAAGCCGGGAAUCGAGUAAGACGCCGACGCGCGAGGCGACUCUGGGAGCACCAUCCGAGGAAACGCGGACGAGUCGGAGCUGGCCACGGCCACAGCGGCGUUGACGAGCCCGUGCUGGCCAGGGUUUAGCCCUAGGUAGAUUAGCGCCUCCCUCAUUGCCGCGGCGACGUGGGCGGCGGUGUCCUCCUGCUGCGCGGCGGCGGCCAUGGCGAUGGCAGCGGACGCUGCUUCGUCCCACGCGUCCGCCGCGUGCCUUCGGCCCUUUCGCUUCGGUGACUCCGCGGCCCGCUCCUCGGACGUCAGCUGCUUCUUCUUCUUGGGCACGGUGGCAGUCUUGCGGGAGGCGCGCGGCUUGCCUUUGCCGAAGGGGGCGGCUGUGAUGCUGGACGAGGCAAGGGCGACGAGGCCGCCGACAGUAUCGAGGUCCUCAUCCAUGGCGUGCGGCCGGGAGCGAGCACGGGCGGAAGGUUUUUGAGAAAGUGGACGAAAAUGUUGGAGGCUUUGCCACCAAUUGGCAGGUCAGGGGUAGUUGGCACGCAACGCGCUUCUCCGUCUCGUGUCGCGCGCCAACGCAAAUGAGGCUCAAAAUUGGGCUGAGAAUGGGUCGGCAGGCGAACGAAAAGCGGACACGCGUCCAUUUGGGUCGGCACAUUGUGCCGACUUUUCUGUCCGCACCGACCCAAAUGAACGCGCGCGAACGAAAUGGGUCGUCACGUUGGAGUUGCUCUUACGUGGCACUGUAACAAGAAAUGAGGACCAGUGGAAACCAGCAUAUGCACCUAGAAGAAUCGUAUGGAUCUGCAUAUGUAAUUGAUCUAUAUCAUACGGACCCAUAAAUGAUAGGAAGGUCCUAGCUACCAGGUACCAGCUAUCCUGGUUACUCCAUUUGCUGCCCCUCCAACCUGGGUUCCGGUCAUGUCCUCGGGGUCUGUCGGUGGUUCCGUGUUCUUGUUCUGGACGGACGCUUGUAAGAUCAGGUUUUCGAUCGGGAGCCUUCUGUUGACAUUAUAAAAGUGCGUGUAUUCAAAGGAGAUGUAUGCAUUUCUCCGUGACAAAGCAAAUUAAGUUCUGCUGCUAGCUAUUUUCAAAAAAGAGUCUUGCCCCACCACUUGCGUCGUUUGCAAAGCCCUUAAAUAUACUGAUAUGUUAUACACACACACAUAUACACAUGAGAUUUAAUUUUAAAGAGCACACGGACAUGUUCGUUCUCGUGUUAAUGAAAUCCUAGAAAAUCUCAUUAAUUAACCAUGGGAUCUAUAAUUCCGAGAUCUUUAGCUGUUGGAUGUAUGUAAUGCCUUAAGAUGCAUUAAAACAAAUAUACGUGAGAUUUAAUUUUAAAGGCCUUAAGGUGCAUAAAAAAUACGCAUGAGAUUUAAUUUUAAAUAGCACAAGGACAUGUUCAUUGUCGUGUUAAUGAAAUCCUAGAAAAUCUCAUUAAUUAACCUUCGGAUCUGUAACUCCGAGAUCUUUAGCCAUUGGAUUUACAUAAUGCCUCAACCUGCAUCAAAAAAAAUAUACGCAUGAGAUUUAAUUUUAAAGGCCUUAACCUGCAUAAAAAAAUAUACGCAUGAGAUUUAAUUUUAAAGAGCAGACAGACAUCUUCAUUGUCGUCCGCUGGCUGUAUGAAUUAGAAUAACAUAUAUUUACUUAGUUGGAUUAGAGAGAAGAGAAAAGAGAAGAGAAGUGGGCUCUGGAUUAAAGCAAGUACAAUAAAAUGACGUAGGCGGGCUAUAAAAGAUGUCAUCUUAAAUUUGUGCUUUUUUAGUUAACCUUAAAUUUGUGCUUAGUUGAAGGAGAGAGAAGCGGGCUACAAGUGUGACAAAAGCCUUUUUCAGUAGGCAGGCUACAAACUUACAAUCGACUGUAGCACGAGCUCAAACAACCUUUGUAAGAAGAUAUGGGCCAUAUAUUAAUUCACAGUGUGACUUAAUGUUGACAUGAAUUGAUACAGGUGGACAUAGUUAGAGCAACUCUAGCAGACCCCGCAUCCCGCCCCGACUGUUAAAAUAACCGCCAAAAUGCGGGUCGGGCAGGAAAACCAGCCCGAUCAGACCCCGCAUCCCGCCCCCGCCCGCAAAAAAAUUUAGGGGGCGCGGCAAAAUCCCAACCCCAACCCGGGAAAACGCGGGUUUCCCUCUCGCGGCUGCGGUGCCCUGCAUAUAGGAGGAAGCGGCUGGUGAGGGGACAUUUCAUGCCGCGCUUUCUCCCACCAACCACCUCUCCUCUCCCCCCUCGCGCCGCUGCCGGCCGCCGCCCAAGAUUCUGGCGAAAGCAGCCGGCAGGAGCACGCCGGAAGGCCGCCACGCACACGAGGCCUCCCCUUCCUCCCCCUGCGUCGGCGGGCCACCGGAUUUGCAGAUUUGCAGCACUUCAUCGCGGGUCGCCGGAUUUGGCUUUUUCCGGCCGCCGGUUGCUGUCCCAAGCUAUGGAGUGGUCGGGGAGCCUCUCCCACAGCCCAGGCAAGGGCGCAUUGCCGCAUGCAGGUACGGGUUCGUCCGCCCGCCGCCGCCGAAGGUUUGCGGGCUUGGACUCAUCCGGCCGUCCACCGGGCUCGGCGCUCACGCAGCGUCUUUGUGGCAUGCCGAUGCCGCUCAUAGAGUGUGACGACUGCACGCGGAAAGUGCUGCGGCUCACUUCGGGCACGCCGAAGCACCCUGGGUGGGUGUUCUUCAAAUGCGAAAAUGACGGGGUACGUGCACUUGCGGUAGCUCGUUUCAUAGUUCAUUCUUUAGUUCAACUGCGGUAGCUCACUUCGAGCUUGCUCACUCUUUUGUGUAGGACGAUGGAUGCUCAUUUUGGUUUUGGGAAGGCCAAUACAUUUAUUUGUUGAUAGAAAGAAACUUAAUAGAUGUUAGUGCACUCCUUAGUACAAUCGAAGGCAAUGAUGCGGCUGCAUGUGCAAAUAGAGGGGAAGCAACGUCUACUUCUUUCGAACCAAAGAUGAAGAAAGAAGAAUGCAAAAUCAAGAAUCCACAGAUCAACAACGAAUGCAUGGAGAAGAUAUUAGUCCAACUAGUGGGGGCAGUUAUGGAAGUUGGAAAUCUUCUAAAAUGCAUACUUGUGGUUCUUAUUUUCUUUGGUCUUGCUAUUCUAGCAAAGAUUUGGUGAUGUCUUUUGUAUCCAAUGUUGUUGAUAAAGCAAAGCAAUGCAAUAUGCUAGAUCAAAUUAAGGUGCAAAUUUAAGUUUUGCGGGCCGGGAGAAGUUGCACCAGAUCAGACGCGGCAACCCAACCCGUAAAAAAGCAUAUUCCAGGAAUAUCGUUUUUACGGAUCCAUUAUGCGGGGUCUGCAACUGCGGCCGUCCGCGCCGGCCCGCAAAGCCGUUUUCCCGCGAACUGCAAAAACGUUUAGCGGGUCGGGAGGAUGUGGGGUCUGCUAGAGUUGCUCUUACUCUGCGUCUGUAAAUAAAGGUCAUCAUUUUUAUUGCUCUAGGGACCCAUAAAUGAUAGGGACUGUCCGCUACCAGCUACCAGCUAGUAGCUACCCUGGUGACUACAUUUGCUGCCCCUCAAACAUGGGUUCCCGACAUGUUCUCAGGGUCUGUCGGUGGUUCCAUGUUCUGGCCUUUGGGGUUGGUUUAACUAGUGGUAUGGGGGUUCUUGCAUCGCCCUGUACUCUCGAUCGGGACCCUUUAAUUCUAGGUGACAUACAGUGCGUGUAUUUAAAGCCGAGGCAUGGAUCCUCCGUGCCAAAGAAAAUUAAUUCAGCGGCUACUCGGGGAGAGUUGUGGCAGCAUAUCCGGGAUGCCAGCUUUUUAUUUUGGGUUUUGAUUGUCAAAGUUUUAGAUCUUAAAAAAAACUAAAAUUAAGUGCUGUUUUCAUAUUCGUGUUUCUCGUGACCAGCGCCUUGAAAUAAUAUCCAUUUUGAAUAUAUUUUGACGACUUUGAAAAAUGUUAAGUUUCAAAUGUUGAAACUUAGUAUGAGCAACCAAUAAAAAUCAAUUAUUUUGUACCUACGCCUGACAGAAAAAUGCUUACAGUUAUAUCCCUGAAACUUGCUGAAACUUUGCAUUUUUCAUCAUUGAAACUUAAAACUGUUUAAGGGAUUUUCUUUUUUACUGUGCCCUCAUGUGGGAUUCAACUACUCUUUUCUCUCCGUGAGAUCCACAUAAAAAAAGCACAAAUUUAAGAUGAGUGCCCUGCACUUACAUGCCCCUGCGAAUUUCCGCAGCUACUAGCUAUUUUUGGAAGAAAAAAAUCUUGCCCCGCCACUCCCAUCAUUAGCAGAGCCCUUAAAUAUACUCACAUGUACCAAAUUACGAGUCAGAAUCAAACAUGCGUUGGCAUCAUUACCUACGAACUCUACUAAACAAUGUUCCAACUAUCCUGCGAGUCAAAUCUAAUAACUCUUGUCUUGCACGUUGCAUUGUCCAUUGGCAGAUCUUUUUAAGAAUUUUACGUCAGAUCUAAUUUUAUUUGAACGAAUGAAAGAUAAGCAAGUAGUAGUAAAAUCGACCCAAUUUGCACAGCCGAAAUGUGGACCAGACAAUUUACUCUUUGUUACGGGACUAAGAAAUUCGGACCGGCUAAUNNNNNNNNNNNNNNNNNNNNNNNNNNNNNNNNNNNNNNNNNNNNNNNNNNNNNNNNNNNNNNNNNNNNNNNNNNNNNNNNNNNNNNNNNNNNNNNNNNNNNNNNNNNNNNNNNNNNNNNNNNNNNNNNNNNNNNNNNNNNNNNNNNNNNNNNNNNNNNNNNNNNNNNNNNNNNNNNNNNNNNNNNNNNNNNNNNNNNNNNNNNNNNNNNNNNNNNNNNNNNNNNNNNNNNNNNNNNNNNNNNNNNNNNNNNNNNNNNNNNNNNNNNNNNNNNNNNNNNNNNNNNNNNNNNNNAUGUCUCCCAUUUCUCAAUCCCAUCCCGACGGUGUGUCUACCAUGUUUAGAGGGCGCAUGGGGGAGUUACUCCAUUGGUUCUCGCGGGAUUUGAUCGAUGAUGGUUUUCCGUGGAUUUCCUUGAAUCCAGUUUUUGUUCAUCCUCAUCCGUGCGUUUAAAUAUCCCAACAAGGCGAAGAUUUGGUUGUGCACAGGCAACUGAGGAGGUGACCUACUUCUUUACUGUCUCCUAUGUCCCUUGUUACCCACUGAUCCUAGAUCCACAGCUCGAGACCCCCUACCCUGAGGUCUACCAGUUUUACCACUGACAACCGGCCACAAGGGAGAAAUCCCUUUGAAUUUAGAGAUAAGAUCUUAUCUCUAGAUUUAACCCUUUAAAUUUAGAGAUAUGACCUUAUCUCUAGAUUUUAAAGACAUGGAACUUAGGGACGAUGCGGCCAGCCCAUGUGGGUUGUUGCCCCACCCCUCGGUCUAUGUGGGGACUUUUCGGGUCGUUGGGCCCCAUGGUGGAACCCCGGAACAUUUCCGGUACUCUACCAAAUAUUCCCAAACUUUUCUGGAACCCAUAAAACCACUUUCCUUACAUAACUCUUUACCUCCAGAGCUCCUCGUGAUGUCCCGGAUUCUAUCCAGGACUCUGAACUACCUUCAGACUUACCACUAUGAAUGUCCCAAAACUAUCCAAUAGUGGUAAGUCUGAACGUUAAGUGUGUGACCCUGCGGGUUCGAGAACAUGCAUAAAUGACCGAGACACCUCUCCAAUCAAUAAUCAAUGAACAUCUUUAUCGGUUUGAACCACGAUGUCAAUGAUUCAGUUAAUCCCGUAUACAAUUCCCUUUGUCCAAUGAUUUGUUAUUUGCCCGAGAUUCGAUCGUCAGUAUCGCCAUACCUAGUUCAAUCUCAUUACCGGCAAGCCCCUUUACUCAGUCCUUAAUACAAGAUCCACGUGACUAAACACAUUGGUCACAUGCUUCCAAUCUAUUCACGAUGUUGUAUUACCGAGAGGACCUAGAGAUAUCUCUCUGUCAUAUGGAGUGACAAAUCCUACACUCGAUCUAUGUAACCCAACAAACACUUUCUGAGAUACCUAUAGAGCACCUUUCUGAUCACCCAGUUACGAAGUGACGUUUGUUUACCCAUAAUGUAUUCUUCCAGUAUUAGGGAGUGGCACGAUCUCAUGGUCUAAGGAACAGAUUCUUGACAUGAAGAAAGUUGUAGAAAAUAAACUAAGUGAUACGAUCUGAUGCUAAGCUUAUGGUUGGGUCUGUCCAUCACAUCAUAAUCCUAAUGAUGUGAUCCCAUUAUUAAAUGAUAACUCGUGUCUAUGGUUAGGAAACCUUAACCAUCUUUAAUUAAUGAGCUAGCCUAGUAGAGGCUCACUAGGGACACGUUGUCUAUUUAUGUAUCCACACAUGUAUUUAAGUCUCUGGUCAAUACAAUUCUAGCAUGCAUAAUAAAUAUUUAUCAUGAACACGGAAAUACGACAAUAACAUCUUUCUUAUUGCCUCUAGGACAUAUUUCCUACAGAUUAGUAGGAUAAAAGAUCAAGGUGGCCUUGGCAUUCAUGGCAUGAAGGUCAAGAAGGAUGCCUUACAUAGGAAAUGGUUAUUCAAAAUACUUACUAGGGGUGGCGUUUGGCAAACCUGUUGCGAAAGAAGUAUCUAAUACUAUGCCAAAAACUUAUCUCUCACACAUAUUGGAAAGCUGGUGACUCACACUUUUCGGGUGGUGUCGUGGAAUUCUCACGGCAGAUGUCCUAGUGUGAGGACUUAGUCGUGAGGCCAACGCAUCUAUGUGGUAGCUUGAGAGGGGUUGAUUGGGACGAGAGACGCAACACACAAGACAAGAAUUUAGACAGCUUCGGGCCCCAGGAAACAUCAUCCAAUAAUAGCCCUACAUGCUGUUUGUGGCUAGGUCUCAUUAUGAUCAUGAGAGAGUCAUCGGUAAGCCGGCUCUUUGUGUCUAGCCCUAGAGAUUGUUUCUUGUUUCUUGUCCCUCUUGGGGUGCCCUGCCCCUCCUUAUAUAAGUUAGAGGGGCGGGUUACAUAUGGAGUCCUAGUAGGAUUAGGACUAGUCUAUCUUUCUUUACAAGUUGAAUACAAGUCCGGGUCUUGCUUCCUUGUGAAGGAAAUAAUCCUCACGCCUUUCAUCUUAAACCGGCCCACCAAAGUAUAAGCCAGCCUGCUGGGCCUUGGGCCUUGUCGUCCGUCUGAUCAGCCCGCCGGGUCUCCAGUGAAUUACAAUGUCCAGGCGGGUUACCCUGUGAACCGCCAUGUUCGGGCGGAUCGCCAGUGAGUCGCCAAGCUCCAGCCAGGUCUCUGGUGAGUCGCCAAGUCCGGCCGGGUCAUACCGCGGGGUAUAUCCCCGACAUUAGCCCCCAGUUUAAUUUGGAUUUAUCCAUGUUAAACUGAUCCUGCAACAUAAACACAAGAACAAAUUUGACAGGUUGUGCUCCGGGUUAAAUAUUCUUGUAAGCCGGCACCUGAUCAUCCUUAAGUCCUUGACAUUUUCUCCUGAAAUAUCCGGGUCAAUAUUGGUCUUGAAAUAUCCAGCUUCAUAAUCCAUUUGCUGACAUUGGCUCUUGUAAAGAAAUAUUAUAAGAAAUAAUCCAUUUGAUUCGGCCUUCAAUGCUCUGAUUUGACAAAAAUAUUGCUCUUGAAAUAUCCAACUGAUAUUCAGCCGGCUUAAAGAUGUAGAUUCUUGCCGACGAUUGCCACAAUUGUCGGGUUAGAAAUAAAUGAUGCCGGGUCAUGAUUGUUGCAGACACCGGGUUAAUCUGGUCUACUCCAAACUGAGAAUUUGAAGAUUUUUUUCUCCCUUAUAUGCAUAUUACCUGUAGCCCCUAAGUCUUAAGGGGAGAACAUAGUGAUAACUUAAGACUUGCUUCAAUAUAAGUGUUGCAACCUUGAAGAAAUCCGGUUUAUUCAUCUCAAUCAUUAGUCAUAAGCUGAAUAUUCCACAUUCCACAUAUGUAGCCCCCAAGUGCCGAGUUGUCAUGCUUGCAGCAACCUGGGACUUGUAAUUGCCUUAUGCUCAUAAAAACUUCAACUAGUGUAGCCCCCAAGGGCCGGGUCAUUAUGCAAUAAUGAGCAGGGACUUUGUAAAUAUGAUCAUGUAAACUUGACCAGCAACGUGUAGCCCCCAAGGGCCGGGUCAGUAAGAUAUUACCGAGCUGGGACUUUGUAUAUGAUUCAUCGAUAAUAACAGCAUAUGAUGUGAUCUCCACCAUGGGGUUUGAACCCACGUCCAUAAGGUUAAGAGCUUUGUACUCUACCAACUGAGUAGUGGAUCUUUCAAUAUAAUGGAUUAAGGCUUGUGUACCUUGAAUUUUCGACAAGAGCAAUUGGUAGCCCCCAAGGGCCGGCUCAUUUAGAAUGUGAUGAGUCGGGUCUUCAAUAAGUUGAACAAAAAAUGACUUUGCAUUAGCCCCCAAGUGCAAUGGUACAUGCUGGCAGUAACAUGGGACUUGCAUAUUCGAUGUAAUAUCAAUUUGAAUAAUGUAGUCCCCAAGUGCCAGGUCGUAAGCCUGCAGCGACUCGGGACUAUUCCUUACAUUAUAGAAUAAAUCAUAUCCAUCGAUAAAAUAAUAGCCAUUGCGCCAAAGCGACUUUGAAUACCUCAUCUGUUGAUAAGUAAAUCCGGAGUUUAAAUACCCGGCGGCUCUUGGCCGAUGGCGAUUUAAUACGCCUCCAUUGUAAGCCGGAAUUUUUAUAAUCCGGCGGCUUAUAGCCUUUCAGAACAUCAAGAAUUGAUAACCCUUCUGAGACUCCAAUUUCAAUCUAUGAUGAUGGGCUUGAACUUAAUCAUUUAUGUAAGUCAUAGCUCUGCAAAUCCUGCAUAGAGUUUAAACAACAUAUGCCCUGGCGACUUAACGUCAAGCCAGGGCGGGUAACCACCCAAAUGUAGUAUCCUGCACACAAGUAGAUCACAAGAUCCCUUGGCGGUUUACCGCAGGGCGGGUCAUAAUAUCUCACUGUUGGAAAUAUGCCCUAGAGGCAAUAAUAAAAUGGUUAUUAUUGUAUUUCCUUGUUCAUGAUAAUUGUCUGGUGUUCAUGCUAUAAUUGUAUUAACUGGAAACCGUAAUACAUGUGUGAAUACAUAGACCACAACAUGUCCCUAGUAAGCCUCUAGUUGACUAGCUCGUUGAUCAAUAGAUGGUUAUGGUUUCCUGACCAUGGACAUUGGAUGUCAUUGAUAACGGGAUCACAUCAUUAGGAGAAUGAUGUGAUGGACAAGACCCAAUCCUAAGCAUAGCACAAGAUCGUGUAGUUCGUUUGCUAGAGCUUUUCUAAUGUCAAGUAUCAUUUCCUUAGACCAUGAGAUUGUGCAACUCCCGGAUACCGUAGGAAUGCUUUGGGUGUACCAAACGUCACAACGUAACUCGGUGGCUGUAAAGGUGCACUACAGGUAUCUCCGAAAGUGUCUGUUGGGUUGGCACGAAUCGAGACUGGGAUUUGUCACUCCGUAUGACGGAGAGGUAUCUCUGGGCCCACUCGGUAAUGCAUCAUCAUAAUGAGCUCAAUGUGACUAAGGAGUUAGCCACGGGAUCAUGCGUUACAGUACGAGUAAAGUGACUUGCCGAUAACGAGAUUGAACAAGGUAUUGGGAUACCGACGAUCGAAUCUCGGGCAAGUAACGUACCGAUUGACAAAGGGAAUUGUAUAUGGGAUUGAUUGAAUCCUCGACAUCGUGGUUCAUCCGAUGAGAUCAUCGUGGAACAUGUGGGAGCCAACAUGGGUAUCCAGAUCCCGCUGUUGGUUAUUGACCGGAGAGUCGUCUCGGUCAUGUCUGCAUGUCUCCCGAACCCGUAGGGUCUACACACUUAAGGUUCGGUGACGCUAGGGUUGUAGAGAUAUUAGUAUGCGGAAAUCCGAAAGUCGUUCGGAGUCCCGGAUGAGAUCCCGGACGUCACGAGGAGUUCCGGAAUGGUCCGGAGGUAAAGAUUUAUAUAUGGGAAGUCCUAUUUUGGCCACCGGAAAAUGUUCGGGAAUUUUCGGUAUUGUACCGGGAAGGUUCUAGAAGGUUCCGAAGUGGGGCCCACCUGCAUGGGGGACCCACAUGAACGUGGGUAGUGGGGGCAAGGCCCCACACCCCUGGUCAAGGCGCACCAAGAUCCCACCUUAGAAGGAAUAAGAUCAUAUCCCGAAGGGAUAAGAUCAAGAUCCCUAAAAAAGGGGAUAACAAUCGGUGGGGAAGGGAAAUGAUGGGAUUUCUUUCCCCCACCUUUGCCAACGCCCCAAUGGACUUGGAGGGCAAGAAACCAGCCCCCUCCACCCCUAUAUAUAGUGGGGAGGCGCAUGGGAGCAGCAACCCAAGCCCUGGCGCCUCCCUCCCUCCCGUGACACCUCUUCCUCCCCGCUUGCGCUUGGCGAAGCCCUGCCGGGAUCCCGCUACUUCCACCACCACGCCGUCGUGCUGCUGGAUCUCCAUCAACUUCUCCUCCCCCCUUGCUGGAUCAAGAAGGAGGAGACGUCCCCGCUCCGUACAUGUGUUGAACGCGGAGGUGCCGUCCGUUCGGCGCUAGGUUCAUCGGUGAUUUGGAUCACGACGAGUAUGACUCCAUCAACCCCGUUCUCUUGAACGCUUCCGCUCGCGAUCUACAAGGGUAUGUAGAUGCACUCCUCCCCUCUCAUUGUUAGCAUCUCCUAGAUUGAUCUUGGUGACACAUAGGAAAAUUUUGAAUUUCUGCUACGUUCGCCAACAGUGGCAUCAUGAGCCAGGUUUAUGCGUAGAUUCUAUGCAUGAGUAGAACACAAAGUAGUUGUGGGCGACGAUUUGUUCAAUUUUCUUACCGUUACUAGUCUUAUCUUGAUUCGGCGGCAUUGUGGGAUGAAGCGGCCCGGACCGACCUUACACGUACUCUUACGUGAGACAGGUUCCACCGACUGACAUGCACUUGAUGCAUAAGGUGGCUAGCGGGUGUCUGUCUCUCCCACUUUAGUCGGAUCGGAUUCGAUGAAAAGGGUCCUUAUGAAGGGUAAAUAGCAAUUGGCAUAUCACCGUUGUGGCUUUUGCGUAGGUAAGAAACGUUCUUGCUAGAAACCCAUAGCAGCCACGUAAAACAUGCAACAACAAUUAGAGAACGUCUAACUUGUUUUUGCAGGGUAUGCUAUGUGAUGUGAUAUGGCCAAAAGGAUGUGAUGAAUUAUAUAUGUGAUGUAUGAGAUUGAUCAUGUUCUUGUAAUAGGAAUCACGACUUGCAUGUCGAUGAGUAUGACAACCGGCAGGAGCCAUAGGAGUUGUCUUAAUUUGUUGUAUGACCUGUGUGUCAAUGAAAAACGCCAUGUAAUUACUUUACUUUAUUGCUAACCGUUAGCCAUAGUAGUAGAAGUAAUAGUUGGUGAGACAACUUCAUGAAGACACGAUGAUGGAGAUCAUGGUGUCAUGCCGGUGACGAAGGUGAUCAUGCCGCGCCUCGAAGAUGGAGAUCAAAAGGCGCAAGAUGAUAUUGGCCAUAUCAUGUCACUUUAUGAUUUGCAUGUGAUGUUUGUCAUGUUUACAUCUUAUUUUCUUAGAACGACGGUAGCAUAAAUAAGAUGAUCCCUCACUAAAAUUUCAAGAGAUGUGUUCCCCCUAACUGUGCACCGUUGCGAAGGUUCGUUGUUUCGAAGCACCACGUGAUGAUCGGGUGUGAUAGAUUCUAACGUUCGCAUACACCGGGUGUUGACGAGCCUAGCAUGUACAGACAUGGCCUCGGAACACAAGCAAAACACUUAGGUUGACUUGACGAGCCUAGCAUGUACAGACAUGGCCUCGGAACACAAGAGACCGAAAGGUCGAACAUGAGUCGUAUAGUAGAUACGAUCAACAUGGAGAUGUUCACCGAUGAUGACUAGUCCGUCUCACGUGAUGAUCGGACACGGCCUAGUCGAUUCGGAUCAUGUAUCACUUAGAUGACUAGAGGGAUGUCUAUCUAAGUGGGAGUUCAUUAAAUAAUCAAAUGAACUUAAUUAUCAUGAACAUAGUCAAAAGGUCUUUGCAAAUAAUGUCGUAGCUUACGCUUUAGUUCUACUAAGAUAUUUUCCUAGAGAAAAUUUAGUUGAAAGUUGAUAGUAGCAAUUAUGCGGACUAGGUCCGUAAACUGAGGAUUGUCCUCAUUGCUGCACAGAAGGCUUAUGUCGUUAAUGCACCGCUCGGUGUGCUGAACCUCGAGCGUCGUCUGUAGAUGUUACGAAACAUCUGACAUACAUGUUUUGAUGACUACGUGAUAGUUCAGUGUGUGAUGCUAACGGUUUAAAAUUGUGGCACCAAAGACGGUUUUGAAAUGUCGCAGAACAUAUGAGAUGUUCCAAAGACUGAAAUUGGGAUUUCAGACUAAUGCCCACGUCAAGAGGUAUGAGACCUCUGACAAGUUUCUUAAGCCUGCAAACUAAGGGAGAAAAGCUCAAUCGUUGAGCAUGUGCUCAGAUUGUCUGAGUACUACAAUCACUUGAAUCGAGUGGGAGUUAAUCUUCCAGAUGAGAUAGUGAUGGUUCUCCAUAGUCACUGCCACCAAGCUAUUAGAGCUUCGUGAUGAACUAUAACAUAUCAGGGAUAGACAUGAUGAUCCUUGAGCAACUCGCGAUGUUUGACACCGCGAAAGUAGAAAUCAAGAAGGAGCAUCAAUUGUUGAUGGUUAGUAAAACCACUAGUUUCUAGAAGGGCAAGGGCAAGAAGGGAUACUUCAUGAAACGGCAAAUCAGUUGCUGCUCUAGUGAAGAAACCCAAGGUUGAACCCAAACCCGAGACUAAGUGCUUCUGAAAUGAGGGGAACGGUCACUGAAGCAGAACUACCCUAGAUACUUCGUAGAUGAGAAGGCUGGCAAGGUCGACCGAAGUAUAUUGGAUAUACAUUAUAUUAAUGUGUACUUUACUAGUACUCCUAGUAGCACCAGGGUAUUAGAUACCGGUUCGGUUGCUAAGUGUUAGUAACUCGAAAUAAAAUAUGCGGAAUAAACGAAGACUAGCUAAAGGUGAGAUGACGAUAUGUGUUGGAAGUGUUUCCAAGGUUGAUGUGAUCAAGCAUCGCAUGCUCCCUCUACCAUCGAGAUUGGGGUUAAACCUGAAUAAUUAUUAUUUGGUGUUUGCAUUGAGCAUAGACAUGAUUGGAUUAUGUUAUCGCAAUACGGUUAUUCAUUAAAGGAGAAUAAUGGUUACUCUGUCUAUUUGAAUAAUACCUUCAAUGGUCUUGCACCUAAAAUGAAUGGUUUAUUGAAUCUCGAUCGUAGUGAUACACAUGUUCAUGCCAAAAGAUAUAAGAUAGUAAUGAUAGUACCACAUACUUGUGGCACUGCCAUUUGAGUCAUAUUGGUAUAAAACGCAUGAACAAGCUCCAUGUUGAUGGAUCUUUGGACUCACUCGUUUUUGAAAAGAUUGAGACAUGCGAACCAUGUCUAUUAGUAUAUAUGCAUGAAGAAAGUCCAUACAGAUGGAUCAUUUGGACUCACUUGAUUUUGAAUCACUUGAGACAUGCAAAUCAUACCACAUGGGCAAGAUGACUGAAAGGCCUCGUUUUCAGUAAGAUGGAACAAGAGAGCAACUUGUUGGAAGUAAUACAUUUGAUGUGUGCAGUCCAAUGAGUGCUGAGGCACGCAGUGGAUAUCGUUAUGUUCUUACUUCACAGAUGAUUUGAGUAGAUGCUGAGAAUAUUUACUUGAUGAAACACAAGUUUGAAUUAUUGAAAGGUUCAAGUAAUUUCAGAGUGAAGUUGAAGAUCGUCGUGACAAGAGGAUAAAAUGUCUGUGAUAUGAUCAUAGAGGUGAAUAUCUGAGUUACGAGUUUGGCACACAAUUAAUAAAUUGUGGAAAUUGUUUCACGACUAAUACCGCCUGGAACACCAUAUUGUGAUGGUGUGUCCGAACAUCAUAACUGCACCCUAUUGGAUAUGGUGCAUACCAUGAUGUCUCUUAUCGAAUUACAACUAUCGUUUAUGGGUUAGGCAUUAGAGACAACCGCAUUCACUUUAAAUAGGGAACCACGCAAUUCCGUUGAGACGACACCGUAUGAACUAUGGUUUAGAGAAACCUAAGCUGUCGUUUCUUAAAAGUUUGGGGCUGCGACGCUUAUGUGAAAAAGUUUCAGGCUGAUAAGCUCGAACCCAAAGCGGAUAAAUGCAUCUUCAUAGAAUACCCAAAACAGUUGGGUAUACCUCCUAUUUCAGAUCUGGAAGCAAAAGUGAUUGUUUCUAGAAAUGGGUCCUUUCUCGAGGAAAAGUUUCUCUCGAAAGAAUUGAGUGGGAGGAUGGUGGAGACUUGAUGAGGUCAUUGAACCGUCACUUCAACUAAUGUGUAGCAGGGCACAGGAAGUUGUUCCUGUGGCACCUACACCAAUUGAAGUGGAAGCUUAUGAUAGUGAUCAUGAAACUUCAGAUCAACUCACUACCAAACCUCAUAGGACGACAAGGAUGCGUACUACUUCAGAGUGGUACGUAAUCCUGUCUUGGAAGUCAUGUUGCUAGACAACAAUGAACCUACGAGCUAUGGAGAAGCGAUGGUGGGCCCGGAUUCCGACGAAUGGCUCGAGGCCAUAAAAUCCGAGAGGAUCCAUGUAUGAAAACAAAGUAUAGACUUUGGAAGAACUACUUGAUGGUCGUAAGGCUGUUGGGUACAGAUGGAUUUUAAAGGGAAGACAAACAAUGAUGGUAAGUGUCACCAUUAAGAAAGCUCGACUUGUCGUUAAGAUGUUUUCCGGCAAGUUCAAGGAGUUGACUGCGAUGAGACUUUCUCACUCGUAGCGAUGCUAAGAGUCUGUUAGAAUUAUAUUAGCAGUUACUGCAUUAUUUAUGAAAUCUUGCAGAUAGGAUGUCAAAACAUUGUUUCCUCGACGAUUUUCUUGAGGAAAGGUUGUAUGUGAUACAACCAGAAGGUUUUGUCAAUCCUGAAAGAUGCUAACAAGUAUGCAAAGCUCCAGCAAUCCUUCUAAGGAUUGGAGUAAGCAUCUCGGAGUUGGAAUGAACGCUUUGAUGAGAUGAUCAAAGAUUUUGGGUUUAUACAAAGUUCAUGAGAAACUUGUAUUUCCAAAGAAGUCAGUGGGAGCACUAUAGAAUUUUUGAUGAGUAUAUGUUGUUAACAUAUUGUUGAUCAGAAAUGAUGUAGAAUUUCUGGAAAGCAUCCAGGGUUGUUUGAAAAGUGUUUUUAAUGGAAAACCUAGAUUAACCUACUUGAACAUUGAGCAUCAAGAUCUAUAAGGAUAGAUCAAAAAUGCUUAAUAGUACUUUCAAAUGAAUACAUACCGUGACAAGAUUUUGAAGGAGUUCAAAAUAGAUCAGCAAAGAAGGAGUUCUUGGCUGUGUUACAAGGUGUGAGUAUUGAGUAAGACUCAAGACCUGACCACGGCAGAAGAAAGAGAAAGGACGAAGGUCGUCCCCUAUGCUUUAGACGUAGGCUUUGCAAUAUGCUAUGCUGUGUACCGCACCUGAAGUGUGCCUUGCCAUGAGUUAGUCAAGGGGUACAAUAGUGAUCCAGCAACGAAUCACAUGACAGCGGUCGAACUUAUCCUUAGUAUCUAGUGGACUAAGGAAUUUUCUUGAUUAUGGAGGUGGAAAGGGGGUUCGUCGUAAAGGGUUAUGUCGAUACAAACUUUGACACUAAUCCGGAUGACUCUGAGUAGUGAACCAGAUUCGUAUAGUAGAGCAGUUAUUUGGAAUAGCUCCAAGUAGCGCGUGGUAGCUGCAUCUACAAGAUGACAUAGAGAUUUGUAAAGCACACACGGAUCUGAAUGUGGCAGACCCGUUGACUAAAACCUCUCUCGUAAGCAUAACAUGAUCAAACCCUAGAACUCAUUGACUGUUAAUCACAUGGUGAUGUGAACUAGAUUAUUGACUCUAGUAAACUCUUGGGUAUUAGUCACAUGGCGAUGUGAACUUUGAGUGUUAAUCACAUGGUGAUGUGAACUAGAUUAUUGACUCUAGUGCAAGUGGAAGACUGUUGGAAAUAUGCCCUAGAGGCAAUAAUAAAAUGGUUAUUAUUGUAUUCCCUUGUUCAUGCUAUAAUUGUAUUAACUGGAAACCGUAAUACAUGUGUGAAUACAUAGACCAGAACAUGUCCCUAGUAAGCCUCUAGUUGACUAGCUCGUUGAUCAAUAGAUGGUUAUGGUUUCCUGACCAUGGACAUUGGAUGUCAUUGAUAACGGGAUCACAUCAUUAGGAGAAUGAUGUGAUGGACAAGACCCAAUCCUAAGCAUAGCACAAGAUCGUGUAGUUCGUUUGCUAGAGCUUUUCUAAUGUCAAGUAUCAUUUCCUUAGACCAUGAGAUUGUGCAACUCCCGGAUACCGUAGGAAUGCUUUGGGUGUACCAAACGUCACAACGUAACUCGGUGGCUGUAAAGGUGCACUACAGGUAUCUCCGAAAGUGUCUGUUGGGUUGGCACGAAUCGAGACUGGGAUUUGUCACUCCGUAUGACGGAGAGGUAUCUCUGGGCCCACUCGAUAAUGCAUCAUCAUAAUGAGCUCAAUGUGACUAAGGAGUUAGCCACGGGAUCAUGCGUUACGGUACGAGUAAAGUGACUUGCCGGUAACGAGAUUGAACAAGGUAUUGGGAUACCGACGAUUGAAUCUCGGGCAAGUAACGUACCGAUUGACAAAGGGAAUUGUAUACGGGAUUGAUUGAAUCCUCGACAUCGUGGUUCAUCUGAUGAUAUCAUCGUGGAACAUGUGGGAGCCAACAUGGGUAUCCAGAUCCCGCUGUUGGUUAUUGACCGGAGAGUCGUCUCGGUCAUGUCUGCAUGUCUCCCGAACCCGUAGGGUCUACACACUUAAGGUUCGGUGACGCUAGGGUUGUAGAGAUAUUAGUAUGCCGAAAUCCGAAAGUCGUUCGAAGUCCCGGAUGAGAUCCCGGACGUCACGAGGAGUUCCGGAAUGGUCCGGAGGUAAAGAUUUAUAUAUGGGAAGUCCUAUUUUGGCCACCGGAAAAUGUUCGGGAAUUUUCGGUAUUGUACCGGGAAGGUUCUAGAAGGUUCCGAAGUGGGGCCCACCUGCAUGGGGGGACCCACAUGAACGUGGGUAGUGGGGGCAAGGCCCCACACCCCUGGUCAAGGCGCACCAAGAUCCCACCUUAGAAGGAAUAAGAUCAUAUCCCGAAGGGAUAAGAUCAAGAUCCCUUAAAAAGGGGGAUAACAAUCGGUGGGGAAGGGAAAUGAUGGGAUUUCUUUCCGCCACCUUUUCCAACGCCCCAAUGGACUUGGAGGGCAAGAAACCAGCCCCCUCCACCCCUAUAUAUAGUGGGGAGGCGCAUGGGAGCAGCACCCCAAGCCCUGGCGCCUCCCUCCCUCCCGUGACACCUCUUCCUCCCCGCUUGCGCUUGGCGAAGCCCUGCCGGGAUCCCGCUACUUCCACCACCACGCCGUCGUGCUGCUGGAUCUCCAUCAACUUCUCCUCCCCCCUUGCUGGAUCAAGAAGGAGGAGACGUCCCGCUCCGUACGUGUGUUGAACGCGGAGGUGCCGUCCGUUCGGCGCUAGGUUCAUCGGUGAUUUGGAUCACGACGAGUACGACUCCAUCAACCCCGUUCUCUUGAACGCUUCCGCUCGCGAUCUACAAGGGUAUGUAGAUGCACUCCUCCCCUCUCGUUGCUAGCAUCUCCUACAUUGAUCUUGGUGACACGUAGGAAGAUUUUGAAUUUCUGCUACGUUCCCCAACACUCACAUAUAACCACUAUGAUAUUGAAUUUGUACUGCCGGUUUACAUGACCUGUGCAAUAAGGGUGAUAACCCAAUCUUUAGAAAUCAAGACUUCCAAAUGUUUAUGAUUGUCAUAUGAUGGCGACUUAUCAACCAAAGUCAAGCCGGGUUAAUCGAAGCCACAUAUAUACUUCAGAUAUGAUCAAAAGAACUUCAAAUAAAAUACAAAAUUUUGUUUGCAAAAAGAGACUUCAAAAAUUUUGAGGCUUCUGAUUCGAAUACUAUCAGAAAACCGUCCCAAAGGGGUUAAGCUAAGAUUCGAAUACGAUCAUAUAGCCCCCAGUGGCUUUGGCGUUGCCGAUCAAGAGGGUACCGACAGCUAUGUUCUCUUUGGUUCGAAUACGACCUAUGUUUGAACAGGAAGCCCCCAAAUGACCUGGAGAGUUGUUUAACGACGCUGAUUCGAAUACGAUCCAUGUCGGUUCCCAAAAGGGGUUGAGCUAUGAUUCGAAUACGAUCAAGAAGCCCCCUAGUGAGCUCAGCAGUGUGCCGAUCAAGAGGGUACCGACAGCUAUGUUCUCUUUGGUUCGGAUACGACCUAUGUUUGAACAGGAAGCCCCCAAGUGAUCUUGAGAAUAUUUAACGACUCUCAUUCCAAUACGAUCAGGGUCACACCAAAAGGGUUAAGCUAAAUUUGAAUACGAUCAGCUCCCAACGGUCAUUAAAGCAGGUAGUUAUGUUUGAGUUGUGCUUUGUAACAGACUCUCCUUGGUCCCUUUAAUUUUUCUUGAAAACUUGAACUUUGCGAGAGAUAAAAUCUUUUUAAAACCGGAAGUUCUUAAACCGGAUAUUAAGAGUUUCAAAGCAUGGUGAUAGACAAAUUUACCUUGAACCGGGUUUUGAACCGGAUUUGAGAUCUUCAAAGCAUUGUGGCAGAUAAAUUUCAUUUGAACCGGAUUUUAAACCGGACAUUAAGAGCUUCAAUGCUUUGUGGGAGAUGUCAAGUCUCUUGAUAAGGAUCUAAACCGGAAUCCUUCUUUUUAAGCCAGAUAUUUUUCUGACGGUCUUUAAAUUUUUACCAAUAUGGCGGUAGCCUCCGGGACCGGGUUAUUUUUUUCCUCCAAUGACCCAGAGUUCUUGAAUGCAUUGAAACCGACCAAUGUUGCCGAGUCAUAUCAUUGUAACCCCUGAGUCUCAAAACGACUCAAGGAGUUGGCUUUGAGAUUCUCCAUAUUGACCAUAGCAUAAGGUGUAUAUCAUUGGUGUUGAUAGUGCGAUGUGAAUCCACAGAAGGUUGAGGUGACUGCGGCGGAUUAUAAAUGAUCAUGUAUGAGCCGUGUCAGCAACUCGGCCAAUGGUCCCUUCCAACUGGCUGUUUGAAGUUAACCAAACUAUAGUGGCGGCGACUUGUGCGCCUGCCCAUUUAAACCAUCCAGUGUAGACGGCGGCUGAUAAUACAUGAUAAUUUGCCUCCAAUUUUGUUGGAAGAAAAACCAGGCUUCCCAAGCAGUGACUUGCUCAUACUCGAUGAUCAGCUCACGCAGACAGGUGCGGCCCGGUAUGUUGAUAUAGACCAGGCCGCAAGAGACAGAUGGUAAAAACAACCGUGGCAUCAAAGGUGGUACAGACAGAUGAGUUGGUCACGACGUUGUAAACCGGUGUGGUCGGGCGAGUCAAUCGCCGGCGCGGUAAGCCGCGCGGAUGGGCGAGUCAACCACGUCGUGUUGAUGUAGUGAACAAUUGUCCUACAUCAAAAACAUCGCAAGCAAGAGUAAUUGCUCUUUUUUAAAGAAAACAAUAUAUAAUAUAUAAAAAUUUACUGGAUUGAUUUCACCUGAUAUGUUAGGCCAGAAAAUAUCCACCGCGGAGUUGAUCAUCACGACGGUGAAGCUGAAAUCAAUCACGGCCGAGUCGGCCGCGGGAACAGACAGACGGGUCGGCCGCGGCGUUGUAAGCCGGUGCGGUCGGGCGAGUCAAUCGCAUGAGCGAUAAGCCACGCGGACGCUGAGUCGGCCGCGGGGGCGGACAGGUAAGUUGUCCGUCACAUUGUAAGGCGGCGCGUUGAUGUAGACCGGACCACAGGGGCGGUGGCUUGCGCCCACCUGUUGACCAGUAAGCGGUCGCAGAUGCCGUUGCAUGAUGAUGCUACCGCACACUCCAUGGAUACGGCAUUACACCAUCUUUAUGAUGAAUCCUUGUCCUGCACAUAAAAGUGUACAUAGCAAAGCGAUUGUUUUUUGACAAAAAACAAUAUGCGCUUAAUAAAAUAAUCUUAGAUGGAUAUCACCUGAUUUGUUCGGAUGACCGAUGAUCCAUUCAAUGCAACAAAAAACGGCUCUGGUAGACCGGUAACCCAUGGCGAGUCAACACAGCAGAAGCGACUCAACGCAGCCCCGGCAGCUCGAGGCACGGCGGGUCUCAGCUCACGGCGGGUUGAGGUGUGGCGGUUCAAGGUCACAGCGGGGGGACUCGCAGGCUCAGGCGAGGCCGUUUUGAAGAUGGUUGGCAGCGGCGCGGUGACUCGCCACGGUGCGCCGAAAUAGCAGCAGCGUAGUGGGAGAAACAGCCGGUCUGUUGAUUUUGACCGUGAUGUGAAGCUCGCGGGGCAGCCACGAAGGCGCUGGGACGGAGUGGCUCCGAUGUGCGAGACGUGCCACCACAAGGACGCACGUAGGAGAAGACCAGAGGGGCAUCGAAGUCGGGUCCGCGGCGGCUCUGGAGAUGACAAGUGUGCGGGAGGCAAGGCCGUGCUGGCCAGCAGAAAACGGCGAGGUGCCGGCGACUUAGCGUAAAACCGCGGGUCAGAGGCGGCUCGGAGUUGAGUCCAUGUCCUGCUCUGGUCGUUGUUGGUUUGACAAUUCCCUUUAAGUGCUCCUUUAAAAUUUCCUUCAUCACACGUGGUGUCGUGCCAGGCAACAGCAUGGCCGGACUAAAAAUCCACUAGACCUUGAUUUUUAAUGCUCCUGUAGAUCUUGGGGACUGCGUGUGAGCUGACUAUUAAAACCUUCAAAUUCAUGCACGUACAGUGGCUGUACUAGUUGAUGCUACGUGCAGAAGGUAAGGUAAUCUAUCAGGCUUUGUUUUUCGCGUUGAUCAGCACUUGGACCCUUGAUCAACAGUUGGCUUGAUCCGGAGACUUCACAGGGCUGAAGCAAACUGUCUUGAUCGCCGCUGUACCAACAGAUGGCGCUCGUGACGCGUGUUUGGCUGUCUUUGAUCACCUCGGACUUGGACAGCUAUAUAUGGACCAGCAGAAGCGACCUGGCGAAUCGGACACGGCGGCUAGAUUUGACAGCGGCACAGUAGAAAUUCGAGUCGGCCUCGGUGUACUGCUGCAGCAGAAACUAACCCGGACUCGACGGAUCAUCUAAUUGUGGCGGCGCUCACCAUGCAACUCUAAUCUUUCUUGAAUUCAGACCUCGUACGAGUAUUAGAUCUGACUGCUCGCUUUGGAGACAAUGUAAAUCCUUCCGCGACGAUUCUUCUUUCAUCCGAAGAAAUUGUCAACUUCUCGACCCUUGAAAGAGAUCCCUCCAAGAACUCAUCACCACCGUGCGCAGCCCCACGGUGGGCGCCAACUGUCGUGGAAUUGUCACGGCAGAUGUCCUAGUGUGAGGACUUAGUCGUGAGGCCAACGCAUCUAUGCGGUAGCUUGAGAGGGGUUGAUUGGGAUGAGAGACGCAACACACAAGACAAGAAUUUAGACAGCUUCGGGCCCCGGGAAACAUCAUCCGGUAAUAGCCCUACAUGCUGUUUGUGGCUAGGUCUCAUUAUGAUCAUGAGAGAGUCGCCGGUAAGCCGGCUCUUUGUGUCUAGCCCUAGAGAUUGUUUCUUGUUUCUUGUCCCUCUUGGGGUGCCCUGCCCCUCCUUAUAUAAGUUAGAGGGGCGGGUUACAUACGGAGUCCUAGUAGGAUUAGGACUAGUCUAUCUUUCUUUACAAGUUGAAUACAAGUCCAGGUCUUGCUUCCUUAUGAAGGAAAUAAUCCUCACGCCUUUCAUCUUAAACCGGCCCACCAGAGUAUAAGCCAGCCUGCUGGGCCUUGGGCCUUGUCAUCCGUCUGAUCCGCCCGCCGGGUCUCCAGUGAAUUACAAUGUCUAGGCGGGUUACCCUGUGAACCGCCAUGUUCGGGCGGAUCGCCAGUGAGUCGCCAAGCUUGUCCGGCCGGGUCAUACCGCGGGGUAUAUCCCCGACAGGUGGUCUAAUACGGGUAAAGAAACGCAUUUUUCGCUUUGGAUCCUUUACAAUAAAAGAUGGGUCAAAAAUUCGAUUCUGGGAAGACAAGUGGCUAGAAAAUGCUUGGAUCCAAUAAAAAUAUCUAUCUUUGUACUGCAUCAUUCAUCACAAUAAUGAUACUCUUGUGCUAGUGCUUAUUUCUUUCAUGCCAGAUAUUUCUUUCAGGCGAGAUUUGAUUGGCCUAUGUCUUAUGUGAUGGUAAAAUCAUUAUCCUGAUUGGAUUUAAUUAACCUGACACAAGGGCGGGGAUGUGUUUCAUUGGAAUCUCUCUACAUAUGGGUCCUUCAAGUCAACUUUAUGUACCAUGCACUAACGCAUUCAGAGGUCCUAGUGGAUAAUAAAAUAAUAGAAGAAGAUAUGGGCCAUACUCCCUCCGUCCAGUGAAGAGUGAAAUCUAGAGAUUUUAGGACAAAUUAUGGAGUAAAAUAGAAAAUGCAUUGGAAAGGUGCAAGCCACCAUCUUUCUUCUCUUUAAUUAUCCAAUCCCUAAUGUGUUUAGUGCAUGUAAAAAUUAAGAAGACCAUGUGUAGAUUGUUAUUGGUCUUGGUUACCAUGUGAUGAGAGAGAAAUAUAUUUUUUUCUACUUUAAAGUGCAUUGAGAAGAUAGAAGUACACUCUUUUGUGGACAAAUUUUAAAGCCAAACGUACACUCUUCACCGGACGGAGGGAGUAUAUUAAUUCCUAGUGUGACUUAAUGUUGACAUGAAUUGAUACAGGUGGAUAUAGUUACUCUGCGUCCGUAAAUAAAGGUCAUCAUUUUUGUUGCUCUAGGGACCCAUAAAUGAUAGGGACUGUCCGCUACCAGCUACCCUGAUGACUCCAUUCGCUGCCCCUCAAACAUGGGUUCCCGACAUGUUCUCAGGGUCUGCCCGUGGUUCCAUGUUCUGGCCUUCGGGGUUGGUUUAACUAGUGGUAUGGGGGUUCUUGCAUCGCCCUGUACUCUCGAUCGGGACCCUUUAAUGCUAGCACUUCUGGUGACAUACAGUGCGUGUAUUUAAAGGCCAGGCAUGCAUCCUCCGUGCCAAAGAAAAUUCAUUCGGCGGCUACACGGGGAGAGUUGUGGCAGCAAAUCCGGGAUGCCAGCUUUUUGUUUUGGGUUUCGAUUGUCAAAGUUUUAGAUCUUAAAAAAACUAAAAUUAAGUGUUGUUUUCAUAUUCGUGUUUCUCGUGACCACUGUUUUGAAAUAAUAUCCGUUUUGAAUAUAUAUUUUGACGACUUUAAAAAAUAUUAAGUUUCAUAUGUUGAAACUUAGUACGGGCAACCAGUAAAAAUCAAUUAUUUUGUACCUACGCCUGACAGAAAAAUGCUUACAUUUAUAUCUCUGAAACUUGCUGAAACUUUGCAUUUUUCAUCAUUGAAACUUAAAACUUUUUGAGGGAUUUUCUUUUUUACUGUGCCCUCAUGUGGGAUUCAACUACUCUUUUCUCUUCCGCGAGAUCCACAUGAAAAAAAGCACAAAUUUAAGAUGAGUGCAGGGCUUGGCAGAUGAGUGCCCUGCACUUACAUGCCCCUGCGAAUUUCCGCAGCUACUAGAUAUUUUUGGCAAAUUUAUUGUUUGCUCUUUUACAGGUGUGCCACUUAAGUAUUUAAACCUAUAAGGAUUUCUGCACUGGUGCUAAACUCACUUAUGAGAGCAUACCGGAUUUUCUCAUAUGAGCUAACAAAGAAUCAAACAUAGUUAUAUCUUGUAUUAUUUUCUCAUUAAUUACUUACCCACUGGGCUGAAGCAGUUAUUGUAGCAUAUCAUGCAACACUCAUGGUUUUCCAACAUGUUUCCUUAAGGGGUCUUAAUCAAGAUGAUUUACAUUCAAAAACAAUCAUUGAGUAUGGAUCAUUAAGAAUAAUUUGAUCCUACUUAAUCCAUGCUUAGGAAAUAAGAAAAUGGUUACUCAAUGAGCAAACGCUGCCUGUUGCUGCCUCCUCACCAACAAACUUUGGUUCUUCACAUCCCUUACCGAAGAGGCACCUUUACAUUGCAUCCCUUGUAUACUACUAUAUAUAUGUGAUCUUCAUAAAGAGUUCAGCGAUUUCUCCAUUGUUGAGUUCCUUACACUCAAUAUUCAAUAAUAGUUAUUUCCAAAUUCACAUAAUCAGUUGGCAGGAUGGUCACCAAAGUACAUUCAUCCAUCGAAAGAAACACACAAAAGAAAACAGUAACAGCACCAAAAAAACUACACGUUGUCCAAUUAUGAAUAAUGUUUCGUCCGUGUAACAAGAGCUUCGACGGUCAUUUUCUUAAGCAUAAUUAAAUAAAAAACUAAUCAUAGACUCUGAUUGUAAAGCAUUCCAAAAGAAAUUCAUAUGUCAGUUCUUCAACGCUUAUUGUGUUGGAAGCCUGUCCUCAAAUAUUCUCUCCUUCGCCUUGUCGGCCUGCAAAUAAAUAUCAGUUAUUUUUUCUUACUAUCCUUGGUACCAGUGCUUAGGGUUUUGAUAGACAGGUCGCUAGUUAUUGAAAUGAAACAUUUAAGACAAGGAGAAGCAUGCAUUAGGGCAACUCCAACUAUGUGCAUCAAAUCGGACACAUCUAACAUUCAUGGGCACGUCCGGACGUGUCCACAAAGAGCAUAUAGGGGGCGGCCAUCCAAGCCUAUGCACCAAAUGUCCGCACCUUUUCAAAGAAAAUAAAAUAAAGCUAGACCAAAUGUUGGCUCACUUUAAAUCAUCGAUCGAUAGCAAUUCAAAAGUGUUGGAUGAAAGUACUUCUCGAAAGCAGCCUUCAUUACAUACUUUCUCUCCUCGAGUUUGCACUUCUUCAUUACAAAUGUUGUUCAUCCAGAUGUUGUGCCCUUUGAGCUUCAUCCAACAGUGCAUAAAUGCGAAGAACUUGCCCUCCGUCCUUUGGUAUAGCAUGGGCUGCGCGUCUGGGCUAUACAAUGACGUGAUCAUCAAGUGUAACAUUGAGCAAUUUGCCAUUUGUGCUUGCUUCAUGUUAAACAAGGAGAAAGUCAAAGAAAUUCUCAAUGGUAUUUGGCCGAACACUUGCCGGGGUUGGCCUCCAUUAUGGAGGGCAUCGGCAAGGGGGCGGCCAAUGCAUGGGCUGCCGCCGGAUACUGGGUGCAACCGCGGCGAAGUACAAUGCGCCUGGUGGAGCAAUGGAGGUCUAGCAAGGCCUAGGCGCGGGACGGAGUGGUAUAGCAGCGGCGGUCUUGGUGGGUGCGGAUACAGAUUAAGAGUGGGACNNNNNNNNNNNNNNNNNNNNNNNNNNNNNNNNNNNNNNNNNNNNNNNNNNNNNNNNNNNNNNNNNNNNNNNNNNNNNNNNNNNNNNNNNNNNNNNNNNNNNNNNNNNNNNNNNNNNNNNNNNNNNNNNNNNNNNNNNNNNNNNNNNNNNNNNNNNNNNNNNNNNNNNNNNNNNNNNNNNNNNNNNNNNNNNNNNNNNNNNNNNNNNNNNNNNNNNNNNNNNNNNNNNNNNNNNNNNNNNNNNNNNNNNNNNNNNNNNNNNNNNNNNNNNNNNNNNNNNNNNNNNNNNNNNNNNNNNNAUAGUCCGACCAGGCGGGCGUCCGGACUCCCAAACCUCCAAUGAGUUUGCUUCCGGUUUGGCUGAUGUUGGACGUCCGGAUUAGGCCGCGGGCAUUUGAUGCAUGGCAGUGGAUGGCAAAAAAUGUACAGGCAGCGCAGUCCGGACCUUGCGGGCAAUUUGAUGCAUGGCAUUGGAGUUGCCCUUAGCAAUACCUAAGGCAUGUUCUGAUCACGAAUCAUCAGGCAUAAAAACUGAGAAAGGACUUACCAUCUUGUUCCAGUUUGUGGUAGCCGUAAUAACAGACAGGAGAGUGACCUGUGUGGCUCCACCAGCCAGUAUGCCAAUCCAAAACCCCUUUGCUCUUAGUUGCAUUGCAAAACCAAAGUAGAGUGCAACGGGGAUACCAACAAGAUAGAAGGCACCCAGGUUAACAUAAGCCCCUAGAUGCUGCCAUCCACAGCCCCGAGACACACCUGAGUGGUGCAAUGGAAGCAUUCAGUCUAUUAGUUUAAUUUAGUUUAUGAUGCUAUAUGCCAAAAGAAAGACAUGUGGAUACCUUGAAGGACUGCCAUGAGGCUGUCUGUAAUUGCUGAAAUGGAAAGUAGGGGUACCAUUCUUGUGACAUAACGCCUGACCUCUUCCUCAUUGCUGAACGCAAUUCCAAUAAAGUGGCGCAGUAAUAGAAGAGUUGUGCUCACUAAGAAUGCUGAGCAGACCACAAUAGACAAGGCAACACACACCACCAAGCGGGGACCUUGUGUGUUGCCGGCGCCUAAUUCAUUUGAGACGCGCACACUGGCACACGGACAACAUAUAUACGUAGCAUGUUAAAUUCUGUAGAAACAGGUGAUACUGACGAUAUAUAGCAACAAAUGCACUAGCUAGUAGCUACCCACCUGGUAGCUAUUCCAAUGCCGUAAGGAAGGUUGGCCAACAGUAUCAUUGUAGAUACGCUGUUCCAAAAGGACAUCAGUAUGGUAAACUUCAUAGAAUAUGAUGGAUUCAAGUAUAAUCUUAUUUAGGGUUCUACUAAUGCAUACCAUAUAGAAAGCACAGAGGUUUCCAGUGCAGGAUUUGGUAACAUCCCGGAAAGCAGAACAAGCAGCUCGUAAGACCACCACUCCAGACUGUGGUCAAGGAAAGCUAGGUUAAUAUUCAGAGGUUUCCGGGAUGUUUUGAUGCUAGAGAAUACAUAAUUAGAAGCUAAACUUAAAGUAAUAUAUGUGCAGAAAUUAUCCAGUUCAUUUCAAGAGGAGAGGGAAGAAUAUAUCCAGUGGUAUUGCGAGCGGGUGGCAAAAAAACAAAAGGUAUCUGAUCAGGAUCUGCUCACAACAAAGGCGAAGACGAAGACGGACUUUCUUUUGUUGAAAGAUGUCUUCACAACAAAGACGAAGAGGAAAACAAACUUGAUUUGGACAAUCAAUCCGAGACGAGCCGACAUUUCAAAUUUUCAAAUGGUUUGUAAAAGACCAUCAUCCUUUUCUGACAGUAUUCUAACAGACCAAUCAAGUGUGCAAGGGUGCUGUGGCAAGAACAACAGAAAAAUAGUAUUUCCUCCAUCCGAAAAUAAGUGUCGCUCAAAUAGAUGUAUCUGGACGUAUUUUAGUGCUAGAUACAUCCGUUUGAGCGGUACUUAUUUCCAGACGGAGGGAGUAGGUAUGAACGAACAUAAGUAGAAAGAGAUAUAAAAAAUAGCAACAAUGCUUGGAUCUUAUGGGCUGCAAGUGCACCACUAUUAAAAAGGUUUUGCCACGUACUUGUUAUUAUUAAUAUAUUUUUUGAGAGGAACGUACUUGUUAUUUUCCAUGCUGACACCUUUAGAAACGUUGGCUACUGAUACACAAACUAUAUAGAUUUGUCACAUGAAGAUACCAUUAGUGUUAUGAAUGAUCACAUCAUUAUAAUUAUAAUCUUAAUUAUUUGCCAAAAGGUGCACGUUGGAAACUAUAUUAAUGUCCACAAGAACAAGUAAAAGUGAAUGAAGAGUGCAUAAGAGUUUGCUGUAUUGGACAAUAUUUUGCUUGCCAAAAUAUGAAAUACUAGAUAAAAUAGCAUAUGUUAUUUUUUGUGCUAGAGGUUAAAACAACAUCAUUAUAGAAACAUGGCAAAUAACAUUUACUUACCAAAUCAUAAGAGCCGAUGGUACAGCCAAACGCAUGAAACUGCCAAUCCCUCUAAAAGCUUCCCACGAUGGUGGAGCGCGUGUUUUCUCACAAGAGGGUGAGAACUUAAUGUAAAGGCCAAGAAAAGUCACUUCAACCCAAUCACAAAUGCUAACGGAUAAAGCAGCUCCAGCAUUACCCAUCCCAACUUUGUAAACCAUGAACCAGCAAAGAGGAAGAAAUACCGCAAUUGUAAUCAAGGAGCUAAGAACCAUUGGAAAUAUUAGGCUUUGACAUUGCAGAAACUUUGAAAAGCAUUGAGUAACACCGAAGGCAAAUAAACCAGGGAUAAGCCAUAAUGCAUAUUUGCCAGCCUCAUUUGCAAUUUGUGGUUCCUGGCCCAUGAGAGGAAGUACUUCCGGGAUGAAACACCAAACAAUGGAGAUGGGCACACUCACAACAAGAAGUGCAAUGAUGGACCUGUAGGUACAUAAAGAUAAUGUAUGAUAUUGUUCUGCUCCAUAGGCCUGCCCACAAAGAGUUUCCAAUCCGCCUGCCAGUCCAAUCUAAAAGGGAAACUGCAUCAGUAACAAAUUAUACAUAUUGUUGCUGAAUAAAUGGAAGUUAAACUAGGAUAAAGUGCAUCGACAUUACUGAAAGAAGAGUUUUGCUACACCUACACAUUAAUCUUAUGGAAUUAAAUUUACAGGAUGAGGUGGCAACAUCUGAUUGGAAGGGAGGAGACUCAUAGUAAAUUCGGGGAAGACGGGUUACUUGGAGGUUAGGGGGGAGGGGUGGCAGUCCAUACGGGUCGCUCAUAAGUUUGGAUUUUCGCUGAAAGAAUAUCAAGAAUAACAAACGUGGCUUGUGCAAGGUGGGCAACAGUUGCUAUGAAGAUUUUGUUUCAAUCAUCACUGCAAAGAAUGCGAACAUCACCCUGGCCGAAUUUUCUCAACACCCAACUCAGUCGGAUCAAGUGACUGAUUAUAUUUUUCGCGGGAAUAUAAUAGAUCGAUAUUGCCCACCGAAACUAGCUAUAUGUACAGCGGGGUGGGGUGAAUCAAGCACCACAGGUCCAUUGUAAAAAAGAUUAAUCGAACGACCUAGCUAGCCGCGUGCGGUCGGCGCUAAUCAGAAAGGUUGAGAAAUGGAACCAUCUGAUUUGAUUCAUUCCCAGUAGUCAUGAGAUGAUCAUUUUUUUUUAGAAAAGAGGGGAGAUCCUGAAUGAUCCACACAACCUUUUGUUUAUCAUAUCAAAGUACAUCAUCUGACCAUAACAAAGUUCAUCUUGCCAACGGAUGCUUCUAUUACACUCGUGGUCUCUAAAAGAUGAGAACCCACUAUGUAGCAUCCACAUCAAUAAUUCAAGCAUUUAUGUCCUUAGUACGAUUCUUUGUAGGAACUAUCCGUAAUAACAAAGAACAUCAGAAGUAGCAGAGAUCUCCGCACGAUGCAACUGGAUAAAUGGCGGUCGCAUGGAGGGAGAAGACACUGAGACAUCUGGACCGGUCGCCGAUCUUGUACACAUCCGGAUGGGAUUCAGGGGCUGCUCUAACGGAAUUGAAAGUACCAAUAGCUAAACAUAAACGAAAUAAAUUAAUGUGCGCUGCAUGCUUGCUCACAAGGACGCUGAAGCCGGAGACGUUGGUGAGGGAGUUGGCGAUGGCCGCACCGGCGAGCGCGACGUCGCCGAGGUGCCCCACCAUGACGGUGGAGAUGAACUGCAUCGUGACCUGCAGCAGCAUCACCACCACCAUCGGCGCCGCAAGCCCCGCCAGCUGCGCGGCUUCCCUACACCAGCGCCGGCUGGUACUGCCGGGCUCUUCCCACCUCGCGGCCAGCAGCGGCGCAUCGGAAGAAGAGUCCAUGGAUCCCCCCGACCAAAGCUCUGCCCAAGCAACGUGGGUGUGGUUAAUGAAAAUGGUAAAUGCGGGAGCUACCAUCCGUCUAGCUGUCUCCCUUUGCACAAUGCAUGGAGCUCGAACUAUAUAUAGAGUAUUACUCCAGUCGUAGUAGCUACGGAAACUAUUUCCUCUGUCCAGAUUUAUUAGUUUUGUCAGAGCAUCGGUAAUUGAGGAGCUAAUUUGAUUUCAUAUACAUCCACUGACCCGUCUUGGCGCUGUUCAGGCAUAUUCACUUAAGCCCACAUUUAUCUGUGCACGCAGUGGUAACCCCACUUUUCUCCCUAUUAUAUGCCCGAUUACAUGCAUAUGAAUGGUAGGGACAGAACCUCAAAAAAAAAAGAAUGGUAAGGACAAAAAAAGAAAAUAAAAGAAAAUAGUGAAGGUGAAAAAGUGGUCCGGACUCUGGAGUGUGCCAAAUUCGACGUGGCAGACUGCUCAGACAUACCACAACAUCUCAUACCCUUUCCACGUAUGGGCUCGGUAUAAGGGGUGCCAGAAAGCCCGCGCCCAUGUAUAUAGUUUUGAGUUAAUGAUACUCCCUUUCAUCCAUAUUACUUGUCACACGGACGUAUUUAGACGUUUUUCAGUGCUAGAUAAAUUCGUUUGAGCGACAAGUACACUAGUAGAAAAAGGACCUUACGUGAGACACAUUAGUCCCGGUUCAAUUUUGGCUCGGUACUAAUGGUAUUAGUCCCGGUUCAAACGGCUAUGCAUUAGUCCCGGUUCAUGUUGAACCUUUAGUACCGGUUCGUGCCACUAACCGCUACUAAAGGGGUGGUGGCAGGCUGGCGUCAGGCCGGGGCCCCACGAGCCCCUUUGACUAAAGGGGUUUAACCUUUAGUCCCGGUUGGAGACACAAACCGGGACUAAAGGGCAAUUAUCAAACUCUACCCCCCUCCCCUCUCCCUGUCUAUCGCCAUUUCAGUUUUGAAAAAAACAAAACAAAAUGAUAAAAACUUCAAAAAUUAAGAUCCUUCGAGAUGUAGUUAUGUUACUACAUCUACUAGUUAGGAAAAUUUAAAAACUUAAAUUUGGACAUGUUUUGCAAAAAAAUAUGAUGAAAAGGUAAAACAACUAUAUCUUUUGCAUCCGAUAUCGGAAAACAACGUAUAAUAUAUCAAAAUGUUCAGCACGAAAAUACGCAUCCGAUUUUGACGGCUGUAGGCCGUUUUGCAAAUUUUUAGAAUCCUCAAACUCUAAAAGGAAAAAAGUUAUGCUCACAUUUCAGUUUUUUUUUUGAAUUUUGGUCAAACUGUGGUCAAACUACUUAUUCAAGAAAUAUUAGUGUUACUAAAUAAUUAUUUCAGUUUUUUGAAUUUUGGUCAAAUCUGGUCAAACUAUGGUCAAACUACUUACUCAAGAAAUAUUAAUGUUACUAAAUAAUUAGUGUUUUUUAGAAUAAUAGUUUCAAACUCAAACGAUGAACGUGUGACUUCAUGCUCAAGCUAAACUCCUGAGGGUUAAUAGGAUUGACAGCUUAAUAUUGUUAGGAAACAACAAGUGCGGACUUGGAAACUAGGGGGAAUAGAACUCAGAAGUUAAGCGUGCUCAGGCUGGAGUAGUAAGACGAUGGGUGACCGGCCGGAAACUUAGGUGAUUUGGGAUGAGUGAUCCACACUUGAGCAGUUAUGAGUGGUGAUUAGAGACUAAAUCGUCAAAUAAUUAAGAAAAUUGAAAAUCGGGAAAAAAAUCAAAGUUUUUUCCAAAAAAUUCAAAAAAAAAACCUUUAGUCCAGGUUGGUGUUACCAGCCGGGACUAAAGGUCCCGCAUACCACGGCGCGGGCUCGUGCCACGUGGUGGGCCUUUACUGGCGGUUCGUGUUGAACCGGGACUAAAGGGGGGGCCUUUGGUCUCCAACCUUUAGUGCGGGUUCCGAACCGGCACUAAAGGCCCUUAAGAACCGGCAUGAAAGCUCCGUUUUCUACUAGUGGUAAUACAUAUCAGAUGGAGUAGUGGAUUUAACUAGACGGGGAAGCAACGGAUGGGCGGCGGCUUUCAGAUAUGACGAUGGUGGUCCUACCGGGGUGGCUUGUUCGGCGGAGCGGGUUGGGAUGGCACGGGCCAGAGGCUGCUUCGCUGCCUCCCAAAGGUGGUGGUGGGCUGCGGGUGUAUGCGACAACUCAGAUCCGUCGUGGAUCAUCUGGUUGAUGCGGGAUCGACUCUGGCCUACCUUGGCUUCUCUGACGCGGCUCUGGUGGGCGGAGGGCUAGGUCAUGGCAGGGAGCUCCCCCUGCCUUGGUCUUGUUCGGCCGUCAUGGCAGCGAGCUCCCCCUGCCUUGGUCUUGUUCGGCCGUCAUGGCAGGGAGCUCACCCUACGCGUUUUGGCUCACGGGCUCAGAUGAGUCCGGGAAUGAACAAAAAAUCAUUAAAAAUUACUAAAUAAAUUCAAAAAAAAUCUGAAUUUUUUUUGUGCAGAAAUAUAACUGAGUGUCUGAUGUUCGUACCGAAUUUCAGAACACUUGAAUGUUUGAGUAGCUCUCAGCAAAAAAGGACGAAUUUAAUGUAUGUGAAAAAGGUUACUAUUUGUGCAUUGUCUGGACCCUUUUUUUACUGAGAGCUAAUCCGAUGUCCAAAUGUUUUGAAAUUUGGCACGCACUUCACACACUAAAAUAUCUUCCAUUCAAAAAAAUAGAUUUUAAAAAAAAAAUCUAUUUUUGCUGAAUUUACUGUUCACCAGGUGGAGCAGCGUCGAAGACCACAGACAUGGUGUCGGGCGAGCGCGCUCGGAGACAGAUGUCUGUAGUUGUGUCUCCCCCGGUCCACCGGGACUGGCUGGAGAUGCAGGCGUGGGUGCCUCCUACCAUGGAGGCAUCGAUCCAGACUAUGUGGCUGAUGUAUGGCUAUGAUUGUAAGGGGACGCCAUUUGCUUCUCCUACCGUGGUGGGUGCACCGUGAUGUGGGCGGUUGGUGGUGUCUCUGAUAUGGAUGUCGAGGUGGCAACCCUGGAUGGCGGUCUGAUGGUUCGCUCUCUAGCGGGCCCCAUGGCAGCAGUGAUAGGUGGAGCGACGGGUGGCUCGGGUGUGCUCUUUGUCUCCGGCAGUGGUGACACCUAGAUCCAGAUCUGGAGGUCUGAACUCGUCGUGCUUACCCUGGAGACCUCGUGGUGUCAUGGGGGAGCUGUCGAGUAAAGCCCCAUGCUUUGCCGUCAACGAGGGUGAUGCUCGCGGGUGCCGCUUUGCUCUUAAAGAUAUCACCGUGGUGCUCUUCUUCUUGUCUGGGCUCGGAGUAAAAACCUUUGUUCGGUGUGGACUCAACAACGCUGACACUUAGGGCUAUUCGCUCUCCUAAGAGUGUUGUCGUUGAGCUUAGAUGUUAUAGGGCAUAGUGUGACGUUGCUAUCGGUUCUUCCUAUGCUCACUUUGGUAGUAUAGCUGCAUGCGUUCUGUGUGAUCCGGUUAUCCUGGGAUCUAUUAGAAUAAUCCGAGGCAUACCGUUGAUCAUCCGAGGACCAAGGAACCACACGAGCACGACACCGAGAUUUGUUAACGAGGUUCACCUUGGCUACAUCCCCGGGGCUUGACUAUGGGCGCUCCUCCCCAUGACAUCGCUACAAUACCGCACCCCGUCGCCCUGCACGCCGGCACAUGCCGCCGGCUUCCCUUGCGUUCCUAUGCUAUUAUGUUGGCAUGGGUUACAUCGUGUGUCUACCCCCAUUAUAUAUGAGAGGCCUAGGAUACAAGUGUCCUAUUAGGACACGACUCUAUAUCCUAUCUAAACACAAUACUACUCAAAGUCCAACUCUAACCUAUCUUAUACGCAAUAUUCGACACAACUCUAACAGGAUCUGCAUUGUAUGAGGACUACCUCAUCACCUUGUAUUGGUCAGCCAUGCACUUUGUUCGGUUGUUGCAUUAUACUCUCUCUGUUCAGAAUUAUUGGUCGCAGAAAUGGAUGUAUCUAGUUAUAUUUAUAUAGUUCUAUAUACAUCAAUUUCUAUUCAUUUUUGAGACAGGUAGUCCCGGACGGAAGGAAUAUAUAAAGCGGGGCGCCUGGUUCAAACUUUAAAGAGAGACAUAACCACAAAGGAGACGUAAGAAGGCAAAUAACUACAGCGCAAUUGAUGUCAUGUCAGCAAGAAAUGUUCUUAAGGGCCACUCCACAGCUUCCCACUACGAACCUAAAUCUUCAUGAAACUUGAGAAAAUCAUACUCGACGAAAAUCAUACGCUUGUUUUAGAUGCCUGUCGUCGUUGGUUGCUACAGAAGAUGGAUUUAAAUAAUUGAAAUUAAGUUUUUUUUUAGCACUCUCUCUGAGCCAAAUUAAUUAACAUAGCUCUAGUACAACUUUUUCUUUUUGAGUUUGGACUUGGUUUGGCUGUGUGCAUCUUUUUUUUUGAAAUGUUGGCUGUGUGCAUUUUAGUUAUGCAGAAGCCAGAUAAUACUUAAAAACUUUGUAAGCAAUAAAGCGCCCCUUAUCGAACAAUAGAAUUAUGCAGAGGACUAACACUUAACUCUCGAGUAGUAACUGGUUGAAACUUACCAGCUCUACGUGGUUGAUGUUGACAUCCAAUUUCGAAUACAGAACAUAUUUCCCAAACCAUUCAAAAACAUCACAUUGCCAUCUUGGUUAUUACCCUUUAACCUCCUCACAGCAGAUUCCAUCUGCAUACACUCAGUGUAAGAACGCAGCAGAUCCAUUAAAACAUGUAGUACGAAUUAUCACGUUAUACUAAAAUUUUAGAAUCAACAAGACAUUAGCUACAUAUUGACUUCUUUAAUUAUUUAUGAAGACUGCCUCUAGAGAAUUGUUGGCAUGUCUAUGACGGUAAAUUUGCAGCUCAGUUAAAGUGUGCUUGGUUGGUUAAACAAGGUAUACUAGAUGAUUUUCCCGCGCGUUGCUGCGGGAUUUUAAAGAUUAAUUUUGGAUAUAUUAUAUAAGAAUGAAAUGAUCUAAAUCAAAAGCUAUUAUUUUCAAAAGUAAUUAUAUGUGAACAAAGAGUAUGCAUGUACGUUGGACCAUUGGAGAUGGAACAAUUAAAUUGGAGUAUGCAUGUGCUACAAAAUAAUUCUAGUGGGUGAUGAUAUGUGGAGGGCUGCAUGUUGAGAUAAUUAGACUUAAUGGGAUCAACUAUAUAUUUAUUAUAGAUGGGAUAGGUUGUUUGCUUGGUUGGGUGGAUGGGAGUAUCAAAAAAGAUUAAUUAGCUAAAUGAUACCUCCUAACUUCUACAUUAACACCAUCAAGACCUAGUGAACCUACUUAAGUCAAACCAGAAAAACAUGUACCUGUUUCAGAUAAUCAUCCAUGAACAUGAUUGCAUGGUCAUCAUGCCCAGUACUGAGUUUGAAAACAUGAAGUACAUUGUCUUUCUUCAAUGACUGCAAAAAUGAUUUCUAUAUAUGUUCAGAUUUUCAUCAAAGCAAGGAAAAUUUUCUCUGGUGCAGUUGAAGAUUACUACACAUUGGUAAACAAUAAUCACCAACAGUUUAACACAAGAAUAGCUAGAAAAGAAUCCAAAGGUAAAACACAAACUCAUCAUUGCAUUACAACAGUUGUGUAUACAUAAAGAAUUAUUGCAUAAGUUCAAAACAAUACCUUGAAAUCUCUGGCAGCUUGUGUCCUGUCCUUCACGCUAUUAUAGUUUGGGACUGCAAAAUGAAUGGUUGUGUCACAGCCUACAAGUGAACACAAGAAAAAGGUGAAUUUCGGAUCUGAAUCACCAUUAAAAAAGGAAACAGUUAGAGAAGAAGCACACACUGAGUUUAUAUAACCAUCUUUAUUAUAUAACAACAUGUUACAUGGGAGUAUUGUUACAUCCCUCCAUUAAGAGGAGGAGCAAACAUAAGUACAAGAGUUUAAUAGUGGCCGUGUCCCCCAACCCACAAAUAACUUUGGCACAUGCACGCACAGACCAGAAUUUUGCAACAGAAAACAUCACUAACCUAUGCACACGGUGGCUCUCGCAGCCAGUGAUGGUAGGCCUGAAUCGUCGCUCCACCUCUGCCUUGAUGUUGUUGGCCAUUGUCUGAAGGUCCUGGUUCUCUCCCUCGAACACCAGGUAGCUAUGUUCUCUCCAAAAUCCCUACGGGCCAAAUUUGUACAAUCACUAUCGAGUCCAGGUCUUUUUGCCGAUCUUUUGGCAGUGCUUUUCACCUAGACAGCCACCAAAUUCACCUGAAGUGGCGAGCUGUUCAUUUUAAAAUGACUUGCCACAGUUAUGUCAACCAGGAUCAUUGCUCUCUUUCUCGGCCUCCCGCAGAACUUCACAAGUUAUGAGUUUGCUGUAUGAGUAUAUAACUGAAUGAAGUAGUCUUUGAACCUGCAAACAGAGCACUUAAUCUACUUCUCAACGCACUGGAAUUUUUUGCAAUGUCUCUCUGUACUAAUUGUCCACUGCUACCCUACCACGAAGAAGUAGCGAUUUCUCCACCAAUCCAGCUCGCAAUCGGAUUAAACACUAGGCAAAGAAAUUCCUCUCUGCAACUAUAUAUCCAUACAAAAGUACCAUUUACUCCUGGAUCGAGCACUAAGCCACUAACUGACGGACGGAGAAUGGAUGACUAACCUUCUAGUUGCAACCGCAUGACCUCUGACCUGCCCUGCCGGCGGCUCACAGCGAUGGAUAGCGGACUAGCCUGCCAUCUAGGGUAAUUGCAGACGGCCAGAGUUGCAACGGAGGCCUCAUCGUGAUACACGACGACCUCCGUAGCUGGGAUCAGAUGUAUUUUCUAAUUUGAAUUGAAUAUGUAGUGUCACCAUUCCAGAUUUUUGGUACAUAUGAACAAAAAUAAAUUUAUUCAUGGGCCAUUCAACACUUUUCAACUCAUCGGAUACUGGCUCAGAUCGAGUUCACAUAUCAUUAACAUAUUUCGAACCAAAUCCAUAAUCAUAAAAUCCUCUGGUUUUAUUCAAACAAGCGGUGGAGAUGCCCCAUCCCUCCUAGCAUUGUUUUUCCUUAUCAUUUAGGAUCUCUUCAUUCAGCCUUUAAUAGAUUAAUAACAAAAAAACAUAAGUAUGGCCUAGAUAUAUAAGAUGCUUCAGAAUAGCUGGGCACAAACAAGUUGGCAUGAAACGGUCUAGAACUUCUUUUGCGGGAAAAAAUCUAGACCUUCUCAAAAUCCAACAAAUAAAAUAUGCUCGUUGUCCAUGAUCUAGGAGGGUAUCUACGAAUAGGUACUUAAGGUUUGUUCAUGAAAAGUAUUAAAAUAUUUGGCAAUUUUCCUUUUGGGUAGACAAAGUACCUAGAAAUAUGUAAAUUCAUGCUUAUACACCUGAACAUGCACCAUAGUAGACCAAAUUAUGUUGCCAAAGUAUAACGAACAUAUUAUAUUUUUGAAUAGGUUAUCUGUGUAAAUGGUCUACACAAUUCAAAUAAGUAUCAACUUCAUGCCCAAAAGAUUUAGUAAAAGGUACCGGGUGGUCCCAAUGAAAUAUUUACAUAACAUUACAAACUUAGUCCACCAAAAGAAUGAUUUGAUCCAGAAAAAUCCUUCUUCACACAUAGAUCGAACUGAUGAUGACGUAUCUAGAGUUAGGACCGGAUAUAUGCUAGUAACUUGUAAGCAAUUACCAUCCUUUACAUGUAAGGGAAUUCUAUGAGUCAUGUCAUGAUCUAUACCUCUCAGUUCAUCUUAUCAUCUUAGAGAACAAUACAAAGUUAGUUUUAUAAAAAAGCAACCGAGUCUAGACGAACCCUCCACAUACAAGGCUUUAAUAAUCGAGCAUAUCUUAACAGUCCACACACGAUUGCAACUUAGUCCUACACAGGUUUUGCCUUUCUUGUUUAUGGUUGACAGCCUAUACAAGGUUCCAAACUCGGUUGCAAAAGUGAUACUAUCCUGAUAAAUGUGUGACAUGUAAAGUGAAUAAGGCGAGUCAUAUAUACCACACAUCAGGGUUUCUAUAAUUUGUGUGUGAUCAUAUGCACAACUAAAAAGCAACUUUGAUGAUCAAUCCAAAAGUACGCUUGUAGCUAGUGCAACCUAACACAAUGUACCAAAAAAUCAUUUCUGAUGCAUCCAAAUAGAAUUAUUUAAGUUGAUGCAAAGAAGGAAAGAGGUGGUGCCCGGACUACUAUAAAUAGGCAUGAAGUAUAAUGAUCAUCACAAGCACAAGCAUCAAAACCAAGCAAAAGUAGUUAGCACCAAUCCAUCAUGAAGACCUUCCUCGUCUUUGCCCUCAUCGCCGUUGUGGCGACAAGUGCCAUUGCACAGAUGGAGACUAGCUGCAUCUCUGGUUUGGAGAGACCAUGGCAGCAGCAACCAUUACCACCACAACAGUCAUUUUCACAACAACCACCAUUUUCACAACAACAACAACAACCAUUACCUCAACAACCAUCAUUUUCGCAGCAACAACCACCAUUUUCGCAGCAACAACCAAUUCUAUCGCAGCAACCACCAUUUUCACAGCAACAACAACCAGUUCUACCGCAACAAUCACCAUUUUCGCAGCAACAACAACUAGUUUUACCUCCACAACAACAACAACAACAACUUGUGCAACAGCAAAUCCCUAUUGUUCAGCCAUCCGUUUUGCAGCAGCUAAACCCAUGCAAAGUAUUCCUCCAGCAGCAGUGCAGCCCUGUAGCAAUGCCACAACGUCUUGCUAGGUCACAGAUGUGGCAGCAGAGCAGUUGCCAUGUGAUGCAACAACAAUGUUGCCAGCAAUUGCAGCAAAUCCCCGAACAAUCCCGCUAUGAAGCAAUCCGUGCCAUCAUCUACUCCAUCAUCCUGCAAGAACAACAACAGGGCUUUGUCCAACCUCAGCAGCAACAACCCCAACAGUCAGGUCAAGGUGUCUCCCAAUCCCAACAGCAGUCGCAGCAGCAGCUCGGACAAUGUUCUUUCCAACAACCUCAACAGCAACUGGGUCAACAGCCUCAACAACAACAACAACAGGUACUACAGGGUACCUUUUUGCAGCCACACCAGAUAGCUCACCUUGAGGCGGUGACUUCCAUUGCACUCCGUACCUUGCCAACGAUGUGCAGUGUCAAUGUGCCGUUGUACAGCGCCACCACCAGUGUGCCAUUCGGCGUUGGCACCGGAGUUGGUGCCUACUGAUAAGAAAAGUUGUCUAGUAAUAUAUAGUUGGACCACCGUCGUCUAGUCGAUCGACAUGUCGAGGAAGCGGUGACAAAUAAAGUGUCACACAACGUCAUGUGUGACCCGCCCAAAGUAGUAGUUAAAUUCUGGAAUAAAUACAAAUGAAGUGUUCUCUAGACAAUGUUCAUAUCGGCGUUGUGUGGACGUCGAUCUGACUACCAUGCUUGCAAGUUCAUAAGUUCGUCUUGCCAGGUCACAACCUCAACUUGGUGUAUUAAUUAAUUAAUCACGUAUAGCAAUAAUCUAGAUUUAAAUAUAAUAGUGUUAUUGUAAAAUUUGGGUUGAACUGAAGAAAGGACAAACAUACAACUCUUUAAUGGUUGGAGAUUUGAGAUCUUGUUUUUAUUGGUUUGUAUGUGGUUCCAACUACUACCAUUGUCUACAUGACAAUCACAACCGGUUUCAUAAUUAAUUCUGUUUGCUUGUUUUUUUCUUUUGCAAAUACUUCAUUGAUACUUUGCACAUCCACUUAUUUUUCAAGGAAAAACAGCUUUUUCUUGAAUUUCAUAGACACCACUAGAUAGUUAAUUUGAAAUAAGUUGUUGUUCAUGCCCUAGACCAGCUAGCACAAUCUGUGUGGGGGGGAGGGGAGGGGGGUUGUUGCAUGCGUAUUCUUUGCACAUUAUUUUAUUUUGUUCUUUUGAUGCUCUUAUACUAUACCACAUUUUUACUUAAUGGAAAGCAAACUAAGCAACGCAGGUAGAAACCACAGAACUUGAGACUGGGUGUGUGUCAACUUCACAUCCUCCUCCUUAUCUCAUUAAUUGGAAAGCAAUAGCCCUCAUGAGAUCAGACAGCCAUACACAGUGUUAAAGUAAACAAGAUGAUGGCAUUAACGAUGUAGGUUUUUAAUUAGUCAAAUGGCUAAACUGAGGCACCCGGCAGCCAUAUAGACAUCCAUGAGCAUGUAAUCCAGAAUAUUGCAACUAGAGCACUAUAUAUGUAUUUAUGACAGAAAUCCAGUGCAAUUUUUCAAAAUGACGUUCCAUUGGCUAUGACCUUAGCAAAUGAUGUGAAUUUUCUUUCCAAAUACUACAAAAAGUUGCAGGAUUGCAAAUUAAACAAUUACCUCCACUGACUACACGUGAAAAAACACAUCUGCUGAGCAACAACAAAAUAUUAUUAUCUCAAGCACCUACCUGGCAGCGAUUAGUUCUCAUGAAUUCAUUGAAUCAAGAACGCAUCACAUGCUUACUGCUGAACACUAGUAGAAAAAGGGCCAUUUGUCCCGGUUCGUAAGGCCCAUUUGUCCCGGUUGUGGAACCGGGACUAAAGGGUCGUUACUAAAGCCCUAGGCCUUUAGUCCCGGUUCUUACACGAACCGGGACAGAUGGGCCUCCACGUGGCCGCUGCGGCGAGCCCAGGCAGGAGGGCCUUUGGUCCCGGUUGGUGUCACCAACCGGGACCAAAAGGCAUCCACGCGUCAGCAGCUGGCAGGAGCUGAGGUUUUUGUUUUUUUAAAGGGGGUGGUUUAGGGGUUUGGGGGGUUAAUUUAGGUUGUUAGCUAGCUAAUAGAGAGAAGUGUCCUCUCUUAUCUCCGUGCUUGGUUUACCAACGCUACUGCUAUGCCUAAACAUGGCUUAGAUUGAAGUGAAGGCAACAUGUGGUGCAUGUCGAAAGUAAUACUAAUCCUAACUUGAUCAAGUUUCGAUUGUACUACUUUCGACAUGCACCACAUGCAUGUUGCCUUCACUUCAAUCCAAUCCAUGUUCAUUUCACCCACUGAUAUAUAAUAACUCUUCAUGCUCGCAUCAUGCAUCAUCAUAAUAAUAAGUCCUACUAAUCAUCAUCAUACAACUUCUAUUCGUUAUUAAUAACAAGUCAUACGAUCAUCAUCCUCAUAGUCAUCGAACCAACCCUACUUAAUUGUUCUUAGCACAUGGUCAUCAGUAUUAGUUAGGACUUAAAUACCCUCUUUAAUGUAAAAUAGCAUAAAACAAUAUAGACCCUGACUCUCCAUUAUGGAGAAUGGAGAUCAUCCUGUCUCCAAUUCUUGCACUUCGCUUCCUUUUGCUUCCAAGAACCUCCUUACGACUGUCCAUAUAUUUUUUCCAUUCUUUGAUUAGCAUGUCUCCACUUCUUUUAGAAAUCCGGUAUGGACAGUUCAGAUUCGUAGGAUGACCUGGAUGUAUGUUCAAAACAUCAAGGCUACCAAUCUGAUACAUCAAAUGAGGCACACAAUCCAUCGGGAUUCUCUGUUGAAAAACAUAGUAAUAACUUCAUAGUUAGCAAUGAUGUACUAGUUUUAGAAGUAUGCAAAAGAUGCACGGAUGUCGUAAUAGUAAAAAAUCUUACCAUGAUAUCUCCAUGGUAGUUACCGUAGUUCAACACGUGCACUAGUGGCACGUAUUGACCAUAAUGUUGAGGAAUUUGAUUGUAGAUAUUGUAAUUCUCAAUAUUAGUACAAAAUGCGAUCAGAUGAUUUUUCUCCUGAUAAGUUAAUUCGGAGCCAUCGGUGUAGUGGAUUUUGUUUACCAUCUUCCGCACAUUCUUUGAAGAAUGAAAAUAAGCUGUCAACUAUUUUGAAAUAAACAAUAUAAAUUAGUUAAUAACUAUGUUUGAGAAAGUCACAUAGCGGUAGAAUUGGAGGCGUAUCAACAAGGACCCAAAUGUCCAUAUUGUCUUGCUCGAUUUCAGGAUCACCAAGAUCCAUGGUGACAAGCAUAUCCUCAUGAAAACCAUACAUCUUGCAAAGUGCUUCCCAUUUUUUGCAACCAAAAUCGGUUACGCUCUCAGAAUUUACAGUUUUACGUCGAAAUCCAUACCAUGAUGGGUCCUUAGGUGAAUUUUCUUUGUUUCCAUACUUUCAUGAUCUUCAAAACCCAUCCUCUCCAAGACAUAGCGUCUUGCAUGGCAUGGGAUAAGCUAGUCGAAUUGUAAAAGAUGAAAAUUACACGUUGAAAUAGUUGAAGUCGUGCUUAAUUACGAAAAAAACACUUGUCAUCGUUGCGUACCGUUUCAACAUCGAAGGUCUCCUCGAGCUUAAUGCUGAAGCGUCGAUCUUCGUCUAGGUGAGGCCUGUCGCACAGACCUCGGUCGUCGUGGCACCAGUCGCACUCCCCCGGGAGACUUUCGUCGUCCGAGUACGACAUUUCCUAUGUUCAUAAUUCAAAUAUUAAACUUGUACAAUUAAAUAUAUGUACUAAAAAAACCUAAAUUAGAUCAGUAUUAUUCAUCACGGGUUGACUAUCGGUCUGUCGAGUCUUUUCUUGAAAACUCUCAGCUCACGUGGUGUACAUAUUCGACCGUCGGUGAUGGUAGCUCCUCCUUUCAUUCCCGAGUGCAUCCCACCAAAUUGUCUAGCACACGGGAAUGAAGGAGAAGCUACCGCCACGACAACAGUCGGGAUUCUUCAUCCUCUCAUAUAUAUAUGGUGGAGACUCUCCCUCACUGAUUCCUCUCUGACAUUUGCGACUGUCGGUGAUGGUAGCUCCUCCUUUCAUUCCCGAGUGCAUUACACCAAAUUGUCUAGCACACGGGAACGAAGGAGAAGCUACUCCCACGACAACAGUCGGGAUUCUUCGUCCUAUCAUAUAUGGUGGAGACUCGACAGAUUUAAAGUCAACCCGAAAUAUCGUUUAAUUAUCUUUCUAAAAAAGGACAUAUCGAGUGCCUGAAAUUUGCCGGAACGGAAACAUACAUGUUUUUAUCUACAUCAUAUGAGCAUUCAAAUUUGAUGGCCAUUACAUUUCAAUGGUUGAAAAUAUGAGCAAAAGCAUUUCAAAAUAUCUUAUAGGACUCAUAUUGACAUGGAGAUUUGGCUGGUCUCACCUCGAGGUCGGAGGGGGGUCGGUGACGGGGACGACGGCGGGGAUGAUGGAGGGGGCUCCUAGAUUUCUACAAAACAAAAACCCUAUAAGCUAUCAAACUAAUCAAAUGAAUACGCCUUGCAUAGUGCUCUCCAAUUUUAGCAUUCAAAGUAGGAGUAGUUUUCCAAUUUGAGCAUUCAAUAAGCAAAACCAAAUCAUAAAAUAAAGUAGUAUUCAAAUUAGCAUGCAUUCAAUUAUAAGAAAAACUACAUCAUCUCUUGCGGCCGUACAUCGUUGAAUAUUAUCACUAAUACACCUCGAAUACUAUCAUACAUAUAGCAUCGCUAAUACAGCUAGAACCGUAGCGCCCGACGGGUAUCGGCGCGGGCGGUGGACACCCAAAGAGAAGGAACCAUCACAGGAUCAUAGCUCCAGUGAGAUCCCUGAAAAACUUGCCAGGUAUUGUCGAACCUGCCCUCCAACGCAACCAUGUAGCGACGGACGUGCUCGUCCUCCUCGCUGACACGGUGACGUACCACCUCCGCGGUGUCCGGAAGCCUCGGCACCGUCACUGGCCCACGCGACCGCCACGAAACAAGGAUCGGGUCAACCACGGGCUGGCUCCUCACCAACCUACGCCCCCCGGAAGGUAGCACCUCCCAAUACCAGCCGACGGAGCCCAGUCUCGGACAUGGCCCCUCUGAUCAAGCAGGCCUCCUCCGCUGAGACGACGACGAGGAUGCGGGAUAGGCAUCGUCGACGUCGAUGCGGGAAUAAUUGCUUGAACUAAAAAUAUAAACUAGUUCUAUUAAUUUUCUUGCUAAAAAUAAACUACUUCUAUAGUAAAAUAAAGUAGUUUUAUUAAAUCAACUAGUUCAACUACUAAGCACUUACUAUAAAUAAAAUAAAGUAGUACUUACUAAAAAUAAACUACUUCUAUAGUAAAAUAAAGUAGUUUUAUUAAAUCAACUAGUUCAACUACUAAGCACUUACUAUAAAUAAAAUAAAGUAGUACUUACUAAAAAUAAACUAGUUUAACUAGUUAUAUUAUUUUUCUAACUAAUUAUAUUAAACAAUUUCUAAGUAGUACUUACUUAAAGUUAUCGGGGAGGGGGGGUAUAUCGACAACGACAUACCCGAUAAACAAUAAGAAGAGGAAGAAGAAGAAAAAAAAAGAGGAGAAGAAGAAGGGAAUAGAGGAGGAGAUCGAAGAAAAAAAGAAGAAAAAAAGAGGAGAAGAAGAAGGAAUAGAGGAGAAGAAGAAGAAAUAGAAGGAACCUUCUAUUUCUUCUUCUCCUCUAUUCCUUCUUCUUCUCCUCUUUUUUUUUCUUCUUUUUCAUCUUCUUAUUUACUUCUCCUCUUCUUCUUCUUUUUCUCCUUCUUCCUCUUCUUAUUUUCCUUUUUCCUCUCCUGCUUUUUCUUCUAAAUAUGAACAUAUACAUAAAUGAAUUUGAUCAUACACAAUUUUCCUAUACAUACACAAUAUGAACAUAUACAUAAAUUGACAAAGAAAAUUCUAUGAACAACAAAAAAAUCAUAAAAAUUCUAUGAACAAAAUUACAACAGAAAAAUCAUAAAAAUUCUAUGAACAAAAUAAAAAUUCUAUGAACAAAGUUACAACAGAAAAAAUCAUAAAAAUUCUAUGAAAAAAAUUGACAUAUUCUUUGCAUAUGAACAUACAAACAUUUGCAUAUUCAACAAUAAUAUCACCAAAAAAAUCUAUAAACAGAAAAAAAUUCUAACUUUUGCAUAUUCUUUUAUGAACAAAUUACAACAACUAAACAUCUAAAUUAAUACAACUACACAUCUAAAUUAAUACAACUACACAUCUAAACUUAAUUAGCUAGAAAAUGCAUAUGCAGAUAGGGCGCCCGGCGACGAGGAGAAUGAGCUCACCGCAGGGGGGCGGCGACGAGGAGGCAGGGCAUGGGGAUGGCGACGGUGACGAGGAAGCAGGGCAUGGCGACGGUGACGGUGGGGUAGGGGCGCGGCGACGGGCGACGAGAGGAGGCAGGGCUGGCGGCGUCGGGGCAGGGGUGGCGCGGGGCGGCGACGGCGUCGAGGCGGCGCGGGACGGCAUCGGAGGCAGGGCUACGACGACGGCGGCUAGGCAGAGGGGCAGCCUGGCGGCAUCGUCGAGGCGGGAUCGAAGAACUAAACGAAAAUUUUCACAAGUGCUGUAUAUAUAGACGGAGCAUUGGUCCCGGUUCGUGCCACCAACCGGGACCAAUGCCCCCUUUAGUCCCGGUUGAUGCCACCAACUGGGACCAAAGGUCUCUUUUCAGCAGCCCAAAGGACGGGAAGCAGAGACCUUUGGUCCCGGUUGGUGGCACCAAUCGGGACUAAAGGGUGGGCAUUGGUUCCGGUUGGUACCAUGAACUGGUACCAAUGCACACAUUUAGUCCCGGUUGGUGGCACCAACCGGGACUAAAGGCCUUGUGUUGCCCGCGUCGCGGCACAAAAGUUUAGUCACACCUCGCUAGUUGAGGGAGCUCGAGAGUGGUUUAUAAGCCCCACUCCCGCUACCCUCUCGAGCUCCUCUUAAAUGCAGGCUUACGGGCCUAAACACACUGUAUCUGCUUGUAGCCCUACUGGGCCUUCUACGGGCCUGAAUCCUGGCCCAUGGGUGGGUUUCUAGUCGUAUUCAGGCCGUGGUGGCCCAGUAGGUGGCUUUUUUUAUUUUUUUUUCCUUUUUUUGUUUUCUUUGUUGAUUUUUUUUCUACUUACAACAAAAUAGUUACUGUUGCUAUUUUUAUUUAUUUUAUGAAGGUUUAUUUAUUUUAUUUUAUUAUAGUUUAUUUAUUUUAUUUUAUUAAAGUUUAUUUUAUUUUAUUUUAUUUUGUUUCUACUUAUUUAUUUUAUUUUGUUUCUACUUAUUUAUAAAAGUUUAUUUUGUUUAUACUUAUUUAUUUUAUUUUAUUUUUUGCUUUUUGUAUUUAUUUUAUGAAAAUUCUUUUUGCUUUUAAUGUUUUGAACAGAAAAUACUUCGAUAAUUUUAGUUGCAUAAAUUCUAUAUAAUUUUAGUUUCAAUAAUACUAGAGGUUUAUAAAAGCUUUUUAGUUGAUUCCUUUAGUACCGGUUCUAAGGCUGUUACAAAGGCAUUUCAUUUGGUACCGGUUAUAAGGCUGGGGCCCCACGAGCACCUUUAGUAACGGUUCAUGGCAUGAACCGGUAAAAAAGUUUUUUAGUUGAUUCUUUCUGCAACUGUUUUUUAGUCCCACCUCACCAAGAGGGAGGCACUCGCGGCGGUUUAUAAGCCCUGAAUGCAGAGACGAUGAAGGAGAGGCGCAAUGCUCACCUGCAUGUUUCUUAGCUUCACGCCUUGAGGAAGUGGUGUAGACUGCACGGAGCUAUCAGGGUUUCGGACGAAAACUACACAUAGCUCCGUGCAGUCUACACUAUUUCCUCAAGGCCUGAAGCUAAGCAACGUGCAGGGGAGCAUUGCGCCUCUCUUUCAUUUUUAAUAACUUACUACAACUCCGGACUUCUUGUGUGUCCAAGAUACAACAUUCAAAGCCAAAUCAUCAAUUUUCAACCCUUUCUAUCUUCAUUUAUUAUUUUUCAUGCAUUUACUGAUUUUUUUUAGCUAUAAGACCCUAAAAUUGAAAAACAAUUCAAAUAAACUAUGAAAAGGUUGAAAGUUGGCAUGGUAUCAUCAUUUCACCCACAUAGCAUGUGCUGAAAAGUUGAGAGGGUUACGGCAAAAACUGGAUGCACUUCGUGUACUAACCGGACAAUCUAUUUCGAGAUAUCAGGGUUUCAUACGGAAACUCGUCUGUUACAACAGGCAUUUCAAAUGAACUACGAAAAGGUUGAAAGUUGGCAUGGCAUCAUUAUAAUAGUUGUGGAGAGAAAGUCUUUACUUGUUCUUCGCUUGUGUCCUUUGCUGAUUGCGCCGUAACCAUGGAUAAUCUUCAUCGUUUAUCAGGAUGCUUGGGUCAGCCUUGACUUUGAAGGGAGGAAUUUCAUGAAACUUUUCAUAAUCUUCAGACAUGUCUGUCUUGCCCUCCACUCCCAUGAUGUCCCUUUUUCCUGAAAGAACUAUGUGGCGCUUUGGCUCAUCGUAUGAUGUAUUCGCUUCCUUAUCUUUUCUUUUUCUCGGUUUGGUAGACAUGUCCUUCACAUAGAUAACCUGUGCCACAUCAUUGGCUAGGACGAAUGGUUCGUCAGUGUAUCCAAGAUUGUUCAUAUCCACUGUUGUCAUUCCAUACUGUGGGUCUACCUGUACCCCGCCUCCUGACAGAUUGACCCAUUUGCACUUAAACAAAGGGACCUUAAAAUCAUGUCCGUAGUCAACUUCCCAUAUGUCCACUAUGUAACCAUAAUAUGUGUCCUUUCCCCUCUUGGUUGCUGCAUCAAAGCGGACACCGCUGUUUUGGUUGGUGCUCUUUUGAUCUUGGGCGAUCGUGUAAAAUGUAUUCCCAUUUAUCUCGUAUCCUUUGUAAGUCAAUAUAGUCGAAGAUGGUCCCCUGGACAACGAGUACAGCUCAUCAGAAACAGUGUUAUCACCUCUGAGACGUUUUUCCAUCUAACUGCUGAAAGUCUUGAUGUGUUCACAUGUAAUCCAGUCGUCACACUGCUCCGGGUGUUUGGAGCGCAAACUGUUCUUGUGUUCAUCGACAUACGGGGUCACCAAGGUAGAGUUCUGUAGAACUGUGUAGUGUGCUUGAGACCAAGAAUGCCCGUCCCUGCAUAUUAUUGAGUCCCCUCCAAGCGUGCCUUUUCCAGUCAGUCUCCCCUCAUACCGCGAUUUAGGGAGACCUAUCUUCUUAUGGCCAGGAAUGAAGUCAACACAAAACCCAAUGACAUCCUCUGUUUGAUGGCCCAUGGAGAUGCUUCCUUCUGGCCUAGCGCGGUUACGGAUAUAUUUCUUUAGGACUCCCAUGAACCUCUCAAAGGGGAACAUAUUGUGUAGAAAUAUGGGGCCCAGAAUGACAAUCUCGUCGACUAGAUGAACUAGGACAUGCGUCAUGAUAUUGAAGAAGGAUGGUGGGAACACCAACUGGAAACUGACAAGACAUUACGCCACAUCACUCCUUAGCCUUGGUAUGAUUUCUAGAUCGAUCACCUUCUGAGAGAUUGCAUUGAGGAAUGCACAUAGCUUCACAAUGGCUAAUCGGACGUUUUCCGGUAGAAGCCCCCUCAAUGCAACCGGAAGCAGUUGCGUCAUAAUCACGUGGCAGUCAUGAGACUUUAGGUUCUGGAACUUUUUCUCUGGCAUAUUUAUUAUUCCCUUUAUAUUCGACGAGAAGCCAGUCGGGACCUUCAUACUGAGCAGGCAUUCAAAGAAGAUUUCCUUCUCUUCUUUGGUAAGAGCAUAGCUGGCAGGACCUUCAUACUGCUUUGGAGGCAUGUCGUCUUUUUCGUGCAAACGUUGCAGGUCCUCCCGUGCCUCAGGUGUAUCUUUUUUCUUCCCAUACACGCCCAAGAAACCUAGCAGGUUCACGCAAAGGUUCUUCGUCACGUGCAUCACGUCGAUUGAAGAGUGGACCUCUAGGUCUUUCCAGUAGGGUAUGUCCCAAAAUAUAGAUUUCUUCUUCCACAUGGGUGCGCGUCCCUCAGCGUCAUUCGGAACAGCUAGUCCGCCGGGACCCUUUCCAAAGAUUACGUGUAAAUCAUUGACCAUAGCAAGUACGUGAUCACUGGUACGCAUGGCGGGCUUCUUCCGGUGAUCUGCCUCGCCUUUGAAAUGCUUGCCUUUCUUUCGACAUUGAUGGAUGGUCGGAAGAAAUCGACGAUGGCCCAGGUACACAUUCUUCCUGCAUUUGUCUAGGUAUAUACUUUCGGUGUCAGCUAAACAGUGUGUGCAUGCGUGGUAUCCCUUGUUUGUCCGUCCUGAAAGGUUACUGAGAGCGGGCCAAUCAUUGAUGGUUACAAACAGCAAGGCGUGCAGGUUAAAUUCCUCCUGUUUGUGCUCAUCCCACACACGUACACCGUUUCCAUUCCACAGCUGUAAAAGUUCUUCAACUAAUGGCCUUAGGUACACAUCAAUGUCGUUGCCGGGUUGCUUAGGGCCUUGGAUGAGAACUGGCAUCAUAAUGAACUUCCGCUUCAUGCACAUCCAAGGAGGAAGGUUAUACAUACAUAGAGUCACGGGCCAGGUGCUGUGAUUGCUGCUCUGCUCCCCGAAAGGAUUAAUGCCAUCCGCGCUUAAACCAAACCAUACAUUCUUUGGGUCACCUGCAAACUCAGCCCAGUACUCUCUCUCGAUUUUUCUCCACUGCGACCCGUCAGCGGGUGCUCUCAACUUCCCGUCUUUCUUACGGCCCUCUCUAUGCCAUCGCAUCAACUUGGAACGCUCUUCGUUUCUGAACAGACGUUUCAACCGUGGUAUUAUAGGAGCAUACCACAUCACCUUCGUAGGAACCCUCUUCCUGGGGGGCUCGCCGUCAACAUGACCAGGGUCAUCUCGUCUGAUCUUAUACCGCAAUGCACCGCAUACUAGGCAUGCGUUCAAAUCCUCAUACGCACCGCGGUAGAGGAUGCAGUCAUUAGGGCAUGCAUGUAUCUUCUGCACCUGCAAUCCUAGAGGGCAUACGACCUUCUUUGUUGCGUAUGUACUAUCGGCCAAUUCGUUAUCCUUUGGAAGCUUCUUCUUCAAUAUUUUCAGUAGCUUCUCAAAUCCUUUGUCAGGCACAGCAUUCUCUGCCUUCCAUUGCAGCAAUUCCAGUACGGUACCGAGCUUUGUGUUGCCAUCUUCGCAAUUGGGGUACAACCCUUUUUUGUGAUCCUCUAACAUGCGAUCGAACUUCAGCUUCUCCUUUUGACUUUCGCAUUGUGUCCUUGCAUCGACAAUGACCCGGCGGAGAUCAUCAUCAUCGGGCACAUCGUCUAGUUCCUCUUGAUCUUCAACAGCUUCCCCCGUUGCAGCAUCACCGUAUUCAGGGGGCACAUAGUUGUCAUCGUCCUCUUCUUCUUCGCUGUCUUCCAUCAUAACCCCUAUUUCUCCGUGCCUCGUCCAAACAUUAUAGUGUGGCAUGAAACCCUUGUAAACUAGUGUGGCUCGGGCAUUUCAUCGAACACCUCAUGUGCAUAGGAGGUGAGCUAGAGCACCCAAAUGCCCUCCCCUCGCCGGCCACAAAAAACAGAGCACUGUGGAGUGCUCUGCUGCGGCGAUGGGGUAUAUAUAGGCAACUUAUUUGUCUCGGUUCGUGGCUGGAACCGGGACUAAAGCUCCCCCUUCUGUCCUGGUUUGAGUGACGAACCGGGACCAAUGGCUGUGGGCCAGGAGCGAGGCCCAUUGGUCCCGGUUCGUGCCUAGAACCGGGACAAAUGGGUCCAGACGAACCGGGACGAAUGCCCACGAGGCCCCGGCCGGCCCCCUGGGCUCACGAACCGGGACGAAUGCCCCCCAUGGGUCCCGGAUCGUGCAGAACCGGGACUAGUGGGCUGGCCAGGCCCGAACCAAAGCCCUGUUUUCUACUAGUGGAAGAGAGAAGACCCGGAAGCAAGUGGUCACUUUCUUGUCCUUUUUUAAUGACACUUGUAAUUAAGAUUGAGUACAUGAUCAAAAUCAGAAGUGAUCGUAAUCUGAUGGUAAAUGAUUAUUUCUUGUUCAUAUGAACAUACAUAAUACUUAAUAUACUGACAUGAUAAAAAGGCAACUUGACAAUCUCCUUUUAUUCGACGAUGAAAGAUAUGUAUGAGUAUGUGAUCCAGUUUGGUGAGCUUAAUAUGUGCCGUUAUUAUGAGACAGUGAAAGACGGAUAAAGGGACAUAUGGAAUUCUUUUUAUCAUACUAACGAGUUUCUAAACAUAGAACGGAAGCAACAAAAAUAAAGACAGAGCGCUAAAAUUUCAGUGAUGUUUUAGAAGAUACAAAAUGGAGUGCCCUUUUAUUGAUCAAUGCCUGUAGCCAUAUAAAUGAGGUCUGGGACUCGGUUCGCUCCAACACGCCGAUAGAAAGCACAUUUCGUCUGAUGCACAUAUGAAAUUUGAUAGUGCAAAAAAGAAAAACGCUGAGAUAUACGGAUGAUUUAAUGUUGUAACUAACUUGGACAUCCUUCCGGUGACCACGGAAUGGACAAAAAAAUCUCAGGCAUCAAAAAGGGAUGGAACCUCCAGACCUACUGCUUCUCCUCCACCUGCAUAGCGUGCAUAGGUGGAAAUUUGAUGAUUAAUUGAAGUGACAUCCACAUAGAGCAGGAGUUAUUCAGCUAGAAAAGCACAAAUGGACAUCACUGUCAGGCUAUAAGACUGAAUUCUGCUCCACGGCCUUCCUGAUUCAUGCAGCUGAUAUGCAAAUGGGCGUCCCCUUAAAUUCAUAUGAAUCGAAUCGCAGAAGAGACGAACAAACACUCUAUAAGACUAUAACAGGUUGUGACAGUGUCCAGUCCUUUAGAACUUAGACGAAGAAAAUGUAGAACUAACAUAUUAGUGGUUAGGAUCAUAUUUGCAAUCUGGGAACUUGGUGUGCUCUCUCCAACAUGCCUAGUGAACGCAUGUGUCCUCUGAUGCAGAUAUGAAAUAUGACGUUAUACAAAACAAAAGAAACACUGAAAUUAUACGGAUGAUUGGAAACCGGACUGCAUGUCGUCAAUGUACGGCCGGCACACGACGGAAAGCUGGAAAUCAUCUUGCUGAGACCAUCUGCAAUGGAAGUAAAACGGGUGGUCAGAAAAGGAUGCGAGAGAGGUUGAGGGUGGAAAGUGAUACGUCUCCAACGUAUCUAUAAAUUUUGAUUGUUCCAUGCUAUUAUAUUAUCUGUUUUGGAUGUUUAAUGGGCUUUACUAUGCACUUUUAUAUUAUUUUUGGGACUAACCUAUUAACCGAAGGCCCAGUGCAAAUUGCUCUUUUUUUGCCUAUUUCAGUGUUUCGCAGAAAAGGAAUAUUAAACGGAGUCCAAACGGAAUGAAACCUUCAGGAGAGUUAUUUUUGGAACAAAUGCAAUCUACGAGACUUGGGAUGGACAUCAAGAAAGAAACGAGGAGGCCACGAGGCAGGAGGACGCGCCCAGGGGCGUAGGCGCGCCCCCCACCCUCGUGGCUCCACCGACCUACUUCUUUCGCCUAUAUAUACUCAUAUACGCUGAAAACAUCCGAGAGCACCACAAAACCCUAUUUCCACCGCCGCAACCUUCUGUACUCGUGAGAUCCCAUCUUGGGGCCUUUUCCAGCGCUCCGCCGGAGGGGGAAUCGAUCACGGAGGGCUUCUACAUCAACACCAUAGCCUCUCCGAUGAUGUGUGAGUAGUUUACCACAGACCUUCGGGUCCAUAGUUUUUAGCUAGAUGGCUUCUUCUCUCUCUUUGGAUCUCAAUACAAAGUUCUCCUCGUUCUUCUUGGAGAUCUAUUCGAUGUAAUUCUUUUUGCGGUGUGUUUGUCGAGAUCUGAUGAAUUGUGGGUUUAUGCUCAAGAUUAUCUAUGAACAAUAUUUGAUUCUUCUCUGAAUUCUUGUAUGCAUGAUUUAAUUAUCUUUGCAAGUCUCUUCGAAUUAUCAGUUCGGUUUGGCCUACUAGAUUGAUCUUUCUUGCCAUGGGAGAAGUGCUUAGCUUUGGAUUCAAUCUUGCGAUGUCCUAUUCCAGUGACAGCAGGGGCAGCAAGGCACGUAUUGUAUUGUUGCCAUCGAGGAUAAAAAGAUGGGGUUUAUAUCAUAUUGCUUGAGUUUAUCCCUCUACAUCAUGUCAUCUUGCCUAAUGUGUUACUCUGUUCUUAUGAACUUAAUACUCUAGAUGCAUGCUGGAUAGCGGUCGAUGUGUGGAGUAAUAGUAGUAGAUGCAGAAUCGUUUCGGUCUACUUGUCGCGGACGUGAUGUCUAUAUACAUGAUCAUGCCUAGAUAUUCUUAUAACUAUGCGCUCUUCUAUCAAUUGCUCGACAGUAAUUCAUUCACCCACCGUAAAUUAUGCUAUCUUGAGAGAAGCCACUAGUGAAACCUAUGGCCCCCGGGUCUAUUUUUCAUCAUAUUAUUUUCCUAUCAAUUGAUUUUGCAAUCUUUACUUUCCAAUCUAUAUCAUAAAAAUACCAAAAAUGUUUAUCUUAUUAUCUCUAUCAGAUCUCACUUUUGCAUGUGGCCGUGAAGGGAUUGACAACCCCUUUAUCGCGUUGGUUGCAAGGUUCUUAUUUGUUUGUGUAGGUACGAGGCGACUUGUGUGUAACCUCCUACUGGAUUGAUACCUUGGUUCUCAAAACUGAGGGAAAUACUUACGCUACUUUGCUGCAUCACCCUUUCCUCUUCAAGGGAAAACCAACGCAUGCUCAAGAGGUAGCAAGAAGGAUUUCUGGCGCCAUUGCCGGGGAGGCUAACGCCAAGUCAAGACAUACCAAGUACCCAUCACAAACUCUUAUCCCUCGCAUUACAUUUUUUGCCAUUUGCCUCUCGUUUUCCUCUCCCCCACUUCACCCUUGUCGUUUUAUUCGCCUUCUUUUUCCGUCUCUUUUCGCUUGCUUUUUGCGUGCUCGUUCUUUGUGCAAUUUGCUGCCUUCAUGCCUGAAACUGGGGAGGUUAUCGUUAAUAAGGAUAGUAGUAAUAACAUGGAAAACUUUGAUGCUUUUGAUGAUCCUCAUGAAGAUCCUACUAUUUUACACACUAAAAAGUUUCGGAUUGAUAGUGGUAAUAUUAUUGGAAAAGGAGUUAUUCAAGAUUUCUUUACUUGUGCCGGUGCCCUGCCCUCUAUGGGUGGGUCUAUUCUUCAUAGAACUAGUAGUCUUGCGGAUGCUAUAUCCUUGCUCGUAGUUGAACUUGAAAGACAAUUUAUUCAUAUGCAUCCUUGCAUACAAAGGAUUUUUCUAGAGUUUUCCAAUAUCGAGCAUUCUUCUGUUAAGCGAGCAGCUACUAUCUUUUUGGCACAUGAGUUCAGAUUUAUAAUGAAAGAGGCCAAUGAAAUUUUUGCGCAUUAUAGGGUGAACGCGGGUCGUCCUCCCAUAGAAGCUAUACUUUUUAAUCAAGAAGACUUAAUGCGUUUACGAUCUUUAGAUCAUGUUGGUUACAAUGAAAACCUUAGAAAGAAGGUUCCUACCGAUGUUCUAGUUGAUAAAUUUUCUGAACUCAAUGAUGAAUUUGCUAUUCAAAACAACGGGUUAGGUUUUUCUCUUGAACAAAGGUUUAUGACGUAUUGCCAAAAGAAUGCUUAUAAUGAUGAAUUUUUUGUGCAAUACAAGGGGCCAAAGGAGGAACCCAUACCUCCCGAGCUUGAUCUUGGGGACUUUUGUCCCAUUAAAUUUAGCCCUUUUGAUUACUUUUGUUUGCCACAAAGGAAACUUUCUGCUGAACGUAGGGCAUAUGAGAUGAGUUCCCGCAAUUUGCCCUGCCAUUAUUAUGAUAAUACUUAGAUCUAUUCUUGCCUUUAUGCCUAGCUAGGGGCGUUAAACGAUAGCGCUUGUUUGGAGGCAACCCAAUUUUAUUUUUGUUUCUUGCUUUUUGGUUCUGUUUAGUAAUAAAUAAUUCAUCUAGCUUCUGUUAAGAUGUGUUUUCAUGUUUUAAAUUAGUGUUUGUGCCAAGUAGAACCUUUGGGAAGACUUGGCUGAAGUCUUUAUGAUCUUGCUGUAAAAAACAGAAACUUUAGCGCUCACGAGGUUAGCUGCCAUUUUUUACUGUAGAGUAAUUUUAGGUUGAUUCUUUCUGCAGAUGAUUAAUAGACAAAUUCCUCACGUCCACCAAUUUAUUUCAGAAUUUUUGGAGUUACAGAAGUAUACGCUUGAUCCAGAUUACUAAAGACUGUUCUGUUUUUGACAGAUUCUGUUUUUCGUGUGUUGUUUGCUUAUUUUGAUGAAUCUAUGGCUAGUAUCGGGGGGAGGGGGUAUGAACCAUAGAGAAGUUGGAAUACAGUAGGUUUAACACCAAUAUAAAUAAAGAAUGAGUUCAUUACAGUACCUUAUGGUGGUGAUUUGUUUUCUUAUACUAACGGAGCUCAUGAGAUUUUCUGUUGAGUUUUGUGUUGUGAAGUUUUCAAGUUUUGGGUAAAGAUUUGAUGGAUUAUGGAAUACGGAGUGGCAAGAGCCUAAGCUUGGGGAUGCCCAAGGCACCCCAAGGUAAAAUUCAAGGACAACCAAAAGGCUAAGCUUGGGGAUGGCCCGGAAGGCAUCCCCUCUUUCGUCCUCGUCUAUCGGUAACUUUACUUGAGGCUAUAUUUUUAUUCAUCACAUGAUAUGUGUUUUGCUUGGAGCGUCUUGUAUGAUUUGAGUCUUUGCUUUUUAGUUUACCACAAUCAUCCUUGCUGUACACACCUUUUGGGAGAGACACACAUGAAUCGGAAUUUAUUGGAAUACUCUAUGUGCUUCACUUACAUCUUUUGAGCUAGAUAAUUUUGCUCUAGUGCUUCGCUUAUAUCUUUUUAGAGCACGGUGGUGGUUUUAUUUAUAGAAAUUAUUGAUCUCUCAUGCUUCACUUAUAUUAUUUUGAGAGUCUAUUAGAACAGCAUGGUAGUUUGCUUUGGCUAUAAAAUUAGUCCUAAUAUGGUGAACAUCCAAGAUAGGUAUAAUAAAAACUAUCAUAUAAAGUGCAUCGAAUACUAUGAGAAGUUUGAUAAUUGAUAAUUGUUUUGAGAGAUGAAGAUGGUGAUAUUAGAGUCAUGCUAGUUGAGUAGUUAUGAAUUUGAGAAAUACUUGUUCUAAAUUUUGUGAUUCCCGUAGCAUGCACGUAUGGUGAACCGUUAUGUGAUUAAGUCGGAGCAUGAUUUAUUUAUUGAUUGUCUUCCUUAUGAGUGGCGGUCGGGGAUGGGCGAUGGUCUUUUCCUACCAAUCUAUCCCCCGAGGAGCAUGCGCGUAGUACUUUGUUUUGAUAACUAAUAGAUUUUUGCAAUAAUUAUGUGAGUUCUUUAUGACUAAUGUUGAGUACAUGGAUUAUACGCACUCUCACCCUUCCACCAUUGCUAGCCUCUCUAAUACCGCGCAUCUUUCGCCGGUAUCAUACACCCACCAUAUACCUUCCUCAAAACAGCCACCAUACCUGCCUAUUAUGGCAUUCCCAUAGCCAUUUCGAGAUAUAUUGCCAUGCAACUUACCACCGUUCCAUUUAUUAUGACACACUCCAUCAUUGUCAUAUUGCUUUGCAUGAUCAUGUAGUUGACAUCGUAUUUGUGGCAAAGCCACCUUUAUAAUUCUUUCAUACAUGUCAGUCUUGAUUCAUUGCAUAUCCCGGUACACCGCCGGAGGCAUUCACAUAGAGUCAUAUUUUGUUCUAGUAUUGAGUUGUAAUUCUCGAGCUGUAAGUAAAUAAAAGUGUGAUAAUCAUCAUUAUUAGAGCAUUGUCCCAAGUGAGGAAAGGAUGAUGGAGACUAUGAUUCCCCCACAAGUCGGGAUGAGACUCCGGACGAAAAAAAGGAGGCCAUAAAAAAAGAGAAAAGGGCCCAAAUGAAAAAAAGAUGAGAGAAAAAAGAGAGAAGGGACAAUGUUACUAUCCUUUUACCACACUUGUGCUUCAAAGUAGCACCAUGAUCGUCAUGAUAGAGAGUCUCCUAUGUUGUCACUUUCAUAUACUAGUGGGAAUUUUACAUUAUAGAACUUGGCUUGUAUAUUCCAAUGAUGGGCUUCCUCAAAAUGCCCUAGGUCUUCGUGAGCAAGCGAGUUGGAUGCACCCCCACUUAGUUUCUUUUGUUGAGCUUUCAUACUCUUAUAGCUCUAGUGCAUCUGUUGCAUGGCAAUCCCUACUCACUCACAUUGUCUAUUGAUGGGCAUCUCCAUAGCCCGUUGAUACGCCUAGUUGAUGUGAGCUAUCUUCUCCUUUUUGUCUUCUCCACAACCACCAUUCUAUUCCACAUAUAGUGUUAUGUCCAUGGCUCACGCUCAUGUAUUGCGUGAAGAUUGAAAAAGUUUGAGAACAUCAAAAGUAUGAAACAAUUGCUUGGCUUGUCGUCGGGGUUGUGCAUGAUUAAAUACUUUGUGUGAUGAAGAUAGAGCAUAGCCAGACUAUAUGAUUUUGUAGGGAUAACUUUGUUUGGCCAUGUUAUUUUGAGAAGACAUGAUUACUUUGUUAGUAUGCUUGAAGUAUUAUUAUUUUUAUGUCAAUAUUAAACUUUUGUCUUGAAUCUUUCGGAUCUGAACAUUCAUGCCACAAUAAAGAAGAAUACAUUGAGAAAUAUGCUAGGUAGCAUUCCACAUCAAAAAUUCUGUUUUUAUCAUUUACCUACUCGAGGACGAGCAGGAAUUAAGCUUGGGGAUGUUUGAUACGUCUCCAACGUAUCUAUAAAUUUUAAUUGUUCCAUGCUAUUAUAUUAUCUGUUUUGGAUGUUUAAUGGUCUUUACUAUGCACUUUUAUAUUAUUUUUGGGACUAACCUAUUAACCGAAGGCCCAGUGCAAAUUGCUGUUUUUUUGCCUAUUUCAGUGUUUCGCAGAAAAGGAAUAUUAAACGGAGUCCAAACGGAAUGAAACCUUCAGGAGAGUUAUUUUUGGAACAAAUGCAAUCUAGGAGACUUGGAGUGGACAUCAAGAAAGAAACGAGGAGGCCACGAGGCAGGAGGGCGCGCCCCCCACCCUCGUGGCUCCACCGACCUACUUCUUUCGCCUAUAUAUACUCAUAUACGCUGAAAACAUCCGAGAGCACCACAAAACCCUAUUUCCACCGCCGCAACCUUCUGUACUCGUGAGAUCCCAUCUUGGGGCCUUUUCCAGCGCUCCGCCGGAGGGGGAAUCGAUCACGGAGGGCUUCUACAUCAACACCAUAGCCUCUCCGAUGAUGUGUGAGUAGUUUACCACAGACCUUCGGGUCCAUAGUUUUUAGCUAGAUGGCUUCUUCUCUCUCUUUGGAUCUCAAUACAAAGUUCUCCUCGUUCUUCUUGGAGAUUUAUUCGAUGUAAUUCUUUUUGCGGUGUGUUUGUCGAGAUCUGAUGAAUUGUGGGUUUAUGCUCAAGAUUAUCUAUGAACAAUAUUUGAUUCUUCUCUGAAUUCUUGUAUGCAUGAUUUAAUUAUCUUUGCAAGUCUCUUCGAAUUAUCAGUUCGGUUUGGCCUACUAGAUUGAUCUUUCUUGCCAUGGGAGAAGUGCUUAGCUUUGGAUUCAAUCUUGCGAUGUCCUAUUCCAGUGACAGCAGGGGCAGCAAGGCACGUAUUGUAUUGUUGCCAUCGAGGAUAAAAAGAUGGGGUUUAUAUCAUAUUGCUUGAGUUUAUCCCUCUACAUCAUGUCAUCUUGCCUAAUGUGUUACUCUGUUCUUAUGAUCUUAAUACUCUAGAUGCAUGCUGGAUACGGUCGAUGUGUGGAGUAAUAGUAGUAGAUGCAGAAUCGUUUCGGUCUACUUGUCGCGGACGUGAUGUCUAUAUACAUGAUCAUGCCUAGAUAUUCUUAUAACUAUGCGCUCUUCUAUCAAUUGCUCGACAGUAAUUCAUUCACCCACCGUAAAUUAUGCUAUCUUGAGAGAAGCCACUAGUGAAACCUAUGGCCCCCGGGUCUAUUUUUCAUCAUAUUAUUUUCCUAUCAAUUGAUUUUGCAAUCUUUACUUUCCAAUCUAUAUCAUAAAAAUACCAAAAAUGUUUAUCUUAUUAUCUCUAUCAGAUCUCACUUUUGCAUGUGGCCGUGAAGGGAUUGACAACCCCUUUAUCGCGUUGGUUGCAAGGUUCUUAUUUGUUUGUGUAGGUACGAGGCGACUUGUGUGUAACCUCCUACUGGAUUGAUACCUUGGUUCUCAAAACUGAGGGAAAUACUUACGCUACUUUGCUGCAUCACCCUUUCCUCUUCAAGGGAAAACCAACGCAUGCUCAAGAGGUAGCAAGAAGGAUUUCUGGCGCCAUUGCCGGGGAGGCUAACGCCAAGUCAAGACAUACCAAGUACCCAUCACAAACUCUUAUCCCUCGCAUUACAUUUUUUGCCAUUUGCCUCUCGUUUUCCUCUCCCCCACUUCACCCUUGUCGUUUUAUUCGCCUUCUUUUUCCGUCUCUUUUCGCUUGCUUUUUGNNNNNNNNNNAGAGACACACAUGAAUCGGAAUUUAUUGGAAUACUCUAUGUGCUUCACUUACAUCUUUUGAGCUAGAUAAUUUUGCUCUAGUGCUUCGCUUAUAUCUUUUUAGAGCACGGUGGUGGUUUUAUUUAUAGAAAUUAUUGAUCUCUCAUGCUUCACUUAUAUUAUUUUGAGAGUCUAUUAGAACAGCAUGGUAGUUUGCUUUGGCUAUAAAAUUAGUCCUAAUAUGGUGAACAUCCAAGAUAGGUAUAAUAAAAACUAUCAUAUAAAGUGCAUCGAAUACUAUGAGAAGUUUGAUAAUUGAUAAUUGUUUUGAGAGAUGAAGAUGGUGAUAUUAGAGUCAUGCUAGUUGAGUAGUUAUGAAUUUGAGAAAUACUUGUUCUAAAUUUUGUGAUUCCCGUAGCAUGCACGUAUGGUGAACCGUUAUGUGAUUAAGUCGGAGCAUGAUUUAUUUAUUGAUUGUCUUCCUUAUGAGUGGCGGUCGGGGAUGGGCGAUGGUCUUUUCCUACCAAUCUAUCCCCCGAGGAGCAUGCGCGUAGUACUUUGUUUUGAUAACUAAUAGAUUUUUGCAAUAAUUAUGUGAGUUCUUUAUGACUAAUGUUGAGUACAUGGAUUAUACGCACUCUCACCCUUCCACCAUUGCUAGCCUCUCUAAUACCGCGCAUCUUUCGCCGGUAUCAUACACCCACCAUAUACCUUCCUCAAAACAGCCACCAUACCUGCCUAUUAUGGCAUUCCCAUAGCCAUUUCGAGAUAUAUUGCCAUGCAACUUACCACCGUUCCAUUUAUUAUGACACACUCCAUCAUUGUCAUAUUGCUUUGCAUGAUCAUGUAGUUGACAUCGUAUUUGUGGCAAAGCCACCUUUAUAAUUCUUUCAUACCUGUCAGUCUUGAUUCAUUGCAUAUCCCGGUACACCGCCGGAGGCAUUCACAUAGAGUCAUAUUUUGUUCUAGUAUUGAGUUGUAAUUCUCGAGCUGUAAGUAAAUAAAAGUGUGAUAAUCAUCAUUAUUAGAGCAUUGUCCCAAGUGAGGAAAGGAUGAUGGAGACUAUGAUUCCCCCACAAGUCGGGAUGAGACUCCGGACGAAAAAAAGGAGGCCAUAAAAAAAGAGAAAAGGGCCCAAAUGAAAAAAAGAUGAGAGAAAAAAGAGAGAAGGGACAAUGUUACUAUCCUUUUACCACACUUGUGCUUCAAAGUAGCACCAUGAUCGUCAUGAUAGAGAGUCUCCUAUGUUGUCACUUUCAUAUACUAGUGGGAAUUUUACAUUAUAGAACUUGGCUUGUAUAUUCCAAUGAUGGGCUUCCUCAAAAUGCCCUAGGUCUUCGUGAGCAAGCGAGUUGGAUGCACCCCCACUUAGUUUCUUUUGUUGAGCUUUCAUACUCUUAUAGCUCUAGUGCAUCUGUUGCAUGGCAAUCCCUACUCACUCACAUUGUCUAUUGAUGGGCAUCUCCAUAGCCCGUUGAUACGCCUAGUUGAUGUGAGCUAUCUUCUCCUUUUUGUCUUCUCCACAACCACCAUUCUAUUCCACAUAUAGUGUUAUGUCCAUGGCUCACGCUCAUGUAUUGCGUGAAGAUUGAAAAAGUUUGAGAACAUCAAAAGUAUGAAACAAUUGCUUGGCUUGUCGUCGGGGUUGUGCAUGAUUAAAUACUUUGUGUGAUGAAGAUAGAGCAUAGCCAGACUAUAUGAUUUUGUAGGGAUAACUUUGUUUGGCCAUGUUAUUUUGAGAAGACAUGAUUACUUUGUUAGUAUGCUUGAAGUAUUAUUAUUUUUAUGUCAAUAUUAAACUUUUGUCUUGAAUCUUUCGGAUCUGAACAUUCAUGCCACAAUAAAGAAGAAUACAUUGAGAAAUAUGCUAGGUAGCAUUCCACAUGUAAAAUUCUGUUUUUAUCAUUUACCUACUCGAGGACGAGCAGGAAUUAAGCUUGGGGAUGCUUGAUACGUCUCCAACGUAUCUAUAAAUUUUAAUUGUUCCAUGCUAUUAUAUUAUCUGUUUUGGAUGUUUAAUGGUCUUUACUAUGCACUUUUAUAUUAUUUUUGGGACUAACCUAUUAACCGAAGGCCCAGUGCAAAUUGCUGUUUUUUUGCCUAUUUCAGUGUUUCGCAGAAAAGGAAUAUUAAACGGAGUCCAAACGGAAUGAAACCUUCAGGAGAGUUAUUUUUGGAACAAAUGCAAUCUAGGAGACUUGGAGUGGACAUCAAGAAAGAAACGAGGAGGCCACGAGGCAGGAGGGCGCGCCCCCCACCCUCGUGGCUCCACCGACCUACUUCUUUCGCCUAUAUAUACUCAUAUACGCUGAAAACAUCCGAGAGCACCACAAAACCCUAUUUCCACCGCCGCAACCUUCUGUACUCGUGAGAUCCCAUCUUGGGGCCUUUUCCAGCGCUCCGCCGGAGGGGGAAUCGAUCACGGAGGGCUUCUACAUCAACACCAUAGCCUCUCCGAUGAUGUGUGAGUAGUUUACCACAGACCUUCGGGUCCAUAGUUUUUAGCUAGAUGGCUUCUUCUCUCUCUUUGGAUCUCAAUACAAAGUUCUCCUCGUUCUUCUUGGAGAUNNNNNNNNNNNNNNNNNNNNNNNNNNNNNNNNNNNNNNNNNNNNNNNNNNNNNNNNNNNNNNNNNNNNNNNNNNNNNNNNNNNNNNNNNNNNNNNNNNNNUCUAGAUGCAUGCUGGAUAGCGGUCGAUGUGUGGAGUAAUAGUAGUAGAUGCAGAAUCGUUUCGGUCUACUUGUCGCGGACGUGAUGUCUAUAUACAUGAUCAUGCCUAGAUAUUCUUAUAACUAUGCGCUCUUCUAUCAAUUGCUCGACAGUAAUUCAUUCACCCACCGUAAAUUAUGCUAUCUUGAGAGAAGCCACUAGUGAAACCUAUGGCCCCCGGGUCUAUUUUUCAUCAUAUUAUUUUCCUAUCAAUUGAUUUUGCAAUCUUUACUUUCCAAUCUAUAUCAUAAAAAUACCAAAAAUGUUUAUCUUAUUAUCUCUAUCAGAUCUCACUUUUGCAUGUGGCCGUGAAGGGAUUGACAACCCCUUUAUCGCGUUGGUUGCAAGGUUCUUAUUUGUUUGUGUAGGUACGAGGCGACUUGUGUGUAACCUCCUACUGGAUUGAUACCUUGGUUCUCAAAACUGAGGGAAAUACUUACGCUACUUUGCUGCAUCACCCUUUCCUCUUCAAGGGAAAACCAACGCAUGCUCAAGAGGUAGCAAGAAGGAUUUCUGGCGCCAUUGCCGGGGAGGCUAACGCCAAGUCAAGACAUACCAAGUACCCAUCACAAACUCUUAUCCCUCGCAUUACAUUUUUUGCCAUUUGCCUCUCGUUUUCCUCUCCCCCACUUCACCCUUGUCGUUUUAUUCGCCUUCUUUUUCCGUCUCUUUUCGCUUGCUUUUUGUGUGCCCGUUCUUUGUGCAAUUUGCUGCCUUCAUGCCUGAAAUUGGGGAGGUUAUCGUUAAUAAGGAUAGUAGUAAUAACAUAGAAAACUUUGAUGCUUUUGAUGAUCCUCAUGAAGAUCCUACUAUUUUACACACUAAAAAGUUUCGGAUUGAUAGUGGUAAUAUUAUUGGAAAAGGAGUUAUUCAAGAUUUCUUUACUUGUGCCGGUACCCUGCCCUCUAUGGGUGGGUCUAUUCUUCAUAGAACUAGUAGUCUUGCGGAUGCUAUAUCCUUGCUCGUAGUUGAACUUGAAAGACAAUUUAUUCAUAUGCAUCCUUGCAUACAAAGGAUUUUUCUAGAGUUUUCCAAUAUCGAGCAUUCUUCUGUUAAGCGAGCAGCUACUAUCUUUUUGGCACAUGAGUUCAGAUUUAUAAUGAAAGAGGCCAAUGAAAUUUUUGCGCAUUAUAGGGUGAACGCGGGUCGUCCUCCCAUAGAAGCUAUACUUUUUAAUCAAGAAGACUUAAUGCGUUUACGAUCUUUAGAUCAUGUUGGUUACAAUGAAAACCUUAGAAAGAAGGUUCCUACCGAUGUUCUAGUUGAUAAAUUUUCUGAACUCAAUGAUGAAUUUUCUAUUCAAAACAACGGGUUAGGUUUUUCUCUUGAACAAAGGUUUAUGACGUAUUGCCAAAAGAAUGCUUAUAAUGAUGAAUUUUUUGUGCAAUACAAGGGGCCAAAGGAGGAACCCAUACCUCCCGAGCUUGAUCUUGGGGACUUUUGUCCCAUUAAAUUUAGCCCUUUUGAUUACUUUUGUUUGCCACAAAGGAAACUUUCUGCUGAACGUAGGGCAUAUGAGAUGAGUUCCCGCAAUUUGCCCUGCCAUUAUUAUGAUAAUACUUAGAUCUAUUCCUGCCUUUAUGCCUAGCUAGGGGCGUUAAACGAUAGCGCUUGUUUGGAGGCAACCCAAUUUUAUUUUUGUUUCUUGCUUUUUGGUUCUGUUUAGUAAUAAAUAAUUCAUCUAGCUUCUGUUAAGAUGUGUUUUCAUGUUUUAAAUUAGUGUUUGUGCCAAGUAGAACCUUUGGGAAGACUUGGCUGAAGUCUUUAUGAUCUUGCUGUAAAAAACAGAAACUUUAGCGCUCACGAGGUUAGCUGCCAUUUUUUACUGUAGAGUAAUUUUAGGUUGAUUCUUUUUGCAGAUGAUUAAUAGACAAAUUCCUCACGUCCACCAAUUUAUUUCAGAAUUUUUGGAGUUACAGAAGUAUACGCUUGAUCCAGAUUACUAAAGACUGUUCUGUUUUUGACAGAUUCUGUUUUUCGUGUGUUGUUUGCUUAUUUUGAUGAAUCUAUGGCUAGUAUCGGGGGGAGGGGGUAUGAACCAUAGAGAAGUUGGAAUACAGUAGGUUUAACACCAAUAUAAAUAAAGAAUGAGUUCAUUACAGUACCUUAUGGUGGUGAUUUGUUUUCUUAUACUAACGGAGCUCAUGAGAUUUUCUGUUGAGUUUUGUGUUGUGAAGUUUUCAAGUUUUGGGUAAAGAUUUGAUGGAUUAUGGAAUACGGAGUGGCAAGAGCCUAAGCUUGGGGAUGCCCAAGGCACCCCAAGGUAAAAUUCAAGGACAACCAAAAGGCUAAGCUUGGGGAUGGCCCGGAAGGCAUCCCCUCUUUCGUCCUCGUCUAUCGGUAACUUUACUUGAGGCUAUAUUUUUAUUCAUCACAUGAUAUGUGUUUUGCUUGGAGCGUCUUGUAUGAUUUGAGUCUUUGCUUUUUAGUUUACCACAAUCAUCCUUGCUGUACACACCUUUUGGUAGAGACACACAUGAAUCGGAAUUUAUUGGAAUACUCUAUGUGCUUCACUUACAUCUUUUGAGCUAGAUAAUUUUGCUCUAGUGCUUCGCUUAUAUCUUUUUAGAGCACGGUGGUGGUUUUAUUUAUAGAAAUUAUUGAUCUCUCAUGCUUCACUUAUAUUAUUUUGAGAGUCUAUUAGAACAGCAUGGUAGUUUGCUUUGGCUAUAAAAUUAGUCCUAAUAUGGUGAACAUCCAAGAUAGGUAUAAUAAAAACUAUCAUAUAAAGUGCAUCGAAUACUAUGAGAAGUUUGAUAAUUGAUAAUUGUUUUGAGAGAUGAAGAUGGUGAUAUUAGAGUCAUGCUAGUUGAGUAGUUAUGAAUUUGAGAAAUACUUGUUCUAAAUUUUGUGAUUCCCGUAGCAUGCACGUAUGGUGAACCGUUAUGUGAUUAAGUCGGAGCAUGAUUUAUUUAUUGAUUGUCUUCCUUAUGAGUGGCGGUCGGGGAUGGGCGAUGGUCUUUUCCUACCAAUCUAUCCCCCGAGGAGCAUGCGCGUAGUACUUUGUUUUGAUAACUAAUAGAUUUUUGCAAUAAUUAUGUGAGUUCUUUAUGACUAAUGUUGAGUACAUGGAUUAUACGCACUCUCACCCUUCCACCAUUGCUAGCCUCUCUAAUACCGCGCAUCUUUCGCCGGUAUCAUACACCCACCAUAUACCUUCCUCAAAACAGCCACCAUACCUGCCUAUUAUGGCAUUCCCAUAGCCAUUUCGAGAUAUAUUGCCAUGCAACUUACCACCGUUCCAUUUAUUAUGACACACUCCAUCAUUGUCAUAUUGCUUUGCAUGAUCAUGUAGUUGACAUCGUAUUUGUGGCAAAGCCACCUUUAUAAUUCUUUCAUACCUGUCAGUCUUGAUUCAUUGCAUAUCCCGGUACACCGCCGGAGGCAUUCACAUAGAGUCAUAUUUUGUUCUAGUAUUGAGUUGUAAUUCUCGAGCUGUAAGUAAAUAAAAGUGUGAUAAUCAUCAUUAUUAGAGCAUUGUCCCAAGUGAGGAAAGGAUGAUGGAGACUAUGAUUCCCCCACAAGUCGGGAUGAGACUCCGGACGAAAAAAAGGAGGCCAUAAAAAAAGAGAAAAGGGCCCAAAUGAAAAAAAGAUGAGAGAAAAAAGAGAGAAGGGACAAUGUUACUAUCCUUUUACCACACUUGUGCUUCAAAGUAGCACCAUGAUCGUCAUGAUAGAGAGUCUCCUAUGUUGUCACUUUCAUAUACUAGUGGGAAUUUUACAUUAUAGAACUUGGCUUGUAUAUUCCAAUGAUGGGCUUCCUCAAAAUGCCCUAGGUCUUCGUGAGCAAGCGAGUUGGAUGCACCCCCACUUAGUUUCUUUUGUUGAGCUUUCAUACUCUUAUAGCUCUAGUGCAUCUGUUGCAUGGCAAUCCCUACUCACUCACAUUGUCUAUUGAUGGGCAUCUCCAUAGCCCGUUGAUACGCCUAGUUGAUGUGAGCUAUCUUCUCCUUUUUGUCUUCUCCACAACCACCAUUCUAUUCCACAUAUAGUGUUAUGUCCAUGGCUCACGCUCAUGUAUUGCGUGAAGAUUGAAAAAGUUUGAGAACAUCAAAAGUAUGAAACAAUUGCUUGGCUUGUCGUCGGGGUUGUGCAUGAUUAAAUACUUUGUGUGAUGAAGAUAGAGCAUAGCCAGACUAUAUGAUUUUGUAGGGAUAACUUUGUUUGGCCAUGUUAUUUUGAGAAGACAUGAUUACUUUGUUAGUAUGCUUGAAGUAUUAUUAUUUUUAUGUCAAUAUUAAACUUUUGUCUUGAAUCUUUCGGAUCUGAACAUUCAUGCCACAAUAAAGAAGAAUACAUUGAGAAAUAUGCUAGGUAGCAUUCCACAUCAAAAAUUCUGUUUUUAUCAUUUACCUACUCGAGGACGAGCAGGAAUUAAGCUUGGGGAUGCUUGAUACGUCUCCAACGUAUCUAUAAAUUUUAAUUGUUCCAUGCUAUUAUAUUAUCUGUUUUGGAUGUUUAAUGGUCUUUACUAUGCACUUUUAUAUUAUUUUUGGGACUAACCUAUUAACCGAAGGCCCAGUGCAAAUUGCUGUUUUUUUGCCUAUUUCAGUGUUUCGCAGAAAAGGAAUAUUAAACGGAGUCCAAACGGAAUGAAACCUUCAGGAGAGUUAUUUUUGGAACAAAUGCAAUCUAGGAGACUUGGAGUGGACAUCAAGAAAGAAACGAGGAGGCCACGAGGCAGGAGGGCGCGCCCCCCACCCUCGUGGCUCCACCGACCUACUUCUUUCGCCUAUAUAUACUCAUAUACCCUGAAAACAUCCGAGAGCACCACAAAACCCUAUUUCCACCGCCGCAACCUUCUGUACUCGUGAGAUCCCAUCUUGGGGCCUUUUCCAGCGCUCCGCCGGAGGGGGAAUCGAUCACGGAGGGCUUCUACAUCAACACCAUAGCCUCUCCGAUGAUGUGUGAGUAGUUUACCACAGACCUUCGGGUCCAUAGUUUUUAGCUAGAUGGCUUCUUCUCUCUCUUUGGAUCUCAAUACAAAGUUCUCCUCGUUCUUCUUGGAGAUCUAUUCGAUGUAAUUCUUUUUGCGGUGUGUUUGUCGAGAUCUGAUGAAUUGUGGGUUUAUGCUCAAGAUUAUCUAUGAACAAUAUUUGAUUCUUCUCUGAAUUCUUGUAUGCAUGAUUUAAUUAUCUUUGCAAGUCUCUUCGAAUUAUCAGUUCGGUUUGGCCUACUAGAUUGAUCUUUCUUGCCAUGGGAGAAGUGCUUAGCUUUGGAUUCAAUCUUGCGAUGUCCUAUUCCAGUGACAGCAGGGGCAGCAAGGCACGUAUUGUAUUGUUGCCAUCGAGGAUAAAAAGAUGGGGUUUAUAUCAUAUUGCUUGAGUUUAUCCCUCUACAUCAUGUCAUCUUGCCUAAUGUGUUACUCUGUUCUUAUGAACUUAAUACUCUAGAUGCAUGCUGGAUAGCGGUCGAUGUGUGGAGUAAUAGUAGUAGAUGCAGAAUCGUUUCGGUCUACUUGUCGCGGACGUGAUGUCUAUAUACAUGAUCAUGCCUAGAUAUUCUUAUAACUAUGCGCUCUUCUAUCAAUUGCUCGACAGUAAUUCAUUCACCCACCGUAAAUUAUGCUAUCUUGAGAGAAGCCACUAGUGAAACCUAUGGCCCCCGGGUCUAUUUUUCAUCAUAUUAUUUUCCUAUCAAUUGAUUUUGCAAUCUUUACUUUCCAAUCUAUAUCAUAAAAAUACCAAAAAUGUUUAUCUUAUUAUCUCUAUCAGAUCUCACUUUUGCAUGUGGCCGUGAAGGGAUUGACAACCCCUUUAUCGCGUUGGUUGCAAGGUUCUUAUUUGUUUGUGUAGGUACGAGGCGACUUGUGUGUAACCUCCUACUGGAUUGAUACCUUGGUUCUCAAAACUGAGGGAAAUACUUACGCUACUUUGCUGCAUCACCCUUUCCUCUUCAAGGGAAAACCAACGCAUGCUCAAGAGGUAGCAAGAAGGAUUUCUGGCGCCAUUGCCGGGGAGGCUAACGCCAAGUCAAGACAUACCAAGUACCCAUCACAAACUCUUAUCCCUCGCAUUACAUUUUUUGCCAUUUGCCUCUCGUUUUCCUCUCCCCCACUUCACCCUUGUCGUUUUAUUCGCCUUCUUUUUCCGUCUCUUUUCGCUUGCUUUUUGUGUGCUCGUUCUUUGUGCAAUUUGCUGCCUUCAUGCCUGAAACUGGGGAGGUUAUCGUUAAUAAGGAUAGUAGUAAUAACAUGGAAAACUUUGAUGCUUUUGAUGAUCCUCAUGAAGAUCCUACUAUUUUACACACUAAAAAGUUUCGGAUUGAUAGUGGUAAUAUUAUUGGAAAAGGAGUUAUUCAAGAUUUCUUUACUUGUGCCGGUGCCCUGCCCUCUAUGGGUGGGUCUAUUCUUCAUAGAACUAGUAGUCUUGCGGAUGCUAUAUCCUUGCUCGUAGUUGAACUUGAAAGACAAUUUAUUCAUAUGCAUCCUUGCAUACAAAGGAUUUUUCUAGAGUUUUCCAAUAUCGAGCAUUCUUCUGUUAAGCGAGCAGCUACUAUCUUUUUGGCACAUGAGUUCAGAUUUAUAAUGAAAGAGGCCAAUGAAAUUUUUGCGCAUUAUAGGGUGAACGCGGGUCGUCCUCCCAUAGAAGCUAUACUUUUUAAUCAAGAAGACUUAAUGCGUUUACGAUCUUUAGAUCAUGUUGGUUACAAUGAAAACCUUAGAAAGAAGGUUCCUACCGAUGUUCUAGUUGAUAAAUUUUCUGAACUCAAUGAUGAAUUUGCUAUUCAAAACAACGGGUUAGGUUUUUCUCUUGAACAAAGGUUUAUGACGUAUUGCCAAAAGAAUGCUUAUAAUGAUGAAUUUUUUGUGCAAUACAAGGGGCCAAAGGAGGAACCCAUACCUCCCGAGCUUGAUCUUGGGGACUUUUGUCCCAUUAAAUUUAGCCCUUUUGAUUACUUUUGUUUGCCACAAAGGAAACUUUCUGCUGAACGUAGGGCAUAUGAGAUGAGUUCCCGCAAUUUGCCCUGCCAUUAUUAUGAUAAUACUUAGAUCUAUUCUUGCCUUUAUGCCUAGCUAGGGGCGUUAAACGAUAGCGCUUGUUUGGAGGCAACCCAAUUUUAUUUUUGUUUCUUGCUUUUUGGUUCUGUUUAGUAAUAAAUAAUUCAUCUAGCUUCUGUUAAGAUGUGUUUUCAUGUUUUAAAUUAGUGUUUGUGCCAAGUAGAACCUUUGGGAAGACUUGGCUGAAGUCUUUAUGAUCUUGCUGUAAAAAACAGAAACUUUAGCGCUCACGAGGUUAGCUGCCAUUUUUUACUGUAGAGUAAUUUUAGGUUGAUUCUUUUUGCAGAUGAUUAAUAGACAAAUUCCUCACGUCCACCAAUUUAUUUCAGAAUUUUUGGAGUUACAGAAGUAUACUCUUGAUCCAGAUUACUAAAGACUGUUCUGUUUUUGACAGAUUCUGUUUUUCGUGUGUUGUUUGCUUAUUUUGAUGAAUCUAUGGCUAGUAUCGGGGGGAGGGGGUAUGAACCAUAGAGAAGUUGGAAUACAGUAGGUUUAACACCAAUAUAAAUAAAGAAUGAGUUCAUUACAGUACCUUAUGGUGGUGAUUUGUUUUCUUAUACUAACGGAGCUCAUGAGAUUUUCUGUUGAGUUUUGUGUUGUGAAGUUUUCAAGUUUUGGGUAAAGAUUUGAUGGAUUAUGGAAUACGGAGUGGCAAGAGCCUAAGCUUGGGGAUGCCCAAGGCACCCCAAGGUAAAAUUCAAGGACAACCAAAAGGCUAAGCUUGGGGAUGGCCCGGAAGGCAUCCCCUCUUUCGUCCUCGUCUAUCGGUAACUUUACUUGAGGCUAUAUUUUUAUUCAUCACAUGAUAUGUGUUUUGCUUGGAGCGUCUUGUAUGAUUUGAGUCUUUGCUUUUUAGUUUACCACAAUCAUCCUUGCUGUACACACCUUUUGGGAGAGACACACAUGAAUCGGAAUUUAUUGGAAUACUCUAUGUGCUUCACUUACAUCUUUUGAGCUAGAUAAUUUUGCUCUAGUGCUUCGCUUAUAUCUUUUUAGAGCACGGUGGUGGUUUUAUUUAUAGAAAUUAUUGAUCUCUCAUGCUUCACUUAUAUUAUUUUGAGAGUCUAUUAGAACAGCAUGGUAGUUUGCUUUGGCUAUAAAAUUAGUCCUAAUAUGGUGAACAUCCAAGAUAGGUAUAAUAAAAACUAUCAUAUAAAGUGCAUCGAAUACUAUGAGAAGUUUGAUAAUUGAUAAUUGUUUUGAGAGAUGAAGAUGGUGAUAUUAGAGUCAUGCUAGUUGAGUAGUUAUGAAUUUGAGAAAUACUUGUUCUAAAUUUUGUGAUUCCCGUAGCAUGCACGUAUGGUGAACCGUUAUGUGAUUAAGUCGGAGCAUGAUUUAUUUAUUGAUUGUCUUCCUUAUGAGUGGCGGUCGGGGAUGGGCGAUGGUCUUUUCCUACCAAUCUAUCCCCCGAGGAGCAUGCGCGUAGUACUUUGUUUUGAUAACUAAUAGAUUUUUGCAAUAAUUAUGUGAGUUCUUUAUGACUAAUGUUGAGUACAUGGAUUAUACGCACUCUCACCCUUCCACCAUUGCUAGCCUCUCUAAUACCGCGCAUCUUUCGCCGGUAUCAUACACCCACCAUAUACCUUCCUCAAAACAGCCACCAUACCUGCCUAUUAUGGCAUUCCCAUAGCCAUUUCGAGAUAUAUUGCCAUGCAACUUACCACCGUUCCAUUUAUUAUGACACACUCCAUCAUUGUCAUAUUGCUUUGCAUGAUCAUGUAGUUGACAUCGUAUUUGUGGCAAAGCCACCUUUAUAAUUCUUUCAUACCUGUCAGUCUUGAUUCAUUGCAUAUCCCGGUACACCGCCGGAGGCAUUCACAUAGAGUCAUAUUUUGUUCUAGUAUUGAGUUGUAAUUCUCGAGCUGUAAGUAAAUAAAAGUGUGAUAAUCAUCAUUAUUAGAGCAUUGUCCCAAGUGAGGAAAGGAUGAUGGAGACUAUGAUUCCCCCACAAGUCGGGAUGAGACUCCGGACGAAAAAAAGGAGGCCAUAAAAAAAGAGAAAAGGGCCCAAAUGAAAAAAAGAUGAGAGAAAAAAGAGAGAAGGGACAAUGUUACUAUCCUUUUACCACACUUGUGCUUCAAAGUAGCACCAUGAUCGUCAUGAUAGAGAGUCUCCUAUGUUGUCACUUUCAUAUACUAGUGGGAAUUUUACAUUAUAGAACUUGGCUUGUAUAUUCCAAUGAUGGGCUUCCUCAAAAUGCCCUAGGUCUUCGUGAGCAAGCGAGUUGGAUGCACCCCCACUUAGUUUCUUUUGUUGAGCUUUCAUACUCUUAUAGCUCUAGUGCAUCUGUUGCAUGGCAAUCCCUACUCACUCACAUUGUCUAUUGAUGGGCAUCUCCAUAGCCCGUUGAUACGCCUAGUUGAUGUGAGCUAUCUUCUCCUUUUUGUCUUCUCCACAACCACCAUUCUAUUCCACAUAUAGUGUUAUGUCCAUGGCUCACGCUCAUGUAUUGCGUGAAGAUUGAAAAAGUUUGAGAACAUCAAAAGUAUGAAACAAUUGCUUGGCUUGUCGUCGGGGUUGUGCAUGAUUAAAUACUUUGUGUGAUGAAGAUAGAGCAUAGCCAGACUAUAUGAUUUUGUAGGGAUAACUUUGUUUGGCCAUGUUAUUUUGAGAAGACAUGAUUACUUUGUUAGUAUGCUUGAAGUAUUAUUAUUUUUAUGUCAAUAUUAAACUUUUGUCUUGAAUCUUUCGGAUCUGAACAUUCAGAAGUAUACGCUUGAUCCAGAUUACUAAAGACUGUUCUGUUUUUGACAGAUUCUGUUUUUCGUGUGUUGUUUGCUUAUUUUGAUGAAUCUAUGGCUAGUAUUGGGGGGAGGGGGGUAUGAACCAUAGAGAAGUUGGAAUACAGUAGGUUUAACACCAAUAUAAAUAAAGAAUGAUUUCAUUACAGUACCUUAUGGUGGUGAUUUGUUUUCUUAUACUAACAGAGCUCAUGAGAUUUUCUGUUGAGUUUUGUGUUGUGAAGUUUUCAAGUUUUGGGUAAAGAUUUGAUGGAUUAUGGAAUACGGAGUGGCAAGAGCCUAAGCUUGGGGAUGCCCAAGGCACCCCAAGGUAAAAUUCAAGGACAACCAAAAGGCUAAGCUUGGGGAUGCCGCGGAAGGCAUCCCCUCUUUCGUCUUCGUCUAUCGGUAACUUUACUUGAGGCUAUAUUUUUAUUCAUCACAUGAUAUGUGUUUUUCUUGGAGCGUCUUGUAUGAUUUGAGUCUUUGCUUUUUAGUUUACCACAAUCAUCCUUGCUGUACACACCUUUUGGGAGAGACAUACAUGAAUCGGAAUUUAUUGGAAUACUCUAUGUGCUUCACUUAUAUCUUUUGAGCUAGAUAAUUUUGCUCUAGUGCUUCGCUUAUAUCUUUUUAGAGCACGGUGGUGGUUUUAUUUAUAGAAAUUAUUGAUCUCUCAUGCUUCACUUAUAUUAUUUUGAGAGUCUAUUAGAACAGCAUGCUAGUUUGCUUUGGCUAUAAAAUUAGUCCUAAUAUGGUGAACAUCCAAGAUAGGUAUAAUAAAAACUAUCAUAUAAAGUGCAUCGAAUACUAUGAGAAGUUUGAUAAUUGAUAAUUGUUUUGAGAGAUGAAGAUGGUGAUAUUAGAGUCAUGCUAGUUGAGUAGUUAUGAAUUUGAGAAAUACUUGUUCUAAAUUUUGUGAUUCCCGUAGCAUGCACGUAUGGUGAACCGUUAUGUGAUUAAGUCGGAGCAUGAUUUAUUUAUUGAUUGUCUUCCUUAUGAGUGGCGGUCGGGGAUGAGCGAUGGUCUUUUCCUACCAAUCUAUCCCCCUAGGAGCAUGCGCGUAGUACUUUGUUUCGAUAACUAAUAGAUUUUUGCAAUAAGUAUGUGAGUUCUUUAUGACUAAUGUUGAGUACAUGGAUUAUACGCACUCUCACCCUUCCACCAUUGCUAGCCUCUCUAAUACCGCGCAUCUUUCGCCGGUAUCAUACACCCACCAUAUACCUUCCUCAAAACAGCCACCAUACCUACCUAUUAUGGCAUUUCCAUAGCCAUUCCGAGAUAUAUUGCCAUGCAACUUACCACCGUUCCAUUUAUUAUGACACGCUCCAUCAUUGUCAUAUUGCUUUGCAUGAUCAUGUAGUUGACAUCGUAUUUGUGGCAAAGCCACCUUUAUAAUUCUUUCAUACAUGUCACUCUUGAUUCAUUGCAUAUCCCGGUACACCGCCGGAGGCAUUCACAUAGUCAUAUUUUGUUCUAGUAUUGAGUUGUAAUUCUCGAGCUGUAAGUAAAUAAAAGUGUGAUAAUCAUCAUUAUUAGAGCAUUGUCCCAAGUGAGGAAAGGAUGAUGGAGACUAUGAUUCCCCCACAAGUCGGGAUGAGACUCCGGACGAAAAAAAGGAGGCCAUAAAAAAAGAGAAAAAGGCCCAAAUGAAAAAAAGAUGAGAGAAAAAAGAGAGAAGGGACAAUGUUACUAUCCUUUUACCACACUUGUGCUUCAAAGUAGCACCAUGAUCUUCAUGAUAGAGAGUCUCCUAUGUUGUCACUUUCAUAUACUAGUGGGAAUUUUACAUUAUAGAACUUGGCUUGUAUAUUCCAAUGAUGGGCUUCCUCAAAAUGCCCUAGGUCUUCGUGAGCAAGCGAGUUGGAUGCACCCCUACUUAGUUUCUUUUGUUGAGCUUUCAUACUCUUAUAGCUCUAGUGCAUCCGUUGCAUGGCAAUCCCUACUCACUCACAUUGUCUAUUGAUGGGCAUCUCCAUAGCCCGUUGAUACGCCUAGUUGAUGUGAGCUAUCUUCUCCUUUUUGUCUUCUCCACAACCACCAUUCUAUUCCACAUAUAGUGUUAUGUCCAUGGCUCACGCUCAUGUAUUGCGUGAAGAUUGAAAAAGUUUGAGAAUAUCAAAAGUAUGAAACAAUUGCUUGGCUUGUCAUCGGGGUUGUGCAUGAUUAAAUACUUUGUGUGAUGAAGAUAGAGCAUACACUAGUAGAAAAAGAGGCUUCCAUACGCCCCCAUUAGUCCCCAAAAUAAUCGAACCGCGAUUAAAGGGGUCUUUAGUCGCGGUUCGGGAGGAGGCCCGCGACCAACUAUCUGGGCCCAGCGCGCGCUGGCGGACGGGAGGGGCUUUAGUCCCGGUUGGCCUGGCCAACCGGGACUAAAGGUCCUCAGGCUGGCCCGAAGGCCUUUAGUCGCGGUUGGCCAGGCCAACCGGGACUAAAGGUUAGACCUUNNNNNNNNNNNNNNNNNNNNNNNNNNNNNNNNNNNNNNNNNNNNNNNNNNNNNNNNNNNNNNNNNNNNNNNNNNNNNNNNNNNNNNNNNNNNNNNNNNNNNNNNNNNNNNNNNNNNNNNNNNNNNNNNNNNNNNNNNNNNNNNNNNNNNNNNNNNNNNNNNNNNNNNNNNNNNNNNNNNNNNNNNNNNNNNNNNNNNNNNNNNNNNNNNNNNNNNNNNNNNNNNNNNNNNNNNNNNNNNNNNNNNNNNNNNNNNNNNNNNNNNNNNNNNNNNNNNNNNNNNNNNNNNNNNNNNNNNNNNNNNNNNNNNNNNNNNNNNNNNNNNNNNNNNNNNNNNNNNNNNNNNNNNNNNNNNNNNNNNNNNNNNNNNNNNNNNNNNNNNNNNNNNNNNNNNNNNNNNNNNNNNNNNNNNNNNNNNNNNNNNNNNNNNNNNNNNNNNNNNNNNNNNNNNNNNNNNNNNNNNNNNNNNNNNNNNNNNNNNNNNNNNNNNNNNNNNNNNNNNNNNNNNNNNNNNNNNNNNNNNNNNNNNNNNNNNNNNNNNNNNNNNNNNNNNNNNNNNNNNNNNNNNNNNNNNNNNNNNNNNNNNNNNNNNAACCGCGACUAAUGGCCCGAACCUUUAGUCGCGGUUGGCCAGACCAACCGGCACUAAAGGAGGCCUCAUUUUCAAACUCUACCCCCCCCCCUGGUGGAUCGCCUUUUUAGUUUUAGAAAAAACAAAAGAAAAUGAUGGAAAUGUCAAAAAAAAAAUUAAAAUAAGUUUUCCAUGUGAUAUGUGGUCUAGUUGUUGGGAAAAUUAACAAAUAUGAAUUUCGACUUUAUUUGCAAAAUCUCUCUGGAAAUUCUUAAAAUGGGCAUAACUUUUGCAUACGAACUCGGAUGAAAAAGUUUUUUAUAUGAAAAAUCAUCUACUCGAAAAGUUACAUCCGAAUUUAACACCAUCUAGACCUAGUGAACCUACUUAAGUCAUACCGGAAAAACAUAUACCUGUUUCAGAUAAUCAUCCAUGAACAUGAUUGCAUGGUCAUCCUGCCCAGUAUUGAGUUUGAAUACACGGAGUACUCUGUCUUUCUUCAGUGACUACAAAAAGUAUUUCUAUGUUCAGGUUUCAUCAGAGCAAGGAAAAAUUAUCUCUGAUGCAAUUGGAUAUUAAUAUACAUUAGUCUACGAUAAUCACCAAAAUUUAACACGAGAAUCGCUAGAAAAGAAUCCAAAGGUAAAACACAAACUUAUCAUUGCAUUACAAAAGUGGUGUCCACAUACGGGGCUUUAGAAUCCUCAAAUUGGAACCCCGUUAAACAUUUUUAGAAUCCUCAAAAACCUAACAGAAAAAAAGAUACGGGGCUUUUAAGAUCUAGAGUGGAAAAAAAAUUCAAAAAAAUUCAAAUUGUGGUCAAACUGUGGUCAAACAAUGGUCAAAAUAAUUAUUCUAGAAUAUUAGUGUUACUAAAUAAUUAUUUCUUUUUUUAAAUUUUGGUCAAAUCUGGUCAAACUGUGGUCAAACUGUGGUCAAACAAUGGUCAAACUAAUUAUUCCAGAAAUAUUAGUGUUACUAAAUAAUUAUUGUUUUUUAAAACAAUAGUUUCAAACUCAAACAGUGAAAUGUGUCACUUCAUGCUCAAGCUAAAUUCCUGAGGGUUAAUAGAAUUGACAUCCUACUAUUGUCAGGAAAACAACAAGUGCAGACUUGGAAACGAGGGAGAAUAGAACCCGGAAGUUAAGCGUGCUCAGGCUGGAGUAGUGAGAGGAUGGGUGACCGUCCGGGAAGUUAGAUGAUUUGGAAUGAUGAGGGGUGAUUAGAGAUUAGAGGAUAAAUUGAGCAGUGAUGAGGGGUGGCAGUGAUGAGGGGUGGUGAUUAGAGAUUAGAGGUUGAAAUAAAUCAGAAAUUUAAAAAUAAAAAAAAUAAAAAAAAUUCACAAAAAAACCAGGUUUAAACCUACGGAGGAGGCCUUUAGUCCCGGUCAGCCAUGAAAACCGGGACUAAAGGACGGGCCUUUAGUCCCGGUCAGCCACAAGAACCGGGACUAAAGCCUUUAGUCGCGGUUCGUAAGAGGCGCGACUAAAGGGGGGGGUCUUUAGUCGCGCAUAUUUAGUCCCGGUUGCACAGCCGGGACUAAAGGCCUUUGCGAACCGGGACUAAAGGCCUUUUUUCUACCAGUGAUAGCCAGACUAUAUGAUUUUGUAGGGAUAACUUUGUUUGGCCAUGUUAUUUUGAGAAGACAUGAUUACUUUGUUAGUAUGCUUGAAGUAUUAUUAUUUUUAUGUCAAUAUUAAACUUUUGUCUUGAAUCUUUCGGAUCUGAACAUUCAUGCCACAAUAAAGCAGAAUACAUUGAGAAAUAUGCUAGGUAGCAUUCCACAUCAAAAAUUCUGUUUUUAUCAUUUACCUACUCGAGGACGAGCAGGAAUUAAGCUUGGGGAUGUUUGAUACGUCUCCAACGUAUCUAUAAAUUUUGAUUGUUCCAUGCUAUUAUAUUAUCUGUUUUGGAUGUUUAAUGGGCUUUACUAUGCACUUUUAUAUUAUUUUUGGGACUAACCUAUUAACCGAAGGCCCAGUGCAAAUUGUUGUUUUUUCGCCUAUUUCAGUGUUUCGCAGAAAAGGAAUAUCAAACAGAGUCCAAACGGAAUGAAACAUUCGGGAGAGUUAUUUUGGAACAAAUGCAAUCCAGGAGACUUGGAGUGGACGUCAAGAAAGAAACAAGGAGGCCACGAGGCAGGAGGGCGCGCCCAGGGGGGUAGGCGCGCCCCCCACCCUCGUGGGCCCCUCGUGGCUCCACCGACCUACUUCUUUCGCCUAUAUAUACUCAUAUACCCUGAAAACAACCGAGAGCACCACGAAACCCUAUUUCCACCGCCGCAACCUUCUGUACCUGUGAGAUCCCAUCUUGGGGCCUUUUCCAGCGCUCCGCCGGAGGGGGAAUCGAUCACGGAGGGCUUCUACAUCAACACCAUAGCCUCUCCGAUGAUGUGUGAGUAGUUUACCACAGACCUUCGGGUCCAUAGUUUUUAGCUAGAUGGCUUCUUCUCUCUUUUUGGAUCUCAAUACAAAGUUCUCCUCGAUCUUCUUGGAGAUCUAUUCGAUGUAAUUCUUUUUGCGGUGUAUUUGUCGAGAUCCGAUAAAUUGUGGGUUUAUGAUCAAGAUUAUCUAUCAACAAUAUUUGAUUCUUCUCUGAAUUCUUUUAUGCAUGAUUUAAUUAUCUUUGCAAGUCUCUUCGAAUUAUCAGUUUGGUUUGGCCUACUAGAUUGAUCUUUCUUGCCAUGAGAGAAGUGCUUAGCUUUGGGUUCAAUCUCGCGGUGUCCUUUCCCAGUGACAGCAGGGGCAGCAAGGCACGUAGUGUAUUGUUGCCAUCGAGAAUAAAAAGAUGAGGUUUAUAUCAUAUUGCUUGAGUUUAUCCCUCUGCAUCAUGUCAUCUUGCCUAAUGCGUUACUCUGUUCUUAUGAACUUAAUACUCUAGAUGAAUGCUGGAUAGCGGUUGAUGUGUGGAGUAAUAGUAGUAGAUGCAGAAUCGUUUUGGUCUACUUGUCGCGGACGUGAUGCCUAUAUACAUGAUCAUGCGUAGAUAUUCUCAUAACUAUGCGCUUUUCUAUCAAUUGCUCGACAGUAAUUCGUUCACCCACCGUAAAUUAUGCUAUCUUGAGAGAAGCCACUAGUGAAACCUAUGGCCCCUGGGUCUAUUUUCCAUCAUAUUGUUUUCCUAUCAAUUUACUAUUCCUUCCGUCUUUUAUUUUGCAAUCUUUACUUUCCAAUCUAUAUCAUAAAAAUACGAAAAAAAAAUUAUCUUAUUAUCUCUACCAGAUCUCACUUUGACAAGUGGCCGUGAAGGGAUUGACAACCCUUCAUCGCGUUGGUUGCAAAGUUCUUAUUUGUUUGUGUAGGUUCGAGGCGACUUGUGUGUAACCUCCUACUGGAUUGAUACCUUGGUUCUCAAAACUGAGGGAAAUACUUACGCUACUUUGUUGCAUCACCCUUUCCUUUUUAAGGGAAAACCAACGCAUGCUCAAGAGGUAGCAGAAAGCAAGGGGAAGGUAGGGGAAUGAGUGAGUACCUUGAGCGCUGGCGGUGGUGGGGAGAAGCGGGAUGGGGGCCUGGAGGACGCAGAAGGUGAGAGGGCGACUCGCCCCUCCGCCUCCCUGAACCUACUGCGAGCGGUGGGAUUCGGGACAGGCUGUGCCGGCGAGCGGCUGCGGCCGGAGGCGGUCCGGCCGACGAGGGGGAGGAAGACGCAGAUCGGCCUAAAACCAGAAGAAGAAAAACAGCUCGCGGGAAGAAUGGGCCGCCCAUUUUUCUUAACGACCUGUUAUUUUAUAGGAGCUACUAGAUAUUUUAUCCGCCGAAUCUACAUUGUAUUCCUAUGAACUUUUAUAUAAUCAAUAAAGUGGACUGUGUUUAGACUCAAAAAAUUAUAGAUAUUUAAAUUAAAACCUAUUAAAAAUAGAAACAUGUAUUUUAGAGAAAAAAAAUCAGUAUGUGUUUUAUAAAAGAGUAAUAUGUCUAUAUUGAAAAAAGUUCACCCAUGUAUUAAAAAAUUGUUCAAUAUUUCCGCAAAAACAAAUGUUCAAUAUGUAAUAAUAAAAUGUUUGAUGUAUACAAUAAAAAUGUCCGUCGUAUAUUAAAACAUGUUAGACGGAUGCAAAAAAUGAUCAUUGUAUAUCAUUAAAAAAAUCAGUGUGAAUUCAGAAAGUUCAUCGUGUACUGAAAAAUCACAUGUCAUAAAAGAGAUCAGUGUGUAUAUGUAAACUUUUUACCGUAUACUAAAAACAGUUCAUUGUACAUUUAACAAAUAUUCACUGUAUAUUAGAAAAAAAAUCACCAUAUAUUGAAAAAGAUACAAAAAGGAAAAGGUGCAGAAAGGAUAACAGGAAAAGGAAAAUCUGAAAAGGGACAAGGGAAAAGGGAGAAAGAAAAAAUGAAACAAAAAUAAAUAGAAAAUAGAACAAAAAACGAAAAUAGCAAACCAAUGAAGGACACUUGGGCCGACCGAUUUGCGCUGCCUAUUUGCGGCCUGCGGGUGGAUAUUAGGAUUUGGCCUCGUGGCCAGUACACCUAACACCACCCAACGCUUAUGUUGGGCCUAAUCACUCGCUCUAGGCUGUGGGCCUCUCUCUUCCAACCCCAGCCAUCAUCAUUUCCCUAAAAGGAAAAUUAAAUAAACAUUCACUCUUCUCGAACGUUGUCCAUAGAGAGAUGGGCGAAUUCCAGAUCUUUGCAUGUCAUGUAGAUUGUGAUUUCUCUAUUACUCCCUCCGUUUCAAAAUACUUGACUUCUAUUUGUUCAAAAAUGGAUGUACCUAUAUACUAAAACAUGUCUAAAUACAUCUAUAUUUUGACAAAUGGAAGGCAUGUAUUGUGGAACGGAGGGAGGUCAAGGAGGAAAGGGGAAGAAGAAGUAAGAAAAGGGUGGAAUGUGUUGCUUCAAAGGUGAGGCUACGACGAUGUUGUUGUUAGAAAUGAAUUUGGAUAUCAGCUCAAAGUUUACCUGCAUUAAUUGUAAGGCUCUUUUGUUAUCCUGAAAUUUCCUUCCUUUAGUUAUGGGUGGAAAUUAUUUAAAAAAAAAACAUUCAGUUGGUGCCGUAACAUUCAGUUUGUUAUCCUCUAUGGAAGUUAUGGCAAUCUGAAUUCAACCUGUUCUCCUGUGCAUCACUCUGUUUUUCUUCACUGUAGCCCAUUUAUCUUGUGGCACAAUUCAACCUCUGGACAUGAUUGAAUUAAAUUUUCAUGGUAACAGUAAAAUUAUACAUUGGUUUGUAUAGAUAACUGAUACAAAAUUGUGAAUUGAACUUAAUCUUAUGAGAGAGGUGACGUGUCAAAUCAUAGGAGCGUGUCUUUUAUUUUUUAGUUUGAGUAGUGUUUUAAGGAGCUGUACCUUAUAAUUAUAAUAUUUUACUUCUCUUAUUGGGUUUUGGUUAAAGUGAAUUCUCCUUGCUGUGCAAUUGAGUUGUGAAUAGUGAGCUACAUCUCUUUGUAAACUGUCUGUGAUAUGUCAGACUGUAGACAAAGGCUGAGCCACAAUCUGAGCCAAGCCUGUUAAGCAUCCGUGCUAUGACAUCUUAUCCUGGUUAGAAUGAGAAUGCAAUUGAGAUGUAUGGCCAUAAAUGAGUGACAUUAUUGUCGAUGCUUAUGAAAUAAAUACAGAAGCUUGGCUUGUUAAACGUGUUUUCACUAUGGUUGCAAAGAUCAUGGGGCUUUCUGGGUGGUACUAAUUACUUUGUCACUUGCCCAGCUCACUCUGUUCAUAACUUUUCAGGUGGGUGGGUUUAAGGACGGUGGGAUGAGGGCGUAGUUGAAGCAUAAGCACUUGAAUCACCUUGAUUUUCUGGACUGCUUUUUCUUAGAAGAAGAAUAACUAGCAGAAUGGUUAGCUCAUCUUACUUGAAGAUUUUCCAUGGACUCUGUUUACUCUGCUAGUGGUUCCAGCAUAACUCUAGAGUGCAUCUAUUCACUGAAGGCACUGGAAGUUUGAUAUGCCAAAAUCUCGAAAAAAGUUCAAAGUUGAAGUGAAUAGUAGCUUACAAUUUAUCAAAACAUUCCAGUUGACCAGGCUUAGAGCCAAACCUAGUCUCAAGGAUGGCAUGUCAUCCUGGAUUGAUAAUAUUUAAUUUUCUUUUCUUUUCUCCUUACCUUGUAAUCCUAGACUUCUCUGGUUGUAUCCCCAUCAACCAUUGUAAACCCUUUUAUUUUCCUACCUUAUAUUAAUGAAAAAUGACACACAGUAGGGCUUUUGCCUUACUGUUUUAUGGUAAAAAAAAAUAGUAGCUUACAAUUUUGCUAGCCUACAUGGUGAACAAAAUUUAUGCAUGGAUGAGAUGAAAUGAAGUGUUUGUACAUGCAAAGUCUAGGCUGAGUUGCUCUCAUAUAAAGACAGUUCAAACACCCACUGGCUUACUUGCUCGCAUAUCAACAGAUUGAUAUAACACCUUUGGAUUUUAUUUUGUACUUAUCUAGCUUGCUGGUAAUAUCCAGCUUCUUUAUGGUAACAACACUGGUUUUCCUGCCCACGCAGCAAAAGUACUCGUAGCUGUGUAUUAUUACUUCAUGCAUUCUUUAAGGUCAAUCAGCAGGGUGUAUUUCUGCUUUCCCCUCUCUCUUGGGAUUCUGGUUUUUCAUCUGAUUAAUAUUGUAUAGAAAUGGCCAUGAACCACCGGGAUGUUUUCUAUUACCAAAUGGAUUUGUUUCCUGUGAACAUAGUGUAAGCUGUAACUUUUCUUGCAGCAGAUAAACUUACUGGUAGCAUUUGCCGUUAUGGCCGUUCGGCUUGCUCGUUGGCGCUUCAUGGCCGUUGGAUCUGCUAGUGGUUAAUCUUGUGGUGCUUUACAUUUACCUUGUCACCUGUCUUUUGAAUUGCCCCUUUGUGCAGCCUGAGUCCAACGUGUUUUUGGACCGUUUUUUCAGCAGCCGAAAUAUCAGAUAUGCUCAUGCGUGAUAUUUUUGGGCACACCCAGUUGUUGUGCUCGGGUNNNNNNNNNNNNNNNNNNNNNNNNNNNNNNNNNNNNNNNNNNNNNNNNNNNNNNNNNNNNNNNNNNNNNNNNNNNNNNNNNNNNNNNNNNNNNNNNNNNNNNNNNNNNNNNNNNNNNNNNNNNNNNNNNNNNNNNNNNNNNNNNNNNNNNNNNNNNNNNNNNNNNNNNNNNNNNNNNNNNNNNNNNNNNNNNNNNNNNNNNNNNNNNNNNNNNNNNNNNNNNNNNNNNNNNNNNNNNNNNNNNNNNNNNNNNNNNNNNNNNNNNNNNNNNNNNNNNNNNNNNNNNNNNNNNNNNNNNNNGGUAUGGCUAUAGAGUGGAUGGUGGGCACACUGCAACAAUGACAUGGUGGUGCGCACAGAUCUCUGUUUUUUUUUUGACAAAACACUAAUCAAGUCAAUGUCAAGCCAAUCUGGGUUAUGUUUUGGAUUCUCAGAAAGUUUUGUUACACCAUUCCUUGAAGGUUGGUUACUUGGAUCAAUCAGGAUUAGCCUGUUUGGAAAUGCAUUUGAGGUUCAACCACAGACUCAUUUAGAAACUGCUGUACAUUCUUUAAUUGUUAGUUCCCUUGAUAUUUCCUUGGAAAGAGAUUGGAAACUAAACAUGCAAGUGGAGUGGUCAUAUCAUUCUGCAGUCUACUCACAUGAUAAACGAUUUGUGAAUGGCAUUCUCAGCACAUAUCCCAUGCUCACAAUAUAUUUGUUUCAUAAGAAGAGCUAACAAAGAUUAGAGAUGUGUACAAGUCUUAUAUAUAUGUACCCCUGCUUUAGGAUGUGAAAGUGCGUGAUAUGAAAUCUUAUUUUCCCUUGCAUCUUUAGCUUAUUUACAUCUAAAAUAUUGGAGGAAAACAAAAAUGUGAGAGUUAAGGAGAUGAAGGGAAAAAGAGCUGAAAAGCACUUGCAUUGCGGUACCUUGCUCAGUCCACUUGAAGUAGGAUUACCACUCUACAGGGUAUGCCGAUGGAACUCGGACCAAGAGCCGCAGUGACCUUUCUAGCUCUAGGAAGAACACCCACAAUACAACGAGUACACCUCCAGGCACAUGAUUCCAGAAUCCGUGUCUGAAGCAACAGGUUGCCAAAGGUUUAACUGUGUCUUGUAGGCAUGACAAUGUCGAAAACGACGGCUUUGAGGAGACCCUGGAGCAAUGUUCGUGUCAUGCCUGUGCCCUCAACACACAGGUCUAGCAGAUCCCAAUCCAGGGGAGCGAGCACAAUGAGGAGGACAGGAAUAUAAAAAAUGUCUCAUCCUAAUUAUAACCUGUUAAGCACACUACGGAUGUUUUGAUAUCCAAGAGUCCCUAUCCUUGUGAAGAUGACGGUAAGACUACCGAAUUAGCUUAGAUUUAGUGCACCCGGAGCUCAUGUACUCUUUUCAUCAAAUAAAUUAUUGUCAGAAAACAAGCAUUUUGUUUCUCUUGGUGACAUCAUUCAGAACUGUGAGGAUGUGUAUUUCUGUAGCCCAGGCUCAUGUGCUAUUUUUAUUAACAAAAUUUUGUGUAACAUAUGGAGUAAAUGCCUUUUGCCCCCUGAGACCAUUUUUGUGAGCAUGUUAAGACUGUUAGCCUCUUCCAAGAGAAGAAAAACUGAAGCGCAGAAAGAAUAGAAUGUUCGUUUAUUUAUUCAGAACUGAUGCGCAUUUGUACAUCAACAGUCACUUACUAUUAAUAAUUUCACAAUUUAUUCCUCACUUUCUCCAAUGUUUCAUCCUAGGUUUCUUUGCCAUGAUUUGCUGAUCUCGAAUGGGGCCCAAAAACUUAAGUCGUAUCAAUUUCCGUUUCACGCAAUUCUUUUAAAUGAUGCAAUGGUUUUGGAGAACUCCCUGUUUUUAUUUGCCAGUCGUCUAAAAAAAGUGAUGGUAGGUAUGACUAAAAAUUGCGUAACAUGCAUAAUAAGUUCUUCAAAGAUUGGUUACUUCAGACCAUUUGGGAUUAGCAUGUUUGCAAAUGCUAUUGUCGUUCCACCACUCACUCAUUUAUGGACGCGUCCCAUUCAUUUGGUGCGGGUUCCCUCCCACGCAUGAUCUUCACUUCAUUUUUGACAAGACAUGGGAAACUAAACAUGCAAGUAGAAUGGUACGGUCAGACCAUUUUGCAGUCCAGUCACAUGCUAAAAAUGUCAUGAUAAACGACUCUUGAUUCAUAAAUCACAUGCUUACGAUAUAUUUGUUUCAUAAGAAGGGUUGAAUAGAUCACAUAUGUGUAGAAGUCCUAUAUAUACUUACGUUGCCCUAUGAUGUUAAAGUGAGUGUGAUAUGAGUUCAGAUUUGUUUACGUCUUUAGCUUCAGAACAUCUAAAAUAUUGGAGGAAAACAAAAACAUGAGAGCUAAGGGGGUCAAGGGAAAAGGAGCUAAAAAACACUAGCGAUGUCGUGUCUUGCUUUGUCCACUUGAAGUUGUACUGCCAUUUGAUGGGGACUACCAUGAUGGAACUAGAGUUGAGAGCUGCAGUGAUCUUCGUAGCUCUUGGGAGAACAUCUGUAUGCAACAGUUGCUUAGUUACGAUGAAUUUUAUGAUCAUGUACCAAGUCUGAAUGAAGGUUGCACUGACAACACUAGUCCUCAUCAUCAUUGAAUCUGCCACGUUCUCCUCCGCAUGAGUUUGCGUGCACGUUCCUCAUCAGAGUUUCUAUCAUCACAGCUGGCUUCAUAGUUUCAUGGUGCAGGAGUAGUCGGUAGAGAGUGGUACAUGGGGAGAGAAAUGUUACUUUUACUUGAGGUUGAAAGUAGUUAUGUUUACACCUUGGGUUUUCACUUUGUGGGCACUAUGAUGUUUGGCGCUUCAUAGUUUCAUAGGAAGCAUCAGCCAUGCUUCCUAUGGGUUUUACUAGAACUGGUGUUGGCUAUAUGAUUUCUAUUUUCUUUGUCUUUCCCUUUUUUUUUUUGCUCUUUUACUGUUGCUUGUACAUAUUGGACACCUUUAUUCCAAUACAUAUAUUGUAGAACGAUUGCUCUAUGGGUUUUGGUUCAAGAAAAAGGUGGUCACCACAACCACAACGCAAACACGCUCCGCGACGUCUUUCUCCCACCUGUCGGGGAGACCAACGCUACAGUCAUGAAGAGCGUGAGUACCAUGAUGUCACGCUAGAUUUCAGGGAUGGAACACUAAUCCAAAGCACGACCGCCCACAAUGCAAUAAAGUAGGCCCAAGUUUAGCGGCGACCAAAACAUCAAGUUCUGGAAACCAACAAAUGAAUGAACAUUGGAAAACUGGUGUUUCUUCCACAACACCUCUUCACACUUCUCUCUCAAGUGCGGCAAGUUAGCGGAAUCAUCCCAAUAGAUAGAAAGUCAUAAGAGACAGAUGGGCCACGAACAACGAGAGGAGAACGAAACAAAAUUGCCACCACCGCCUCCCCGGCCUCACUACCCACCAAAUGACGCCACUGUCAACCACAUGUGGGGUGGCUCCAUGUCAUAUGACUUGUGAAGAAAAUUACAAAAGGAUACUACACGAGGUGAUGACGGUGAUGGACUCGCUAGUGCCAUCAACCCUCAAGUGGACUCACGUCCCAAUCACUUUCACUGAAGAUGAUUGUACACCUAACAACCCUUUCCCCGAA